rnacentral:lncRNA from 1 species
AGAUUAUUAACUAUUAUGAAAAUAAUAUACGAAUAAAUAUUUUACAUAAAUUUCGACGGGGAGAAACUAUCAAUACCCUUAAACGAUUGAACCUUCAGUAUCUUAGUAGUUGACUGUGAAUGCCAUUUUAUUCCACCCCAUUGCAAUUGUUGCUUGUUUUCCACGGAUAUCUUGAUUACGUUUGCAAGCUUAUGUUAUAAGGGCUUCGUCAUUGCCAUUAUUACGAAAUUAAAUAGACUACGAUUGUUGACCUAAUUUCAAAAUUCCUCCAUUGUUUAUUAUUUUUCCCUUUUUAAUUUAUCAAUAUCAGCCAUAUCAAGUCAUUCUUUUAAUCAAAAACCUUGGGGAAGACGAAAUAUUAACUUACUGUCUUUUUCAACAACUUUUUAGGUGAGAUUAGUUUAAUAAAUUACAUGAUAAAUAAUACUCUUGCUUGAGUCUAUAUAUAUAUAAUUAUAUAUGAUAUAAAAUUAAGAUUCUUUUUUUUGUCGUAAUACAUAGAAUUAUUCAACCUAUUAUUAUAACAAAAUAAUUAAAUUUAUGAGUUGAAGUUGUCAGAAAAAUAAACUUAUUUCCAAUGAAUGGCAUUUGGAGGAACAAAAUAUAAUGAGAAAUUGAAUUCUUCAAUACCUUGCUGUUUCUUCAUAUUUCUUUACAAAUUUACCGAUUCUUUACUCUAAAUUCUAGUAUUUGUCUUCAUGUCCAAAUAUGGUGAGAAAUUGAAUUCUUCAAAACCUUUCUGUUUCUUCAUAUUUCAUUAUAAAUUUAAAUUCUAAUCAGUUGAUAAAUACAAAGAUGAGAAAUGGUGAUGCCACAUCACCUCCUCAAGUCUCAGCUUUAUAUAUAUGAGUAAUGAUAUAGCCACAAACUCUUGUACAAACUUAUUUUGUACAAACUGAUGUGGCAUGAUAAGAUUGGUUGAAUUAAAUAUCACUUGGCCCACAUGAUUUGUUUUUAUUAUUUUAUAUUUUCAUUUAACUAAUGAAUUAAUGCCACGUCAGUUUGUACAAAAUAAAUUUGUACAAGAGUUUGUGGCUGUAUCAUUACUCUUAUAUAUAUAUAUAUAUAUAUAUAUAUAUAUAUAUAUAUACAGAUUAGGUGGACCUAAAUGUUCCAAAUACAUUAAAACAAUCGAUCAUCUACAUUAUUCUAUAUUUUGAGGAGAGAAAAAAAAAAGACAAAAUCUUUUAGACCAUCUACAUUAUUCUACAUUAAUCUUUUUUUUUCCUUAUGAAAAAGCAAUUAAAUUAAUAAGUAUAAAUUUCUUUACAUUUUCGCCGGAGAAUCAGAGUCAAAUUCAAAUACAACGACUCAAGCGCAAAAGCUUAUAAAUAGAGGAGAGCAAAAAUAAAGCCCCCCGCUCCAGUUCUCUCUUCUGUCAGAGGCUACGGAUUUGAGAGAUUAAAGAACAUCAAUCGAACAGUAAGACUCCGUACUCUGUGACUCAAAGUUGCAAAAACUUUUAGGUAAAUUUUUUUGGAUUAAUUUUUUAAUUUUCGAGAAUAAACAGAGAGAGAGAGAAAAGAGAUGGGAUUAUGUCUGUCUGGGAGUGAUGUGAGGGGAGGGAAACAAGCCAUAGGUGGGGCCCAUCUCCGGCCCACCAGCACGGCUGAUCAGAACAAUGUCUCUGGUCAAAACGACGCCGUUGAUUUCUUCUUCAAAUCUCGCGGCCUUCAUGCCCUUUUCACCCAAAUCGAGGUAUAUGUGUGUACCUGAAUUAUAUGAGUCUUUCACUGCCACUAUUUAUAAACUAUUUUCAGUUAAUUAAUUAAUUAAAAAUUUAUGAUUAGUUUAUAUUUUUUAUUUAUUUUAAUUUUUUAAAUCUGACUUCGUUAUUGUGAUGGAUUCUCAAAUGGUCACUCGUUUGAAAAUUUAUUCCCAAAUUAUGUUUAUUAUUAUUACUUAUUUGAUGACUUGUCAGUGUAACAUCGAACAACUUAAAUCGUCUAUAUUUAAUAAAAGUUAUUUGAUAAUUCGAAUACAAAUAGAGAGUAUAGAUUCCUAUUCAAGAAUCAACCGCAAUCCCAAACAUGCCUUUUUUUAAAUAAUGUAAGAGGAGUAUUUGGAAUUUUGGAGGGCGAAUAUUUUACUUCGUGCUCCUUCAAAGGACAAAGGAGUUAAGCAUCUCCUCAAAAGAAUAUGCCUAUCGGGUGCUUCUUUGAGAAGCAUUUUUUUUUUCUUUCUUUUUUUUGAAUUUGUUCUGGUGGCUGAUCUUUUGCUGGUGUUGGUUCGACGGUUUCAUAUGGAGAACAGUAAGUUUAACUGCUUAUACCCAAUGACAACAUUCUGUGGAGUGAAUUUUAGAUUAAGAUUGGAUAAGGUAAAUAAAAAAAGAAUGGUGUUGAAUGCACAAAGGCCUUGUGAACGUUGAGAAAGUUGAUGUUUGAUCCUGUUGAAUGCACAGUGGUUUUCCUGUGUAUCCUCAAAGUUGACUGUUCUGUUAUGCCUCAUUUAUCAAAUUUGAUUCAUACCCCAGUGAUCAAAUUUGACUUAUACCCCUUGUGAAGAUUCCCCAUGAUAAUGCUCCCCUGAUUGGAACAUGAUUUUGUGAAUGCUGGUUUGCAUAAGACAAACCAUUAACUUUAUACAAAAUUGUGGAACUUUAUAAAAAAUCGUGGAUUAAGGAUUAUGUUGUUACGAGGAUAAGAAUGUCUUUCCAUAACAUGGACCACCAAGUGAUUGUAAUAUUCCUGUAUUGAUGUGGACCUUAUCUGAGGAUCUUCUUGGAAACUUUCCUGGAGAAAAGGCAACAAGUCAUAUGAUAACAAAUUAAAUGUGGUUCAAUGCUUGUAAUUGACGUGUCACAUCCUGUUGUUAUAUAAAACUUAAUUACAUAUAUUAUUGCUUGCUGCUUAUAAGAUUUAAUAUUAGAAGUGGCUCUGUCAGAAUCUGAAAUGAUGGUUUUCUGCAUGUUCUGUUUAUGACAGAUAUAUAUUGCCUGUCAGUUGACCCACAUCGUACUGACAAUUUUCAUUUCGUGCAGCAUAUGCAUGGAUUACUCCUUUUCCGCUUUUUCAUGUAUCUGUAUUCGUUCUUAUGUUUUUGAAUAUAUAUUGCAGUUAUCUUUAUCUGCUUCAAAGUUACGUGAUCUUGACAUCGCAUCAAAGGUACGCCUUCAUAUUAUUGUUGUCUUAUGUCUAAUAAUGCCAUGUUCGUGCUGUUGAUAGUCUUGUUGAUUGAUUCUCAUGUUAUCUUGUAUCCUCCUUAUAUGAUCUGCUUAUUUGUUCAUAAUGGCCCUGUCAAUAUCCUUUCUCUGUUCAUGAAGGGUCUAGGGAUAUAUGAUCUGAAUAACACUUAGUGCUGGCACCAAAAUUCUAAACUUGGACAAAGAAGAAUAGUUUGUUAUAUACACUGUCUAUCUCCAAUGUAAUCCAGUAAGGAGCAGUAACUUGAGAGUUCCAGAUAAUGUAUAACAAGUCAUGGUUGGUGGUUUUAUUGUUUUUGCAAUUUUGUGCACUAGUCAAAUAUGUUAUAUGUGCAAGAUAAAAUUUUUUGAUAAUGAACAUUUAUCAGCGGUAUAUCUUUUUACUAGCUGAUACUAGCAUACAUCAAAUGCUGCUGUAUUUUAAUGAUGGAUUACUAACUAUAGUUAUUUAACUAAUAUAUGUCUAUAUUUAUACUCACAAGCAAAUGUAUUUACAUGUCUUUUUGUGUCAUAGAGUGAUCCCAUGGCAGUUGUGUAUGCAAAGAAAAGAGAUGGGAGGCUGGAGGAGAUUGGACGUACAGAGGUGAUUAUGAACAAUCUGAAUCCUGCUUGGAUUGGAAAGAUUUCAAUUGCUUUUCAGUUUGAGAUCGUCCAGCCCUUGCUGUAAGUUUUUACUGUGUUCUUUUUAAAGUUUGUUUUUUCUUUCCCCUUGAUAGGUCAUUUGCUUAUCAUUUCUCAUAAGCCUUGCUUGAUUUGAUAAUAUUUAAUGUUUUCGAAUUCCUUAAUGCUUUUCUUCUUUUUCCAGCUUUCGUGUGUAUGAUGUGGAUACCAAGUACCACAAUAUUCCAGUGAAGGUAUAUAAAAAUUUCUUAAUUAUUUUUUUUUUUCGCUCAAUUCAGAUGGAAAUGAUAUGCACUACUUCAGUUCCAAAGUUUAGAGUUAGCCAAGGCAUUUGACUGAUCCAUUUGUUGUCUAAUCACAUGUCUCAACUAAAUUGCAUCAGCAAUAGUUUCUAUCAAUUUCGGGAAAUUUGUGAAUACUUGAUUGAUUAUAAACUAACACUUAGCAUGGCAAGAAACUUAAAAAGUUGGCUGUCAUAUAUCAUAAACAAAUCUUAAGGCCAGGAUAGUUAUUAUGGAACUUUCUAUUAUUGCAUCUUGCAAGGUUUGACAUAUUUGUCCUGCUACCAUGACUGGGAAAGAACAAUUUUUCUGAUGGUCCUUACGGCUAAAUUUUCUUUUUUCCAAAAUGGAAUUUUGAUCUAUGUUGUUAAAAACAAUACAGUUAAAUAGUUGUUGCCAUGACCUAAAGAAGUUUCUGUAAAAAAUGACCAUAUUGUAAGUAUUGGAAUGGAUAAGUAAAUCUUUAGAGCCUAUGAUGUAUUCGUCUGUGGAAUUUGAGUCAAAGUGAAAAAAUUUUGAUGGUUAUAAUCCUAGAAACUGUAAUCAUUUGGAAGCAUUUGCUGAAAACAGUUAGAUAAUCUAAAAAUGUGAUGAUUAUUUAUGUCAAUUGUAAUUGGUAUUAACAUUAAUGGGAAAAAUGAUAAAUAUGUAAAUUUAUGCUAGUGGAAAGAGAAAAUGAACAAAUCCAGACGGAUUCUAAGACAUUAAGUGGGGAAUCUAGUGUUCUUUUGAUUCUUUGCUGCAGUGAUCCCUAAUUACUUUCAAGAUAUUAUUAUCUCAUGACAAAAUAGUUGUUGAAGCGUGAAGUUUAAAGUUCAAACUUCUUAUUUACAUUGCCCUGCAGAUGCUAAAGUUGGAGGAUCAAGACUUCCUGGGAGAAGCUAGCUGUGUUCUCUCUGAGGUAAGCUUCUGGGUUAUAUUUUGUUUGAUGAAUUUAUGUAUUUUCUCUUUAUUCAAUGGGCAAAAUAUGCCCAUCUAAUUUUCUGUAAAACUCUGUUUCCUAUAAAAAAAGGGCAAAAUAUUCUCAGAUGCUUUUUACUAGCAUUCGUCUUCUUCUUUAGCAUUCUUCUUUUGCACUAACAAGUGUCAUAUUUUCCUUUUAAAUGGCAGAUAGUGACCAAACAAAAUCGAACUUUAACCUUAAAACUCCAUAACAAUUAUGGGCUUCGAGUUUCAAGAAACUUUGGGACACUCUCUGUCCAUGCUGAGGAAACAGUUGCUUCCAAGAGUGCUGUUGAAAUAGCAUUCCGUUGCUCGCAUUUGCAAAAUGUAGACCUGUUUUCCAAAAGUGUAAGUUCUGACAAAGUAGCUAAGUUUGGAGGUUCACUAAUUAAUCUAUUAAUUUAGAUGCUAUUUCUUCUUCUUCUUAUAUUCUAUAGGAUCCAUUCUUAAGAAUAUCUAGAAUUGUUGAGAGUGGAAAUUCUGUUCCUAUCUACAAGACGGAGGUGAUAAACAAUAACUUGAAUCCCAUUUGGAGACCAAUAACUUUGAGCAUGCAGCAAUUUGUGAGCAAGGUAACCUUGUCAUCUUCUUGUGCUUGUUACUUAAAUGUAUAUUAGGUAGUGAAGUUUGGUCAUGGGGAAAUGUUUUUUAGUUUAUGAUUCUCUUUGGUACAGGAAAACCCAUUAAUCAUUGAAUGUUUUGAUUUCAAUACCAGUGGAAAUCACGUACUGAUGGGGUAACUGUUAAAUUUCUUAAUGUCAUCAGCUUCCCUCUUUUAUCCUUUUGCCUUUCUGAUGUCAAAGUUUUCUAUUUCUGUUAUUAGUAAAAUUCAGAAAUCAGUUGGAGACCUGGAGAAACUUCAUCAAGAAAGAACUGGUGCAACUUUUAUGUUACCAUCAACUCAACGUGGCCAUGACAAGGUGUUUAUUCUUUUUUGUUUUAACUCCACCAAAGGUGUUUGUUCAUGCUUACAGUUUUUGAUAAUUUAAUAUCACUUUAUUUUUUAUCUGACUUUUUCCUAGGUUCUGAAAAGUCAGUUGUUUGUUGAAAAGUUUGUUGAGAAAGAGCAAUAUAGUUUUCUGGAUUACAUAUCUAGUGGCUUUGAGUUGAAUUUUAUGGUUGCAGUCGACUUUACAGGUAAUUAGAAAGAGAUUACUUGUUGAAGAUAAAUUUGCCAUAUAAUCUUUUUGUUUUGUUUAUUUCCUCUUAUUUGGUCCAAUUUCAUCUUGUCUCUCAUUAAACGCAAAAUCAUCCAGCUUCAAAUGGAAAUCCUCGAAAUCCAAAUUCUUUGCACUAUAUUGAUCCUUCAGGCAGAUUGAAUUCUUACCAGCAGGUAAGGUUUUGUUAUGACUCGCACUUUGACAAGUGAUCUAUGAACUCUGAAGGUCAUAAAAUGGUCAUUUUGUCCAGUGUUUUCGACUUAUAAAAUGCCUGUGACUUUCAAGUCUUUCUAUGGCCGUCAUAGUGAAAUACAUAUUUCAAUAGUUUGUUGAAGUUGACAGAGAAUAUCACUGAUUAGUUAUUGGCCUCUUAAACCAUUUACAGGCAAUAACGGAAAUUGGGGAGGUCAUACAAUUUUAUGAUUCUGAUAGACGCUUUCCUGCAUGGGGAUUUGGAGGGAAGACAUUUGAUGGCACUGUAUCACAUUGUUUUAACUUGAAUGGAAGAGCAGGUGGCUUUGAGGUAGGGGUAGCUGGAGUUCGCAACUUUGCUAUAAUCCUUAUUUGGUUGGCUUGUCUCCCAUAACUUUUCAUUUUUAAUAACAAACAAUAUAAUACGUUUCUACAUUUUUUUUUUAAAUUUCCUUGGAAUUUUAUCCUAAAAGAUGGGUAUUUUAUCCUCUUCCACUUUUUCAUUAACUGCUGGUUUCUUUAUUUAAUAGGUAGAUGGAGUUGAAGGCAUUAUGGCUGCUUAUGCAAGCGCUCUAAACAAUGUUGCUUUGGCAGGACCGACUCUGUUUGGUCAAGUGAUCAACACAGCUGCACGAAUUGCUGGCCAGUCCCUCUCAUACGACAGAAGCAAGUAUUUCGUCUUACUCAUUAUAACGGUGAUUACAAUGAUUCUAUAUAUUCACAGUUUUCUCUUUCUAUCAUUCUUUUUGGGUGAUUUGUAAAUUUGCUUUGUCUAUCUAGGAUGGAGUUCUGACGGAUCUCCAAGAAACGAAAGAUGCUUUGGUAAGGGCUUCUGAUCUUCCCCUGUCAAUUCUAAUUGUGGGUGUGGGAGGUGCAGAUUUUACACAAAUGGAGGUACACAAUGUUUUCUAACUGGAAUAUCUUCUUACUAGCAUCGAACUUCUUUUUUCUAUAGUUUGAUAGAUUCAAUUUAGAGUAUAUAUGCAGUGUGGUAUUAUCCCACUUUUGUUGCAGAUUCUUGAUGCUGAUAACUUUGUUGGCAGAUUCUUGAUGCUGAUAAUGGCCGUAGAUUAGAGAGCUCUACUGAUCGGGUAGCUACCAGAGAUAUAGUACAAUUUGUUCCAAUGCGAGAAGUUCAUAGUGAGUGCAUAUGAUUCUUUGACAAAAUUAGUUCAAAAUAUUGAAUUUGGGAGUUAAUUCACAAAAGUUUCUGAAUUUUUUCAUGCCUUAACAAACGAACACAUUGUUUUCUGAACAGGUGGGCAAAUUUCUGUUGUACAAGCACUUUUGGAGGAGCUACCUGGUCAGUUUCUGACCUACAUGCGCUGCAGAGAUAUCAAACCACUCAAUGUUCAGAUGGCCCAAACAUGCGCUUGAGUAAAUAUUCAUAUGUUUGGAAAGGAUACAAAACCAAGCCAAACAUAUUAGACAAAACCAAGCCAAACAUAUUAGGCUAUACAGACAUAACAUAGCAAAAAUUGAUAAUGGUACAUUACAUAUGUUAGGAUAUAGUGGUUUUAGAUGAUGGUAAAUUACAUAUGUUAAGAUAUAGUGGUUUAUAACUAACUUUUGAUGGCUUAAUGAAUUGAUUGAAUUUGUAUUUAGGUUCUAUCAAUGAUCUCAUAUUCUUCCCAUCCAUGUCUUUCGAUUUUUAUUAUUCCCUCUACCCACUUGUUUCACAAUUGUUUGUCUGAUGGCCUAAAACUCCAAUUUCUGUUGCUGUUUUAUCAUCUUUGUUGAAUAUUUACUACAAUGAACAUGUGCUGAAUGUCUACUUUUACUACUACACCAGCAAUCUAACACAUGGCUCACGUGCACACAAGACAAGUCUGAUUCACACAUCUUUAAUUUAGAUUCUUAUAUAGUCUUUCAAGAUGUCUGAAACAGCAUAGAUGAAGGACCCUUCCACCAUUCAACCUGGAAUGAUGUGAGUGAAAGAAAUUUCCGAAAGUGUUGUAUUAUAACUCUUUGAAACUGGGUUUGAGUAAUCAAGAGAAGCCAAAAUGUAGAACAAUAACAACAAAAAAUGAAGGCCCUCUUACCGUCUUAACUUUGAUAGAAAAUACACGAGCUGCAUACCAUGUCUCACAAAUUUCAAUGAAAAUUGGCCUCAUUCCUGAUGCUGCACAGAAGGUUGGCCUGAAUCAUCUUUAUGAUUUUGGACUUCCUGUAAACAACGAACAAAACAAAUUGAAGGUGAAAGCAGGAACAACAGUUUUCAAAUAAAAUGGGAGUGCUUAAUCUAAUUGAACAGUAACUUUUGGGUCUCUGAGUAAUGAAUACGUACCUUUGUUUCAAGAUAUAUCUGUUGUAUGGUAGAAUUAAGGUCGCCCUUCCAAGUCCAAUACUCACCAGACAGCCAGCGUUUCUCUACUUCAUGUAAACUGGGAGUGCUUAAUUCUGUUCCAGAGAAAAUCUUCAUAUUGGGGCAUUUAUCCACACUUAAAUAUGUCAAAGCUGGGAACUUGAAGGCACAGUUGCCAGAGCAGAAGCUUGUAAGUCUUCUUAAACCACAAAGCUCCAAGUCCAUCAACUCGCUGAAAACAAUUUCAUCUUUUGCAGCAUUUCCCUCAUCAUCUGCCACUACUUCUGUUAUCAUGCUGCAGUCAACGAUACUCAUCUCUGUCAGUCGUACCAAACUCUUUGCUGUCGAGGAUGUUAGCACAUUUAUCAAUCCUUUGCAUCUCCACACCUUCAAAGUUGUCAGAUUCUGAAACGAUGUUGAAGGUGGCACUAGAUUAAUCAAAUGGUCACAAUACUCAACUGUUAGAUGAACCAAAUUGUCCAUUUUGGAUUCCUGGAUCAAAAUAUGCUUCAGAUCACAACAAUUGUGUAGAUUCCUUAUGAUUGCCUUCGUCCAAUUUUCUACUCCAUAUGAUGGCUUAACGCCCCCAACAUAUCCUCCUCCCCUUAUUGUGAGUUCUCUUAUGCUGUGAAAUCUCCGAAGGAAAUCAAGUGAUGAAAUAGUAGUUGACUCUUCAAAUAUAACAUCAAGAAAGUUGAGUUUGCAAAACAUGUCCUCUGGAAACUCAGCUGCCAUUGGUAUCUUCUUUCCUUCAAUGGUCAAAUAUUUCAAAUUGGGGAAUACCUAGUUGGAUGCAUGAUAAAUCAGGACCAAAAAGAAAACGUAAUGCCAAUUAUUAAGAGUAAAUUUUAAAUCUUGUACGUACCUCUUUUGUCAAGUCAUGAGCAGUUAAAAGGAAUUCAGGACACCUUAUUACUUCUAAAUUUUCUAAUGUUGGAAAUUCAAUGUGCACAUCUCCUGUGCAGAAGCUUGUGAGCUUUUCGAGAUCUACCAUCUUUAGAAAUUGUAACUGAGGGAACACAACAUUCUUCCUUUCUUGCUGGUCUAUGACUAUUAUCUCUUCCAAAAUAGGGCACUCAUCUAUCUCAAGGUGUUGGAGUCGAAUAAAGCUGUUAACUAUAGAAGAUGAAAACAGACAUCUUAAUUCCCCACAGCCAUAUACAAUCAACCGGGUUAAAGUUUGAAUGCCACAAGACAUGGCCGGAAGUUGGCUUUUCCAAAUCCUCUCCACAUUUACAUUAUACAGCUCCAAGGUCUCCAAGUUUGGUAACCCACCCUGUUCACAAAACUUUCCAACCGUUAAAUGAGGGGAUCAAAGUUAGUAUAUAAGUGCAUUCAGAGUACUUUUUCUUUCAUCCGAGAAUGUAUUUGUUACACCUACGUUACUCGGGAUGAAAAUUUUAAUAUAAUUAUGAAAUAUGUUCGUUAAUCCCUGAUUCACUCUAGCCUAUAUUUCCUAGGAAAGGAGAAUAUAUAAUAAAGCAGCAACAAAAACAGGAAAAAAUCAUAAGAAUAUGACCAUUGGAUCAUUAAUAUCCGACCUUGAGGAAAAAUGUAUUAGGAACGUUGACAUGGUCCUCCAAAAUGAUUUCAUUCGAUCGCAUUUCACUUGUCGAUUCCUUGCAUCUCUGUUUAGAACAUAGUCAUACUCAUUAGAAAUGAAGAAUCUGUUUUUGCACUGGCUGCUUUGAUAUGUUCGAAAUUUAGGAAGAUCAUAUCAUACCUUUGACUCUUUCGGACUGGGGGCUUGACAACCUUCGACCCAGAGAUGCUUCAGUUGGGAAGAAUAAGAGCCCAAUUUGUUAUUAACUAAUUCAAUGAUAUCUUGGUCUGGCAAUCCAGAUAAACAAAGGUCUUCAAUUCGCUGAAGUUGCACGAUAUGCCCACUCUUGAAGCUGAUACAAUUGUCGGUGCCAAGGAGGAGUCUGAAUGUUCUAGAACACGUAGGUGAGGUAUCCUCCCAACACCAACGUCCAAUGCAUAUUCUGUACCUUUCCAGCUUCUCGAAGAACAGCCCCUUCGGCAGAGUGUUGACAUCUGGGAUGCAUAAUUCUAAGGUGGUCAAGUUAGGCAAACGCUUCAACUCUUCAAGGCUUGCAUUCUUGACCCCUGCAGCUUCCACCUCCACCUCCCACUUAUUAAAGCUACGAAUGUAUAAUUCCUCCAAAUGGGAUAAAUUUGAUAAAACAUUUGGGGGAAUAACCUGUAGUCUGUCACAGUCUCUCAAAUCAAGCGACCUUAACCGAGUCAAUUGGCCUAUUUCCACAGGCAACUGCUCAAUAUAAGAACCCCUUAAGCAAAGGAUUUCUAGGUUCUUUAAUUCUCCUAUAACAGCUAUAUCUUGCAAUUCGCUGCAAUACAAACACAAUGUUCGAAGGUUUGUUAGGAGACCAAGUGAUGAAGGCAGUAAUGAUAGAUGCAUAUAAGUCAAGUCUAAAACUCUGACUUGCGUCAACUUCCUGAAAAAAUUGUCUGGAAGUGUGAUUAAUGAAGAUUUCUCAGUCCACAAAUAGAGAAGUUGCAGUUGAGGACUAUCCAAAACUUCAGGAAGAACAUUCAUCUUGCUGUCGUGUAAGACAAUCGAAGUGUAAAACUUAAGCGCACCUUCAUCUAGCCAUUCCCGUGAAUUAACCAGUUCAUAUCUCAUCGUAAGCACAUUUUGUUCUCUGGUUGCAAUUGCUAUGGCAACAUCACGAACAACAUCAUGCAUAGAAAACCAAUGUUCAUUUUUGCUUCCAUGCUCAAGCAACAUACAAGAAGCCUUGAGUUUGUACACCAAUGUAUACACUCGAGCUCGUGCUUCUUCCAUCCUAUUGAUGCCUUGAAACAAACCCAAACCCAUGCCAUACAUUAACACGUCAUUAAUGGACGAUAUGUAGGUGUAGCCUAUUAGCAAAAAGAUCUUCUUGAGCUCCUCUCCUUCUAAUUUGUUGUAACUCAACUCUAUAGCUGAAUAAGCAGCCGGCUGUAUAUCUUUAAAGUUCGUUGAGGAAGGCCUUCUUAACUGUCCCAAAGCGUCCUUCCAUUCAAAUAAUCUCUUAUUUCUCAACGCCCUCGCUACUGUUACAAUGGAAACAGGCAAACCUGCGCAUUCAUUUGCCACAUCCGUUGCCACCCAUUUGAAUUCACUACUAUCGAUAUACUCCCCCGCCAUCUUCUUGAAUAGACUCCAAGCUUCGUCUUCUCUUAGAACGCCAACUGAGAAAUUAUGUCGGCAAUCCAUCUUGCCAGACAAUAUAUCUUCACUUCUUGCCGUCAUCAAUAUUUUACACCCCUUGUGAUUAUCUCCGUGAGGAAUUCCUACAUCCUGCAAAUCAACACUUUCCCAAACAUUAUCUAAAAUUACAAGGAUCUUUUUCUCAUCCUUCAAUCGAUUAUAAAGACUCCUUGCCCUUCCAGAUUCGGUCUCUUCGAAAAAUAUGAGACCUAAUUUAUCAGCGAUUUCUCCUUGAAUCUUUCUUAUGUCGGACAUCAGCUUCCAGUACCCGCCCGGGGGGAGGUUGGUUCCUCCCUUCAUCUACUUGUUCUCCAGGAACCCGACCAAUGCUUCUGUGGGGAUGCACCCCAUUAGGUUGGUCCGCCGGCGGAGGGAUUUCCUCGACUCUACGCCUCCGGAGGCUGGGUUCCGCUCCAACAUCAUCUCUCCCCACGGGGGUUUCACAAUUCCUUCGCCGCUGAUCUCUCAGCUCAUACAGUAUGGUCGCGAGAGUUUCCAUUUGUUUCUCCAUCCGUUCCAAUCGAUCUUGCAUCACCCUCUCCCGGGCUUCAUUUGCAAUUUCUCAAAGAGUGAUUGUCUCCCCAGAUUCGUUAUCCUCCCUCAAAGAGUCCUUCCUUGGCAUAUCCAUAUCUAAUCGUUCGUUGUUUCUUCGGUAACUACUAAUUCGGUGGUAGCUUUUUAUCCAGCUUCCCCACAGACGGCGCCAAAAUGUUGAUGCUGAAAUCUGCUCGCCUUUUGACCGACCAGAUUCUUUCACCAACGUUUAUGUUAUCAACUGUUGCUUGAACCACUGGGGUUGGAAUCGCCCUCCUUUCUCUUUCUAGACCUGCGUUCACCAAAAACGGAUCAGAGAUGCCGGUGGUUUUGUCGGCGUAAACCCUCCGAUGCCUCAGUUAGUACAAGGUAUUUACGGGAAAACAGUGCAAUUUGGACUCAAGAAUGGUCGCUAAUUUAUCCGAAGUUUUGUAAGAAAAUGGUCUGAUUGCAAUUUGGCAGCGUUUUCCCUCUCUCAAUUUUUUCUCCCCUUUCUUCAUCGAUUUCUUUCUCUUUUAUAGCCGCCGUUUGUCCCACGUUUUUCGUUUACCCUUUAUCCCUCUUUUUUCGGGUGGUGGCAGCCCCUCAUGGGGCUCUAACUGUUAUAUUGUGGGCAAACGUGAGAUCUCGCGUGUCCUUCAACGGUUCUGGGAAAAGCGCAACUACCGCGAUUCUGUGGGAUCGUGUUCCCGCUUUCCUGGGGGAUGAGUAUCGGCUCGGUAUACGCUUCUGGUCGGUAUUCGUCUCUGGUUGGUUCAUGCUUGCCCCCGUGUUCUGCUCGUACUACUUGGCUGAGGUGAUCCAUGCCGAUGUGGAAAUAGUAGCAUGGCCGACCUGGUGCUUUUAUUUACUUAACACAAUGAUCUUUUUCUCAUCCUUUCAAUCGAUUAUAAAGACUCCUUGCCCUUCCAGAUUCGGUCUCUUCGAAAAAUAUGAGACCUAAUUUAUCAGCGAUUUCUCCUUGAAUCUUUCUUAUGUCUGGAAUAUGGGGCACCUCCACGAAAAUCACUUGAUCAAAGAACUGGUCUCUCCCGAACUGAAUAGCAACCUCUUUUGCUAAUGUCGUCUUUCCGAUGCCGCCCAUUCCAUAAAUCCCAACCAUGUUCACAUCAGGAUCUUGUAAUGCACGAAGUACGUUAUUCAAAGUGGAGCUUCUUGAUUCAAAUGCCUCGUAGUCUUUGUUAGAUAUAAGCCUUAUGUCCUCCAGAGCUUUACGGUAGGAAAGUCUAUCAAAUCUCCCAGCUUCCCCAAGUUCGACAAUGGCUUUCUGUUGCCUUACCGCUUCCUUGCUAAGCCGAUGGCGGGUCUUCAAAUUUGGACACAGCCCCAUGAAACAACGCUUGUUUGCUUUAUCUGCAUCGCCUGUAAAUUUCUCAGCCUCAGUAAUGAUGUUGUUGACACUUGCAAGCCAUUUCUCAACGUUCUUUUCGAUCUCUUCUCCUUUUCUUCUACCCUCAUCAACCCCGUGCUGCAUACUGGCACCGUCAUCCUUGAGCUUCUCAAGUUCAGUCUUGAGAUUCUCAAAGUUGCUCCUGUAGUUGCGCACAAAACUCAAUUGUCUUUCAGUGGGACGACCCAAGCACUUUGCAACUUCUAACACAACAGUUACUAUGCUUUCCACCAUCUUCAAUUCUUUCCCUUUUCUCUCUCUUUUUUUUUUUUUUGGGUCAAAUUUUAGAAUUUUGUAAAGUAUGUAGAUGUGAAGUGAAGCAAACCAAAAGGAAACUGAACAGAGAAAACAACUAAAAAGAUGUAGAGAUGAAGAAGAAGAGAAGGGAUUUAUUGACAGAGUAAAAAUACAUCAGAAGAGUAGAUACAGAACAAAACAGAGACAAGUGGACAGGGAACAGAGUAAAACUAAAUAAAGAAAACAGGUACACGUACGAUUCGUAGUAAUGUUGAGAUCCGAAGAUUGUAAUAACUAAAGGUGUUGCUUGAUCCAGUGAAAGGUCCAAAGAGUUGAUGGCAGAAAGGAGGAAAGCUGAAGAAUAAAAACACUCAAGAUGAUUGAGAUGAAGAACGACUUGCAUAGUUGGGAGAUGUGCGUCGGACAAAUGGUAGCCAAUUAUUUGAUUUCUACAGCGGGAUUCACUGACUGUAUAUUUUUAAAAAAUUAAGUCAGCAGAAUUAAUUCUUGUCAUUGAAAUGAACGCAAAGGCCAAAGAGUGGACAAAGAAUGUGAAAAAGUUAUGCGAAACGUGAGGUGAUGAGAUAGUUAAGUUCACUGAUGCUCAAUAAUCAAUUUUAUAAAAAUAAAAAAAAGUGAGAAUCCCAAAGUCGAAAGCCAAUAGAUUUCAUAAUGGUUAUCCCACCAGCCAGGCAGCCACCACCUCAGCUUCCACGCAAGUUUCUCUCACAUUUGAACAGUUGGCCCACGGCAGGUCUUUGUCGUUUCAGUCAACAUAAUAUCACAGAAAGGGUGUUGUUAAAUUCUAUUAUAAUGUAAUUUAUAUUAAUUUAAAAGUUGUAAUUAAUAAUUUAAAAAGUAGUUUAGUUAAUUUUAGUUUUAAAUCACUAAUGAUAAUUUAAUGGUUAAUAUAAAUUACAUCAUAAUAUAACUUAAAAGGUCCGAACAAGUAAUUAAUUAAGGCCAAAAGUUAAAACAAAGAUCCCAUCUGCACAUGUGCUUCUAAUUAUAAAAUCUUCGCAUAAUUUGCAAGACUGAUGUUUUGAAAUAAAAUUUGAUUAAAAAUUGACAAAAAAACAUAAGCAAUGGUGUCAUUUUAGGUGAUUUUUUUUUAAAUAAAACAAAAACGAUGUCAUUUUUUAGCUAAUUUUAGUCCUCCAAUCAUUUUAAAAAAUUUCAAGCAAGUUACAGGUAAUUCUUAUUCAAUGAUUGAAUAAACUUAUAAUAAAUCUCAGCCACAACGACGAUGAUCAAAUAAUUGAUUCAGCUUCGCACCUAAGCACAUAGUCGCAUAAAUCUCAGUAUAAACAUUAUAUACUUAAAAUUAUAUCAUUUUAGGUUUUUUUUUUUAAUUUUAAAUAAAACCAAAACCACAUCAUUUUAUAUAUGUUUUUAUCAAUUCUUAUGUCUCCAAUCAUUUUCUAAUUUUCAAACAAGCGAUUCUUAUUCAUUUUUUACAUUUUCUGUUCUCAAAAGUGAAACAGAAAAUGAAAUGAAAAAAAAGAAAAAAGAAAAAAUAAAUGAUGAAACUCGGCUCGGGUGGCUCACAACUUGCACGAAGAUUCCUGAUAGUGGCUAAUGCUGCCGACAUCUUCCAACUUGCAAGUUGCAACAAGGUUAAAAAAAGGGGCAUUUAUCCACACUAAAAUAUGUCAAAGCUGGGAACUUGAAGGCGCAGUUGCCAGAGCAGAAGCUUGAAAGUCUUCUUAAAUCACAAAGCUCCAAGUCCAUCAACUCGCUGAAAACAAUUUCAUCUUUCGCAGCAUUUCCCUCAUCAUCUGCCACUACUUCUGUUAUCAUGCUGCAGUCAACGAUACUCAUCAGUGUCAGUCGCACCAAACUCUUUGCUGUUGAGGAUGUUAGCACAUUUUCCCUACUUAAAUGACAACUAUUGAAUAAUCAAUCAUGAAUGAUUUUAGGUUACGAGUGUAGUAUAUAUAGUAAAGUUUAAUAAUUAUGAUCAAUUACUGAAAUAUUACCACGGGCAUUAGAUGACAGGAAAAGAGCUCAUUUAUUCCAUUGUUACAUUAUUUGAGUGAUACAGUAUCACUUUAAUCAAACUUGUGUCCCAAGUUGGGAACAGCUAAAUGGGCAUUCAUCGAACGGUUGAUAUACUAGGCAUCUGCACUUAAUGUUGCUGGUUGUUACAAGUGCUGCCGGUAUUUUCAAAGUUGAAAGACCAUUCAUAGCUUUUCAAUAAUUUGCUUUGAUUAUUGUGUAAUAUAUGAUAAUUUUGUGACGAUGGUGGUUUAUAUAUGUGAUUAAAAGCUAAACUAGUGGAUUUGUAAGUACGCACUCGGCAAAGCAUUUGAGCAGGUAUUUUCAUCUUUUCGUUAUCACAGUCCUCUAAUCAAAUAGCGUUAAUCAACAAAAAUUAUUGAUAACGAAAAUGGAGGAACUUGGGUUCAAAUCUCUAAAUUAAACUCGUGAUCAUUAAAAUAAGCAAACUGCAACAAGUCUAUCUUGAUCAACGUUUCCAACUCAACAAAUAUAGACUAGUGUUUAGUUGUUAAUAAAAUUAACCAAAAAAAAAAAAAUGUUGACAGCACAAGAAUAAUAAUGUUUACUUAUUUAUUAAAUUUAAACUCUGUUCAAGAGAGGACCCAACUUUUAUAUAUUUUAUUUUAAUGGCUUAAAGAAAUUACAAAGUUGAUGCCACAAUUUAUAGUUUUUUUUUGUUUACCUUUAAAAAUCUUUGGAUUAACCGACAAUCAUCAUCAAUCCUCACCUAGGGUCGGGGGAGGAUCAAGAUGGUGCCUACCAUGAGCAAACAUGAUGGCAGAUGGUGUCCAAUUGACCCCCUAAACUUUUCUUUUUUCAUUGAUAUUGUCAUGAAGUUACAUAACUUCUUACAUAAUUGUCUCCAAUAAAUACCAAUAGGUAUACGAACGCAAACAUGAUGCACGCAUCUCUUUAAUUAAUUUAAGGCUUAAAGAGACUUUCAGAGAUGCCUACAAAUUCAAUAUGGCAGCUCUCAUGAGAAAUAAAACUAGCUUCAAAUUGGAUUUCUGAGUACUCAAAUAAAGCUAAAAGCAUACUAAUGAAAUGAAAACUCAAACAAAAAAUCCUCUCACCAACGCCAUCUGACUCUUAAUACAUAGAAAGAACUCGAUGCCUUAUUCAAGAUGCCGCACAGAAGGUUGGCCUGAAUCGUCUUCAUAAGUUUGGACUCCCUGUAAACAAAGAGCAAAAACACAUUGUUGGCAGAUUCUUGAUGCUGAUAAUGGCUGUAGAUUAGAGAGCUCUACCGAUCGGGUAGCUACCAGAGAUAUAGUACAAUUUGUUCCUAUGCGAGAAGUUCAUAGUGAGUGCAUAUGAUUCUUUGACAAAAUUAGUUCAAACUAUUGAAUUUGGGAGUUAAUUCACAUAAGUUUCUGAAUUUUUUCAUGCCUGAACAAACGAGCCCAUUGUUUUCUGAACAGGUGGGCAAGUUUCUGUUGUACAAGCACUUUUGGAGGAGUUGCCUGGUCAGUUUUUGACCUACAUGCGCUGUAGAGAUAUCAAACCACUCAAUGUUCAGAUGGCCCAAACAUGCGCUUGAGUAAAUAUUCAUAUGUUUGGAAAGGAUACAAAAACAAACCAAAUAUAUUAGACAAGACCAAGCCAAACAUAUUAGGCUAUACAAACAUAACAUAGCAGACAUUGAUAAUGGUACAUUACAUAUGUUAGGAUAUAGCGGUUUUAGACGAUGGUAAAUUACAUAUGUUAAGAUAGAGUGGUUUGUAACUAACUUUUGAUGGCUUAAUGAAUUGAUUGAAUUUGUAUUUAGGUUCUAUCAAUGAUCUCAUAUUCUUCCCAUCCAUGUCUUUCGAUUUUUAUUAUUCCCUCUACCCACUUUUUUCACAAUUGUUUGUGUCUGAUGGCUUAAAACUCCAAUUUCUGUUGCUCAUAAACUACUACACCAGCAAUCUAACACAUGGCUCACGUGCACACUAGACAAGUCUGAUUCACACAUCUUUAAAGUGUUGUAUUAUAACUCUCUGAAACUGGGUUUGAGUAAUCAAGAAUAGCCAAAAUGUAGAACAGUGACAAUAAAAAAUGAAGACCCUCUUACAGUCUUAACUUGAUAGAAGAAAACACGAGCUACAUACCAUGUCUCACAAAUUUCAAAGAAAAUUGGCCUCAUUCCUGAUGCUGCACAGAAGGCUGGCCUGAAUCAUCUUUAAGAAAGCUCAUUUAUUACAUUAAUACAUUAUAUCAGUGAGAUGAUGCUACUUUAAUGAAACUCAUGUCUCAAGUUAGGAACAGCUACAUGGGCAUUUCAUCGAACAGUUGAUAUGCUCGGCAGAUAAUCGAAGUUUCCUGGAAGUCGGAAGUGCUGCUGGCAUUUUCAAAGUUGGAAGACCAUUCAAAGGUUUUCAAUAGUUAGUUUGAUAUUACACGUGUGAUAAUCUUGUGAUGAUGAUGAUUUUAUGUAUCUGAUUGUAAGCUAAGCUCAGUGGAUUUGUAAGUAAGCACACGGAAAAGUAUUUAAUCUUCUUAUUGUCGCAUUCUUCUAAUCUUAGCUUUCACCAACAAAAAUAAUUAAUAAUAAUGUAAAUGGAGGAACUUGGGAUCAUUAAUAUCAGUAAACUACAACUUCACCUAGGCUCCAGGGAGGAUCCGCAUGUUGUCAACAGUGAGCAAUCGACCCGUAAACUUUUAUUUUUUCAUAAUUUUCUAUAUAAAAUCUUCAUAUUUUCAUGAAAUUACAUAAUUUCUUACAUAUUUGUCUCAAAAAAAUACCAAUAGGUGCACGAACACAAAUAUGAUGCACACAUCUCUUUAAUUAAUUUAGGGCUUAAAGAGAUUUUAAGAUGCCUACAAAUUGAAUAUGGCAGAUCUUGGACACCAUCCAUAAGAAAUAAAACUAAAUUCAAAUUGGAUUUCUGAGUACUCAAACAAAGCUAAAAGUAUUAUGAAUGAAAACUGAAACAAAAAAUCAUCUCACCAACACCAUCUGACUCUUAAUAUAUACAAAGAACUCGAGCUCGAGCCUUAUCCAAAAUGCUGCACAAGUAGCAUGAAUCGUCUUCAUAAGUUUGGAGACUCUGUAGACAAAGAGUAAAAACACAUUGAAGGUGCAGUUUUGACAUAAUUAAAUUGCACAAAUUAACCUCUAUUAAGGACACAGAAAUCCUUCAAUUCUCAACUCUGUAAGCAAUUAAUUUCAUUUUUUAUUCUUUUAUCUUUUGCUAUGUCUGUCUAACAACUAAUCCUCAACAUACAACAGAGCAGAGUAGUUAUGUUUUAAAAAGAUGUACCGAUAUGAUUUAACAAAAAUUUCAACAUAAACAAAACAUUUUUAGUCAGCAAAAUAGAAUCAAAUCAAAACCUCCCAAUUGUAUAGAUUUUAUCUUACCACUGUCUUUCGCAUCUUUCUCCUUUUCAUUCGCCUCGGCGGACUUCUCAUUCUCUUUUUCCUUCUCUUCCUAAUCAAAUUUAAAAUGACUUUAUAAAAAAUUUAAUAUAUACUUUUUUCUUUUUACUUUUUUAUAUAUAUCUGUUAUUAAAUCAGUAAGUUUUAGAAAAAAAAAAAUCAACAUCUCAUAGUGAAUGAAUACUUAACCUUUUUUCUUUUAAGAUAUACGUAUUGAAUGGUUGUAUUAAGGUCCCGAUCCCAAGCCCAAAGUUUAUUAUCAAACACGCUCAGCUGCACUUUCUGUAACUUGGGUGUGCUUAAUUCCCCUUCUGAGAAAAUCUUCAUAUUGGGGCAAUUAUCCACCACUAAUCUUUCUAGAGAUGGGAAUUUGAAGUCGCAAUUAUUCCCAGAGCAGCUGAAACUAGUCAGACUUUCUAAGUCCCAAAGCUUCAAUUCCUUUAAUUCGCUGAAAACAAUUUCAUCUUUUGCUGCAUAAUUAUCUCCCUGAUCAUCCUCAUCUGCCACUAUUUCUGUUAUCAUCACGCAUGAGUAUAUCAUCAUUUGUCUCAGUCGCACCAGACUCCUUGCUGUUGAGGAUGUUAGUACGCGUAUCAUUCCACGGCAACGCCAUACCUUCAACGCUGUUAGGUUCUGAAAGGACGUUGAGGAUGGCACUAGAUUAGUCAAAUUGUGACACUCGAAUAUCUCCAGCUGUUCCAAAUUGUUGGUAUUGGUUGACUCUUGUUUGAAAAUCUGCUUCAUUUCACGACGCUGGUUUAUCCCUCUCAUCCUUGCAUUCAUCCCAUUUUCAAGGUUUUCAAGUGAUCUUUCCAAAGCAUAAUCGUCUCCUGCGAUAAGGAGAAUUUUGAUGGUGUGAGAUCUCUGGAGGAAAUCGUCAAGUGAUAAAAUAGUACUUGACUCAUCAAGCCGGACGUCAAGACAUUUAAGUUUGCAAAGCCAGUCUUCUGGAAAUAGGCCUAUGUGCUUUUCAUCAACACUCAAUUUCUCCAAAUUGGGGAACACCUGGGUGAUCAUUAAUCACGAUUUCACAAAUUAAAGUAAAUACAAAGCAUUCCAAUGAUGCGUAUUGAUGGCCGGACAAAUUUAUAGAUAUGCGGAGAGAGUAUGAUUUUCAGCUGUAAAUACAAAGUAAAUACAAAGCAUUCCAUUUAAGUAAUGUGUAUUUUCUUCCGUUCUCUCUUCUUAACUCUUGUCCAGUAGAUAGAUUUUCAAAAUUUAUUAGAUUUGUGCAUAAUCUCUAUGAAAAAAGACUUCAAUUAUUCUCAAAUUGCAUUUAAACUUUGAGAUUCUUUUAAUUGAUCCGUUUAUUUGGUUUGAAUUGAAAAUCUUACAAAUUUCUUUUUAAAAAAAAUAUUGGAGUUUUUAACUUUUUCUUAAAGCAAAAAUGAAUAAAUAAUAUGAAUUUUAAAAGUUUAAUAAUAUAGUAAGAAGCUGGUAUUUCAUUAAUAUUCAUCCAACUCAAUAGAAUUGGAUAUAUUUACUAUUGUGCAAGAAUGGAUUUUAUUGUACAUAAAAUUUAAUAGAAUAAGAUUUCUUAAUUUGAGUUUUGUCCAUCUCUCUAUAUAUAUUUUAAAAUAUUAUUUAUGUUUCCACGAUAUGACCAAUUUCUACUUCAACAUCAAAAUUGAUAAUCAUUUUGUAUGUAAGAAUACUGUAUUAAGGAGUACUAAUUUGGAAAUAGCUCUUGAAUGAUUUUCAGGAAAUUAACUAUGGCUUGAAAAACUCUAAAUCUUAUGAGUAUUUUCUUUGUUUGGCUAAUCAAAUGCACUGUCUCUUCCAUGUAUUUAACUAAACAUAUAGACAUCAAAUAAAAAGUAGAGGAAGAAGAAAAACUCUGAUAAUUAAGAGAAAAAAAAUUGAACUAACAUUAUUGAAGAGUGAUAAUUAUGUUUAUUGAAGAUUUAUUGAAUUCAAUAUUCGAUAAUGAGAAGAUUUAUUGAAGAGUGAUAAUUAUGUUUAUACGGAUAUUAUAAAGUAUAAAUAAAGUGAUUUAUAGAACUAACAUUUUCUUACUAAAAGACAAAGUGAUGAGGGCAAUGACGAAAAGAAAAUUCUAAACUCUCAAAGUAGAAAUGCUUUUAAGUACGUAAGAAUUGAACAAUAAUUACAAAAAUCUUGCACGUGUACCUUUUCAAAAUGCAGAUCUCCUGUGCAGAAGCUUGUAAGCUGCGGAAGAGAACAAAGUCUGAGUGUCCUUAAUUGAGUGAGUUCAAUCGCUUGAGUGUUAUUAUUGCUGGCUUCAUCUCCUCUCUCGGCAGCGAAAAUCACUUCCAUAUUUUGGCAACUACUCACUUCGAAGGACUGAAGUUGUUCUUUAAUUUGCCUAUGGUCACCGGAAAUACAUUUUUCAAUUUAUCACACCCUUCCACCCUUAUGUUCUUUAAUUUGCAAAAAGACUCUGCUGAGAGUGGACCACGACAUAUUUUCUCAAGGUUACCCAAAUCUUCCAGAAAUAAUGACUCCAACAGGGGGAAUGCAGUUGUCCGAGCUGCCGUACAAUCCAUUGUGUCAACAAGACGAACAAUGUUGCCAUUACGUCGGAUUUGGAGACGCUUCAGCUGUGGAAAACCUUCUCCGUCUGAUCCAUAAAUAACACUCUUCAUGUCCGGCAAUCCAUCUAAAGUUAGGUCUUCAAUACCCUUCAAUUGCAUGAUAUGCCCCUCGUUCAAGCAAAUGUUGUCACCAUUUGUGAGCUUCAGUUUGAAUUUUCUAGAAAUCCCAUCCCGUGCGCCAUACUCCCAGCUAUCUCCUAUCAAUUUCCUGUACCUUUGCAGCAUUUUGAAGAACGACAAGUCUCUUGGUAGAGCCUUUUCAUCUUGGAUGAGUAUUUCUAAAGAGGUCAAUUUAGAUAAAUUAUUCAACUCAUCAAGGCUGGCAUUUCUUCUUUCACCGUCGACUCCUCCAACCUUCCCCCACAUAAUGGGACUCUCACCGAUAUACAAUUCUUCUAAUCGUGAUAAGCUUGAUAUCACAUUUGCUGGAAUAACUCUCAGUCGGUAACAUCGGCGCAGAUCCAACAACCUCAACUGAGUCAGCCGGCCUAUUUCUUCAACCAGUUUCUGCAUAUUAGAACCUCAAAGUGUAAGGAUUUCUAAUUUCAUUAGAUCUCCAAUAAUAGCGAUGUCUCCUAGUUGGCAAUCAUCGAGAGACAAUGUUUGAAGGCUUUGUAAGAGACCAAGCGAUGAAGGCAAUGCCAGCAAAUGCAUCUGAGUGAAAUCUAAAACUCUAAGCCCUAUCAUCCCACUAAAAAAUUUAUCUGGGAUUCUCAAAGAAGCAUGACAGCCAAUACAAAGGAAUUUAAGUUGCGGGCAUUCGAACCCUUGAGGAGGCUCACUAAUAUUACUAUUCUUUAAGGAGAUUGCGGUGCAAACCUUCAGUGUAUCCUUAUCUGGCCAGCUGGUCAGCGGAACAACCUCAUUUUCCACCGCAAACACAUGUUGGUCUCUUGAUGCAAUUGAUCUGGCUACAUCACGAACAACAUCAUGCAUUGAGAACCAUUCACUUGUCUCGCCAUCAAGCAACAAACAAGAGUUCUUGAGUUUAUCAACCAAUGUAUGUGCUCUAUCCCGUGCCUCUUCCAACGUGUUGAUGUUUUGAAACAGACCCAAACCCAUGCCAUAAUAGAGUAGGUCUUCAACACAAGAGAAGAACGUGUACCCUAUUAGCAAAAAUGUUUUCUUCAGUUCCUCUCCGUUUAAAUGAUUGUAACUUAGCUCUAUACUUUUGUAUGCCACCUGCGUUGUUCCAGUGAAGUUUCUCAAGGAAGGCCUUCUAAAUUCCAGCAAAGCAUCCUUCCAUUCAGACAAUCUCUUAUUUCUCAAUGCCCUUGCUACGGGUACAAUGGCAAUGGGCAAACCAGCACAUUCCUUGACUAUCUCUGUUGCUACAGAUUUCAGUUCACCAUUUUCUAUGCAAUCACCUGUCAUCUUUUUGAAAAGACUCCAAGCUUCUUUUUCGUUCAGAACAUCAACAAAAAAAUUUUGUUGACAAUCCAUCUUACAAGAUAACACAUCCUGACUUCUUGCUGUCAGCAGAACUUUACAUCCGCCGUUGUCAUCUGCCAAUGGAAUUCCAAUCGCCUCCAAAUCAAGACUCCCCCAAAUAUCAUCCAAGAUUAUAAGGAUCUUCGUCUCUCUCUUCAAUCGUUCCAGCAGCCUCCCUGCUCUUACAGUUUCAUGACUCUGUUCAGCCAAUUCUAAGCCUAUCUUCUCUGCGAUUUCUCCUUGUAUAUUCUUUAUUUGCGGUGUUUGGGAAACAUGUGAAGAAAUGACCUUCUCAAAGAGAUUAUUUUCCUUGGCCUGUCUGCCAACUUCUUUCACCAGCGUUGUCUUUCCAAUGCCACCCAUGCCGUACACCCCAAUCAUGUUGAAGUUACGGUUGCUGAGUGCGUUUAGUAUCUCCUUCAAGGUGGACUUUCUCGAUUCAAAGUGCAUGAAACCCUGGGUGGACUUAAGCCAUGUCUCCUCUGGAACGGUACGGAAAGAAACACCGUCGAAUCUCCCUUUUUCAUGGAGUCCAACAACAGCAUUCACCUCUCUUUCUGCUUUCUUGCUAAGCUGGUACCGAGUCUUCAAAUUUGGACACAACCCCUUCAAACACCGGCUGUUUGAUUUCUCUUUGUCUUCAAUAAGUGUUUCGACUUCAUUGAUGACAUUGUCCACACUAAUCAGCCACUCCUCGACGUGCUGCUGAAUUCCGUACCCUUUAUUUCUGGAAUCUUCAACCUUGUACUCCACACUGGCUCUAGCAAUCUUUAGCUUCUCCAAUUCAUUCUUCAGCUUCUCCAAGUUGGUCUUGUAAGUGCAGCAGUAAGUAAAUGGAUGAAUUAUGGGAGCAACCAAGUACUCUGCAACUUUUGCAGCAACGGAGAUAACAAUUUCCAUUAUCCCUUUCUUUUUUAUUUUUUGCUUUCAGAAAACAGGGGAAAGCAAAACUAAUCAAACUAAGCAGAACUAAUCAACCAGCUGGGAAGAGGGAAAUAAGAAGUUUGGAUAAAUUGCUAAAAUAAGAAGUUGAAUAGAUUUAAGGGAGGAGGAGAGGAAAAGAGUGAAAAAUCUAGAGAUGAAACAAAGGGGGAUCCUUUUUCUGCUAAGACAAAUUGAAAAGCGAGUACAAUAAAUGAAAGAUUUGCAAAGAAGGUGUAGGAUCGAGGACAAGAACGAUUCAGAAAAGGGAGACAGAAAAUGAAGAAGAGAUUUCAGAGAACUCUAGAGAUUAGAGAAGAGGGAUGAUUAGGAAAAUGCAGAGGCAGACAGUUGUCAUCUCAAGUCUCAAGGGUAAUCUGAAUACUGCAAAAAAGCCAAACUAAAUUCAUACAUGGAGAAGACUCAUGCUUCCAAGUCAACUAUAGAUUCUUAAUAACUGAGAUAGAUGGUUAUAGUUGCAUGUAAAUAGUGUCAAAGUUAUAGGUUAAUUGGACAGCGCAAGGUGGCAUUUUGGCAUUUCAUUGAAUUUUCUUGUUACCAGUAAGUGCUAUGCUGCCGUUCCGGAUUUUUUGAUUUUUUUUUUUGAAUUUUCUUGCGCUUUUCUAAUAACUCUGCUAUAAAGCCCAAGUUUGCGGACUUUAUGAUUUUAUUUUUCAGAAAUAGAUAUACAAAUAAAAUUAAAUAAAAAAAACUGUUGCGUGGUCGUGUGGGUCCUCGAAAUCAUUUCGGCAUUUAAAUUUAAUGGAACAGUUGGAUGUACUCAGCUCUACACUUCCACGAAGGUUCCUGGAAGUUGCAAGUGCUGCCGGCAUUUUCAAACUCGGAAGGUUUCAAUAAUUUUUCCUUUUUACUUUGAAAGAAAGGUUUCAAUAAUUAGCUUUGAUUAUUGUAUAAUAUGUGAUAAUCUAGUGAUGAUGAAGAUUUAUGUGUGUGAUUAAAAGCUAAGCUAGUGGAUUUGUAAGCGAGCCCACGGCGAAGAAUUUGAGCAAGUAUUUUUAUCUUCUUAUUGUCACAUUCUUCUAAUUAAUUUGCUUUCACCAACAAAUAUAAUUAAUAAUUUGUAAAUAGUUGGAUCUUAAGCUCAAAUUUUGACAAUACAUGAAUUGUAAUGUAUACAUAUUUUUCAAGUGUAAACUCUAUUUAAGAGAGGAUCUCAAUUUUUAAUUAGAGAAGAUCAUAGUUAAAGCACACAAUGCGAGAAUAAUACUGGUUGCGCUGACUAACAUCAAAUACAAACAAGGAAGAAAGAUUAUUCAAGCUUUCCUUACAGCAUUAAUCAUGAUUAUUUGAUAAACUAGAGGUGAUCACUGAUUUAUAUUUUUAGUGCAAAACAGAAUACACUGCAAGAGCUGAUGGCUUUCUUUGCUGUCCUCCUAUUGUCACAUAUUUUGAUGUCAAUAACCUAAAUGGGUUAAGGUCUUGAGACUGAAAUCUUUUAAUUGUAAUUGACAUCACUCAUUCAUGAUCCAAGAUUCUAUCGUGUGUGAUGGGGUAAGACAGUUUUUUUACUUGAAAAAUUUUACAUAAAUUUUUAUGGUUUGAUGGCGUCAAAUCCCAUGGAAACGAUAUAAAUGACUUGAAAAGAUCAAUUGAUCAGUGAUUUGUCAAAAGUUUACUGAUAUUAUUACCCUCCGACACGAUUUUAAGCUUUAUAUCCAGACUAGGGUGACAAAUAACGUAGCACUACAAUCAUCAAUCUUACUUAGAUAUAAUUAUUUUUAUCUUCUUAUUGUCAUAUUCUUCUAAUCAAUUGUUUUCUUGUUUAUCAACAGAUAUAAUUAAAAAUGUGAAUGUUAGGAUCUCGAACAAAGUUUUCACCGAAACAAAUAAAGAAUAGUGAUUAGAUGUUAAUAAACAUAAAAAAAAAAUGAUAAUACACGAAUAAUAAGGUAGGCUAAGCGAUUAGGCUAAAAAAAAAUGCAGAGGCACAGGUUUGAUGUCAAGACUCGAUGGGUAAUCUGAAUAAUGCAAAAAUGUCAAACUAAAUUCAUAUGAGGAGAAGACUCGUGCUUCCAAGUCAACUAGAUUCUCAAUGAUUGAGAUAGAUAGUUAUAAGGGUUAUUAUGGUUUCAUUUUAAAAAAUAAAAAAUUACAAGAUAUAAAAUAACUAUAAGAAGUAUUGGUGUUAUCAUUGUAUCUUUAAAAAAAAUGUUUUAUUUUAUAAUAUUUUUGUUAAUAUUGUGAGUCCAACACUAACGUCAUACUAAUAUUAAAGCGCUAAAAGUGUCUUUAGAUUCAAAACCAUGAUAAAAUUGUAUGCAAAUUAACAUUACAAGGGCGGCAUAUUUAUUAUUGGUUAAGAAAGAGGGAAAAAAAAUUGGAAUCUCAAAUAUCUAGCGUCAUCGUUAUCUUUUUUUCUUCAUUUUUUUUCUUUUUCCAGACAGUGGUCCACUAUCUUUGAAAAAUUAUUGGCACUUUCGAAUGGGCAUUAAGCCAUGCAUUGGCAUUGAGGGUCUCAUCUGAAAGAGGAAUUUUGGUAGCAGCAGUGGCUGUGUAAUUUUUUUUAAAAUGAUUUAUCUCUAGGAAUGCGUGAUCAAUUUAAAAGUGGAUUUUAUAUCAAAUUUCUUUGAGAUUGCUUUUCGAUUGAUCUGUUUGAUUUGGCUAUGGAAUGAUGGUUUUAUUACUAUGAGUUUGAAGGAUUUAUGAAAUAGAAAUUAAGAUUGAUAGAAAACAUAUUGAUCUCCGAGCUUUAAUGGCAGUUUCAACUUGUUAUCUUCAAGCCUCACCGGUGUUUUCAAUUUGAUACUUUGAUGAGAGCAAAAUUAGCAAUUUAGCACUAGAGGAAGAUAUUUAAUCACAAGUAUAAGAAGUUUUGACAGCGAAAAGAGGUAUUCUUCAACUGGGGUUAAUUUUUUUUUUGUUUUCUUAUUUUUUAUUAAAAAUUUAAUUAAUUUUUAAAAUAAGGCCAUACUUGAUAUUUUAUUAGUUAACUAACAAUAAUAAACAAAAAUAUAAUAAAAUGAAAGAUUUUACAAAGAUACAGUAACAAAAUGCUAAACAUUAAAUUUUUUUUAUGGUAGCUUUUGAUAAUUUUAAGUGUUUAUUAAAUAUUUUACUACUAUAAUUUAAAAAUUACAAUUGAUAAGCAAUAAUAGCAGGGAGAGGAUGAUAGAAAAUCUUGUUUUCUAUGACAAGUAGGUUUUGUCUUGUUUUCUAUGACAAGUAGGGUUUUUUCUUUUUUCAAGAGUUUGCUUUCCUUCUGCAUCUUUUGUAGCAUCAAUGACGUCCACAAACACAAGACUGCAACCGGCCAUGGAGGAGAUUUAUGCUUCUUUAUCUAUUGCCGAAGAAGAUGAGGGGGGUCUCAUAAUAGCGGGAGAAGAUGCUGAUGCUGGGAGGGUUGGAAAGGCUGAUUUCCGAUUUUGUUUGGUAGGAAGAUUCCUGACGGAAAAGGUCAUCAAUUUCCCGGCUAUGAAAAAUACAAUGGCAGCCCUCUGGCGUCCAGGGAAAGGGAUUUGUAUCAAAGAUUUGUCUCCAACGUUAUUUAUAUUUCAAUUUUUCCAUGAAAUUGAUAUUCGGAGAGUGCUUGAAUCAGGGCCUUGGACCUUUGAUCAAUACAUCCUCAUUGUUAAGAGAUUGGGUAAAGCAGAACAACCCCAAAUGGUGCCACUAUAUCACACAUCCUUUUGGAUCCAAGUCUAUAACUUACCAAUUGGUUUCCUUUAUGAUAAAGUACUGCAGAACAUUGGCAACUACAUUGGGGAAUUCCAGGCGUCCGAUGAAAAUAAUUUAAUGGGGGUUUAGAGGAAUUAUAUGAGAAUAAGGGUAUCUCUUGAUGUUCGGAAGCCACUUAAACGUCGUAUGAAGCUGAAGAAAUCUGGGAGUGACUGGAUAUGGAUAGAUUUCAAGUAUGAGCGUCUGCAUGUAUUUUGUUUUAUAUGUGGAUUGUUUGGACAUACUGAGAAACAAUGUCCAUCUCUUUAUGAUUGUCAUGAAAGUACCAUCACAAAGCCGUAUGGACAAUGGAUGAAGGCUUCCACAAGACGGAAUAACAUGAAUUCCGGUGAGAAAUGGUUGCGCUCGAUACCACCGGAAGCGGGAGAAGGAAAAUAUGGAAAUUGCAUGGAAUCCGCGGAUGAUAUGGCAAUUGAUUCCAUGCAUCCCGUUAAAUUAGGCCUUGCCAAGUUACGUGAUAGUGAGGGAGGCGAGAAUGAGGGGUCCAUGUUGCUAAACAAGGCAUCCCAUAUGUUGGUGCCAGCCAAGAGUCAACUUAACAAUAAAGGGAAAGAAGUAAUUGGUACUGGGCCUACAAAGGAGGGAGAGGAGGAUUUUGAGAUGGGCCUUGUGGUUGUAGAGAAUAAGAGGAGAAGACCUAUUCUAGAGCUGGAAGAGAAUUCUGAAUCUCAAAGUGGUGCCUCUCAUAGGUUGGAGUUAGGUGUAUUUCAAAAAAAUGGAUUAACGGUGGGCUCUGUCAAUCGGGCCCACCGAACCCAAUGAGUAUUCUUAGCUAUAACUGCCGUGGGCUGGGCCAACCACGGACAGUUCAGGUAUUAACAGAUUUGGUCAAGCACAAAAAACCUUCUUUUGUUUUUUUAAUGGGAACUCUCUGCUAUAGAAAUCAGUUGGAGGGUCUUAAAAAUAAAUUGGGCUUUGAAAAUCUGUUUGUGGUGGAUCGGGUGGGCCGCAGUGGUGGGCUGGCUUUGCUCUGGGAUGGAAAUUAUGAAGCUCACUUAAUAAAAUAUGCAGCGAAUUUUGUGGACAUAGAAAUGAGAUGAGCAGGUAUGGGUCAAUGGCGUAUGACAGGCUACUAUGGGUAUCCAGAAUCAGCGAGAAGACGAGAGUCUUGGGAUCUUAUUCGCUACCUUGCUACCAUUUCUUCUCUGCCAUGGAUUUGCUUAGGGGAUUUCAACGACCUCCUCUUUAAUUAUGAGAAAAGGGGAAGUCGAGCUCACCCCAAUUGGAAGUUGCGUGGAUUUAGAGAGGCUGUGGAUGAUGCUGGUUUGGUGGAUUUGAGGAUGGAGGGGUAUCCAUUCACUUAGGAGAGGUCGCGUGGAACAGAGGAAUGGGUUGAGGAAAGGUUAGAUAGAGCUUUUGCGAAUACGGCCUGGUGUGGUUUGUUCCCAAAGGCAAAGGUCUGGAGUGUGGAGGCAACAUGUUCUGAUCAUUUACCCAUUUUUGUGGACCCGAAUCCUUCGGGCUUCACUCCUCGACACCCACGGUUUAGAUUUGAAAAUGUAUGGCUUCGAGAAUCGGAGUGUGAGGAUGUUAUUCAAAGGAGUUGGAGUUCUUCUGCUGGUUUUCCAAUUCAACAUAAGCUAGCUAUAUGUGGGGGGGAUUUAUCGAUAUGGGGGGGAAAGUUGUGUCGGGAUUUCCGCAAACGCAUAGUGGAAUGCAAACAUCAGAUGGCGUUAUUACGUGGCAGGCGAGACCAAGAAGGGUUGGAGGCAUUUACAGAAGCCAGGAAGCAAUAUAAUGAACUACUUCACAGCCAUGAAGUCUAUUGGAAACAGAGAGCCAAAUCUCUUUGGCUUAAAGAAGGGGAUAUGAACUCUCGGUUUUUUCAUGCUACAACUUCUAAGAAAAUGAAGAAAAACACGAUUGAGAAGCUGCAGAAUAACCAGGGUAUGUGGUGUUCAAACCCUUCUGAGAUUGAUGCACUGAUUAUUGAAUAUUUUCAAAAUUUAUUUUCUUCUGGGGGAUGCAUUUGUGAACUGGUAUUAGCUUGUGUUGAGGCUAGGAUCACUCCAUUACAUAACCAAUUAUUGUUAGAACCUUUUACGGCUCUAGAUGUUAAAGAGGCUUUGUUUAGUACGCACCUAGAUAAGUCCCCGGGGCCGGAUGGCAUGAAUCCAGCAUUUUAUUAGAAAUUUUGGCAUGUGGUGGGGAAGAUGUUACUGAGGCUUGUCUUAGUUAUAUUACGAAUCGAGCUUUCCCAGAAAAGUUUAAUGAUACUUUGAUUGUAUUGAUUCCUAAGCAUAUGCAGCCUGAACACUUGACAGAUAUGCGCCCCAUUGCAUUAUGUAAUGUUCUAUACAAAAUUAUUGCUAAAAUGCUUGCAAAUAGAAUGAAGCUUGUUCUUGGUGAAGUUAUUUCAGAUUCCUAGAGUGCAUUUGUUCCGGGCAGAGCAAUCACCGACAAUAUUCUAAUAUCGACUGAAAUAAUCCAUUACUUAAAGAUGAAGAAACAAGGAAAGACUGGAACAGCUGCGCUUAAGAUCGAUAUGUCUAAAGCGUAUGAUCGAGUUGAAUGGAAGUUUUUAAAGCUCAUGAUGCUGAGAAUGGGGUUUGCUGAGGACUGGGUUGAGAUUAUUAUGUUGUGUGUUUCUACUGUGAGCUAUAGGGUGAUUAGAAAUGGGAUAGAAGUGGGACCAAUUGUUCCAAGUAGGGGUCUCCGCCAAGGGGAUUCGUUAUCGCCCUAUUUAUUCAUUAUAUGUGCUGAGGGGCUAAGUUCCUUAAUUCGUAAUCGUGAAAGGGCGGGUUUCAUUCAUGGGGUUAAAGUAGCCAGGAGUGCCCCUGCAGUAUCCCACUUAUUUUUUGCUGAUGAUUGUUUUCUCUUCUUUAAGGCCCAUCACAAUGAAGCUAGAAUUAUGAAAAGUCUACUGGCUGUUUAUGGAGCUGCAUCGGGGCAGAAGGUGAAUUUGAAUAAAUCGUCAAUCUCUUUCAGUGCAAACAUGGAUGAGGAUUCUAUUAGCCAGGUGUGUGGCAUUCUAGAAGUUCCUUUCACUGGCAAUCAAGGAACUUAUUUGGGGCUGCCUUCACAGUUCGGUAGAAAAAAGAGUGUUGUAUUUAAUUUUAUUAAAGAGAGAGUUUGGCAGCGGCUUCAAGGUUGGGGUCAGAAAUUUCUGAGUAGGGUGGGGAAGGAAAUCAUGCUGAAAAUAGUUGCCCAGGCUCUUCCAAAUUAUGCCAUGAACAUAUACCUACUGCCUCUGGACUUAUGUAAGGAACUGGAGAUUAUGAUGAACUCCUAUUGGUGGGGAAAUAAGAGGAAUGGUGGUAAAAGUAUUCAUUGGCUUCGAUGGGAUUCAAUGUGUAAGCCGAAGUCUGUUGGGGGCAUUGGUUUCAAAAAAAUACAUGACUUUAAUAUAGCCAUGCUCGGGAAGCAAUGUUGGAAACUUAUGACUGAUCCGCACUCUCUUGUAGCAAGGAUCCUCAAGGCCAGAUAUUAUCCUAGAUCUUCUUUUACUGAUGCAUCUGUUGGGUUUAAUCCGAGCUAUACAUGGAGGUCACUCAUGGCUGCCAAGAAUUUUGUUGUGAAUGGAAGUCGCAUACAAAUUGGGGAUGGGCAGCAGGUUCAGCUUUCCAAGGAUCCUUGGCUUCCUGAUGUUCACAAUGGUUUUAUUACAUCAGAGUUGGAUGAAAGUCUUGCAACAGCUACGGUGGACUGUCUUAUGGUUCCAGGACAACGGAGUUGGGAUUAUGAUUUAAUUACGGAUGUCUUCAAUUCAAGGGAUGCUGGUCUUAUUUUGCAGGUGCCUCUCAGCGCUAGACAGAAUGCAGAUCGAUGGUAUUGGCUGGUAGAUCCUAAGGGGCAAUUUACAGUUAGAAGCUGCUAUGAACUGCUGAAUUCUGAAACUAAUGUGUCAAGCAGUAAGGUGUGGAAACACUUAUGGGGGUUGGAGAUUCCAGGUAAGGUUAAACAUUUCUUUUAGCGUGCAUUGAUGAAUGUACUUCCUACUACGGAUAACUUGCAGACUCGAAAGGUUGAGGUUUCCUCUAUUUGCCCCAUCUGUAAUGCUGCAAAUGAGUCUGUGUUACAUUGUUUAGUGGAGUGCUCUUUUGCUCACUCAUGCUGGUUAUUGUCUUCUAUUGGCACUUUUGGGAGAUGUUUUUCUUUGAUUGAUUAGUUUGAGCAAAUAUUUACUCGCUGCUGUAAGGAAGAUUGUAACUUAGCUGUGAUGUUGUGUUGGAAGCUUUGGUUUAAUCGAAAUGAUAAGGUGUGGAAUGAUCAUUGUCGCCGAGCUCAAAGGCUGGUAAAUGCUGCUGGUCAUUGUCUGUUCCAAUGGCAAGAAGCCAAAAGGAGAACUUUCACUGUUGUAGAAGAUGUUCAGUUAGGUCACGGCUCGGUAUGUUGGGGCCAGCCUCCUAUGGGUUGGUUGAAAUGUAAUGUAGAUGCAGGGGUAUUUAGAUCUCAGGGAAGAGUUAGUUUUGGAGGGGUGAUCAGAAACUCUGAAGGUGGUUUUAUUGCAGUGAAGUGUCAGAGUUUCCCUGGUUUUUUCCACCCUCGUGAGGCUGAAGCGUUGGCUGUCCGUGAGGCACUUAGCUGGAUAAAGCAUCUACAGUUAUCUAAAAUUAUUAUCGAGAUAGAUUGUUUAAAUGUGUAUUCUGCUUUAAUUUCUCAAUCUGCUAGUUCUAAUGGUUUUGGUUUAAUUAUUGCGGAUUGUAGAGAUUUAGCUCAGUUAAUUGGAGAAGUGAGAUUCUCUUUUGUGCGUCGAUCUGCGAACGCCGCUGCCCACAGUGUAGCUAGGGUGGGGGGUUCUAUGUCAGGUCCUGGAGAGUGGAGGGAUGUCCCACCUCUAUAGUUAUGUCCUCUGUUGACUAUUUCUCUUAUUUAAUGAAAUUUCCUUCAUAAAAAAAAAAAAUAGCAGGGAGAGAAUUAAAUAGAUUGAGAAUGAUUUUUGAUUCAGGGCAAGUUUUGGAGUGCUUUACGAACAAUCAAAAUGCUAAUCCUAUUAGUCAAUAAACACAAGCGCUUUGUCAAGAACAUUACGGGAAAAACCCUCUAUAUAAAUAACAAUCGUGUAAUUACGGAGGGCGUGUCUUAAUUACAUGGCAGUUACAUUCAAUAACAACAAUAUUACUUAAAAAUUUUCUAUUAGCAAUGAGUGUGUUGGAGGUAGGAUAAAAAAAAUCUGAAGAAUUUGCAAACUUUUUGUGAAAAUGCAUCACUGUUGUCUUGUUCUUUCACUGUUGAUAAUUACAAUGAACUGAUAAAGGCCAAGAGACCCAAAGUGAAGUGACCCAUGUGCUUUUCUAAUUACCCUGCUACAAACUAUAAAGCCGAAGUUUGCGGACUUUAUUAUCAUUUGUUUUUUUUUAAAAAAAACAUAUACAAAUAAAAGGACAAAAGAUGAGACUUAUAGUACCAAUGGCGGGCCCCCUGGGUCCUCAACUUCUUCAAAUGAGCAUUUUAUCCAACAGUUGAUGUACUCGGAAUCCACACUUACACGAGCGUUCCGGGGAGUUGCAAGUGCUGCCAGCAUUUUUCAAAUAAUCAAGUGAUUAUUGAGUAAUAAUUAGCUCUGAUUGAGUAAUAUAAGAGUAAUAUAUGAUAAUCAAGUGAUUUUAAUAUGUAAACGGUAGGAUUUUGGGCUCAAAUCUUUAAAUUAAAAUCGUGAUCAUUUUAUCAUUAAACUCCAACUCUAUCUUGAUUAAUAAACAAAUGUUAGAAAUUAGUUGUUAAUAAAAUAUAUCCUGGAUGUAAUGGCUAUUCCCAAAGCUCAAUUGAACCAAGAACAAAAUCUUGAAGGACCCAAGAAAAGAUCCCAAACAAGAAGUGACACAAAGCUUAACAAGAAUCCAUGAUCAAACAAUGAACAAAACAAAGAAUCAGUAAAGAAGAAAACUUAGAGCAAGAGUGUUCAAUGAUUUGAUUACAUUUGUGUUUAUUUUUGUGGAUGAUUUCAUUCCUAUUCUUGCCAUUCAUUUUUAUGAUUUUUUUUUUUGGGUUGACUCCCGGAACAAUCAACCUGGGGAUGGGUGGGUUUUAUUUAUUUGUCAUGAUUUGAUUAAGCGGAGCAACUAAUACUUCAAAUCGUAUCACUGUUGUAUUAGAGGCUUCACGUACACUGAAUAAUUAGUGGCGAUCUAGUUUAUAAACCAAAAUUUAACAUAUCUACAUAUAACUAAAUGAAAAGCUUAUGUAUUAUAUUCACUCCAUCAAGUAUGAAGCAUAUAAUCAAUUGAUCUACAAGCACUAGACAUACAAAAAUCAAAUGGUAGAAUAGAAUAUACAAGCAUCAGCAUUAGAUGACAGGAAAAGAGCUCAUUAAUAAAUUAUAUGAGUGAUAAUACUACUUGAAUCAAACUCACGUCCCCAGUUGAGAAGAGUUAAAUUAAAUAAUAUUUUGGUGAUUUCAUGUGCAUAAAAUUAUAAAUUUAUAACCAUCAAUAUAUCACCAGACUUUGUAAAGUUAAUGUGAAAAUGCAUCACAGUUGUACUUUUUUUUUUUUUAAUGAAAAUAAUCAUUUCAUAAGUCAAACAACACUGUUUAAUACAUUCAAUAUCUCGGUUGGAAUGUGAUCCAGCCAGACAGCUGAAGUAUUUGCUCCUACAGCAAGCUUUGUCAAGGAAUGGGCACAAGUGUUACAGGUUCUUGGAAUAUGUCUGAACUUGACCUCUUUAAAGUCACGUCGUUGCUCCUGGAUGUCUGAGAUAACCCAGCUUAUACCUAUUCUACUGCCCUUGGUGUUGUUAAGUAAGUCCACCACUUCUUUGCAAUCUGUCUCCAUGAUCAAAGCGGAUAGAGAGAGUUCUUUUGCUACCUGCAAGCCCCACUCCAUCGCUUCAGCUUCUGCAAAGCUCACUCCCUCCCUUAGUGGAACUUGCUUUGUGUCUGCCGCCACUAUCUUGCCACUUGGGUCUUUUAUAACAGCUCCCAACCCUGCUACUUGGUCCCUGUUAUUUAUUCCUGCAUCCACAUUAACCUUGAGGAAAUUUCCAGGUGGGGGCUCCCACUUUUUCUGCACAAUCCUUUUGACAUUAUGAAUGUGAGAUGCAUCUGGUUUUCGAGCUCUAUGGUAGGCUUCUAGAAGUGAUUCAGCCUUUGCAGCUGAGGCUCUUGGGUCUGACUUUUUUCCUUCGAAAAUCCUUUUGUUUCUUGCAAACCAUACUGCCCAACAGAAAGCUAUUGCUUGCUCAGCCUCUGUUUUUCCCCAAGUGCUCCACACCUCAUAGAUGAAUUCUAGAAUAUCCUGAUUCUGGGCAUUUGGUAUUUGGACUGAAGAAGUGGCAUGAUACCAGAUUUUCCUAGCUGCUUUGCAAUCCAAGAGUGCAUGUCUGACUGUCUCCACCUCCCUGUUGCACCCCUGGCAUAUUGGAUCUUUCAAGCAUUUCCUUUUCCAAAGAUUUUCAGCUGUUGGCAAUAAAUUCCUAGCUGCCCUCCACAUAAAAAUUUUCAUUUUUUCUGGUAACUCCAUAGACCAUACAACUUUCCAUCUUUUAGAGUUUGAUCCAGAGCUGCUAGGCUCAUCAGGGGCUUUGAGUUUAAGGGCUAUCUGAUAUUCGCUUCUUACUGAGUAUUCUCCAUGCUUGUCAUAAUGCCACAGCAUCUCAUCCACCUUUUGGCUUCUUGGAAGAGGAAUUUUGAGAAUAGCCUCUGUAUCUUCUUGCAUAAAGUGUUGGUUCAGCUUUGCCACAUCCCAGUUGUUUUCAUCAUCCAUCACCUCACCUACAGUUGUAUCAAUUGGCAAGGUUAGGGGGGAGAUCGGUUUAAAUGUGUCCGGUCUUGGUAUCCAAUUUUCUUUAUAAACCAAAAUGUUACUGCCAUUUCCAAUACGCCACCUCGCUCCUUUUUGAAUCACUUGCCGACCCCAUAAGAUGCUCCUCCAAAUAAAGGAUGGGUUGGAGCCAGGCUUUGCGUCUAAGAAUGAGCAGCUUCUGAAGUAUCUUGCCCGAAGAACUUUGGAAACCAGGGAGUUUGGGAAUUGAAUCAGCCGCCACCCUUGCUUUGCCACCAUAGCUUGGUUAAAGCUUAUGAAGUCUCGAAAUCCCAAUCAGCCCCUACUUUUUGCACAACUCAGUUUGUCCCAUCGAGCCCAAUGGAUGCCCCGCUUGUCUUUUUUUGAACCCCACCAGAAUUUUGCGAUUUCACUCUGAAUUUCCUCGCAUAAGCCUUUAGGGAGCUUGAAGACACUCAUGGCGUAUGAGGGAGCUUGAAGACACUCAUGGCGUAUGCAGGGAUGGCUUGAGCAACAGCUUUUAUAAGGAUUUCUUUGCCUCCACUUGAAAACAUUUUGUGCUGCCAAUUAUUAAUCUUGCUUAAGACCUUUAGCUUGACUUCUCUAAAAAAGCUUGUCUUCUUCCUUCCUAUCAUUGAUGGGAGCCCUAAAUAUUUUUCAUAUUUGGAAACCACCUUGAGGUUUAAGAUGUUUCUUAUUGCUGCUUUCUGCUCCUCAGGAAUCUUGCCUCCAAAAAACAUUGAUGAUUUAUCAAAAUUAAAGAUUUGUCCCGACGCCUUUGCAUAUCUAUCAAAAAUUCCCUUCAGGUGCUUGCAUUCAAUCACUGAUGCAGUUGAGAAGACCAAGCUGUCAUCCACGAAAAGUAAAUGGGAUAUUGUGACAUCCUCCGCAAAUCUUAGGCCGCUGAUGCGUUUUUUCCUUUCUGCCUGUAACAACAAACUUGAGAAGACUUCUGUACAGAUGAUGAACAAAUAUGGGGAGAGGAGACAGCCUUGCCUUAAGCCCCUCUCUGGAUGAAAGAAACCUUUUGGGGUUCCAUUGAUGAUUACUGAAAAAGAAACUGAAGUAAUGCAGCCCAUAAUCAGUUCCAGCCACUUCCUUGAGAAACCAAGCUUCUUCAUUGUUUGUUUCAGAAAAGACCAUUCAACCCUAUCAUACGCUUUGUUGAUGUCCAACUUUAAUGCCACCAGCCCCUUCUUUUUUCCAGCCACAGUUGUACUUAUUAUCUUUUUCUUUUUUCUUUUCCAAUUAGUCUAAUACCAGUGGCGCGGCCUCGUGGGUCCUCAAAUUAUUUAUAUGGGCAUUUCAUCGAACAGUGGAUAUACUCGGCAUGUGCACUUGGAAGACGCGUUCAAAAGCUCUAAAUCAUGUUAAAGUCGACCAAAAAGACAAAACAUAGAAAGCGACAAUCCAACAACUAGGUAAAAAUAUUCGCUGUCACAAAUGGUUGCGUUGACGUGUAUAUUUAGGAACAUCAAAUAUAAACAAAGACCAUGUGAAAAAGAAAUAUUCGCUGUUUAGUUCUCAAAUAUUCGCUGUCACAAAUGGUUGUGUUAACAUGUCCAACAACGAUUAUUAUAGGGAUGGCAAAAAUCCCCACGGGGACGGGUACUUUCGGGGAUUUUCCCUAUUCGGGGAGGGUACGAGGAUGAUUUCAUACCUAAUAUUUUAUUCGGGAAGGGGACGAGGAAAUUUUUUUACCCAAUUUCUUAUUCGGGGAGGGGACGGGGAUGAGGUGGAAUCCCCAUCCCCUACCCAUUUCCCCAUUUUAAUUUUUAAUUUUAUUUUAAUUUUUUAAAAUUACUAGUAAAUAAAUAAUAAAAUUUAAAUUAUAAAAUUAUAAAUAUUGGUAAAAAUAAAAAAUAUCAAAAUAUUUAUAUUAUUAAACUUUUAGGCCUAAUUAACUAAUUAAAGUCCUAAAUCUUUAUUUAGGACAUUAAAAAGACCGAGUAGAUUCUAUUAGCCAAACAUUUUUUUUUAAUUUUAAUAUUCUUUAAAUAUUUUAAACUUAAAUUUAUUUUUUAUUUAUUUUUAGAUGUUAUAAUUGCCCACAGCGAAUCACAAUUUUAAUAUCUAAUCUAAUCUAAUAUUUACUUUUAAUUUGCUCCGAUUUAACUAUUGUGUUGUAAAGGGAAUAGUCAACAUUUAUAAAGUAUCCACGCCACCAUUGAAAAAGUUAAUUUUGAAUCUAAAUUCGAUUUUAUUUGUAACAAUUUUGUAUUAGACUAUUAAUUUGUUCAUGAUAGUUUGUAAAAGAAGUUUGUAUUCCUUGUAUGUUGCGUUACUUACUAAUUUAAUGUAUGUGACUUUUGUAAUAGAUAUUAAUAUAAGAUAUAUUUCGAACUUUACUUUUAUUUGAAUUUUUUAUUUUAAUAUGAUUAACUCAAAAUCGAAAAAAAAAUGUAUUAGUUAUUCGGGGAUCGGGGACCCUCGGGGAUCCCCUGUUAUUAUUCGGGGAGGGGAUGAAGAUUCCCUCAAGUAAUUCUGACGGGGACGGGGACAUACACAAAAUUUCGGGGAUGGGUAUGGGGAGAUCGGUCCCCUCCCCUCCCCUCCCCAUUGCCAUCCCUAGAUUAUUAUGAAAAUUUCGGAGAAUUUGCGAGAAGUGGGAUGAUUAAGAAAAUGCAGGAACAGGACAUUUAUGACCUCUAUUAGUAAUUUGAUUUCGUGAAUCAUUUUCAAAAGGAAAAUAAUGCACACAAUUGGAGACUAGGCGAUGAUAAUGAAUGGUCACAUAACCUACUUAAUAAUUUAUGGGUGUGUUUGGUGCAUGUAAUUAUGGUGUAUUAUAAUACUGUUCACAUUAAAAUAAUACCAAACUCAUGUUUGGAACAAAAUUGCAAAGGAUUGGGGUGGAGGGCUAAUGCGUCAACUGACGCAUUAGCUUUGCUUGUUUUUUUUUUUUUUUUUUUUUGCUUUUGCUUUUAACUUUUGCUUUUUGCUUUAUUAUUAUUAUAAUACUAAAAUAAUAAAUAAAUAUAGUUUUUAAUUUAAUAUAAUAUUUUUAUUUUGUUUGUUUUUACAUUAUAAUUAUUAAUAUAAAUUAAUAAAUAAAUAAUUUAUCAUUCAAUAAUAGUAUAUUUUUUUAUUUUUACAUUAUAAUUUAUUAAUAAAUUUAUAACUUAUUAUAAUUAAUAAAAAUAUUUAAAUAUGAAUAAAUUUGAAUAAUAUUAAUUUAAAAUUAAUAAUAAUAUAAAUAAUAACAUAAAAUAUUAAUGCAAUUUAAAUAUAUUAAUAUAAUAUAAAACAUUAAUAUAAUAUAAUAUUUAAUUUAAAUUAAUUAAAAAAAUAAUACAGUACAGUAUAGCACCAAGCAUUGUAUAACAUUAUUAUAAUACAGUGCUAAUAUAAUACAGCAUAAUAUAAUACAUCAGUAUUAAAAUAAUAUAAUAUAACAUAAUACAAUACAGUGUGCUAAACGCAAUCUAUAUGCAUUAAUGCAGAAUCGACAAUUCUAAAUCAUGUUAAAGACAACCAAAAAGACAAAUCAUGGAAAGCGGCAAUUGCUCUAUUGCGUUGCGUGUAUUUUGGGAUCAUCAAAUACAAACAACGACCACGUUAAAAGAAAAGCAAAAGCUGACGAGAUUGGUAAAGAUACAUCAAAAGAAAGACUAAUAGAGCUUUCCCAGCAGCAUUAAUCAUGAUUAUUUGAUAAAAUAGAGGUAAUAAAUGAUUACAUAGAGGGAUGAGUCGGGCCAAGUCUUUAAAUCAGCUCUGUCGUGGAAUAUAACAGGAAUCAGCAAUCAGCAUGUAAUCGAUUAUUAGGAGACUGAUACACUAGCAAUCAGCAUUAAUCAAUUAUUUGAUAAACCAGUAAAUAUUGGGUAUCUCGGUGCUAAACAGUGUUGAGAGAUAAAAAUUAACCUGGUGUCUUCCAAGUCAACUAGAUUCUUAAUAAUAGAGAUAGAUGGUUAUAAUUGCAUGUAAAUAAUGUUAAAGUUAUAGGUUAAUUGACCAAUGGGUCUUUGGUCCAAUGGGAGAAGCCUUGCACUUACAAUGUUGAGUGCAAGGGUUCGAGCCUCCAUAAGAGCAUUAUGGAGGUUAGUUUCAGUUCUUCCUCAAUUAUCAAUUAAUUGAGUGGAGACAGUCUCUCCCUUACGAAAUGUGAGUGGAGCAGGCACCCCUCGAAUAUUAGAGAGGGUUUAAAAUAUCUAGGCAUAUACUUCAGUGUGUCAAUGUAUAGUGGUAGUCCCAGUUAUAUAAUAUGAUUGUAAAUAUUAAUUGUAAUAUUUGAUGUAAUAUCAGUAAUAUCUCUGUAUAACAGACUUAAAAAAAAAAAAAGUUAUAGGUUAAUUGGACGGCACAAGGUAUAAUUUUGGCAUUUCAUUGAAUUUUCUUGUUACCAGUAAGUGCUAUGAUGCCGUUGCUGACAUUUUUCAGCAUGUAAUCGUAAGACUUUUCAAGCAUUUUUAAUGGCAGCUUUAAUUAUUUGUAAUUGUUUAUUGGAAAAAGGACAUUCAACCCCUCAACGUUUAGAAAAAAAGACAAAAAAUCACUCAACGUUUUAAAAAGGACUUAUAAACCCCUUUCCGUUAACAAACACCAUUUGUUUUAACAGUAAAUUUAUUUUUAAUUUUUAAUUACUAUUAUACCCUUAUAAUAAAAAAAUUAAUAUAUUAAUUUGAGAUAUAUCACAAUUAAUAAUUUUUUAAAAGCUUAAAAUUGAGAUACAAUUAUUUUUUUGCCAAAAUUAUUUACUAUAAAUUAUACCUCUCUAACAAUAAUAAUAUGGUUUUAAUUCCUCAAAGAAAAAGGGUUUAAUCAAAUUUCGUUUUAUUAGUAAUAAAUUAUACCCAUGUGCUUUUCUAAUUACUCUGCUAUAAAGCCAAAGUUUGCGGACCUUAUGAUUCUUUUUUUUUUUUUCCAGAAAUAGAUAUACAAAUAAAAUGAACUAAAAAAAAAACGUUGCGUGGUCGUGUGGGUCCUCGAAAUCAUUUGGGCAUUUAAUCGAACAGAUGGAUGCACUCAGCAUCGGCACUUCCACGAAGGUUCUUGGAAGUUGCAAGCGCUGCCGGCAUUUUCAAACUCGGAAGGUUUCAAUAAUUUUUUUUUUCUUUGAAAGAAAGGUUUCAAUAAUUAGCAUUGAUUAUUGUGUAAUAUAUGAUAAUAUGACGACUUAUAUAUGUGAUUAAAAGCUAAGCUAGUGGAUUUGUAAGAAAGCACACACGGCAAAGUAUUGAGCAAGCAUUUUUAUCUUAUUACCAGUACCACAGUCUUCUAAUCGAUUUGCUUUCACCAACAAAAAUAAACAAUAAUUUGUAAAUAGUUGGAACUUAAGCUCAAAUUUUGACAGUAGAUGAAUGAUAAUGUAUACUUAGUUUUCAAGGGUAAACUCUAUUCAAGAGAGGAUCUCAAUUUUUUAUUAGACAAGAUCUAUUCAAGAGAAGAUCAUAGUUAAAGGCUUUGCGUUGACUGGGGAACGUUAAAUACAAAGAAAGACUAUGCUAAAAGAAAAGCAAAAGCGGGCGAGAUUCAUAAAGAAAGACUAAUAAAGCUUUCCUUAUAGCAUUAAUCAUGAUUACUUUGAUAAACUAGAGGUGAUCACUGAUUUAUAUUUUUAGUGCAAAACAGAAUACACUCCAAGAGCUGAUGGCUUAAUUUCUUUGCUGUCCUCGUAUUGUCACAUAUUUUGUAGCUUUCUCAUUUUGAUAAGUCGUUCGCUCAAUAACCUAAACGGAUUAGGGUCUUCAGACUGAAAUCUUUUUAAUUGAAAUUGACAUCACUUCAUUCAUGAUCCAAGAUUCUAUCGUGUAUAAUGGGUAAGACAAUUUUUUUACUUCAAAAAUUUUACAUAAAUUUUUGUAGUUUGAUGGCGUCAAAUCCGAUGGAAACGAUACAAGUGACUUGAAAAGAUCAAUUGAUCAGUGAUUUGUCAAAUGUUUAUUGAUAUUAUUAGGAAAAUUUACGAAAAUAACUAUUAAUAUUUUAUUAUUUUCACAAUUAACCGUCUCAACUUUUUUCUAUCAACAUUAGCCAAACACAAGCCUUUCUUCCCAAUUACCCUUCUUUCCAGAACAAAACCAACAUUGUUUCUCCCAUAUCGCCAAACCAAAAGCAGCUUUUCAUUCUUGAAUCAUCAGCCAACGGCGACCGCAAAAGACAACGGUAAAAGUGAUAUCCGAUCAUAAUCUAUCCGGAUCCAACACAAAUCGACAUCACUCAGUGGUAUGAAUUAUUUUCUGAACUUACUGAACUCAGUCGGGUGAAUCUGAAUCUGGCGACAGGCUGCCUGUCGCAGCAAAACUUGGUGCGACAGGUGGUUUGUAUUCGUUAGCCAUUGGGAUCAUGGAUUCAGAAAAUAAUGAUGCUUGGGAAUGAUUUAUGAUGAAGUUACACGGAGUGAUUGGUGAUAGACCUGAGUUGGUAAUUAUCUCUGAUCGAUGCACUGCCAUAAGGAGAGCCGUUCUUAAAGUAUUUCACAAUGCAACUCAUGGCGUUUGUUUUUACCACGUCAAAGAUAACAUUAAGUCACAAUUUAGAAUGUCCAAAGCUCUUUGGGAUGAAUUUGAGCCUGCCUUUAUUAAUGCAGCAAAAGCAUAUGGCCACGAGGAAUUUAAUGAUCCACUCGGGUGCGGCUGAUUACCUAGAAAAUAAUGUCGGUACGUGUAAUUGGGCAAGGUCUCAGUUUCAAGGUAGGAGGUACAACAUUCUUACCACCAACAUCGCGGAGAGUGUUAAUGCUUUCAUGAGGGAACCUCAAAAAUUUCCUGUUACUCAUCUUGUUGAUCACUUCAGGAAAACAUUGCAGCAAUGGUUUUAUGAUAGAAAAAUUGUGGCUGAAUCAAUGACUACUCGACUAGCAACAUGGGCGGAUGAAAUAGCCACUGAGAGGAGAACUAUAGCUGAAAGAAUGAUAGUUCGGCCGGUGUCUCCGCAUCGCUUUCAAGUUAUAGGCGGUGGGCUUAAGGAAGGGUUGGUUGACUUGCAAAAGAGAACUUGCUCCUGCAGAGUGUUUCAGCUUGAUCAGCUUGUGUGUGCUCAUGCAAUUGCGGCGUGUCUAACACACCGGGUGGAUUUUAUUAACCUUUGCUCGGACUUUUACACUACAGAAUCGUUGGCGAUGGCUUAUGCACAACCAGUGGAGCCAGUUGGUGAUGUGGCUGAUUGGGAAGUUCCAGAUGAAAUUCAGGAGAUGCAGGUAUACCCACCAGUUGAGGCACCACCACUUAGCCGUCGUAAAGAGCUCAGAAUACCCUCGACUGGCGAGGACGUUGACCAGCGGACUGUAAGAUGCGGCCGGUGUCAUGAACUAGGCCAUAAUCGUAAGCGAUGUAAGAAUCCUAUUGCGUCGACUCGAAGUUAGUUGUAUUUUGUGUGUUAUUCGUUGGUUAAAACUAUUAUUGUUUUUGUGUUACGUUGGUUAAAACUGUUAUUGUUUUUUGUAUUUCGUUGGUUAAAACUGUUAUUGUUUUUUGUGUAUUGUACACUUAUAUUCAUAAAACUUUAUUUUAUUUUAAAGUUCAAAAUGUGAGGCAUUAAAAUUAUAUAAACUUAAGUGCGGAAAUAAAAAAAAAUGCAAAUUUCAACAUUGAAAUUACUACAUAGGUCUACAAUAUAAUAUCGUCAUUAAAUAUAUCAACCGCAAUCUUCUUUCUAAAGUACUCGACAUGACUAGCGUUAAACUCCAAUCUAAGCCCGAACAUUAAAUACAUCGUAACCAUCAAUACAAAAAUACCGCAAUCGCUAGUUCCGAGCUCUUGUUCCGGGCUCUUCCAUUGCAGAAUGCGGGGAAUCUUACUCUUCGUUUUGACGACCCAUGUUGAUGGCAACCCUCCGAUUGCUUCGUAAAUCCAAGCCUACAACAACCAAAGUAAAAAAUCAAAUAAAACAACUAUCAAGUAUUUAAUACUAUAAAACUUAUUAAUAAACAAAAAAAAAGCACCUGCACCCCAGACGUAAAGCCGUAAAGAUUGUAUUUUUCAAUAUUAUGAUCUGGAUUUUUCAACCGAGUCUUCUUAAAUUUCUCGUCUUUCUCAAACAGUGCAUUGUCAAGACUCUCGUAAAUCAUUUCCCACGACAAUAGACCCCAUGGACGCUUUCGGAAGUACUGUAUAUCAUCAACUUGGUCAAGCCAAUCGAAAUUAAUUUGACAGUGAUUUUUUCUUGCAUUUAGUACUCUGUCCACAAAAUAAAACAGCGCAAUCUUUAAUGCGUCCAUAUCGUCCAUUUCCUUGAAAUUCAACUCCUUAAAUACUGCAUCAAAUUGCUUCACAUUAAUCUUACGAUGCACACCACCAAAAUACGUAUUCCGUAGCCUCUGCUCCAUUUCAUCAUUUUUUUCAUUGGUAUCAACACUAAAUGAAAGUCCAGUAACCAAGCAUUAUUCGACAAUUGACAAGUGAAUCAAAUGCUUACAAAUUUGAAACCAUAACUGAUCCUCACGGCUAUCUUCUUCAUGGGCCACUUGCAGCAGUAAAAGAUUGUGCAAAAUUACCCCACUAAAUGGAAAACUUCGACACUCCAAGAAAUGCCCAAAUAUAUCCUUUUUGAACAUACUCAACUGCCGCUUUGUUAAUUUUUCCUCGAUGGCUUUUACGACCGAAGAUAACAUACACAUGCUCGAAAUUCGACCAGGAAAGUGAUCAGCAUAACGAAAAUACUGUUGAGUGUUAGAAAAUGCAUAUUUAUAAAGGAGAAAACCGUCAUUUUACAUUUCAAGUCUUACUAACAACCCUUACUUUUAUGUAUUUAACCUUCUUGUGAUGUAAUUACGUGUGUGUUAUUUUAAUUAAGUAUUUUAUGUAUUUUAGGGGCAUUAUAGUCAUUUCACAAUAAAGGAGAGAUCAGACGGCAAAACGGACAUCACUUUUGAACUCAGGACGGUCGAAAACCUUAGGAGGAGCAUAAAAGGAAAAAUGGCACUAUUCACAUGUACGGUACUAUUCACGUAUACGUUACUGUUCACGACACUGUUCACAUAGACGGAUCGAUGACGUGGCAUUGACCGAUGAUGUGGCAUUGACUGAUGAGGUGUCACGAUCCUGUUGGGCUAAAAUUCUUAUGUACUGUUAAUGGUGACGUGGCAGCAUAUCAGUGGACGAAAAAUCUCGUGUACGGUGCAUGCAUCACACAGGAUUAUUUUCAACCAAACCGCGUUACUGUUCAUCCGGGUCAAACCGCGUUACUGUUCAAAGUCGGGUCAAACCGUGUUACUGUUCAUCCGCGUGGUCAAACCGUGGACUGUUGACUGAUGACGUGGCGCAAUCCUGAGCGUCCAAACUGUUUUUAAUCCGAUGGCCAUGAUUUACUCCAUGUAUCUAUAAAAAGGGGGCCUCCCCCCCCCUAAUUUGAUAGCUCUGAAUCCAUUUUUGGGAUUCAUUUUCUGUAAUUCCCUCUCCAUCUUGUAUUUUCUUCGUAUUUUAAUAAAUUCCCAGUUUGCCCCUAGUUCAAUUAUGAGUAGCUAAUUUCCUUUCAAGCUUGGGUUGAAGGUGAAGUCUCAACAUGUGUCAUGGGCUUUAUUUGGUAAAUUUAUUUUCUUUUCCCCUCUAGUUUUUGUGGAUGAUUUGACUUAUCGUCGACAAAUAAUACUGAUCUUGUCUAGAUACCGCCUUGGUUACACCGGCUCUCUAGUAUAAGGUUAUUAUUAUUUGGCACGAUAAGCCCUUAGCACCAUAUUGAUUAGAGCGUGGUUCAUGAGGUGUGGAUUCCCCCCUCAUGAUUUAAUUGGCAUUAAUACGGAUUAUUUAGCCCAUGAUGCAUGUUGAUACGGAUCCAGAUACCCAAGUACGUUAUUUCAAUAGAUUUCUCUUCAAUUUACUCUCGCCAUUGCAAUUCCAGUCUUAGAAUUUAUUAUCGCCAUUUCAAUUCCAAUUUUAGGAUAAUUUAAAUCACUUCCACCACAAUUCCAACCACCCAUUUACAAAAUUAAUUCUACAUAUAAUUAAAAUCCACCUCCUCGUGGGAUCGACACUCGUCACCAUUAGUCUAUACUACAAUAGAUUCGUGCGCUUGCGAGUACAUUAAAAUUUGCACAACAAGUUUUUGGCGCCGUUGCCGGGGAGGUAAGUAGUUUUAAUUCAUAGAUUUAAUUUUUGUGAAUAAUUUCAUUUAAUUAUUUUCUUGUAUUUUUUUUUGUUCUUUAAAAAAAAAAAAAAAAAAGAAAUAAAAAAGUUAAUCUACAUUUAAAGGUUAGUAUUUCUUUUCUUUUUCUCUUCUUUAAAAUUCUGUAAUUUAAUUUUUAAUUUAUUUUUCUUUGUAAUUUUUGUUUAUCUUAUUAAUUUAAUUUGUAGUUAAUUUAUUUCACGUAUUUAUUUUUGUGUAUUUUUAUAGUAAGGUUGUAAUAGCGCAAUAAGGUAAGUAUCGUAAUUUCUCCCUCUUAUUUAUUUUUAUUUGUUUUGUUCCCAUCUUUAUUUUUAUUUUUAUUUUAUUUUGCAUGCAUGGUCGUAGGUCAUUAUUACCUAAUCUUGAACCUAUAGACCUUGAAUUAGAAAAAACACUUCGCACACACAAACACGUUAAAAAUAAAAUGGAUUUGCAACCACAGGAGAGGCCAUUUAAGGACUAUUUUAGUCCCUUAGCUAAUUUGAGCACAUCAUGUAUUAGAUACCCAAAUGUAGCUGCUAGGAGCUUUGAACUAAAACCUAGUGUGCUAAAUUGUCUCCCCACAUUCUAUGGCCUAGAAAAUGAGGACCCAUAUAAUCAUCUGAAUGAUUUUCAUGCCAUUUGUCAAACUUUUAAAUAUGAAAAUUUUUCAGACGAUGAUGUUAAACUUAGAUUAUUCCCAUUUUCUUUAAAGGAUAGAGCUCGUUCAUGGUUAAAUACUUUGCCUGCUAAUAGCAUUGCAUCAUGGGAACAAAUGGUAACAAAAUUUUUGAAUAAAUAUUUCCCAGUGCAUAAAACCAAUUCUAUUCGCAGGGAAAUUUCAGAGUUUACACAAAGAGAGGACGAGCAGUUUUUCGAAACAUGGGAGCGAUUCAAUGGGCUACUCUUGAAGUGUCCACAUCAUGGGUACGAAAAAUGGCACCAAUGUCAAUACUUUUUGGAGGGAUUACUACCAAAUGUGCAAGAAUGGCUAAUGGCAACAAGUGGAGGAGAGCUAAUGUCAAAAAGUGCAUCAGAAAUUUGGGAAUUCUUCCAGCGACAAGCGGACAAUUCCCAACAACGGAGUCGAUCACUCAGGAAUACUAGAAGAAUUAAGGGAGUAAAUGAGGUUCAAAUUGGCGAGUCAACUUCGGGAAUCAAAGAAGUCAAGGAGAUGGUUGAAGGUCUUGCUCGACAAAUAGCAUCGUUAUCGACUGCUAAAUCAACAGAAUCACAUGACCCUGACUCAUAUCCAGAUCAAGCCAAUGCCAUAGGUGUAAUGAGAAAGCCAUCUAAUUACAACCCAUACUCCAACACAUAUAAUCCUGGAUGGAGAGACCACCCCAAUUUUUCAUGGUCUCAAGGAUUCCAACAGAAUGGACCAGCAGCUCCAGCUCCACCAAUGCAACAAAUUCCUCAAGUUCCUCAAGCCUCUCAGCCCCCAUUUAGACCAUACAAUCAGAACCAGAACUACUCUCAACCCAGACCAUGGGAGGAUUCAUUCCAGAAUCUCAAGAAUGUUACUCACUCCACGAUUGAGCAACAGAACCGCACCAUUGAUGGACUACGAAAUGAAUUGAGAGCGGGCUUCAAUUCACAAGCCCAAUCAGUUUCAAGCCUCGAGAAGAUGGUGGGACAACUUGCUUCUUCAGUUCAGACCUUGGCAAUGACUGUUGAGAAAGGCAAGUUUCCGAGUCAACCAGUGCCUAAUCCUAAAGGAGUGCAUGAAGCAAGUACCAGUUCACCACAGCAGCAUGGAGAGGUCAAAGCAGUCAUGACCUUGCGAAAAGGAAAGGAAGUCGACAAUAAAGUGGAGAUGCCGGUGACAAAAGAAAAUCAAAUUGUACCUGUAAAUGCUGAGGACUCACCACCGAAGGAAAAAGAAGAAACCAACCCACGAGAAUAUGUUCCUAAAGCUCCAUUUCCUCAGAGGUUAGUGAAAGGAAAGAAGGGAAAAUCCACAGGUGAGAUUCUCGAAAUCUUCAAACAGGUAAGUGUUAACAUCCCUUUACUUGAUGCUAUAAAGCAAGUUCCAUCUUAUGCCAAGUUUCUUAAAGACCUUUGUACUAAAAAGAGAAAUAUGCAUGUUCAAAAGAAGGCAUUUUUAACAGAAAACGUUAGUUCUAUACUCCAACAUAAAAUUCCUUUAAAAUGCAAAGACCCAGGCUCCCCCACUAUCUCAUGUAGUAUAGGGAACCACACAAUUGAGAAUGCUUUGUUGGAUUUAGGAGCUAGUGUAAAUUUGUUGCCUUACUCUGUAUUCGUGAAACUUGGACUGGGAGAAUUACACCCAACUCCAGUGGUGUUACAACUUGCAGAUCGGUCCACAAAAAUACCUCGUGGUAUUGUGGAGGACGUGCUUAUCCAGGUAGACAAGUUUUAUUUUCCUGUUGAUUUCAUUGUAAUUGACACUCAACCAAUACAAGACUCAAGGAAGCACAUCCCCAUUAUUCUAGGCCGACCUUUCUUGGCAACUGCAGAUGCUCAUAUUCAAUGUAGGACCGGAAAUAUGCAAUUGUCCUUCGGCAACAUGACUAUGGAGCUAAACAUCUUCAACAUUGCCAAACAACCUCACAGUGCAGAUGAUGGAAUUGUUGAUGUGGAUUUAAUAGAAACAAUAGUUGAUAAUACUUUUCUUUCAAACCUUAGUGAUGAUCCUUUACAAACAUGUUUAACUCACUUUGGUUUGGAUUUUGAUAUUGACAGAUCGGUCGAAGAGGUCAACGCCCUACUUGACUCAGCACCAUCCAUGGACACUAAUAAAUGGAAGUCAAGAGUUGAACAACUAGCACCAUCAGAGAAGAAACUCAUUCCAUCAUCAGAAUCACCACCGAAACUCGAGCUCAAACCAUUACCCAACACUCUGGAAUAUGCAUUUUUGGGAGAAGAAAGUACUCUGCCGGUAAUCAUCUCAUCAUCCCUAAAUGACGAACAAAAAGGUAAGUUGUUGGAUGUGUUAAAAGAGCACAAAGGGGCAUUAGGAUGGACCAUAGCAGACAUAAAAGGUAUAAACCCAGUAGACUGCAUGCAUUACAUUCACCUUGAUGAAAAUGCUAAAACUACUAGGGAGAUGCAACGUCGGUUAAAUCCUAACAUGAAAGAAGUUGUUAGAACUGAAGUCCUUAAGCUAUUAGAUGCAGGUAUCAUUUACCCAAUUUCUGAUAGUUCAUGGGUCAGUCCUGUACAAGUCGUCCCCAAAAAGUCAGGAGUCACAGUAGUUACCAAUGCUGAUAAUGAAUUGAUACCAACUAGAGUAACUACAGGAUGGCGUGUAUGCAUUGAUUAUAGAAAGUUGAAUUCUGUCACACGUAAAGACCAUUUUCCUUUACCAUUUAUUGAUCAAAUGCUUGAUAGAUUAGCAGGCCAUGAAUUUUAUUGCUUUCUAGAUGGCUACUCAGGAUAUAAUCAGAUUCCCAUAGCACCAAAAGAUCAAGAGAAAACUACUUUCACUUGCCCUUUUGGCACAUUUGCAUAUAGGAGAAUGCCAUUUGGAUUAUGUAAUGCACCUGCUACAUUUCAACGAUGCAUGUUGAGCAUUUUUUCUGAUAUGGUUGAACGAUUCCUUGAAGUCUUUAUGGAUGAUUUUUCUGUCUUUGGUGACUCGUUUGAUCAAUGUUUACAUCAUCUAACGCUAGUUCUGCAGAGAUGUACCGAGAAGAACUUAGUCUUAAAUUGGGAGAAGUGUCAUUUUAUGGUAAAACAAGGUAUUGUUCUCGGUCACAUCAUUUCAAGCAAAGGUAUUGAGGUUGACAAAGCCAAGGUGGAUCUCAUUUCUAAUCUUCCUCCACCUAAAACAGUCAGAGAAGUAAGAUCUUUCCUUGGGCAUGCUGGUUUCUAUAGACGUUUCAUUAAAGAUUUUAGCAAAGUUUCUAGACCCUUAUGCAAUCUACUUGCUAAGGAUGUAUCUUUUAUCUUUAAUGAUUCAUGUCUAAUGGCGUUUGAAAAAUUAAAGCAGUUGUUGACAUCAUCACCCAUCAUUCAGGCCCCAAACUGGAGCUUACCAUUUGAGCUCAUGUGUGAUGCAUCUGAUUAUGCAGUAGGAGCAGUAUUAGGACAAAGAGUUGAUCGAAUUCCCCACGUUAUUUACUAUGCUAGUAUGACAUUGAAUGAUGCACAGUUGAACUAUUCAACUACUGAAAAAGAAAUGCUAGCAGUAGUGUUUGCAUUAGAGAAAUUUCGAUCUUAUCUCAUUGGUUGUAAAAUAAUUAUAUUCACAGAUCAUGCUGCUCUUAAAUAUCUUCUCACAAAGAAAGAUGCAAAAGCUAGACUAAUUCGUUGGGUGUUACUUUUGCAGGAAUUCGACUUGGAAUUCAAGGAUAAGAAAGGCACAGAAAAUGUUGUGGCGGACCACCUCUCUCGUCUCCAUUUUGACACAAUUACAGAGCCAUUAAUAUUAAAUGAGUCAUUUCCAGAUGAACAAUUAAUGAGUGUGGAAGUAUUACCUUGGUAUGCUGAUAUAGUUAAUUAUCUUGUUACAGGUAAAUUUCCAGAGCAUUGGACCAAGCAAGACAAGGCUAAAUUCUUUGCGGAAAUAAAGAAUUUCUUUUGGGAUGACCCAUAUUUGUUCAAGUAUUGUGCAGACCAAAUUGUUAGACGAUGUGUCCCUGAAAGUGAAAUUCAGAAUAUCCUUUCAUUCUGCCAUGAACAAGCUUGUGGAGGCCAUUUUAGUGCUAAGAAAACAGCUACAAAAGUUUUACAAUGUGGUUUCUAUUGGCCAACUAUAUUUCGAGAUGCUUACACUUUCUGUUCUUCAUGUGAUAGGUGUCAACGAAUGGGGAGCAUUACACGAAGGAACAUGAUGCCACUAAAUCCAAUUUUAGUGGUUGAGAUUUUUGACGUAUGGGGUAUCGACUUCAUGGGACCCUUUCCUCCGUCUUUUGGUCAUCAAUACAUAUUGGUUGCUGUUGACUACGUAUCAAAAUGGGUGGAAGCAAUUCCAUGCAGAACCAAUGAUCACAAAGUGGUGAUAGGAUUUUUGAAAAGCAACAUUGUUUCACGCUUUGGAUUCCCUCGAGCGAUAAUCAGUGAUGGUGGUGCCCACUUUUGUAACAAAGCAUUCAAGGCUCUUUUGACAAAGUAUUCAAUCACACACAAAGUGGCAACUCCGUAUCAUCCGCAAACCAGUGGCCAAGUUGAGAUCUCCAAUCGAGAAAUAAAGCACAUAUUAGAAAAGACGGUGAGGCCAGACAGGAAAGAUUGGUCAUUACGACUUGAUGAUGCAUUAUGGGCAUAUAGAACGGCUUUCAAGACCCCGAUUGGGAUGUCACCCUAUAGGCUAGUGUAUGGAAAAGCUUGCCACCUACCUGUGGAACUCGAGCAUCGUGCAUAUUGGGCCAUCAAGAAAUUCAACUUUGACAUGCAGCAAGCCAGCUCAGAAAGAAGAUUACAACUGGCAGAACUUGAAGAAAUUCGCAAUGAUGCAUACGAAAAUGCCCAAAUUUACAAGCAACGAAUGAAAGUCUUUCAUGACAAGCACAUUAUGAGAAAAUCUUUCACUCCAGGUCAGAAAGUGCUUUUAUUCAAUUCUCGCUUGCACCUAUUCCCAGGUAAGUUACGCUCUCGUUGGUCUGGCCCAUUUAUUGUACAUACUGUUUUUCCACAUGGGGCAAUUGAAAUUAAGGACCCAAAGAACGGUGUCACGUUUAAAGUUAAUGGUCAAAGAUUAAAGCCAUAUCUAGAGUACCAACCACAUGGAGAAAACAUCGAAAUAAAUUUGAGUGACCCACCAAAUUUGAAUUGAUUUUUUUUUCUUUUCGUUGAUUUGAUUUUUCUUUAUUUCUUUUUAUUAUUAUUCUUUUGCUAAUUGAAAUUGUUUUUGCAUAAGUGUGUUUAUUUUACCAUUAAGUUUUCUCUUAUCAUUUUUAAUCAUGAGUCUCAUACUUAGACCGUUCCUCCUGAACAUUCUUAAACCACUUCAACGUGUCAAAACUCAUCUCAAAAGGCAGAUUCUAUUUUGUAAAACACAACGCAUUUGGGCUCUACAACCACCAGAGUUAGUAGCCUAUGUUGAGGGUUUAGAACGCCAACUCCGAGAUAUUGAGAGAAGUGUUUACGACAUCCAGUUGGAGCUUGAGGUAAAUUCAAUAAGAGGACGAUUUUAAUUUUCUUUGUGUGUUUUGAUUUGUUUUUCUGUUUGUGUGCUUUAGUUUGUUACCCCGGUGAAGUGGCGGAUAACGGUACUCCGUGACAAUCAAGUCGGUUAACUUCAGUUUCCCAUAAUAACUGAUAUUCUGAGGCGAAGGUAUGGAUAGAAACGAGAUUCUAGCGAAGCUUCACAAGCGAUUCCCUUCACUUCCUCAGAAUGCCCUCCUUACGAUCUAUAAAGCCCGGUCUGAACGCAUGCGAUUGCUCAUGAGGAAUAACAUACCUGCAGACAUCCGUUGGUUAAUCGAGGCUAAAGUACGAUCGGCAGGUGAGUUACCUCCAAAUUUUAUUGCAUACAUGCCUGGUUGUGGUAAAGGAAAUUAUGCAAGAAAACGACGAGCUCGAAGAAUUUCUGUUGCUUGUCAUAAGUGUGCCAGAAUGAGUUGCGAUAGAAACCCAUGUUCUUUAGGAAUGGUGUCUGAUAACAGGGAAGAUAAAAUUCAAUUCAUUAGGGAUGGCUUGAAUAAGGAGUCAUUGGAUGAUAUCCUUUUGUCUCUUGAAACGCAUCCCAGUGGAUAUGUGCAAGGAGCGAUUCUCCAGUUAUGGCCAUUAUUCCAGAAAGAGCAUGCACGAUAUAGUCUCGGGAAUCUGACUAUAAACGACCCUGUUUGCCAGUUUAUAAGAAAACUGGAUGGGAAGCCCAUCCUCGACCCAUAGAGGGCGUUCAAGCCGUUUCUGGACGUAAAACCAGAGGAAGAUGUGAGCCACAGUCGCAACUACCUGUAAAUAUCCUUUUACUUUAUUGUUAUUUUAUUUCACUAUUGUCUUAUUUUUGCAUUAUUGUCUUUAAUAAUUUUAUUACUGUUUUCUUUUUCCUUUUUACUGUUUCCUUUUUGACUCGCGAGCCACGUGCUUUACGCGUUAUUUGACACUGACAUGUUACCUCAUUCACAGCUGUGAUCCACUGUCACCAAGAUUCUUUAAUGUGAUUUAUCUUUUGUCAAGCACUCACAAAUUAUUUUUGAGAAGUAUCACAAUGGCAGCUACUCCCAAUAGACAAUUCAAGAACAUUUGUGUGCUUUCUGGAUUUACCUAUGGCAAACAUAAAGAAUUCGUGGAGGCAGCCAUAGAUCUUGGUCGAAGCAUAGCAGCGAGAAAAUUACACUUGGUGUAUGGAGGAGGUAACCGAGGGUUAUCAAAAAUGGUCUCAGAAGCAGCUUUUAUCAGAGGAAGUCAAGUGUUAGGCAUCAUCCCAAGAGUCCUCAAACCAUUGGGCAGUUCGUCUGACUCAUCAACUGGAGAAGAGUUAGUCGUCUCAGGUAUGCAAGAAAGAAUAACUGAAAUGCUUAAUCAUGCUGAUGCUUUUAUUUUCCUUCCAGGAGAUCUUGCAACACUAGAGGCACUUAUGACACUAGCAUCUUGGGCCCAUCUGCACAUCCACCAGAAACCCAUCGGUUUGUUAAAUGUCAAUAACUUUUAUGAUGGCUUUAUCGCAUUUCUUAACCAUGCAAUAAAAAACUAUUUCAUUCCUUCUAAUGUGAAAAAACUCUUUAUUUGUGCUCACACUGCUAAUGAGCUACUUGAUAUGUUACAAGCUUAUAAACCGGAGCCAGACCCCUGGACCUUUGUGUUGGAGCGACCAAAUAAUGAUGGUAACAGUAGCCGCAGUAAGAAGUACAAAUUAGAUUUAACUCUCCGCCUGUAAAUAUUUUCUUCUGUGUUGCACCACCCAGGUGAUGUCUUCUAAACUCUACUUCUUUCCUUUAAAACAUUGAGGACAAUGUUUCGUUCUGGUUGGGGGGAGGGAAUAGUCGACAAUUGUGGAAUCUUGGUUAAGUUUUUACUAAUUUUUUGUUGUAGAAACUAACUGUUGCUAACUUUUUGUGUUGAAGAUGGCUGAAUAUGGAGUGUAGUUACUCUAGAAACGCAUCUUCAUUGUUCGAAAAAAAAAAAAAAAAAAAAAUUCUUUUUCUUUAUUUAAGUUUUGAUGUUCAUUUUUCUUCUUCUUUUUAUUUUCUCCUCUAUAAAUAUACAUUUUCCAACUUUUGAGUCGAAGAUGGCUGAAUAUGGAGUGUAGUGCCUCUAGAAACGCAUCUUCUUAGUUAAAAAAAAAAAAAAAAAAAAAAAAAAAAAAAAAAUCUUUUUCUAAUUAAUUUUUCUACAUCAUUUUCACAUUUCUGCAUGCAUAUUUUCCUUUCAUGUUUAGAAUAGGUUGGGGGGUAGAAUGUUGUUUAAAAAAAAAAAAAAAAUUUUGUGUUAUUUGUUUUAACAUUGGAUGACAUGAUUAAUUUCAAAUUUUAGUAUUUGUAUUAUCUUUGGUCUUAAGUGAUGUUAAGCUAUGUUUGCUACUUUACAUGUUGAUGUCGGAGACAAAUAUGAGUUGCUUGAAGGAAUGAAUAUGUCAUAAAUAAGUGCCAAGUGAGUUGUUGAGCCUAUCAUUUUCUUGGAGAGUAACCCUUUUGCCCAUUCUCUAUACAGCUUAGCAGUUUAUUAUUUUAUACACGAUCUCUAUAUUUCUUUUGAGUUAACCCUUUAAAAAAAAAAAUGGUAAAAUUAAAAAAAAAAAAAAAAGAAAAAAGAAAAAAAUGUGUGUUGCUACAUUGGGAGGCCCAUCUAACUAGUAGAUAUGGAUAAUUAUUUAGAGCCCUAAAAGACGAUGGAAAGGCCAUCUUUGAUCCGUUUGAGCCUUUCUAGCCAUCCCUGUUAUUAAAUAUCCAUAGUUACCCCUUUUGAGCCUUUAAAAAAAAAAAAAACACACACAAAAAAAAAAAAAACCCUUUUCUUUGCAAACUUAUAAUCUUGCCCCCCUCCGAUUGGGAGUAUUACCCAAUGUCUUAUAAGUUCCCUCACCUAUUUAUGUUUGAGAAAAUGUAAAUAAUUAUGUUGUUCAGUGAAGUUAUGCCAAAUAAAAGCAAAAAAAAAAAAAACAAAAAAAAAAAAACAAAAGUUGUUGUUUCAAAAGAAUAAAAUAACAAUAAUAGGUGAAAUCCACCUUGCAACUUCAAAAAAAAAAAAAAAUAAUAUAUAUAUAUUUCUGCAUUUUUCUCAAACAUACACUUUGUUUUCCUUAUUUCCUUUCUUUGUUAGCCAUAUCCCUAGCCUACGUUACGUCCUAAUAAAAGUCCUUCUUGAUUUUAGGGAACUAUAAUUUGAAGUAGAAGCUAGUUAUAUGGGCUAAAAAGAUGUAGUGGUGCAUAUAAAAAUAAAAAAUAAAAAAAUAAAUUGGGUUGACUAACAUUUUUUUUAUUUUAUUUGACUUGAGAUCGUAUUAUUUCUAAGCUGAGGGCAUAUUUAUUUCAUCUUGGUGAGAGCAUGUGAUAUCACUUCUUUAUUAUUUUCUCUCUCAAUUACCAUUCAUUGGAGUGACUAUUUUUAUUGGGUUUAAUUUAUUUGUGAGAGUGUCAUUACUUCCAGUGAGAUUUUGGGGUUUGACAUGUCAUUCUUGAAAGUAGCUAUAACAAAGUCUACUGGGCCGAUUCAUGUGGAUGGUUGAUGUGGGUGUGAUAUUGCUUUAGACUGGAGAUAAUGCUUAUACUUUUAUUUGAUUGCUAUCAUUAAUCUGAUUGAAUAAACACGAGUGUUUCUAAAAAAAAAAAAAAAAAAAAAAAAAAAAAAAAAAUUUAAUAUAUUUUGAAUUUGAAUUUUGUUUUCGCUUUAUUUGCUAGGGACUAGCAAUAAGCUGGUUGGGGGGUGUGUUGAGUGUUAGAAAAUGCAUAUUUAUAAAGGAGAAAACCGUCAUUUUACAUUUCAAGUCUUACUAACAACCCUUACUUUUAUGUAUUUAACCUUCUUGUGAUGUAAUUACGUGUGUGUUAUUUUAAUUAAGUAUUUUAUGUAUUUUAGGGGCAUUAUAGUCAUUUCACAAUAAAGGAGAGAUCAGACGGCAAAACGGACAUCACUUUUGAACUCAGGACGGUCGAAAACCUUAGGAGGAGCAUAAAAGGAAAAAUGGCACUAUUCACAUGUACGGUACUAUUCACGUAUACGUUACUGUUCACGACACUGUUCACAUAGACGGAUCGAUGACGUGGCAUUGACCGAUGAUGUGGCAUUGACUGAUGAGGUGUCACGAUCCUGUUGGGCUAAAAUUCUUAUGUACUGUUAAUGGUGACGUGGCAGCAUAUCAGUGGACGAAAAAUCUCGUGUACGGUGCAUGCAUCACACAGGAUUAUUUUCAACCAAACCGCGUUACUGUUCAUCCGGGUCAAACCGCGUUACUGUUCAAAGUCGGGUCAAACCGUGUUACUGUUCAUCCGCGUGGUCAAACCGUGGACUGUUGACUGAUGACGUGGCGCAAUCCUGAGCGUCCAAACUGUUUUUAAUCCGAUGGCCAUGAUUUACUCCAUGUAUCUAUAAAAAGGGGGCCUCCCCCCCCCUAAUUUGAUAGCUCUGAAUCCAUUUUUGGGAUUCAUUUUCUGUAAUUCCCUCUCCAUCUUGUAUUUUCUUCGUAUUUUAAUAAAUUCCCAGUUUGCCCCUAGUUCAAUUAUGAGUAGCUAAUUUCCUUUCAAGCUUGGGUUGAAGGUGAAGUCUCAACAUGUGUCAUGGGCUUUAUUUGGUAAAUUUAUUUUCUUUUCCCCUCUAGUUUUUGUGGAUGAUUUGACUUAUCGUCGACAAAUAAUACUGAUCUUGUCUAGAUACCGCCUUGGUUACACCGGCUCUCUAGUAUAAGGUUAUUAUUAUUUGGCACGAUAAGCCCUUAGCACCAUAUUGAUUAGAGCGUGGUUCAUGAGGUGUGGAUUCCCCCCUCAUGAUUUAAUUGGCAUUAAUACGGAUUAUUUAGCCCAUGAUGCAUGUUGAUACGGAUCCAGAUACCCAAGUACGUUAUUUCAAUAGAUUUCUCUUCAAUUUACUCUCGCCAUUGCAAUUCCAGUCUUAGAAUUUAUUAUCGCCAUUUCAAUUCCAAUUUUAGGAUAAUUUAAAUCACUUCCACCACAAUUCCAACCACCCAUUUACAAAAUUAAUUCUACAUAUAAUUAAAAUCCACCUCCUCGUGGGAUCGACACUCGUCACCAUUAGUCUAUACUACAAUAGAUUCGUGCGCUUGCGAGUACAUUAAAAUUUGCACAACAAAUACAUCUUGCCUACUUCAAUAUCCGGUGAUUCUGAUUUCGCCAUGUAUCUGUAAUAUUUAUAAAAUUAUUACAUUACAUUUACAGAAAUAAAAAAUUGACUCGUUAAAAAAAAAAAACUCUAAUUUUUUGGUGCGACAGGCGCCUGCCGCUCCAAAAAACUGGUGCGACAGCGGGCCGCGCAUGGGCGCGCGCUGCUGCCCAGCGAUGGGCGCCGGCGCGCGCCCUGCCCCCCUCCCUCCCCACCCCCAAAAUUAAGCGCAAUCACUCCAAAAUCGAAAACAAUACUCCCAAACACCACCAACCACCACAAACAUCAUCACCACCAUUAUUAAUCUCAAGCUAUAACUAUUAUUAUUCUAAAAUCUCAUUUUAAAUUAAUGAAAAUAAGAAAAAUGACUAACCUAGGUUUUGUUGAAGGUUGUAGAUCGUAGAUCGGAUGCCGGUGAGAGAUGGAGCCGCCGCCGACGAGGGUUGAUGUCGCCGCCGAUGAUGGGAGUUGGAUCGGUUUGGGAGAGAUGAGUGAAAAAGGGAGUGUUGGGGAAGAGAUGAGGGAGGGGUAUUUUGGUCUCAAAUGUUGUUUUAUGGCUAAUGUUGAUAGAAAUAUUUUUGGGGGGUUAAGAUGAAAAAAAGCAAAAUUUUUUGGGUUAUUACUGUAAAUUUCCCAUAUUAUUACCCUGUGACAAGAUUUUAAACUUUAUAUCUAGACUAAAGUGACAAAUAGCGUAGCACUGCAAUCGUCAAUCUUACUCAGCAAAGUUGCUGCCAAGAUCCAGGUGGCAGAAGUCCAGAGGAUGGGACCAAAGGUUAAAGUGAAGAGACCCCAUGGCAUGUGCUUCCAAUAAUAACAGUCUGAAUUCAAGUUCCAAACAUGUGGUCGUUAUGCAAUCUCUCCGUUUCUCAACUUCAUAGAGGCAUUUCAUCGAACAGUCCAUAUACUCGGCAUCUAUCUAAAUUUACGAGAAGGUUCCAGGAAGUUCCUAGUGCUGCCCUCAUCUUCAAACUUGGAAGACCAUUCAAAGCUUUCAAUAACUAGCUUUGAUUAUUGAGUAAAAUAUGAUAAUCUAGCGAUGAUGAUGAUUUAUAUAUGUGAUUAAAAAGCUAAGAUAGUGGAUUUGUAUGUAAGCACACGGCAGAGUAUUUGAGCAAGUAUUUUUAUCUUCUUAUUGUCGUAUUCUUCUAAUCAAUUUUUUUUUCCAUCAACAAAUAUAAUAAAAAAUGUAAAUGUUAGGAUCUUGGACUCAAAUCUUUAAAUUAAAAAUCGUGAUAAUUUUAUCAGUAAACUACAACUCUAUCUUGAUCAAAGUUUUCACCGAAGCAAACAAAGAUUAGUGAUUAGAUGUUAAUAAACAUAAAAAAAAAAAACGAUAAUACACGAAUAAUAAGGUAUGCUAAGCGAUUAGACUAAAAGAAAAUGCAGAGGCACAAGUUUGAUCUCAAGACUCAAUGGGUAAUCCAAAUAAUGCAAAAAUGCCGAACUAAAUUCAUAUGAGGUGAAGACUCGUGCUUCCAAGUCAACUAGAUUCCCAAUGAUUGAGAUACAUAGUUAUAAGGGUUAUCACGGUUUCAUUAUUUUUGAUAUAUAUAUAUAUAUAUAUAUAUAUAAGAUAUAAAAUAACUAUAAAAAGUAUUGGUGUUAUCAUUUUAUUAGUGUAUCUUUAAAAAAACCUUUUAUUUUAUAAUAUUUUUGUUAAUAUUGUGAGUCCAACACUAAUGUCAUAUUGAUAUUAAAGCGCUAAAAGUGUCUUUAGAUUCAAAACUAUGAUAAAAUUAUAUGCAAUUUAACAUUACAAGGGCGGUAGAGUUAUUAUUGCGGUUAAGAAAGAGGAAAAAAAUUGUAAAUCUCAAAUAUCUACGCGUCAUCAUUAUCUUUUUCUUCUUCAUUUUUUUCUUUUUUCAGACAGUGGUCCACCAUCUUUGAAAAAUUAUAGGCGCUUUCGAAUGGGUACUACAAAGCCAUGCAUUGGCAUUGAUGGUCCCAUCUUAAAGAGGAAUUAGAGGAAUUUUGGUGGCAGCAGUGGGUGUGUAACUUUUUUUUUUAAAUGAUUUAUCUCUAGGAAUACAUGAUCAAUUUGAAAGUGGAUUUUACAUAAAAUUUCUUUGCGAUUGCUUUUCAAUUGAUCAGUUUGAUUUGGUAAUGGAAUAAUGGUUUUGUUAUUAUGAGUUUGAAGGAUUAGAUGGUUUUGUUAUCAUUUACAUGUAAAAUAUUGAAAAUUAUUAGACUUCAUUUAAGAAAUUUGAUUAUAAGUCACAAAAUUAAUUAUCUAAAGGAUUAGAUACAAGAAAACAUAUUUUUUUGGGGCAAGUGGGUCAUUUUUUGUCAUAAAGCAAAAUAAUUAAAUACAACUUAUAUUAAAGCUACUUUAAUAGUUAAAAAAGAACUAAGUAAGAAAAAAAUAUAAGAAUGAUUUAAUUGAUUAAUUAUAUAAUUUUUUCUGUUGAUUUAUAUUUAUUAAAAAAAAAGUGUAUUUAUUACAAAUAUUUUUAGAAGUAGGAUGGAUUUACACAAUAGUAGGGUGGAAAUACCCUCACCCACAGGUUAAUUGGAUUUGGAUAGCGCUAGGUGGCAUUUUGGUGUCUCAUUGAAUUUUCUUGUUACCAGUUACUGCUGUGUUGCCGAUAUUUUUCAACUUGUAGUUGUAAGGCUUCUCAAGCAAAUUUUAUGGUAGCUUUCGAUAAUUUUAAGUGUUUAUUAAAUUUUUAACUACUGUAAUUUAAAAGGUACAGUUCAUAAGCAAUAAUACCAGAGAGAGGGAAUUAAAUAGAUUGAGAAUGAUUUUUGAUUCAGGGCGAGUUUUCGAGUGCUUUACGAACAAUCAAAAUGCUAAUCCUAUUAGCCAAUAAACACAAGCGCUUUGUAAAGAACAUUACGGGAAAAACCCUCUAUAUAAAUAACAAUCGUGUAAUUACGGAGGGCGUAUCUUAAUUACAUGGCAGUUACAUUCAAUAACAACAAUAUUACUUAAAAAAUUUCUAUUAGCAAUGAGUAUGUUGGAGGCAGGAUAGAAAAAAUCUGAAGACUUUGCAAACUUUUUGUGAAAAUGCAUCACAGUUGUCUUGUUCUUUCACUGUUGAUAAUCGCAAUACAAUGAAGGCCAAGAGACCCAAAGUGAAGUGGCCCAUGUGCUUUUCUAAUUACACCCUCCUACAAACUUUUUGCGGACUUUAUUAUCAAUUUUUUUAAAAAAAAAAUAAAUAUACAAAUAAAAAGACAAAAGAUGAGACUUAUAGUACCAGUGGCGGGUCCCCGGGUCCUCAACUUCUUCAAAUGGGCAUUUUAUCGAACAGUUGAUGUACUCGGAAUCUACACUUACACGAGGGUUCUAGGGAGUUGCAAGUGCUGCCGGCAUUUUUCAAAUAAUCAAGUGAUUAUUCAGUAAUAAUUAGCUUUGAUUUUUGAGUAAUAUAUGAGUAUGAUAAUCAAGUGAUUAUUGAGUAUAUAUGAUAGCCAAGUGAUUUUGGGCUCAAAUCUUUAAAUUAAAAUUGUGAUCAUUUUAUCAUUAAACUCCAAUUCUAUCUUGAUUAAUAAACAAAUAUUAGAAAGUAGUUGUUAAUAAAAUAUAAAAAAAAGUUUAAAAAAAUCAGGUUGGAUUUUUCAGGAAUAAAUCUUCAAGAAACUAAAUAUGCUUGGUCUAAUUGAAGUUAUUAUUAUUAAUUUUUUUUUUGAGAAUCUAAUUGAAGUUAUUAAAAUGUCAAAAUUAAACCUUUUUAAAUAUAUUAGGGAUUGUAAAGAGUUUCGGAUAUAAUUGAGGAUGAUGAGGUGAUAAAUUUAUGGAGGAAACCGCCAAAAUCUCUCUAUUUAUUUGCCAUGAUGUGAAUAACCAGAGCAACUAAUACUUCAAUUCUCAUCACUGUUGCAAUAGAGGUUUCAUGAAUUAUGAAUAAUUAGUGACGAUUGCGUAUUUAAGCCUAAUUAUCUUAAGAAUCUAUCGAUGAUUUAGGUUAGAAGUCCAUUAGUUAGUCUAGUACAUAAACUAAAGUUUAAUAUAUCUACAUAUAACUGAAUGAAUAUCUUAUGCAUUAUAUUCACUCCAUCAAGUAUGAAGUAUAUAUAUAAUUAAAAUGAUCUACAAGUACUAGGCGUACAAAAAUCGAAUGGUAAGAGUAGAAUAUAUAAGCAUCGGCAUUAUAUGACGGGAAAAGAGCUCAUUAAUAAAUUACACGAGUGAUAAUACUGCUUGAAUCAGGCUCACGUCCAAGGUUGAGAAGAGUUAAAUUAAGUAACUCUUCGAUGAUUUCUUGUGCGUAAAAUUAUAAAUUUAUAAUCAUCAAUAUAUCUCGAGACUUUGUAAAGUUACUGCGAAAAUGCAUCACAGUUGUACUUAUUAUCAUUUUUUUUCUGAUACCAGUGGCGUGGCCUCGUGGGUCCUCAAAUUAUUCAUAUGGGCAUUUCAUCGAACAGUUGAUAUACUCGGCAUCUGCACUUGGAGGACGCGUUCAAAAACUCUAAAUCAUGUUAAAGUCAACCAAAAAGACAAAUGGUUGUGUUAACGUGUACAUUUGGGUGGGAACAUCAAAUAUAAACAAAGACCAUGUGAAAAAGAAAACCAAAAAGCUAGAAAUAAAAAAAGGGAGCACAGUGAAAGAUCUGCAAAGAAGGGUUUCGGACAAGGACGAUUAUGAAUAGGGGACCAGAAGAUGUAUAAGGGAUUUCAGAGAAUUUGAGAGAAGUGGGAUGAUUAAGAAAAUGCAGGAGCAGGACAUUUAUGACCUCUAUUAGUAAUUUGAUUUCGUGAUGCAUUUUCAAAAAGAAAAUCAUGCAAACAAUUGGAGACUAGGUGAUGAUAAUGAAAUAUCACAUAACGUACUUAAUAAUUUAUAUGCAAUAAUGUGGAAUCGACAAUUCUGAAUCAUGUUAAAGUCAAGAAAAAGAUAAAACAUCAAACAUGGAAAGUGGCAAUUGCUGUAUUGCGUUGCGUGUAUUUUGGGAUCAUCAAAUACAAACAACUACCACGUUAAUGAUGCGUUUACUUCGUGGAAAGGAAAUAGAGUGGAAUGAGAAUGUGUUGAGAAUAAGAAUAAACUGGAAUGAGAAAGAGGAAUGCAAAUGGGAUUUUAAUAUUUAAUUGACAAAAAUAAAUGAGAAUGAGAAUAUGUUGGAAUGUUAUUGAUAUGCUUACUUGGCAAAAUAAAUGAGAAUGAUAAUCAAUUUUUCAAAAUACCUAUAGUAUUAAAUAAUAUAAUUUUCAUUAACUAGAUACAUGUAUAAAUUUUAUUAUAAAAAUGAUAUUAAUUAAAAACUAAAAUUAAUAAUAAUAAUAAAUGUUAAUAAUGAUAAUAUUAAUAAAAAUAAUAAUAACAAUAAUUAACAAUAACUAAAAUAAUAAAGUUAAUAAAAUUUAAUAAUAAUAAUAAUGAUAUUUAAAAUAAUAAAAUUACUAAAUUUUGAUAAUAAUAAUAAAUAAUAUUAAUAAUGAUAAUAUUAAUAAAAAUAAUAAGAAUUAUUAUUAUUAUAAUAACUAAAAUAAUAAAGUUAAUAAAAUUUAAUAAUAAUAAUAAUAAUUUGAACAAGGAUAAUUAGGAAAAUAUGAAAAAAUUAGAAAGAUACAAAAGUGAGUUCAGGGAAUUAGAAUCCUCAUUCCCAACCCCCAUGGGAUUAUUCCUAAAUUAUGUGGAAUCCACACAUUUAAUUCUCAUUCCCAAAUUAUAUUUUGUCAAGUAAACAUAAAUUUCAUUCUCAUUCUUUUAUUUCCAUUCUCUAAUCUCUCAAGUAAACACAUCAUAAAAAGGAAAAAACACAUCAUAAAAGAAGCAAAAGCUAAUGAGAUUGGUAAAGAUAUAUCAAAAGAAAGACUAAUAGAACUUUCCCAGCAGCAUUAAUCAUGAUUAUUUGAUAAGAUAGAGGUAAUAAAUGAUUAUAUUUUUGGUGGAAAACAGAACAGAGCACGUUACAAGAGCUGAUUGCUUUCUUUAUUUUUUGUUAAUAUUUAAACAAAAAUACAAGUCAAUGAAAAAAAUUGAAAAUAACGCACCAUCAAAUCAACCUUGGUGCAGAAAAAUAUUAACAUUUAAUGAACUUAGAGGGAUGAGUUGGGCUAAGUCUUUAAAUCAGCUCUGUCGUGGAAUAUAACAGGAAGAUUAAAAGAAAAAUCAAUCAACUACAACUAGUAUAUAAUAUAAUGUUUUCACAUUUAAUUAAUUAGGAGACGGAUACACUAGCAAUCAGCAUUAAUCAAAAUUAUUUAAUAAACUAGUAUUUAUUGGAUACCUUGGUGCAAAACAGAGUGUUGAGAGAUAAAAAUUAGAGUACGUUUGGGAUUGGGCUACAGCUGUUGUGAAAAAAAAAAUUAUAAUUAUGAAAUAAAAGUUAGUAAUAUAUAGUAAAUAUAAAUUUUAAAUAAUAAUUUUGAUAAAAUUAUUAAAGAUAUAAUAUAUUUUUUAUUAUACAAGUGAAAAAUUAUAUUAACAUAGCUUCAAAGCUACAUCAGUUAGUGUUUAUCAAACACUUUAGUGCUGUAACUUUUAAACUAUAACUGCCCAACCUCAAUCUCAAAUGCACCCUUAAACUGGUGUCUUUCAGUCUUUGGCAGGUGCUUGGUGCUUAAUAAUUUUUCAUGACAAAAAAAUCGAUAAUUAGAAUGAUUAUAAGUUAAUUUAAUGCUGAAUUUCAUCAUUAACUGCUGAAAUACUCCGGAAAUCCAAAUACAUUUAACUAAACACAAAUUUAAUCAAAUCAUUGAACACGCAAUCUGAAAGCGGAUUCAAAAUAACUUUAAUAGAAAAGCCAAAAGCAGAACAAUCAACAAAGAAGCAGAAGAACCUCUCACCAAUGCCAUUUGACCCUUCAUAGAAAGAAAGAAAUCAAGCUCCAUGUAAUAUAACGCCUCACAAAUUACACAGAAAAAUGGCCGCAUUCCAUAUGAUGCAUAGAAUGUGGCCCGAAUCCUCUUCGUAAGUUUGGAAUUUCUGGAGAAAAAUACACAAUGAAGGUGAAAUCAGGAAAAUAAGGAUAGUGAUAUUUCGUGCAAUUUUCAUGUAAAUUGCAGGAAUUAGCCUCUAUUUGGUAAGUAGUACUGGAUGCCUAACUAUUAUUACUAUUACUAUUAUUUACAUGGAUGGGGUUGGGUAAGACAGGUUCAUCAUAAUUAACCAAACCCAACCCAACCCAAUUAUUAAUUGGAUUCAAAAAAAUUUACCUAAUAACCUCAUAAUAAUUCACUCAACCCAUCAAAAUUUGAUUAGAUUAGAUUGAGUUGGAUUGUGUUCAUCGGGUUGGAUUGAGUUUGGCUACCCCUAACUCUUGGCCCAUAUUAUUUAUUUUUAUUAUUUGGUAAUUUUAUUCAACCAAUAAAUUUAAAUUUCAUCAAUAUAUAUAAAAUAAGUUUAUACAAGAGCUUUUAACUCUAUCUGUUGUUUGUGAAAGCAAUUCCAGAAAACCAAAACGGCAGAAGACUUUGUGUUUAGAAGCUGGAAACACUUAAACUCAAACGGCACAAGAUCCUGCGUUUUGAUGAGUAAAAGAAAUGCACUUUUGAACGACGUAUGGGUUUGUCGUUUAGAUUUAAGUGAUUCACGCGUAUAUCACGUGCUUGAGUUCAGCUUUGCAAAGUUCGUUAUAUGUCGUUAGAAGCACGAAGAACUCACGUGAGGUGCUGGGGAUUUUCUGGGUUUGUUAGCUAAAGCUGUUAUGGAACAGCUGAUGUGGAAGCAACGGAUUAGAGAGCAGAGAGAGCUAAAGAGAGAGAAGGGAACUGGUUAUAUAAGCUAGUUGUGAUCUGUCUUUGAGAAGCUAAGCAUUUACUCUGUAAUUCAUCUGAAGGAAAUCAAUAAAGCUGUGUUCUUUCCCUCCCGUGGAUGUAAGCUAGAGAAAUCUAGCUGAACCACGUUAAGAUUCUUUGUUCUUUCUUUACAUUACUUUCUUUUGUUUCUUUAGACCAUUUUGUUGACCAUUUAAGUUCCAUAGAUUUCAUCUUAGUCGUAGCUUUUCGGUAAACCAUCUUGUUGCAUCUUGUUCUGUUGGCUGGAGAUCUUGGGGCAGAGUCUUGGGUUGCUCUAUCAGUCAUUAGCACCUGAGAUUCUACAAUUGAUAUCAGAGCUGGAUCUACAACCAAUGACAAGUAUGGUUUCAACCAAGAUCGAUCUUGAGAAGUUUACUGGUAAGAAUGAUUUCAACAUGUGGAAGGUGAAGAUGGAGGCCUUGCUGAUAACACAGGGGCUAGGAGAUGCACUCGAACCUGUCACCAAGAGGGAAAGGAAAGAAGAAUCAUCCUCCAAGACACCUGAAAUGACUGCCGAGAUAGACAAGAAAGCCAGAAGCACUAUCAUAUUGAGCCUUGGUGACUCAGUGAUAAGGGAGGUUGCCAAGGAGAAGACUGUUGCAGACCUAUGGGCAAAAUUAGAAAAGAUUUACAUGACUAAAUCUUUGGCUAAUAGGUUGUAUAUCAAAAGAAGGAUGUUCACACUGAAGAUGGCAGAAGGGUCCUCUCUGGAUGAUCAUAUCGAUGAAUUUAAUCAAGUUUGUGACACACUUGAAACCAUUGAUGAGGGGCUGGAUGAUGAAGGAAAGGCAUUGCUUCUGGUGAGCUCUCUACCUCAGUCUUAUUCAAAUUUUGUUGAUGCCCUUAUGUAUGGAAGAUCAACCUUAUCAUUAGAUGAGGUUAAGGCUGCCUUAAAUACUAGAGGGCUACAAGAAAAAUCUGGAAAUAUGAUGCAUGCUGAAGGGUUAUCAGUAAAGGGUAAAUCUAACAAGAAUGAUGGGAAGAAAAAGAAACAAAAGCAAGAAAAGUCUAAAUCACAAAACAAAAAGUGCUUCCAUUGUCACAAAGAAGGCCACUUUAAGAGAGACUGUCAAGAACUGAAGAACAAAAGCAAGGAAAGAAAUGGUGAUGCAGCUACAGUAGAGGAAGAAGGUUAUGAAUCUUCUGGUGUAUGUGUGGCUACAGAGGAUCUCCAGAGAGGUAAAUGGAUACUAGAUUCUGGUUGCACCUUUCAUAUGUGCCCAUUUAAAACUUACUUCUCUGAUUAUCAUGAUUUAGAUGGGGGAAAAGUAAUGAUGGGUAACAAUGCUGUAUGUAUAGUCAUAGGCAUGGGAAAUGUGAGUCUUAGGCUUCAUGAUGGGACAAUAUAGGAACUUAGAGAGGUCAGAUAUGUUCCUGAUUUAAAAAGGAACUUAAUCUCACUAGGUUUGAUUGAUCAGAAUGGGUUUAGUAUUAAGCUUGAAUCUGGUAGGUUGCUAAUCAUGAAGGGCUCUAAGAUAGUAAUGAAAGGGUUUAAAAUGAAUGGAGUAUAUGUCCUAGAUGGUGAGGCAAUUACAGGGAUAACAUAUGUGAUUGUUGGCACUGGUAGGGAAAGCACCAGGUUGUGGCACCUAAGAUUGGGGCAUAUGAGUAUUAAGGGGUUAAAAGAGCUUGAGAAACAAGGAGUUCUGGGGAAGGAUAAGAUAGAAGAGCUAGAUUUUUGUGAGGAUUGUGUAUAUGGAAAGUCCACAAGGCACAGUUUCAAAAACUCAACCAGCAAAUCUAUUGGCAUCCUAGACUACAUACACUCUGAUCUCUGGGGACCUGCACAGACAAGCUCAUUAGGUGGAAAUAGUUAUUUUUUGUCAAUAAUAGAUGAUUAUUCAAGAAGGGUUUGGGUCUAUGUACUGAAGCACAAAGAUCAGGUCUUUAACAAAUUCAAAGAAUGGAAAACCUUAGUUGAAAAUCAGACUGGAAAGAAGGUUAAGAAGUUAAGAACAGACAAUGGACUUGAGUUCUGCAAUCAGCAAUUUAACAGCUACUGUGCAAAUGAAGGGAUAGCAAGGCAUAAAACAGUGAGGUUAAGACCUCAGCAAAAUGGAUUGGCAGAAAGAAUGAACAGGACCUUGAUGGAUAAGGUGAGGUGCAUGCUGGUGCAAGCAAAGUUUCCAAAAAGUCUCUGGGCAGAAACAUUGUUAACAGCAAGUUAUCUGGUGAAUUUGAGUCCCUCUGCUGCUCUAGACUUUAAGACUCCAUUUGAAAUGUGGCAUAGGAAACCAGCAAGCUAUGUCAAUCUUAAAGUGUUUGGAUGCCCUGCUUAUGCACAUAUCAAUCAAGGAAAGUUAGCACCCAGGGCUCUUAAAGGUCAGUUCCUAGGCUAUCCUGAUGGAGUUAAAGGAUACAAACUAUGGUGCACUGAUCUAGAACCUCCAAGGUGCAUAAUAAGCAGAGAUGUGGCAUUCAAUGAGAAGGCUGUUUUGGAAAUCAGAAAGGAUGCUGAACUGAAAACUAAGAAACCUCAAGUGCAAGAAGACAUCCAAUUUGAGGUGGAGCAUCCUGAUUCAAAGAAAUCUGAGAGGGGGAGCAACUCAGAUCAAGACGGUGGAGAUGAAAAUGAAUGCAGUGACCCUCAACCACAAUCUCAAAAGCAGACUCAAGUACAAGGUUAUCAGUUGACAAAAAAUAGAGAAAAGAGACAAAUCAAACCACCACAGAGAUAUGGGUACGCUGAUCUGAUAGCAUAUGCACUAGCUGCUUCACACGAUAUUGAUGUAGAUGAGCCCAAGAAUUAUGCAGAGGCUAUUCAAAGCUCAAACAAAUCAGAUUGGCAUGAGGCUAUGAAUGAUGAGAUAGCUUCUCUUAAGAAGAAUCACACCUGGAUACUGAUUGAGAAACCUGGUAACAGAAGGACAGUGGGUUGCAAGUGGGUUUUCAGAGUCAAGGAAGGCCUCACAGCUAGUGAACCUAAAAGGUACAAAGCUAGGCUAGUAGCAAAGGGGUAUACUCAAAGGGAAUGAGUUGACUUUAAAGAGGUAUUCUCCCCUGUGGUCAGGCAUGCAUCCAUCAGGGUGUUGUUUGCAAUGAAUGCAGUUCAUGACUUAUAGCUUGAUCAACUUGAUGUCAAGACUGCUUUCUUACAUGGAAGACUACAGGAAGAAAUCCUUAUGACUCAACCUGAGGGUUAUGUGGAUUCUGAGAAACCAAAUCAUGUCUGCUUGCUGAAAAGAUCACUGUAUGGGCUCAAGCAAUCUCCAAGGCAAUGGUAUCUCAGGUUUGAUGAGUUCAUGCUGUCACAUGGAUACCUAAGAUGCAGUUUUGAUUGCUGUGUAUAUUACAAGCUAAUAAGCACAAAUCUCUACAUAUACCUGUUACUAUAUGUAGAUGAUAUGUUGGUAGCCUGUAAAUCAAGAGAAGAAAUUGAAGCUUUGAAGAAUUUGCUGAGCUCUGAAUUUGAGAUGAAAGAUUUGGGGUCAGCAAAGAAGAUACUGGGCAUGGAAAUCAAGAGGGAUAGAAGCAAAGGCAUUAUGUUUCUUUCUCAAGAGAAAUAUCUGAGGAGGGUACUGGAAACCUUUGGGAUGACCUCAUGUAAACCUGUGAUGACUCCAAUAGCAACACAUUUUAAGCUCUUCAGCCUGCAAUGUCCUAAAACAGAAGAAGAAAAGUUAGAGAUGGCUAAGAUUCCCUAUGCUAAUGCAGUUGGCUGCAUGAUGUAUGCUAUGGUUCUAACUAGACCUGAUAUCUCAUAUGCUCUAAGUGUAGUUAGCAGGUACAUGGUAUCUCCUGGUAAAGAACAUUAGAGAGCUGUAAAAUGGGUGCUGAGAUACCUAAGUGGAACCCUGAGCCAUGGGCUGAUUUAUGGCAAGUCAAGGAUCAAAUCUGAGGGGAUCAGUGGUUUUGUUGAUUCUGAUUUUGCAGGGGACUUAGACAGGAGAAGAUCUCUCACAGGGUAUUUGUACAUGCUGGAUGGUUGUUUGAUUAACUGGAAGGCAAGUCUUCAGCAUGUUGUUGCAUUAUCAACAACAGAAGCUGAGUAUACAGCAGCUGCAGAAGCAGUAAAGGAAGCCUUAUGGUUAAAAGGCUUGAUUUCUGAGCUAGGAAUGAGUCAGAAAAUAGUUGAUGUGUUCUGUGAUAGUUCAAGUGCCAUUUACUUGAGUAAAAACCCAGCUCACCAUGAGAAGACAAAGCACAUAGAUAUAAAGCUGCACUUCAUCAGAAAUGUAGUCUCCAUGGGUGUGGUCAGAAUGGUAAAGAUACAUACAGACAGAAAUCCUGCUGACAUGUUAACAAAAGUAGUCACUACAGCUAAGUUCAAGGCUUGCUUGGACAUAGCUGGUCUUGGUUGUUGGUAAUCCAUUCUGGAGAUGGAGGGGGAUACCAGGGAAGAUUUGUUUCAAGGUGGAGAAUUGUUGUUUGUGAAAGCAAAUCCAGAAAACUAAAACGGCAAAAGACUUUGCGUUUAAAAGCUGGAAACACUUAAACUCAAACGGCACAGGAUCCUGCGUUUUGAUGAGUAAAAGAAAUGCACUUCUGAACGACGUAUGGGUUUGUCGUUUAGAUUUAAGUGAUUCACGCGUAUAUCACGUGCUUGAGUUCAGCUUUGCAAAGUUCGUUAUAUGUCGUUAGAAGCACGAAGAACUCACACGUGAGGUGUUGGGGAUUUUCUGGGUUUGUUAGCUAAAGCUGUUAUGGAACAGCUGAUGUGGAAGCAACGGAUUGGAGAGCAGAGAGAGCUAAAGAGAGAGAAGGGAAUUGGUUAUAUAAGCUAGUUGUGAUCUGUCUUUGAGAAGUUAAGCAUUUACUCUGUAAUUCAUCUGAAGGAAAUCAAUAAAGCUGUGUUCUUUCCCUCCCGUGGAUGUAAGCUAGAGAAAUCUAGCUGAACCACGUUAAGAUUCUUUGUUCUUUCUUUACAUUACUUUCUUUUGUUUCUUUAGACCAUUUUGUUGACCAUUUAAGUUCCAUAGAUUUCAUCUUAGUCGUAGCUUUUCGGUAAACCAUCUUGCUGCAUCUUGUUCUGUUGGCUGGAGAUCUUGGGGCAGAGUCUUGGGUUGCUCUAUCAGUCAUUAGCACCUGAGAUUCUACACUAUCAUGACUCAUCAAACAAUGUUCGAUGAAAAUAAUAAAUAAAAUAUACAAAGGUAUCAUUAAAUCCAAAAGCAUCCAAUGUGUCAAAAAUUAUCCUAUCAUUUGAGAUAAAAAUAUUAAAAUAUUAUUUUCAAAAUCAAUAAUGAUGUAACCACAAACAUUUUUAUAUGAACUUGUGUAAACAAACUAAUGUGGCAUAAAGACAUUAGUUAAAAAGCGAUAACUAUUAUUUUUGUAAAUUAUGUGGGUCUAUAAUAGUUUUAUACAACCAAUCUUCUCAUGCAACAUCUAUAUGAAUUUUUUUUUACAAGGUGAUUGUGGCUCUAUAUAUCCAAGCCGUUGUUCAACUUCAAGAGGUUCAAAUUUUGUGAAAGAAGCCAAGAAGAGAUUUUACGCCAUUCAACAUGCCUAUUCUGCUGUUAACCUUACUAAAUUCCAAAAUUUUUAAUUCUUAUUUAUUUAUUUAUUAUGCAUGUAAUUUGUAGUAUACAAUAAGAAAUAAAAUUGUAAUCCUUUUUAUAAUGAUGGAUAAUUAUCGGAUUCACGAGAUGUUGUUUUCCUUCUUCUCUCUUCAAGUUCUAUUUGUUGCCAACAAGAGGUUCUUGUACUAUGUAGGAGUCUAUGAUAGUGAUGAUGAAUAAAAUAAUAUGAGCUCCAAUUUUGUGUGUGUGUGUGUCUCUCUCUCUCUCUCUAUUUAUAUAUAUUGAUUUCAUUUCAUCUUUAACUUUUUAAUGCGCUUUUGUUGCUUUGAAGAUACAGCAAAAUUAACUCCUACAAGAAGGGGGGAGGGGGGAACGGGGGAGGAUUUUAUUACAUGAGACUUUUUAGUUUUGUUUUGAGGGAAUGGGAGAUUUCUUGAAUGAAAUGGCUGUGAUGAUGAGCCAAACACAAACUAAUGUAAGCAUUCUUCAAUGCAUAUUUAUGUUUUCUACAGAAUAAUUUGAGAAUUGUGUUUGGAAAUUCCUAGGCAUUAUUUAGCUUUUUCCAAGAUUUAGUUAUGGCUUUUACUUUGCUGGUUGGCAAAAGAAUGACGGUAUUUUGAUUUCUCCUAAUCAGAUUGCAAAUGGGUCACUUAGUCACAAGGGCAACAUAUUUUAAUCUGUUUUUAUUUUUAUCCUCAGUGUGUUCAUGCUCUGAAAAGUAGUGAUUCAUGAUGCCUAGUUUUGGUCUUGUUCAAUGGGCAAUUACAUAUAAGUUCUAUUGUUGGAAAAUUGAUUGGUGAAGCAGACAUGCAACUAAAGUGAAAUUGAAAAAUAAUGAGACAACAGAAUCACACAGGGACAUCAAGAUUUAUGUGGUUCAGCUUUUAAUCUAGAUUCAUGGGCGAAAACAUAAGAAAAAUAUUUUUCUAGUGAUAUGAGAAUUACAAAUAUUAUAAUAUUUUGGCUCACUACCAAAAUUUCAAUACACCCAAUCUCUCUUAUUGCCCAUUGUAUAUUAUCAGACUCCCUUUUGUUGCAAUCUUGUGAUUGAGCAGGUCUCAAGAUUCUGACCUUUUUCACCCCGCUUUCUGACAGAAGAAUUUGCCUAUCAUUGUCAAGUAAUUGGCAAUUAGCCACCAUCUGCUCUAUUCAUUAUGAAGGCAUUGUAUAUUUAUUAUUUUCUUGCAAAUUUUGAUGCAUUUUCACUUCUUCUGCUUCUUUCAUUCAUUUGCUGGGCUUUUGAGUUUUGUAUUUCAUAUUUUAAAUAGUGAACAACAGAAUAAUCCCUAAAUUAUGGUCUGCUGGGAGCCUGGUUAUUUGGGUAGACUAUGGCACAAGAAAAUGAAGAGAAGAAGGAAGAUGGGAAUGCUGGGGAAGCCUCAACCGAAGCAAAAUCAUCUGAAAAUAAAAUCCAUAAAUCAUUGAAGGCCAGAUCUAAAAUUGCAAAGAAGUCACCAGUUAAUGACUUUGAAAGAACUUUAAGUAUUUAUGUUUGGCAAGCGAGAAAGCUAAAAGAGAAUGAAAGAAAAUACAUAAAUGAACAACUUGAUAAUAUUCUUAUUAUUAGAUCUGAACGGAUUACACAAUUAUUUAUAUGUAAAGAGAGCAGCUUGUUACAUUUGUUAGUAAUCUGUUACACACAUAUGAAGAAUGCUUAAUCAGAGUAACUAACUAAGCCACGUCACCAAGCCACAUCAGCUGAGGGAGUGAAUCUGCUGCAGUCAAGUACAGCUGAAUAAACUACACUCGAUUCCUCUGUUCUUCAUAUUAAGCAGCUUCACUAACAUCCUCUCUUAAACUGAAGCUUCUUUUCUGUUCUCUACAAAUCAUCAGCUUCACUAACAUCCCCUCUUGAGCUGAGCCUUCUAGGAUGAACAUUUAACUUGCUACGCAAAUAAUGAAACUGAGUGAAAGUGAGAGCUUUAGUUAAGACAUCAGCUGUUUGAUCUGCACUAGGCACAAAACAAACAGUUAACUCUUUAGAUGCCACUUUAUCUCUGAUGAAAUGAAUGUCCAGCUCAACAUGCUUUGUUUUAGCAUGAUAAACUGGAUUGUAAGCCAAUGCUAUUGCACCCUGAUUAUCACACCAUAUAAUUGGUGUAGCACUUAACUCAAUUUUCAGCUCAGCAAGCAAAGACUGUAUCCAAAUGACCUCUGCUGCAGCAUGAGCCAAAGCUCUAUACUCAGCUUCUGUACUGGAUCUUGAGACAACUGCUUGUUUCUUAGAAGACCAUGAAACUAGAUUAGCACCUAGAUAAACUCCAAAACCAGCAACUGACUUCCUAUCAUCUCGAUCACAAGCCCAGUCUGAAUCAGUAAAACAAUUUAUCUGCAUAGCUCCACAGUUGUAGAACUGCAGACCAAAAUGUAUUGUGCCUUUUAGAUAUCUUAACAACCUCUUACAACCUUCCCAAUGUGCAGUUCUUGGAUUGGAAAGAAACUGGCUGAGGUUAUUGACAGUGAAGGCUAUUUCUGGUCUAGUAAGAGUAACAUACUGCAGGGCUCCAAUAAUGCUUCUAUAUUGAGAGAUGUUGGAAAUCUCAGAACCUGAAGCUUUGGUUAGCUGCUGGCCUGUGGACAUAGGUGUGGGCACUGGACUGCAGGUGACUAAAUCAUGCUUUUGCCAAAACAUCAGCAAUGUAUUUAGCCUGAGACAAGUGAAUUCCAUUUUGAAUUUUAGAAACUUCAAUGCCUAAGAAGUAACUGAGUUCUCCUAGAUCUUUCAAGGCAAAAGUCUGUUGCAUAUCUUGAAUGACUUGCUGAAUUUUUGCUGAGCAGGAACCAGUGACAAUAAUGUCAUCCACAUACACCAAAACCAGAAUUAAGUGACCAUUUUCUUUCUUAUAAAAGAGUGAAUUAUCUUACUUGGAGUUCUGAAAAUGCCACUGAGAAAGCAUAGUUGUUUUAAGUCUAGCAAACCAAGCUCUUGGAGCUUGUUUCAAACCAAGCUCUUAGAGCUUGUUUCAAACCAAGCUCUUGGAGCUUGUUUCAAACCAUAGAGAGCUUUCCUUAGUUUACAAAUGUGCUGAGAUUUAUGAGGAUCAAUAAAGCCUUCAGGUUGUGACAUAGACACUUCCUCAUCAAGAAUGCCAUUUAGGAAGGCAUUGUUUACAUCUAUUUGUCUAAGAGUCCAAUUGUUCAUUACUGCAAUGCUUAGAACUACCCUGACAGUAGAGGCUUUUACUACUGGACUAAAGGUUUCAGUAUAAUCAACACCAUGUGUCUGAUGGAAACCUUUAGCAACCAGCCUUGCUUUGUACUUCAGAACAGUUCCAUCAGGAUUGUAUUUGAUUCUGAAAACCCAUUUGUUACCAACUACCUUAACAGGAGUAGUAGGCAGAACCAAAUCCCAUGUAUGGUUAACCUUUAAGGCUUUAAACGCUUCUUGCAUAGCUUUGAACCAUAAUGGAUCAGAUAAAGCUUGAGAAACAGAGGUAGGCUCAGAGGUUUGUGCUAAAAGGAUAGACAAAUAAGACUUUGGCUUGAAAAUACCAUUCUUUGAUCUGGUUGUCAUAGAAUGACCAAUAGAAUGAGGUGCAGGAAGAAUAUGAGGGGGAGAAUUAUGGGAACGAGAAGUAAAUGGUGAGGUAUCAGGUAUGACAGUAGUUGAGUGUGAUAAUGAGGUAUCAUGUGCAUGAAAACUUUGAGACAAUACCUGAUGAGAGUUGGAAACUGGAGAGACAGGAUCAGCUGCUGAAGUUACUGUUAAAAGAGCCUGGAAUUUGGUAACAGAAGAAGACUCAGGAACUGACUCAACUGAAGAAUUGAUUGGAACAACUUCUGUGACUGAUGAAAAAUCUAUACCAGGAACAUAAGGAAAAGAUUUUUCAUCAAAGACCACAUGAUUAGAAAUAUAGACCCUCUCAGAUGAAUGAAGACAUUUAUACCCCUUAUGAUGAGAGCUGUACCCAAUAAAAAGACACCUCUCAGUUCUGAACUCAAGUUUGUGUCUAUUAUAAGGUCUAAGAUAAGGAAAACAUGCACAGCCAAAAAUUCGAAGAGUAGAAUAAUUUGGUGUUUGAUGAAAAAGUUUCUGAUAUGGAGAGAUAUUAUUUAGAGUUGGUGUAGGAAGUCUGUUGAUCAAGAAGACUGCUGUAUGAAAAGCAUCCCACCAAAAAUGUAAGGGUAGAUGAGCUUGGGCAAGUAAGGUGAGACCAAUAUCAACAAUAUGCCUGUGUUUUCUCUCAAUUCUCCCAUUUUGAUGAUGGAUGUGAGGACAUGGAUGCCUAAAGUGUAUCCCUGAGUUAUUUAGAAGAGAUGAAAAAGACCUGAAUUCCCCACCCCAAUCUGUUUGAACAACCUUGAUGUUUCUUUGUAGAUGUUUUUCAAUAAAAAUUUUAAAAUUAACAAAGACAGGUAGGGCAUCAGAUUUUGCACUUAAUGGGAAAAUCCAAGUAAACCUGCUAAAAUCAUCAAGUAUGGACAUGUAAUAGGUGUAACAUUGGCUGGAAGCAACAUGAGAAGGUCCCCAAAGAUCUGCAUAAAGAAGUUGUAAUGGUGCUGUAGAGAUGGUUUUAACAGAAUUAAAAUGAAGCAUAUGGUUCUUCCCAAACUGACAGGCAUUACAGAAUUCUAACUCUUGAAUUUUAUUGAUAUCAGCAAACUUGUUACAUGAAUUCAGAACUGUUUUUAAUGUGUGAAUGGCAGGGUGCCCCAAUCUCUUAUGAAGAAGAUUUACAUCAAGAGAUUUUUCAGUCACAGCAGACAAACAAACUUUGACACUGCCCUGACAGGAAUUUGAACUAAGUUUCUCACAAGUUGACUGAGGAAGAUAAGCAAAAAGAGACUGAAACUUAUUUUGACUAAGAAUGACUUUAUUGACAGCAGCUGACUGAGUGACAGACUGAGGAUGGGAGGAUGAGCUAGGACUUUUGAUUUUAUAGAGGCCUCCUUUAGCAACUCCUUCAAGCAAGAUGAUCCCGGUGCUCCUGGCCUUAAUGAAACAAGAUGUGCCAACAAAUUCAAGUUUAACAUUGUUGUCAGCAAGCAGUUUAGAAACACUAAGCAAAUUUUUGGUAAUUUUUGGUACAUGUAAAACAUGAUUAAGAAGCAGUGAUUCAAAGGUGUAUGUAACAAGCUGAACUGAUCCAAUAUGUUCAAUAAGCAAUGCAUUUCCAUCACCAACCAAUAAUUGUUCAUUACCAAAAUAAGCUUUAAAAUUGACAAGCUUACCUAAAUCAUUUGUGAUAUGAUUUGUGGCUCCACUGUCAAUAUACCAUGAGGGAUCUUCAACAAUCUCAGGAUUUGCAGCACAGUGUGGCUGAGUUGGUGGAGCUGAAGUACUAGGCAUCCCAUUAGUGAAACCAGGAGCAUAUGGUGAGAAUCCAUUAGUGUAACCAGGAGUAAAGUUAUUAAACCCAGUGGGGUAGUUAAGAGGAGGAUAACCAGAGAUGAUAGCAGGAUCUGAGUAUGCCAUAUAAGCUUGAAAGGCAGCACCUCUUGGCACAUAAGAGUUUCCAAAAUUUGAUCCAAAAUGAGGACCAGGAAACAUUGAGCCCCUUCCAAAACCAUUAAAGGACCUGCCUCUACCAUAUUGACCUUUGAAAUUUCCUCUACCAAAAUUCUUCUUAGGCACAAAAGAAGGAUUAAACCUGUUCUUGCACCUAUUUGCUCCAUGUCCAGGAAUGAAGCAAAUUUGACAGACAACAUCUGAGAAAUUUCUUCCACCAGCAAAUUGAGAUCCAUUAUUAUUAAAACCACCAUUUGGAUUAUUAUCACCACCAAAAUUACCUCCAAAGUUUUUCUGAAAACCAUUGUUAUUUUUACCAGAAUAUGGACCUUUCUGAGCUACAUUUGCUGACAUGUGAUGCAUAACAUCACUAGCAAGUUUACCUUUCUUUUGUUUAAUUCUACUUUCAUGAUUUAGAAGCAACGAAUACAGAUCAUCUAAGGUAAUGGUUCCUUCUCUAGCUAGAACAACAGUUGUCAAAGACUCAUAAUCAGAAGAGUCAAGACCAGUCAACACAUGCAUAACAAAAUCAUUAAGCUCUACUGAUUUUCCUGCUAAGGCUAACGUAUCAGCUAUUCGUUUGAUUUUAGUAAGAUACUCAACCAUACUCAUAGAUCCUUUCUUAAUAGUUUGGAUUUGCAUUCUAAGAGUUUGAAUUCGAGCUUGAGACUGAGAAAUGAACAUACUGUUAAGUGAAUCCCAAAGCUGUUUUGAAGUAGUGCAGUCGAUCACAGUUGACAGCAAGCUUUGCUGAAUAGAUGAUAGCAUCCAGCUCAAGAGGAGUUGAUCCGAUUUCUCCCAGGCAAUGAAGUCAGGAUUUGCAGAUCGUAGCUCACUUACAUUUGAUGAUGAAGCUUCACCAGUGCUAGUAAAAGGAAGAAAUGGCUCUGGACAUUUCAAACCACCAUUGAUGAAACCUUCUAAUCCAUUUCCUUUGACUGAUGCUAAGACUUGUGUCCUCCACAGAAUAAAAUUGUUCUGAUCCAAUUUUACAGGUGUAACAAAGUUGUAAGAAGUAUUAGAUUGAAUCAUACUUGCCAUUGAUGGCUCUGAUACCAUGAAAGAACUUUAAGUAUUUAUGUUUGGCAAGCGAGAAAGCUAAAAGAGAAUGAAAGAAAAUACAGAAAUGAACAACUUGAUAAUAUUCUUAUUAUUAGAUCUGAACGGAUUACACAAUUAUUUAUAUGUAAAGAGAGCAGCUUGUUACAUUUGUUAGUAAUCUGUUACACACAUAUGAAGAAUGCUUAAUCAGAGUAACUAACUAAGCCACAUCACCAAGCCACAUCAGCUGAGGGAGUGAAUCUGCUGCAGUCAAGUACAGCUGAAUAAACUACACUCGAUUCCUCUGUUCUUCAUAUUAAGAAGCUUCACUAACAGACUUGAAGACCGAAAACGCCAAAGUUGCUACACAAGCUUGGCGUAGAUUCAGAAGGAAGAAGAACAAAAAUUUAUUAGAUGAGAAGAAUGAUAAUAACAGCAUUGAAGGAGAGAGUUCUAAGAAGCUAAAUUCAAGAGAAGGAAACCUAAAUGAGAUAAUAACAGCAUUGAAGGAGAGAGUUCUAAGAAGCUAAAUGCAAGGGAAGAAAACCUAAAUGAGAACCUUUCUAAAGAAAAGGACCCAAGACAAGCCAGCAGAAUCAAAAGGAAGCAAGAGGAGAUUGGUCGGUCCGAUAAGAAUCACCGGAAACAAAGAUGUGAAGAGGAGAUUGGUGGGGCAGAUAAAAAUCACUGGAACUAAAGAUGUGUAGAGAAGAUUCCUGUGUCAGACAAGAGUUCGAAGCAUCACAAGGACAAAGAGAAACAAGGAGACGCAGGAAAGAGCCAAGAGAAGGAAAUGAGAAAAGAUAAGCUUGAUGGUUUGAUGUUUAUGUGCAGCGAGAAGACCAAGCCAGAUCCCCUUCUUGAGGAGAGAAGACAUCACCUCAGGUUCCUACUCCGCUGCUAGACAGAGAGAACAUUAUUUGGUCGGAACUGAUCCCUUAAGAAGGGGAGAAACUGAUGAAGUUGAUAGGUUAUACUCAUUGUAUGCCACAAGUGCUUUAUCAAACUACAACAGGCAACACCCAUACGAAGGGCGCAAGCCAGAUUUGGUAGCUGCACCAGUAUCAUCAAGGUACUCCUUUUCCGGUCCAUCUAUGUGUUACCGAUGACAUUUUUACUAUUCAUCCUCUGUACUGUUUGUUUCUUCGUUAGCAAAUUUCUUUCUGUAUAUGAGUCUUAAUAAAAGUUUAAUUGUAGACAGCUUUUUUGCGUUGAAAGUAUAUUUUAAACCUGUCAAACCAAUUAGCUCUCUUGGGAAACUUUAUGACUUCAUAGAAAAUAUUUGUUGCAUUUUGUCACUGAUGGUCAGGCCAUAAAAUUAGUUGAAUGAUGGUGUCAAGCAGUUAGCAAUACAACUUUCUACCAAUGAUAUAACUCUUUUCAUUCUGUAUUUUGUUCGACACUUAAUUUGGUUCCAUUAUGUCAUAAUGUGUGCUUGCUUGAGUUGCAUGUUCAUGCACAAGAAUUUCCCAUCGCAGCGAGGGUUCCUAGGCUACUUUUAGAAGACCUGGAUUUGUCUUUAACUAGCAUAUGACUUUUUUUGAGUUGAAAAGCCUACUGUGAAAGUUACCUGCUCAAAGCAAAAAAAUUUGUUUCUGUGGGAGGAAAAUUAAAUUUUGGCGAAGUUUGCUUUGGGAAUUUUGAAGGUAACUUGAAAAUUUGUUACACAUAUUGAGUGAUUCAAGGUUUUUAAUACAUUUCUUGCAAGGAAUCGUUUUUGUUUGGCUUCUCAAACUGUGUUUCUAAUCCAAUAUCUUAACUAACUUCGGCUGCCAUUUUUUUUUUUAAUCUGGACAGAAAGCUAUUCACUGUUAUAAUGGAUUGUUAUUGGAAAUAAUCAAAUAAAGCCUAUGAAGAAUUAGAAUAAAAUCUAUAUUUUGUCUUUGUGAAGGGAAUAUUGGACAACCAAUCCACCGAUAUUUCUUUUUAUUAAAACCUAUACUUAUUAUAGCCUCAAUCAUUUCGAGACAUACCGGAGAAUUCUAAUUUAAAAAGUUGGUAAAUUUUAAUUCAUUCUCCCGAUAGAACAGCAAUCUUGAUUUUAUCACCUAAAAGAGUGAAAAUAUCAAUUUAGCCUUCAUUUUCAUUCAAUAAGGUGAGAGUAAAUUGAGGAUGCGGUGAUGGAUUUCUUUUUUUUUUUUUUUGGGGGGGGGGGUGGGGAAAUAAAAAAGAGAUGCAUGUUCUUUGUAUGGUCGAUAAUAGAGCCAAAGACUUAUCUCGAGCAUUGCCUUCUUAGGAUCAAAGUUGUGAGUUUAAGCCUUAGUUUCUUGGAAAUAAAUUGAAGACUAUCAUUAAUUGAGGGGUAAAUUGAAGUUUAUUCUAAAAUAUUAUAUGAAACAAUUUAAGCCUUUUACAAUUAUUAAUUGUCUGCUACAAUUUUUUUUUAUUCUAAAGUCUUUAAUACUCUUCUCAUAUUAAUAAUUAGCAGACAUUGUAAAUUUUCAUUAAACAUUUUAUUCUAACAUUUUUCCUCGAAAACGACAAUGGCAAGAUAAUUUGACCUAUCUUGACUGACUGAAUUUGGAUAACUUGUGUUCCACUCUCUCUUCUGCGUCAUUGUGCUAACGUUGCAAGGGAUUCGUCACGCCCACAGUUCUCAAAUUAAAGUUACAUUACAUUUACAUACGUUAAAGACUUUAUAUGAAUAUUCUCCAUCGUCUUUAUUGACCUUUUUUUUAUCUUUUUAUUUUUCCUUGCGUCGAAAGAAUCCUUCACUGAUUGGAAUAUCCAUGAGGACUGGUUGCAAUUGGAAGAGUUCCUGAAAUUCAUCUUUCAUUCGAUCUUAAAUACUUUCUCCGAACAAUUAGAAUACAUUAAGAUUUUAUGAACUUGCUUAGUAGAUCAUUCAACUACUUAAUUGGUGCUAUUAAUUAAUUGAUUAUCUUCCCAGAAACACAUUAAAGACUCUCACCGGGAUUCAUUAAAUCUUUUUGCUGGGUCAAUUCUACCAGCUUUAGACGUAAAAGCUUCGUGAUAAGAGCACAAGCAUAUCGUCUUCAAAAGCUCCUUAAAAAAGCUAGCCAUUUUCUUUAUUGUCAUUUCCAUCCAUUUUAACCCCCUCUUUUUCAUUUUGUACAACUUUGACUUGACUCUGAAAUAGAGAAAUUUAAUAGAAUGUUUAGAAAUAAAAUAAAAUUAGCGUGGAUUUAUCUUGCACUAGUUUUACUCUAUUGAUGUCAAUGAUGUUUUAGGGGGGCAAAAAACUUCAUUAAUUUUACCUUUGUUUGAUGAUGAGGUAAAAUAUGAUUUUUUUUUUUAACUUUUAAAAGAUUUUUUCAAAUGAUUUUCAAGUUGAUUUAUUUGGUUGGACUGUAAAAUAGGUUUGGGCUUAGCCCACCCCUAAUUCCUUUUCUUUUUCUUUUUUUUUCAGUUUACCAUAAAAAGAAUAGGUGUGUUGCAAGUGAGAUAUGGAUAAAGAAUAUAACUAUUUCUUCGUUGGAAAUUUGAAUAAAGAGAUAGAAAAAUUGGUAAACGAGUAAGAACUAAUUUACGGGAAGGAUAAGUGGAUAAGAUUAGUGCUGGAGCCGUCAUGGAUUCAUUGCUAUGCAGAAUUAAAAAUUCAAGCUUAAACGGUUUUGGUGAAGUUUCUAUAUUGAAAUUCAUGUUAAUUAAUCAUUCAUACUUUAAUGAAAGUAUUAAUAGCAGCCGUGUAACUCACAUACACGUGCUUGCAUGCAUGCGUGUGCGCGUGUGCCAAGAGACGAACAAAUAUAUGAUGAAUAGAGAUUUCGGGACCUAUAGACUUCAAAUUAAUGGUGAAACAUCUUUGCAAAUUAAACUGAGAAAAAUUGAAAAGUAUGUUUAUCAUUUUAUGCACGGAAUUCCAUGUCCAUGCAUGCAUCUACCCAACAAAUGCACUUGUAAUUAAGUAUGCAUAUGGUACAUCACUAAAUGUUGUCUUGGAAAAGUCUCCAUUGAUAUAACUCAUGACAUGUCAUUGUACGUACACGCACAACGAAUAGUCAAUAAUGUCCCUGUAGUUUACGUACCCAUGGAGGAGUCAAUAUAUUUUUAGAAAUUUACUCAAAAAAAUCUACAUUAUAUAUAUUUUUUUUCUAUUUUUUAAUUAUUUUCUAUCUUUCACCUGCUAUAUGUUAAAUAAGUUUGAAUUUUAAACUUUAUCAUAUAGAAUUUAGCUUUGAAAAUUUAUGUCCAACAACUAAUUAAGAAAGUAAGUAAAGAGAUGCUUAAUUUAGAUAAUCUUUUAAAAUAUAAUAUUGACCAAACUUGAUAAUUGACUCAAACUAUGGGGAUUAAAACCAUAUUUACCUAUUUAACAAAUUUUAAAAUUAUUUUUGUUUGAGGAAAUACCUCGACGAGACCAGGCGUGAUGAGCAGAUGCUUGAUGGCAGAGUUCUGCGAACAGGUGAGUCCUGUAAGAGCCAGGUAGCAGGGGAACAAGAGCAGAAAUACUCUGCUCGUCCACGAAUAUGACAUUUAUGGGGUGAAACUCCUGGUAGAGGCAUGAGGCCAUUCCUGCUAGAGGUUGAAAGGCGAGGAGACCCGGUCAGCGACAGUUGGCAAGACGUGUAUUCCAAUCCGAGAAUCAAGGCACGAAGUCCAUUCUCAUUCGCCCACAACGGCGAUAAUGGGGCGUCCACACCCGAGAGUGCAGAGAAUAAUGGACGUGGACUACGGAAGACGGCGGUUGAGAGGAAACCUAUAAAAAGGUAGCCAACGAAGGUAAAAGGGUUAGCAAUUUUGAUAUUAUAAGAGAGAUAAAGAGAAUUCCUAAGAAUAGAAACUAGAGAAAAGCCAUAAGAUUUGUGGCAAACGUUCCCAGAACCUUCACAUCUGACUUGGGCGUCGGAGGGUUUUCGCCGGGAAAACAACCGGCGUGCUCUGACUUGUUUCUGUGGACGCAGGCAUACUUGGAGAAGAAAGCAUACGAGGAGAGAUUUUGAUCGAGGUGAGGUUGAUCGAGCAGAUAUCCUGGUCGUGAGGAGAGCGUAACCAGAAUCUUGCAUCAAUAAUUUUUAAAAAAGAUGUAGAUUUAUUUCUUUCUUUAUUGAUAAAAUUAUGAAAUAAUGAAGUAAUAUUCAUAUUGUGCUGAGAACAACUUCUUGGUUUAGCGAUGGUCUUACAUGUUGAGGGUUUGAAUCUUUUAUGCAUAUACGGUGUUAAUAGUAAUUAAAAGGGAGUGUGUAUACCACACGCCGGAGACCAAAAAGUGAUUUGUCAAAUCCUCGAACUGAAUGACGAGCCAAAAGUGGAUUUGAAUGACUUUUUCUAUUUUCUACAUACUCCGCAUCAGUCGUUGUGACGACGUAAUUACGAAAACAACUCGAAGCUGGCCAAAGACGACGGGCAAGCUGAGAACAUAUUCGUAGGCAUUUUCCCUUCAUUUACACCAAAUAAUCUAAAAUGUUAUUUUGAUUAUUACUUUUUUCCAGCAUUUUUAUCAACUUGAAUUACAUUUUUUCCAGCAUUUUUUGGUCGAACGAACCAUUUUACUUGGAAUCAUAAUGAGUCGUUGCAAGGAAAAUGUUAUUUUGAUUAUUACUUUGUUUAUUAUUCUUGUUUGCGGUAUUUUCAUUUGAGAGAGAUACAAGUCUCAAAGGAAUGUCGGAUUCUGUGCUCACAUGAUGAGCUAUAUAAUAUAUGUUGGUUUUACUUAAGGUUGUUGUAAUUAGUAGUUUUUUUUUUAAAAUAAAAUAAUACUAGCACAACUCUAAUAAACAAUGGAUAAUAAAGAUAGGCUUAAUUAUAAAAAAAGUCUAUACUUUUUUGUAAUAAAUAAAUAAUAUUAUUAUGCGGGGACAAAUUCUUUUUAGACAAGACUUAAAAAAAUUAUAACUUAUUAUAAUUUAGAGUAUAUCCUUAUUUAUAACUAACUUAAAUUGAGAUUAAAUCUUUUUUAUAAUUAAAUAAAAAUUAUUUCUAUAUAAAGUAUGACUACAUAGGAGAAAUAUUUUAUUUCUAUAUAAAGUAUAUAUGACUAUAUAGGAGAAAUAUUUUAUUGUAUAUAGCUAUUUCUUUCUCUGUUAUUUCUAUCCACUUCAUGAGCACUGUCUUAGUCAUUUCCCUCUUCUGUAACAAUCUUGGUUUAACUAUGAACUAAAUGUUUUUCUUUUCAAUCAUUAAUUAAUAUUAGGUAGGUGCAUCUACCAACACGGUUGCAACUAAUUACCCACUAUAAAAUUUUAUUCUCAAUCCUGGUGGAAAAGUGUGCAUGCCUAUAUAUAAUCGAACUUCAUUAUCAGUGUUAUGGAUAAAGGAAUUAUUAAUUUUAAAUUAAUAAUUAUUUUAAUCAAUUUGGCAAUAUAUAUCUUAUCCUUGAUUAAUUUAUAUGAAUGAAUAUCAAGUGUAACGUAAAAUAUUAUUUGUGUUGCACAUGACAUGCGGACAAAAGAAUACAACGAUUCCUUAAACAAGAUUCAAAGUAUGAUAUAGAAAAGAAUUUAAAAUUAAAAAAAAAAGUAAAAUAGAAAGUUGAAUUUAACAAGAUUCAUGUACAGGAAGAAAAGGAAAUAAUAAAGUGAUGAAAAAUUGGUAAUCGUGGCAAGUAAUCUUAUUCAUGUACGCGGCGGCACGACCCAAGACCUGGAAAUUAAAUAGUGAAACUUCUUUGCGAAUCAAAUAAACUACAAAUUUAUGGAGAGUCUUGACGAGUGUUUUAUCAUUUUAUGCAUGGAAUUCCACGUGCAUGCAUGCAUGUUCUCCACGCUUGGAAAUUUUGGAAAUGGCUUCUCCCUUUAAUCUUUGAAAAUGUCCUCUAACAAGUGUCUCAAUUAUUGGAUAACAUGUGCAGUCCACCCCAUUGGGCAUCUUGAUUACGUUUGUAUGCUUAUGUUAUAAGGGCUUCGUCAAGAAGCUCAUUGCCAUUAUUACGAAAUUAAAUAGACUAAGAUUGUUGACCUAAUUUGAAAAUUCCUCCAUUGUUUAUUAUUUUUCCCUUUUUAAUUUAUCAACAUCAGCCAUAGUAAGUCAUUCUUUAAAUCAAAACCCUUGUGGAAGACGAAAUAUAUAUUAACUUACUGUCUUUUCUCAACAACUUUUAGGUGAGAUUAGUUUAAUAAAUUACAUGAUAAAUAAGGGUCCAGCUACGUUGCCUCUGGGGUUUGGUACCCCAUUUUUUGUCUUUUUCAAAUUCACGGUUGGAUACAACGCAAGACUUGCAUAAUGGCUUAGAUGUGAUUUUAGGCUAUUAACAUUAAAGACCCCUCUUGUUCAUGCAAAAUAAGAAAAAUCAAAAGUUUUAUAAUUAUGACAUAAAAGUCCAUAAUAUAUAUAUAUAUAUAUAUUACACUAUUAAACUAGAUUUCUAAUUAAAUGACUUAUUCUUACCUGUAUUAAUAUCUAUUUAAAUUAAUAAAUUUACUUAUUAAUUAACAAAUUAACUAGUUUAUUAUAUAGUUAAACUAUGUAUAUUAUUUAUGAACCAUAAUUAAUGAUAAAUAUAAUUUUUUUUAAUUUAACAUAACGGCAACCAAUUUCCUCUCACCCAUGUGACCAAGGUUCAAACCCCAUAAUCUUUUUUAUUCCAACACGAGAUUUUACUAUCUCAAGUAAAUAUAAUGUACAAAAUAUAAAAAUAAAUUUAAUUUGACAUUCUAUAUAGUUAAUUUUUUUUUUGGAAACAUAAGAUUUAUUUAACAUAUUAUCAAUUAUUUAAUUAUGCAGUAAAAAUAUGUUAAUUUACUAAUAAUAAUAAAGUGUUAGUUUAUAAAUUUGCAAAAUAAUUUUUGUUUGUUUGAACAAUGAGUUUGUAUUUUUGGUUGAGUUUUUGUCCUUAAAUAAAAGAAUAAAGUUAAUUACACACUUAAAUAAAUUAAUAUUUGUUACUCCACCCCAACAGUUUAAAUAGUUAUUAGCACAUGUCCAUAUGGUUGAGAUCUUUCAUUAACUUAACUAAGAGAAGGGUAAAAAAAUUCUAAACAAUUACUCUAUUUGAAAAAAUUUAAAUAUUUCCUUAGUUUUCUUUUAUUUAAAACAAUUUUAAUAAUUCAAAAAAAAAUUCUUUUAAUUUACUAGUGUUUGUAUGUAUAAAGAGAAUAAGUGCUUGAAUUCUAAACAAAUCAUGGCUUUUAGAAGCAUUAAUGCAAUUAAAAAUAUAUUUAGGUGUAGGAUUAAUGUGUGAAAAUUUAAAAUUUUUUGUGUUUUUGUUUUUAUAACCAAUAACAGGACUUCAUUGUAAUUAACCUUAAAAAAGACAAAAGAAAGGGGUAUCAAACCCAUGUUGCAACGUAGUUUUGCCCGAUAAAUAAUACUCUUAUUGAGUCUAUAUAUAUAUAAUUAUAUAUGAUAUAAAAUUAAGAUUCUUUUUUUUUGUCGUAAUACAUAGAAUUGUUCGUACUAUUAUUAUAACAAAAUAAUUAAAAUUUAUGAGUUGAAGUUGUCAGAAAAAUAAACUUAUUUCCAAUGAAUGGCGUUUGGAGGAACAAAAUAAAUCCGGAACUUUUUUACGCGGAAAAAAAAUCAAUUAACAUUAAUGACGUCCAAAUGUCCAAAUAUAAUGAGAAAUUGAAUUCUUCAAUACCUUGCUGUUUCUUCAUAUUUCUUUAUAAAUUUACCGAUUCUUUACUCUAAAUUCUAGUAUUUGUCUUCGUAGAAUGUAAACUUAUUCCCUAAGAUAUGGUUAAAAAAAAAAAUAAUAAAAUCUAAUCAUUUGGUAGUGCGCAAACUAAUAUCAUAGCUAAAAUGAAGUUGGUAAAUUAUCUAUUAUUAAUAAUUAGGUGGGCCUAAACGUUCCAACUUCCAAAUACAGUAAAACAAUCCAUCAUCUACAUUAUUCUAUAUUUUGGAGAGAAAAAGGAAAAGGCAAAAUCUUUUAGAUAAGAAAAAAAAAAUUUUUUCCUCAUGAAAAAGCAAUUGAAUUAAAAAGUAGAAAUUUCUUUACAUUCUCGCCGGAGAAACAGAGUCAAAUUCAAAUACGACGACUCAAGCGCAAAAAGCCUAUAAAUAAAGCCCGGCUCCUGUUCCCUGUCAGAGGCUACGGAUUUGAGAGAUUAAAGAACAUCAACCGAACAGUGAGACUCCGUACUCUUCACACAAACUUGCAAAAACUUUUAGGUAAUUUUUUUCGAUUAAUUUUUUAAUUUUCGAGAAUAAAGAGAGAAAAAAAACAGAUGGGAUUAUGUUUGUCUGGGAGUGAUGUGAGGGGAGGGAAACAAGCCGUAGGUGGGGCCCACCUCCGGCCCACCAGCGCGGCUGAUCACAACAAUGUCUCUGGUCAAAAUGACGCCGUUGAUUUCUUCUUCAAAUCUCGCGGCCUUCAUGCCCUUUUCACCCAAAUCGAGGUAUAUGUGUGUACCUGAAUUAUAUGAGUCUUUCACUGCCACUAUUAAUAAACUAUUUUCAGUUAAUUAAUUAAUUAAUUAAAAAUCUAUGAUUAGUUUAUGUUUUUUAAUUUAUUUUUAAUUUUUUAAAUCUGAUUUCGUUCAUGUUGGUAAUUGUGAUGGAUUCUAAAACGGUCACUCGUUUGAAAAUCUAUUCUCAAAUUAUGUUUGUUAUUAUUACUUAUUUGAUGACUUUUCAGUGUAACAUCGAACAACUUAAAUCAUCUAUAUUUGAUAAAAGUUAUUUGAUAAUUCGAACAUAAUUAGAGAGUAGAUUCCUAUUCAAGAAUCAACCGCAAUCCCAAACAUGCCUUUUUUUUGAAUUUGUUCUGGUGGCUGAUCUUUUGCUAGUGUUGGUUCGACGGUUUCACACCAAGCAACUGCUUUUGUUUUGCAUAUGGAGAACAGUAAGUUUAACUGCUUAUACCCAAUGACAACAUUCUGUGAAGUGAAUUUUAGAUUAAGAUUGGUUAAGGUAAAUAAAAAAAGAAUGGUGUUGAAUGCACAGUGGCCUUGUGAACAUUGAAAAAGUCGAUGUUUGAUCCUGUUGAAUGCACAGUGGUUUUCCUGUGUAUCCUCAAAGUUGACUAUUCUGUUAUGCCUCAUUUAUCAAAUUUGACUCAUACCCCUCGUGAUCAAAUUUGACUUAUACCCCUCGUGAAGAUUCCCCAUGAUAAUGCUCCCCUGAUUGGAACAUGAUUUUGUGAAUGCUGGUUUGCAUAAGACAAACCAUUAACUUUAUAAAAGAUUGUGGAUUAAGGAUUUUGUUGUUACGAGGAUAAGAAUGUCUUUCCAUAACGUAGACCACCAAGUGAUUGUAAUAUUCCUGUAUUGAUGUGGACCUUACCUGAGGAUCUCCUUGGAAACUUUCCUGGAGAAAAGGCAACAAGUCAUAUGAUAACAAAUUAAAUGUGGUUCAAUGCUUGUAAUUGACGUGUCACAUCCUGUUGUUAUAUAAAACUUAAUUACAUAUAUUAUUGCUUGCUGCUUAUAAGAUUUAAUAUUAGAAGUGAUUCUGUCAGAAUCCGAAAUGAUGGUUUUCUGCAUGUUCUGUUUAUGAAAGAUAUAUAUUGCCUGUCAGUUGACCCACAUCGUACUGACAAUUUUCAUUUCGUGCAGCAUAUGCAUGGAUUACUCCUUUUCCGCUUUUUCAUGUAUCUGUAUUCGUUCUUAUGUUUUUGAAUAUAUAUUGCAGUUAUCUUUAUCUGCUUCAAAGUUACGUGAUCUUGACAUCGCAUCAAAGGUAAGCCUUCAUAUUAUUGUUGUCUUAUGUCUAAUAAUGCCAUGUUCAUGCUGUUGAUAGUCUUGGUGAUUGAUUCUCAUGUUAUCUUGUAUCCUCCUUAUAUGAUCUGCUUAUUUGUUCAUAAUGGCCCUGUCAAUAUCCUUUCUCUGUUCAUGAAGGGUCUAGGGAUAUAUGAUCUGAAUAACGCUUAGCGCUGACACCAAAAUUCUAAACUUAGACAAAGAAGAAUAGUUUGUUAUAUACACUGUCUAUCUCCAAUGUAAUCCAGUAAGGAGCAGUAACUUGAGAGUUCCAGAUAAUGUAUAACAACUCACGGUUGGUGGUUUUAUUGUUUUUGCAAUUUUGUGCACUAGUCAAAUAUGUUAUAUGUGCAAGAUAAAAUUCUUUGAUAAUGAACAUUUAUCAGCGGUAUAUCUUUUUACUAGCUGAUACUAGCAUACAUCAAAUGCUGCUGUAUUUUAAUGAUGGAUUACUAACUAUAGUUAUUUAACUAAUAUAUGUCUAUAUUUAUACUCACAAGCAAAUGCAUUGACAUGUCUUUUUGUGUCAUAGAGUGAUCCCAUGGCAGUUGCGCAUGCAAAGAAAAGAGAUGGGAGGCUGAAGGAGAUUGGACGUACAGAGGUGAUUAUGAACAAUCUGAUUCCUGCUUGGAUUGGAAAGAUUGCAAUUGCUUUUCAGUUUGAGAUCGUCCAGCCCUUGCUGUAAGUUUUUACUGUGUUCUUUUUAAAGUCUGUUUUUUUUCCCCCUUGAUAGGUCAUUUGCUUAUCAUUUCUCAUAAGCCUUGCUUGAUUUGAUAAUAUUUAAUGUUUUCGAAUUCCUUAAUGCUUUUCUUCUUUUUCCAGCUUUCGUGUGUAUGAUGUGGAUACCAAGUACCACAAUAUUCCAGUGAAGGUAUAUAAAAAUUUCUUGAUUUUUUUUUUUUUCGCUCAAUUCAGAUGUAAAUGAUAUGCACUACUUCAGUUCCAAAGUUUAGAGUUAGCCAAGGCAUUUGACUGAUCCAUUUGUUGUCUAAGCAUACGUCUCAACUAAAUUGCAUCAGCAAUAGUUUCUAUCAAUUUCGGGAAAUUUGUGAAUACUUGAUUGAUUAUAAACUAACACUUAGCAUGGCAAGAAACUUAAAAAGUUGGCUGUCAUAUAUCAUGAACAAAUCUUAAGGCCAGGAUAGUUAUUAUGGAACUUUCUAUUAUUGCAUCUUGCAAGGUUUGACAUAUUUGUCCUGCUACCAUAACUGGGAAAGAACAAUUUUUCUGAUGGUCCUUACGGCUAAAUUUUCUUUUUUCCAAAAUGGAAUUUUGAUCUAUGUUGUUAAAAACAAUACAGUUAAAUAGUUGUUGCCAUGACCUAAAGAAGUUUCUGUAAAAAAUGACCAUAUUGUAAGUAUUGGAAUGGAUAAGUAAAUCUUUAGAGCCUAUGAUGUAUUCGUCUGUGGAAUUUGUGUCAAAGUGAAAAAAUUUUGAUGGUUAUAAUCCUAGAAACUGUAAUCAUUUGGAAGCAUUUGCUGAAAAAGUUAGAUAAUCUAAAAAUGUGAUGAUUAUUUAUGUCAAUUGUAAAUGGUAUUAACGUUAAUGGGAAAAAUGAUAAAUAUGUAAAUUUAUGCUAGUGGAAAGAGAAAAUGAACAAAUCCAGAUGGAUUCUAAGACAUUAAGUAGGGAAUCUAGUGUUCUUUUGAUUCUUUGCUGCAGUGAUCCCUAAUUACUUUCAAGACAUUAUUAUCUCAUGACAAAAUAGUUGUUGAAGCGUGAAGUUUAAAGUUCAAACUUCUUAUUUACAUUGCCCUGCAGAUGCUAAAGUUGGAGGAUCAAGACUUCCUGGGAGAAGCUAGCUGUGUUCUCUCUGAGGUAAGUUUCUGGGUUAUAUUUUGUUUGAUGAAUUUAUGUAUUUUCUCUUUAUUCAAUGGGCAAAAUAUGCCCAUCUAAUUUUUUGUAAAAAUCUGUUUCCUAUAAAAAAAAGGGCAAAAUAUUCUCAGAUGCUUUUUACUAGCAUUCGUCUUCUUCUUUAGCAUUCUUGUUUUUCACUAACAAUUGUCAUAUUUUCCUUUGAAAUGGCAGAUAGUGACCAAACAAAAUCGAACUUUAACCUUAAAACUCCAUAACAAUUACGGGCCUCAAGUUUCAAGAAACUUUGGGACACUCUCUGUCCAUGCUGAGGAAACAGUUGCUUCCAAGAGUGCUGUUGAAAUAGCAUUCCGUUGCUCGCAUUUGCAAAAUGUAGACCUGUUUUCCAAAAGUGUAAGUUCUGACAAAGUAGCUAAGUUUGGAGGUUCACUAAUUAAUCUAUUAAUGUAGAUGCUCAUUCUUCUUCUUCUUAUAUUCUAUAGGAUCCAUUCUUAAGAAUAUCUAGAAUUGUUGAGAGUGGAAAUUCUAUUCCUAUCUACAAGACGGAGGUGAUAAACAAUAACUUGAAUCCCAUUUGGAGACCAAUAACUUUGAGCAUGCAGCAAUUUGUGAGCAAGGUAACCUUAUCAUCUUCUUGUGCUUGUUACUUAAAUGUAUAUUAGGUAGUGAAGUUUGGUCAUGGGGAAAUGUUUUUUAGUAUAUGAUUUUCUUUGGUACAGGAAAACCCAUUAAUCAUUGAAUGUUUUGAUUUCAAUACCAGUGGAAAUCACAUAUUGAUGGGGUAACUGUUAAAUUUCUUAAUGUCAUUAGCUUCCCUCUUUUAUCCUUUUGCCUUUCUGAUGUCAAGGUUUUCUAUUUCUGUUAUUAGUAAAAUUCAGAAAUCAGUUGGAGACCUGGAGAAACUUCAUCAAGAAAGAACUGGUGCAACUUUUAUGUUACCAUCAACUCAAUGUGGCCAUGACAAGGUGUUUAUUCUUUUUUGUUUUAACUCCACCAAAGGUGUUGGUUCAUGCUUACGGUUUUUGAUAAUUUAAUAUCACUUUAUUUUUUAUCUGACUUUUUCCUAGGUUCGAAAAGUCAGUUGUUUGUUGAAAAGUUUGUUGAGAAAGAGCAAUAUAGUUUUCUGGAUUACAUAUCUAGUGGCUUUGAGUUGAAUUUUAUGGUUGCAGUCGACUUUACAGGUAAUUAGAAAGAGAUUGCUUGUUGAAGAUAAAUAUGCAAUAUAAUCGUUUUGUUUUGUUUAUUUCCUCUUAUUUGGUCCAACUUCAUCUUGCCUCUCGUUAAAUGCAAAUCAUCCAGCUUCAAAUGGAAAUCCUCGAAAUCCAAAUUCUUUGCACUAUAUUGAUCCUUCAGGCAGAUUGAAUUCUUACCAGCAGGUAAGGUUUUGUUAUUACUCAUAUUUUGACAAGUGAUCUCUGAACUUUGAAGGUCAUAAAAUGGUCACUUUGUCCAGUGUUUUCGACUUAGAAAAUGCAUGUGACUUUCAAGUCUUUCUAUGGCCGUCAUAGGGAAAUAGAUAUUUCAAUAGUUCGUAGAAGUUGAGAGAGAAUAUCACUGAUUAGUUAUUGGCCUCUUAAACCAUUUACAGGCAAUAACGGAAAUUGGGGAGGUCAUACAAUUUUAUGAUUCCGAUAGACGCUUUCCUGCAUGGGGAUUUGGAGGGAAGACAUUUGAUGGCACUGUAUCACAUUGUUUUAACUUGAAUGGAAGAGCAGGUGGCUUUGAGGUAGGGGUAACCGGUAACUGGAGUUCGCAACUUUGUUGUAAUCCUUAUUUGGUUGGCUUGUCUCCCAUAACUUUUCAUUUUUAAUAACAAACAUUAUAAUAUGUUUCUACAUUUUCUGAAAAUUUCCUUGGAAUUUUAUCCUAAAAGAUGUAUAUUUUAUCCUCUUCCAUUUUUUUUAUUAACUGCCGGUUUCUUUAUUUAAUAGGUAGAUGGAGUUGAAGGCAUUAUGGCUGCUUAUGCAAGCGCUCUAAACAAUGUUUCUUUGGCAGGACCGACUCUGUUUGGUCAAGUGAUCAACACAGCUGCACGAAUUGCUGGACAGUCCCUCUCAUACGACAGAAGCAAGUAUUUCGUCUUACUCAUUAUAACGGUGAUUACAAUGAUUCUAUAUAUUCACAGUUUUCUCUUUCUAUCAUUCUUUUUGGGUGAUUUGUAAAUUUGCAUUGUCUAUCUAGGAUGGAGUUCUGACAGAUCUCCAAGAAACGAAAGAUGCUUUGGUAAGGGCUUCUGAUCUUCCCUUGUCAAUUCUAAUUGUGGGUGUGGGAGGUGCAGAUUUUACACAAAUGGAGGUACACAAUGUUUUCCAACUGGAAUAUCUUCUUACUAGCAUUGAACUUCUUUUUUCUAUAGUUUGAUAGAUUCAAUUUAGAGUAUAUAUGCAGUGUGGUAUUAUCCCACUUUUGUUGCAGAUUCUUGAUACUGAUAACUUUGUUGGCAGAUUCUUGAUGCUGAUAAUGGCUGUAGAUUAGAGAGCUCUACCGAUCGGGUAGCUACCAGAGAUAUAGUACAAUUUGUUCCAAUGCGAGAAGUUCAUAGUGAGUGCAUAUGAUUCUUUGACAAAAUUAGUUCAAACUAUUGAAUUUAGGAGUUAAUUCACAAAAGUUUCUGAAUUUUUUCAUGCCUGAACAAACGAACCCAUUGUUUUCUGAACAGGUGGGCAAAUUUCUGUUGUACAAGCACUUUUGGAGGAGCUGCCUGGUCAGUUUUUGACCUACAUGCGCUGCAGAGAUAUCAAACCACUCAAUGUUCAGAUGGCCCAAACAUGCGCUUGAGUAAAUAUUCAUAUGUUUGGAAAGGGUACAAAACCAAGCCAAAUAUAUUAGACAAGACCAAGCCAAACAUAUUAGGCUAUACAAACAUAACAUAGCAGAAAUUGAUAAGGUACAUUACAUAUUUUAGGAUAUAGCGGUUUUAGACGAUGGUAAAUUACAUAUGUUAAGAUAGAGUGGUUUGCAACUAACUUUUGAUGGCUUAAUGAAUUGAUUGAAUUUGUAUUUAGAUUCUAUCAAUGAUCUCAUAUUUUUCCUAUCCAUGUCUUUCGAUUUUUAUUAUUCCCUCUACCCACUUGUUUCACAAUUUGUUUGUCUGAUGGCUUAAAACUCCAAUUUCUGUUGCUGUAUUAUCAUCUUUGUUGAAUAUCUACUACAAUGAACAUGUGCUGAAUGUCAACUUUUACUACUACACCAGCAAUCUAACACAUGGCUCACGUGCACACAAGACAAGUCUGAUUCACACAUCUUUAAAGUGUUGUAUUAUAACUCUCUGAAACUAGGUUUGAGUAAUCAAGAAAAGCCAAAAUGUAGAACAAUGACAAAAAAAAAAUGAAGACCCUCUUACAGUCUUAACUUGAUAGAAAAAACGAGCUACAUACCAUGUCUCACAAAUUUCAAAGAAAAUUGGCCUCAUUCCUGAUGCUGCACAGAAGGUUGGCCUGAAUCAUCUUUAAGAAAGCUCAUUUAUUACAUUAAUACAUUAUAUCAGUGAGAUGAUGCUACUUUAAUGAAACUCAUGUCUCAAGUUAGGAACAGCUACAUGGGCAUUUCAUCGAACAGUUGAUAUGCUUGGCAGAUAAUCGAAGUUUCCUGGAAGUUGCAAGUGCUGCCGGCAUUUUCAAAAUUGGAAGACCAUUCAAAGGUUUUCAAUAAUUACACGUGUGAUAAUCUUGUGAUGAUAAUGAUUUUAUGUAUCUGAUUAUAAGCUAAGCUAAGGUAGUGGAUUUGUAAGUAAGCACACGGCAAAGUAUUUAAUCUUCUUAUUGUCGCAUUCUUCUAAUCAACUUGGGAUCAUUAAUACCAGUAAACUACAACUUCACCUAGGCUUCAGGGAGGAUCCACAUGUUGUCUACAUUGAGCAUUUGACCAGUAAACUUUUAUUUUUCCAAAAUUUUCUACAUAAAAUCUUGAUAUUUUCAUGAAAUUACAUAAUUUCUUAUAUAAUUGUCUCCAAAAAAAUACCAAUAGGUGCACGAACACAAAUAUGAUGCACACUUCUCUUUAAUUAAUUUAGGGCUUAAAGAGAUUUUAAGAUGCCUACAAAUUGAAUAUGGCAGAUCUUGGACACCAUCCAUAAGAAAUAAAACUAGCCUCAAAUUGGAUUUCUGAGUACUCAAACAAAGCUAAAAGCAUAAUAAUGAAUGAAAACUGAAACAAAAAAAUCCUCUCACCAACACCAUCCGACUCUUAAUAUAUACAAAGAACUCGAGCUCGAGCCUUAUCUAAAAUGCUGCACAAGUAGCAUGAAUCGUCUUCAUAAGUUUGGAGACUCUGCAGACAAAGAGUAAAAAGACAUUGAAGGUGUAGUUUUCACAUAAUUAAAUUGCACAAAUUAGCCUCUAUUAAGGACACAUAAAUCCUUCAAUUCUCUCUGUAAGCAAUUAAUUUCAUUUUUUAUUCUUUUAUUUUUCGCUAUGUCUGUCUAACAACUAAUCCUAAACAUACAACAGAGUAGAGUAGUUGUAUUUUAAAAAGAUGUACCAAUAUGAUUUAACAAAAAAUUCAACAUAAAUAAAACAUUUUUAGUCAGUAAAAUAGAAUCAAAUCAAAACCUCCCAUUUAUCUUACCACUGUUUUUCGCAUCUUUUUCCUUUUCAUUUGCCUCGGCGGACUUCUCAUUCUCUUUUUCCUCCCCUUCCUAAUCAGAUUUAAAAUGAAUUUAUAAAAAAUUAAUAUGUAUUUUUUUCUUUUUGUUAUUAAAUCAGUAAUUUUUAGAAAAAAUAAAUAAAUCAUCAUCUCAUAGUGAAUGAAUACUUACCUUUUUUUAUUUUAAGAUAUACGUAUUGAAUGGUUGUAUUAAGGUCCCGAUCCCAAGCCCAAAGUUUAUUAUGAAACACGCUCAGCUGCACUAUCUGUAACUUGGGUGUGCUUAAUUUCCCUUCUGAGAAAAUCUUCAUAUUGGGGCAAUUUUCCACCACUAAUGUUUCCAGAGAUGGGAAUUUGAAGGCGCAAUUAUUCCCAGAGCAGCUGAAACUUGUCAGACUUUCUAAGUCCCAAAGCUGCAAUUCCUUUAAUUUGCUGAAAACAAUUUCAUCUUUUGCUGCAUAAUUAUCUCCCUCAUCAUCCUCAUCUGCCACUAUUUCUGUUAUCAUCUUGCAGAAACCUAUCUUCAUUCGUCUCAGUCGCAUCAGACUCCUUGCGGUUGAGGAUGUUAGUACGUGUAUCAUUCUAGAGCAAUCACAUACCGUCAAAGUUGUUAGGUUCUGAAAGGAUGUCAAGGAUGGCACUAGAUUAGUCAAAUUGUCACACUCGAAUAUCUCCAGCUGUUCCAAAUUGUUGGUAUUGGUUGACUCUUGUUUGAAAAUCUGCUUCAGUUCACGACAAUGGUUUAUCCCUCUCAUCCUUGCUUCCUUCCCAUUUUCAACGUUUUCAAAUGAUGUGAACAAAGCCUCAUUGUUCCCUCCUAUAGAGAGAAUUUUGAUGGUGUGAAAUCUCUGGAGGAAAUCGUCAAGUGAUAAAAUAGUACUUGACUCAUCAAGCCGGACAUCAAGACAUUUAAGUUUGCAAAGCCAGUCUUCUGGAAACAGGCCUAUGUGCUUUUCAUCAACGAUCAAUUCUUCCAAAUUGGGGAACACCUGGGUGAUCAUCAAUCACAAAAGUGGCAAGAUGGAGUUAGCACUUCUUUCUAACGAUUUCACAAAUUCAAGUAAAUACAAAGCAUUCCAAUGAUGCGUAUUGAUGGCCGGACAAAUUUAUAGAUAUGCGGAGCGAGUUUGAUUUUCAGCUGUAAAUACAAAGUAAAAACAAAGCAUUCCAUUUAAGUAAUGUGUAUUUUCUUCCAUUCUCUCUUCUUAACUCUUGUCCAGUAGAUAGAUUUUUAAAUUUUAUUAGAUUUGUGCAUAAUCUCUAUGAAAAAUACUUCAAUUAUUCUCAAAUUGCAUUUAAACUUUGAGAUUCUUUUAAUUGAUCCGUUUAUUUGGUUUGAAUUGAAAAUCUUACAAAUUUAUUUUAAAAAAAAAAUUGGAGUUUUUAACUUUUUCUUAAAGCAAAAAUGAAUAAAUAAUAUGAAUUUUAAAAGUUUAAUAAUAUAGUAAGAAGUUGGUAUUUCAUUAAUAUUCAUCCAACUCAAUGGAAUUGGAUAUAUUUACUAUUGUGCAAGAAUGGAUUUUAUUGUACAUAAAGUUUAAUAGAAUAAGAUUUCUUAAUUUGAGUUUUGUCCAUCUCUCUAUAUAUAUUUUAGAAUAUUAUUUAUGUUACCACGAGAUGACCAAUUUCUACUUCAACAUCAAAAUUGAUAAUCAUUUUGUAUGUAACAAUACUGUACUAAAGAGUACUAAUUUAGAAAUAGCUCUUGAACGAUUUUCAGGGAAUUAACUAUGGCUUGAAAAACUCUAGAUCUUACGAGUAUUUUCUUUGUUUGGCUAAUCAAAUGCACUGUCUCUUCCGUGUAUUUAACUAAACAUAUAGACAUAAAAUAAAAAGUAGAGGAAGAAGAAAAACUCUGAUAAUUAAGAGAAAAAACAAUUGAACAAGAAGGAAAAAAAAUAAUUGUUUACUAAAUAUCUUUUUUUUUUUUUCAUUCGGUCUAACUGACAUCCAAAAAAAAAAAAUUAUGUUUGUAAGGAUAUUAUAAAGUAUAAAUAAACUGAUUUAUAUAACUAACAUUUUGUCACUAAAAGACGAAGUGAUGAGGGCGAUGACGAUAAUAAAAUUCUGAACUCUCAAAGUAGAAAUACUUUUCAGUACGUAAGAAUUGAAAAAUAAUUACAAAAAUCUUGCGUGCGUACCUUUUCAAUAUGCAGAUCACCUGUGCAGAAGCUUGUAAGCUGCGGAAGAGAACGAAGCUCAAGUUUCCUUAAUUGAGUGAGUUCAAUCACUUCAGUACCGUUAUUAUUGCUGGAUUCAUCUCCUCUCUUGGCAGCAAAAAUCACUUCCAUAUUUUGGCAACUACUCACUUCAAUGGACUGAAGUUGUUGAAGGCCUCUGCCAAUGACCAAUGGAAAUACAUUCUUCAAUUUAUCGCACCUUUCCACCCUUAUGUUCUUUAAUUUGGAAAAAGACUCAGUACCGUUAUUAUUGCUGGAUUCAUCUCCUCUCUUGGCAGCAAAAAUCACUUCCAUAUGUUGGCAACUACUCACUUCAAUGGACUGAAGUUGUUGAAGGCCUCCGCCAAUGACCCAUGGAAAUACAUUUUUCAACUUAUCACACCCUUCCACCCUUAUGGUCUUUAAUUUGCAAAAAGACUCUGCUGUGAGUGGACCACGACAUAUUUCCUCAAGGUUCCUUAAAUCCCUCAGAAAUAAUGACUCCAACAGGGGGAAUGCGGUCGUCGGAGCUGGCGUACAAUUCAUUGUGUCAACAAGACGAACAAUGUUGCCAUUACGUCGGAUUUCGAGACGAUUCAGCUGUGGAAAACCUUCUCUGCCUGGUUCACAAAGAACAUUCUUCAUGUCCGGCAAUCCAUCUAAAGCUAGGUCUUCAAUACCCUUCAAUUGCAUGAUAUGCCCCUCGUUCAAGCAAAUGUUGGCACCAUUUGUGAGCUUCAGGUUGAAUUUUCUAGAAAUCCCAUCCGAUGGGGGAACCAGCCACCAGACAUGUCCUAUAAAUAUCCUGUACCUUUGCAGCAUUUUGAAGAACGACAAGUCUCUUGGUAGAGCCUUUUCAUCUUGGAUUAGUAUUUCUAAAGAGGUCAAUUUAGAUAAAUUAUUCAACUCGUCAAGGCUGGCAUUUCUUCUUUCACCGUCGACUCCUCCAACCUUCCCCCACAUAAUGGGACUCUCACCGAUAUACAAUUCUUCUAAUCGUGAUAAGCUUGAUAUCACAUUUUCUGGAAUAACUUUUAGUUUGGAACAAUUGCUCAGAUCCAACAACCUCAACUGAGUCAGCCGGCCUAUUUCUUCAACCAGUUUCUGCAUAUUAGAACCUCGAAGUGUAAGGAUUUCUAAAUUCUUUAGAUCUCCAAUAAUAGCGAUGUCUCCUAGUUGGCAAUCAACGAGAGACAAUGUUUGAAGGCUUUGAAAGAGACCAAGCGAUGAAGGCAAUGCCAACAAAUGCAUCUUAGUGAAAUCUAAAACUCUAAGCUCUGUCAUCUCAGUAAAAAUGUUAUCUGGAAUUCUCAAAGAAGGAUCAUUGCUAAUACGAAAGUAUUUAAGUUGCGGACACUCGAACCCUUGAGGAAGCUCACUAAUAUUAGUAUUAAAUAAGGAGAUUGCGGUGCAAACCUUCAGUGUAUCCUUAUCUGGCCAGCUGGUCAGCGGAACAUCAUCAUUUUCCACCGCAAACACAUGUUGGACUCUAGAUGCAAUUGAUAUGGCUACAUCACGAACAACAUCAUGCAUAGAAAACCUUUCACUAGUAUCGCCAUCAAGCAGCAAGCAAGAGUUCUUGAGUUUAUCAACCAAUGUAUGUGCUCUAUCCCGUGCCUCAUCCACCGUGUUGAUGUUUUGAAACAGACCCAAACCCAUGCCACGAUAAAGCAAGUCUUUAACGUUACAUAUGUAGGAGUAUCCUAUUAGCAAAAACGUUUUCCUGAGUUCCUCACCUCCUAACUGAUUGUAACUCAACUGGAUAGUUGAAUAAGCGGCCACCGCCUGUGUCCCAGAGAAACUUCUCAAAAAAUUCCUUUUUAAUUGUCGUAAAGCAUUCCUCCAUUCAUACGGACUCUUAUUUUUCAAUGCCUUCGCUAUGGGUACAAUGGCAAUGGGCAAGCCAGCACAUUCCUUGACUACCUCUGUCACUACAGAUUUCAGUUCACCAUUUUCUAUGCAAUCACCUGUCAUCUUUUUGAAAAGACUCCAAGCUUCUUUAUCGUUCAGAACAUCAACAACAAAAUUUUGUUGACAAUCCAUCUCACAAGACAACACAUCUUGACUUCUUGCUGUCAGCAGAACUUUACAUCCGCCGUUAUCAUCUGCCAAUGGAAUUCCAAUCGCCUCCAAAUCGAGACUCCCCCAAAUAUCAUCCAAGAUUAUGAGGAUCUUCGUCUCUUUCUUCAAUUGUUCGAGCAGCCUCCAUGCUCUUACACUUUCACUCUCUUGAUCUAUUUUCAGGCCCAGCUUCUCUGCAAUUUCUCUUUGUAUUUCUUUUAUUUGCGGUGUUUGGGAAACACGUGAAGAAAUGACCUUCUCAAAGAGAUUAUUUUCCUUGGCCUGUCUGCCAACUUCUUUCACCAGCGUUGUCUUUCCAAUGCCGCCCAUCCCGUACACCCCAAUCAUGUUGAAGUUACGGUUGCUGAGUGCAUCUAGUAUCCCCUUCAAGGUGGACUUUCUCGAUUCAAAGUGCAUGAAAUCCUGGGUAGACUUAAGCCAUGUCUCCUCUGGAAUGGUACGGAAAGAAACACUGUCGAAUCUCCCUUUUUCAUGGAGUCCAACUAUAGCAUUCGCUUCUCUUUCUGCUUUCUUGCUAAGCUGGUACCGAGUCUUCAAAUUAGGACACAACCCUUUCAGACACCGGUUGUUUGACUUCUCUUUGUCUGCAAUAAGUGUUUCGACUUCGUUGAUUGCCUCGUCCACAGUAAUCAGCCACUCCUCAACGGGCUGCUGAAUUCCGUCCCCUUUAAUUCUGGAAUCAUCAACCUUGUACUGCACACUGGCUCUAGCAAUCUUUAGCUUCUCCAAUUCAUUCUUCAGCUUCUCCAAGUUGGUGUUGUAGCUGCAGCAGUAAGUAAAUUGACGAAUUAUGGGAGCAACCAAGUACUCUGCAACUUUUGCAGUAACGGAGAUAACAAUUUCCAUUAUCCCUUUCUUUUUUAUUUUUCGCUUUCAGAAAACAGGGGAAAGCAAAACUAAUCAAACUAAGCAGCAGUAAUCAAUCAGCUGGGAUGAGGGAAAUAAGAAGUUUGGAUAAAUUGCUAAAAUAAGAGGUUGAAUAGAUUUAAGGGAGGAGGAGGGGAAAGGAGUGAAACAAAGGGGGAUCCUUUUUUUGCUAAGAAAAAUUGAAAAGCGAGUACAAUAAAUGAAAGAUUUGCAAAGAAGGUGUAGGAUCGAGGACAAGAACGAUUCAGAAAAGGGAGACAGAAAAUGAAGAAGAGAUUUCAGAGAACUCUAGAGAUUAGGGAAAUGCAGAGGCAGACAGUUGUCAUCUCAAAUUCAUACAAGGAGAAGACUCGUGCUUCCAAGUCAACUAAAUUCUUAAUAAUUGAGAUAGAUAGUUAUAAGGGUUAAAGUUAUAAUGGUUAUUAUGGUUUUAUUUUAAAAAAUAAAAAAUUAUAAAAUAUAAAAUAACUAUAAAAAGUAUUGGUGUUAUCAUUUUAGUAGUGUAUCUUUAAAAAAAACCUUUUAUCUUAUAAUAUUUUUGUUAAAAUUAUGAGACAGGCAAGUGGACAGGUGCUUGUCUCACUAAAUUUCAUAUAUAUUGCGAAAGCCAUAACUUGAGCUACAUAUGUCCGUUUUAGGGGUAUAAUAUAUUGUUUCGAAGCUUACGACGAGACAAAUCAUAUGCAAAAUCAUGUACUUUAUAAAAUCCAUGGGUUUAUGUGCGACAAGCAGUGAGACAGGUGCCUGUCGCACAUAAAUGCAGUGCGUUUAUGUGAGACAUGCACCUGUCCCACUUGCCUAUCUCACUUGUUCUGAACUUCAUUUUUUACCCGAUUUUUCUGUAUUUUCAAUGAUUUUUCUUCAUUUCUCAACUCAAACUAAGUACUUUAACAAAUCACAUUAUUUUAUGAAUGAAAAAUAACAAUAUUUGCAACAAAACCCACUUUAAUUUCGAACUUAGUUGAUAAAAUCAAUAGAUUAAAGAUUUACAUUGUGUAAAAGCAUAAACUAAUUUUAAGAAGCUCUCCUAUUAAUGAUUAUAUUCAAUUAUGUAAUUGAUUUAUAGAGAGUGAUGAAGUUUGUUGAGAGUGAUAAAUAUUUGUUAAGUUAUUGAAGAAGAACCGUAUUUAGUUGUGCUGAAAUUGAAAAAGUGGCAUGUCUUUGUAAAUUUGAUGAAAGUGAUGAGGGUAAUUUAGUCCAAAAGUAGGGUGUUUGGCUAGUUAUGAUAGAAAAAAGUUUGAGGGGUUAAAGUUGAAAAACGUAAAUAUUUUAUGGCCAUUUUAUAAAUUUCCCAAAAAAAUUGGAAUCUCAAAUAUCUAGCGUCAUCGUUAUCUUUUUUUUUCUUCAUUUUUUUUCUUUUUCCAGACAGUGGUCUACCAUCUUUGAAAAAUUAUUGGCACUUUCAAAUGGGUAUUAAGCCAUGCAUUGACAUUGAGGGUCUCAUCUGAAAGAGGAAUUUUGGUAGCAGCAGUGGCUGUGUAAUUUUUUUUUUAAAUGAUUUAUCUCUAAGAAUGCGCGAUCAAUUUAAAAGUGGAUUUUAUAUUAAAUUUCUUUGAGAUUGCUUUUCGAUUGAUCUGUUUGAUUUGGCUAUGGAAUGAUGGUUUUAUUACUAUGAGUUUGAAGGAUUUAUGAAAUAGAAAUUAAGAUUGAUAGAAAACAUAUUGAUCUCCGAGCUUUAAUGGCAGUUUCAACUUGUUAUCUUCAAGCCUCACCGGUGGUUUCAAUUUGAUACUUUGAUGAGAGCAAAAUUAGCAAUUUAGCACUAGAGGAAGAUAUUUAAUCACAAGUAUAAGAAGUUUUGACAGCGAAGAGAGGUAUGCUUCAACUAGGUUUAAAUUUUUAUUUUUUUUUCUUAUUUUUUAUUGAAAAUUUAAUUAUUUUUUUAAAAUAAGGUCAUACAUGGUAUUUUACUAGUUAACUAACAAUGAUAAACGGAAAUAUAGUAAAAUGAAAGAUUUUACAAAAAUACAAUAAUAAAAUGCUAAACAUUAAUAUUUUUUUUUGUUAUUGGGUGCUUCAUACUUUAUAAUGUAGUCAAGCAAUAAUAACCCUAGUUACAAUUACAUGUAGAUGGUGUUAAUUGGGCAUUUUGGCGUUUCAUUGAAUUUUCUUGUUACCAGUAGCUAUUGAGUUGCCGACAUUUUUCAACUUGUAGUUCUAAGGCUUCUCAAGCAAAUUUUAUGGUAGCUUCCAUUAAUUUUAAGUGUUAAUCAAAUAUUUUACUACUAUAAUUUAAAAAUUACAGUUGAUAAGCAAUAAUAGCAGAGAGAGAGAAUUAAAUAGAUUGAGAAUGAUUUUUGAUUCAGGGCGAGUUUUCGAGUGCUUUACGAACAAUCAAAAUGCUAAUCCUUUUAGCCAAUAAACACAAGCGCUUUGUAAAAAACAUUACGGGAAAACCCUCUAUGUAAAUAACAAUCGUGUAAUUACGGAGGGCGUAUCUUAAUUACAUGUCAGUUACAUUCAAUAACAACAAUAUUACUUAAAAAUUUUCUAUUAGCAAUGAGUGUGUUGGAGGUAGGAUAAAAAAAAUCUGAAGACUUUGCAAACUUUUUUGUGAAAAUGCAUCACAGUUGUCUUGUUCUUUCACUGUUGAUAAUUACAAUGAAGCCGAAGUUUGCGGACUUUAUUAUCAUUUUAAAAAAAAAUUAGAUAUACAAAAAAGGGUCCAGCUACUUUGCGUCAGGGGUUUGGUACCCCAGUCAUUUGUCUUUUAAUGAAGGCGUCUUUGGAUAGCCAAUAGAGGAAUUUGUGGGCUGAGAUUUAACCAUUGGAAAAUGGGUAACUGGCUGAAAGAAUAGUUGUCCAUUUGGUAUAAUGAUAAUUUUGGAUAAGGAAACUACUCAUCUCGAUCUCCUCAUCUCGAUCUCAAUCGAAAUUCAUCUCGAUCUCGGUCACAGUUCGAGAUAAUGAUAAGCCUUAUCUCCUCAUCUCGAUCGAAAUUCACAACUCUCUCUCUCGGUCACAGUUCUUCAACCACGGUUCGUCACAGCUCUCUCUCUCCAUCACGGUCUUUAACCAGAAUCGACUAUUGUUGUGCCUCUGCUUCUCUCGACUAGUGCUAUUGCUGCGCCUGUGAUCUAUCUCGAUUGGUGGUGGUGCUGUUGCUACUGCAUCUCUGCUCGGUCUCAAUUGUUACUGCUGCUGCUCUUGCUCUCUCUCUCUUAGGUUGCUCCUAUAACGAGAUCUAAGCAUAUAUGUUGAGGAUCGACAUUGGCUCACUGGUAUUAUUCUUCUAUUUGGGUAAAUUUUGAGUAAUUAUUAUUUAUCUUGUGCUCUGAUUUCAUUAUUCUUAUAUUUCCAAGCUUCACUUGUCCCUGCGUUUUAAGGAAUAAGAAAAGAAAAGCAGUGUAAGAGAAAUAAUAAGAGUGGAAAUGGCAAUGUUGUCAAUGAAGAAGAAACCUUUCAUUUUUGCUUUGGUUCUGUGUCUUAUUAUGGAUAUGGGAUUUGUUGUUGUGUCUUUGUUGCAGAGUUUUGAGAAAGCAAGUUACAGUCGUGGGUUCAGCAAAUCUUUUGGUGAGAUUUUUUAUACUUCUAAUUAUGGAAUUCUUUAACUCACUAACUGGCUUGGCUUCUGCACCUCAAAUGGGGUAAGGGCUUUCAUUUUUUUUUUUCAUGCUCCAAUUUUCAAGGAUUUAACUUAAUAACUACAAAAGGAUAAACUUGCAUAUCAUGGACCUUGGUGGUAUGAGGAUUUUGGUAUUAGUGGGAUUUUGGAUUAUUCUGGAGUUUGGUGUACCUUUUGAAAGGUAAUUUGGUUGAUGCAUGAGUAUCUUGUGUCACAUGUCCAAGAGAAAAUGUUAAUAUGUUUGAUUUGGUUUUUGCUUUCUUGUUUGUGUCUUGCAGUUGGAAUAGUUGGAAUUUUUUUGCCUGCAAUAUCAGUGAAGCCAUCAUUAAAGAAAUUGGUAUUUGUUUGUUAGCUCAUAUAAUUUGUUUGUUUUAUUAUAUCAUACUGAGAAGCAAUUAACAUAUUGGCAAUGACAAUUUGGAAAGUCUUGUUAUCGAGAAUAAGAGAUAAGCACAUUAAUUCACUUGGGUUGCAAAGAAUUUGAAUGAAUGAGGGAUGAUGAUUCUAAAAAAUAAUGUAAUGGCAAAUAAAUAGCUGAAAAUUGAAAUGGAGUUGGCUGGGGAGAGCAAGAAUGACUUCUAUCAAAUAGGCUUGAUUAAUUUAAAUGGCAGAUACUCAUUUGAAUUAAUCUUUUUUUUACAACUAGGGGGCUUGCAUAUCCUGAGUUUUUUAAGAAAGUGAUCGCAAUGAUGAUGAUAAUAUUGAUUCUCAUUAUGUCUUUAUGAUCACAAGUUUAUCUUUUCAAGGUACUUGCAUAAGCUUUACAGGUUUACUGUAUAAAUAAUACACUAGGAACAUGUGGUUUGUUAUUAUCUGAUGAUUUGCAUUUUUCAGUUUAAUUUCUGUUGAAUGCAUUGAAAUUACAACAAAAUGGUUGUGAUUGGAUAUGAAAUACACUGGGAACCUAUGUAUACAUUUAUACCAUAUAUUAUUUUUAGCUGUGUGUUUUGGACAAUUUGAUUUUGAUGAUGGGUUCAUGUUAUGUUUGUAACUGCUGUGUUUUUGCAUCUUGUUUGCUGAACAAGCACUUUUUACUUGAUGGCUUAUGUCUAUCAACCAUCCUCACUUCAUGGGUAGUCAUUGCAUUCAACAAAGCACCUGAAUCCCAAAUGUAGUUUCAGUUGUUCUAUGAUUGAUCAUUGAUCAAUAUAUUCUCCCAUUUCCUUGUUGACGAUGAUAAUUCUAUUUUAAUUUCUAAACUAUCUUCCAUUUCAUGCCUUGAAUUAGAAGGAUGAAUUUUGUGAAGUUGCAUCGACAUGUGAGACUAAGACAGGACCUUCCAUCGCAGCAGGCUUUUGAAGGGCAUGGUCCCAAACUCUUAAGACCUUGAGAUUGCAAGAUGUAGGGCAUCAUAACCGAAAGCAUGUGCUCAUGGCAAUUUUUGUGGCAAUACAUUCAAUCUCAGCCAUUUAUUUAUUGCACAGGAAACACUUCAUGUUAGAUCAUUUUUUAUGAAUGAUUCUUGUCAUCACUUGUUCACUAAGAUAUGUGUUUGUCAGGUGUUCUUUUUUUUUUUUUUCUCUCUUGUACCACAUUGUUUUCAUGGUUGAUUCCAUCGUAUUAAUUAAUUUUUUAAAUAACUGAUUGAUGUUGUAUUCCUCAUUGAUUAAAUGUGAAUAUUGUAAAUUAAACUAUUAUUUUAUUUUAAUUCUCUUCUAUGGAUGAUUUGAUAUGAAAUCGAAAUUGUAGGGAUGGAUGGUAUAAGAGAUAAAAUUGUAAUUACCAUGCAACAUGAUUACACGCGUAAUGCAUGAUGCCCAUCAUUUAAUUUUUAUAAUUAUUUUGUUUAAAUUAUAGAUAUUGUAAUAUUUUAAUUAUAGUAUAAAAAUAAAGAUAAUAUGAAUUUUUUUUCAAUUAAUGUUAAUAAUUAAAUUUUAUCAUCAUUUAAUUUUUUAUAAUUAUUUUAUUUAAAUAGCGGUAUUGUUCGCGUGGAAAAUGAUAUUAUCACAUCAUACUUUCGUUUGCCCAAAUUGUAUUAUUCAUACUUUACUUGUUCAUAUCAAGCCCUAUGUUGGAAUCAAAUUUAACUUAAUUAAUCCAAUCCCACCAUCUUUUACUGCAUUCACCAGCCCGUAAUUUUUUGGAUAUUCUCAUAGAAAGUAGAGUACAACUCCUUUCUCUUAACAACACUUAAGAAGAGACCCCUAAAAUAAUAGAGUUCUUUUACGUCAAUGCAAGCAUUCGUUCUCUGUUUUUAUUUUUAAGAAAAUACUCUUAACUUAAAAAUAAACGAGACUACUUGGAAGUGGUACAUUUAGCAUGCCCUGGGUUAUAUUUUUCACACUGAACUCAAUUUCCAUUCCGAUCACACCCCGGUGUCUAAUAGGUGUUGUUUUUCGUUUUCCCGUACUCGAUGGGCCUGAUGUUACAGGAUAGCAAAAGUUGAGCUUCAUUCUUGUCAAUUGCUGCAGGUGUCGUUGGCAGCACUAUAGACGGAUGCAUUUGUUUUUUUUCUUUGCCUUAUUACAUCUUUUUUGUUGUCAAUUGAAUGUACUUUUCUUUUAACUUGCAUGUUUUUGCACAUGGCCGCCUGCCUAUCCCCCUACCUAUCUGGUGGUUAAAGAAACACAAAUUUAUCGCUACAAGACUCUCCGAUUUUUUAUACAUUAUGAAAUUUUUUUGGUUUAUCACAAAUAAAUUAAGGUUUAGAGAUACAGAUAGAGAAAACAUUUUUCUUUGUUAUACUAGAAUUUAUUGUAUUUUAAUUGCCCCAUAUUUUUUACAUUCUUAACCAAUAACAAUAGGGAUUGUUGAAUAAUAUAUGAAAUAAUUUUUUUUUAAUAAUUAUUACCAUUUAUUACGAGCUGCGUCUGUUAAAUUUUUAGACCUUUUACUUUUUUUUGCCUUACAACAAACAAUUGUGCCUUCUCAAGGAAGCUUAAAUCUCUAGCAAAUGGUGGUUAAUUUUGCAUGCGUGGCUGCGCUUACCAAAAGUCCACCAAUAUGUGGAGUGCACUUACAAGCGAGUUGCCAUUAGCACUCAACACGAUAGGGGUGUUCAGAAUCCAAUCCAAUCCACUCAAUCCGUUUGAUCCACUGAAUUUGAUCCGUAUCAAUCUGAUCCGUAGAUUAGUGGAUUGAAUAUGAAUUGAAAUUUUAAAAAUUCACAAUCGAUGGAUUGGAUAUCAAUUUACUUCUGUAAAUAAAGUAAAUCUGCAGAAAUCCGUGAAUCUGCAAAAAAAAUAUAUAUAUAUAUAAUUAAAAAAUGAUUAUAAAUUUAAUUAAAAAAUUAUAAAUGUGACAUUGCAUAGUUACUAAACACUAUAACAUAUUUUAGCCAUUACCCAAUAAUAAUAUAAAAUGAAAAAUAAUUAAAUAAUCAAAUAUACAAAUAUAACUUGUAAAAAUUGUAAAACAAAAUAAAAGCAAAGUCACACGCACUAGCAAAGCAAAGUAACAUAACGUCAACUCACCAACAAUUUACAAAUAAAAAAUCCUAAGGUUUCCCGCCGUCACAUACACUAGCAACACUCAAUACUGGUUAGAUACACUCUCAACACGGAUUUAAAGGACAUCGGCCGCGCGAUUCCAGCUAGAGCAAGCCAUCUUCUUUCCCAAGUCCAUCGAGCCACUUCACAUUUACUGGUUCUAGCUGAACAAUUUCACUAUCACAACCUUCAAGAUCUCCACCCGUACGGCUUCUCCUGAUUCCCAUCGUGGAUGGCUCCGUAAUCACCACUUUUCGACAGCCGCAACAGUCCUGGUGAAGGAUCAGACUGUGUUUGGUUUCCGAAACUUCGCCAUUUCAAUUAAUUGUGGUUUUAUUUAAACAAUUAAUUUCAGUGUUAUAUUAAUGUAUUAUUGUAACUUUAUUUGAACAAUUAAGCUUGGUGUGUUAUAUUUUGAAACUUUGAACACAUUAUUGUAGCUUUAGUUGAAUAAUUAGUCUCGAUGUGUUAUAUUUUGAGACUUUAAAUGUAUUAUUUUAGCUUUAUUUAAACAAUUAAUUUAUUUAAAUUUUAUUCAAUUUUAAAUUUAAUUGGUAGCAAAAUUAUUUGUAUAUUAGAUUUUUUUAUUUCAUUAGUUGGAGAGAAUUAAAAAUUUUUAAUUCGAAAACUAAUGCACAAAAUGGUGGAUUGAGUCAAAUCCGCAUCCGAUCCGCAGAUGUAUGGAUUGGAUUUGAAUUGAAUUUUAUCAAUCCGUGGAUUGGAUUGGAUUGAAAAAUUAUAAUCCGUAAAAUUAUGGAUCGGAUAUGGAUUGAUAUCCAAUCCGUAAAAUCCAAUCCGCGAACACCCCUACAACACGAUAUGCUCUUACAAGUGGGAUGCACUUAGUAAUGGCUCGCCUAACACAACUACUCAGUCAUGUUCUGCUUUGCAUCCAUCUGUGCCCACCCAAAUUCUAGACUUCUCUACAUUUUGCAAAUAACUACAAUUCGUUUGAAUUGUGCAUUUACGUCCUACGAGAUAUUUGCGCAUGUUCUUACGAAACUUUAUUACCUUGGCAUCCAAGCCUAUAACAACCCCGUGACACUUGCUAUUUUGCACACCAUACACACAAACCCACCAGCACACGUACAAGCUCCAUAGCUCUUAUAAAAAGUUAUCUUCUAAUUUCUCUUUACUGUGUAAUAAACUUACAUUCAGUCAUACUUCUCUUAUUUCUCUGUAUCAUUUCCACAAGCAUCCUUACUUCAUUAGUUUAUAGCCUCCUUUGCAAAACACUUAUCCCGCGACAUACUGCUCAUGAGAAUAGUUACGAUACGGUGUUUGGUUCAACAACCCCAAGAUAGUUUUCUCUUAGUUUUUUUCCUCUUUCAACUUAUCCUUCACCUCAAUUUAGACCGUCAUUCUUCAUUGAUCAUUUUUAAUUUAUAUUAUUAUUAUUAUUAUUAUUAUUAUUAUUAUUAUUAUUAUUAUUAUUAUUAUUAUUAUUAUUAUUAUUAUUAUUAUUAUUACUACACACUACAUAAUUGUUCCACAUAUUUUUAUUUUAUAUGAUUUUCAUUUACUCAACUCAUACGCAAAUUUUCCACAAAAACAAAUUAUAGGCUAACUCAACUGUAAAUUCAUGCCAGGCUAGUUUUAAAAUUACAGUUGAUAUUUCGCUUUUUUUUUUCCCACCAAGCACGCAAUUCAUUACCUUAAAUCCACUUCCAAAUGUUUUCGUCACUAUUUUCGAAAUUUUCAAAUCAUUCUAACCCCAACCCAUACUUGCACGCUUCCAACUUCUUGUUUUUAACCAAUUCUUGCAUGCACCCUUUUUUCUAUUGUUUUACAUGUGUUACUGUAACAACUCCCAACCCACUACAGGAGUUUUUUUGGUCAAAAAGAUGAGACUUAUAGUACCAGUGGCGGGCCCCCUGGGUCCUCAAAUUAUUCAUAUGGGCAUUUCGUCGAACUGUUGAUAUACUCGGCAUCUGCACUUGGAAGACGCGUUCAAAAACUCUAAACCAUGUUAAAGUCGACCAAAAAGACAAAACAUAGAAAGCGACAAUCCAACAACUAGGUAAAAAUAUUCGCUGUCACAAAUGGGGGCAAAACUACGGUGAAACAGUAGUUGCAACCAAUUAUUAAAUUUAUAAUUAUACAAUUGUAUUAGGUAAAUCUAAUAAUUAAAAGUAAUAAUAAUACCGUACUCACUGUUGCAACAUAACUCUCCCACAAAUAGUUGCGUGUAUAUUUGGAAACAUCAAAUAUAAACAAAGACCAUGUGAAAAAGAAAAGCAAAAAGCUACAAAUAAGAGAAAGGGAGCACAGUGAAAGAUCUGCAAAGAAGGUUUAGGACAACGAUUAUUAUGAAAACGAGACCAGAAGACGUAUAAGGGAUUUCAGAGAAUUUGAGAGAAGUGGGAUGAUUAAGAAAAUGCAGGAGCAGUACAUUCAUGACCUCUAUUAGUAAUUUGAUUUCGUGAAUCAUUUUCAAAAAGAAAAUAAUUAAUGCACACAAUUGGAGAGUAGGUGAUGACAAUGAAAGAUCAUCACAUAACCUACUUAUUAUUUUAUAUGCUUUACUGUGGAAUCGACAAUUGCUAUAUUGCGUAGCGUGUAUUUUGGGAUCAUCAAAUACAAACAACGACCACGAUAAAAGAAAAGAAAGACUAAUAAAGCUUUCCCAGCAGCAUUAAUCAUGAUUAUUUGAUAAAAUAGAGGUAACAAAUAAUUAUAUUUUUGGUGGAAAACAUAACAGAGCACGUUACAAGAGCUGAUUGCUUUCUUUAUUUUUUGUGAAUAUUAAACCAAAAAUACAAGUCAAUGAAAAAAAUUGAAAAUAACGCACCAUCAAGUCCACCUUGGUGCAGAAAAAUAUUAACAUUUAAUGAACUUAGAGGAAUGAGUUGGGCUAAGUCUUUAAAUCAGCUCUGUCGUGGAAUAUUACAGGAAGAUUAAAAGGAAAAUCAAUCAACUACAACUAAGUAUAUAAUAUAAUAUUUUCACGCAUCGUUUAUAAAUUUAUUGGGACACACUAUUUCCGCUUAUUGAAGAAAAUCAAGAAAUGCUGAUUCCGUCAUGCUUACUUUCAUAAUCAUUUAUAAGCUUUUAUACGAAUCCUUGUGUUUGAAUAUAAUAAUGGUUUAAGAAAUGCAUACCUGUUAGUUCUCCAUUUCUUGACUCCGAGGAAAAUUUGACUUGACAGAUGAAGCAAUGUUAUAAGAGGUUUGAUUAUGGGUCAAUUUACUGCGAGCAUUUCAACAGACGGGUGAUAUGCAUACACAGCUUCUACGCUACCACUAUCAUGCUUACCCCAUAGCUGCUUUCUGUUGUAAAACGUUGCUGACAUGUCAUCAUACUGGACAGACCUGCCGAGGUUAUUCUUCGAAGCGUUUCAUGAUGCCACGUGUACUUGAUUAUUUGACUAAUCACGGUUCACAAGUUGAGGGAGCUACUCACCACACCACCUUCCUGCUGCAAAGAAUUUUAACUGAACUUAGACUUCGUCAGAAACUCAGAAUUAGUGGUGCACGUGAUGCUUACACGUGAGGACCCCAAUGACGAAUUCCAAACGCUGAACGAUGUAUGUGUGAAUUAAAUGUAACUAUUACUCUCUAGUACAUAUAUGUCAUAUGUACACUAAGUGGGUGUAGUGCAACGAAGGUGCUCUAAUAUUUUUUCAGUGAACACAAUAUAAUCAUCAAAGUGAAAGAAAAACUUUUGAGGUUUUGGUAUAUUCAUUAGUGAAAUUUGAGCCGAAAAGAAAAAUUCAUAUUUGUAAACAUCAAAACCAAAAUCAUUUGGACAUAGUUGCUGAAAUUGAUUAGGUCAUUUUUAACCUUAAAUUUAAGAUCAUUAAUCGUUGCAUGAAUGUUUUGAUUUUAAUACCAGUGGCAAUCACGUACAUGUUUAAUGAUUUGAUUAAAUUUGUGUUUAGUUCUAUAAAUGAUUUAACUAAAAAAUUCAAAAAUGUUUAAAUAACAAUUGUUAUUAUUAACAAUUUAACUAAAAAAUUAUUAUUAAUUAUUGUUAAUAGAUUAAUUAAUUACAAUACUUUUUAUUAUUCUUAUUAAUAGUAAUUACAAUAAACUAGUAAUUAUAAUUAUAAUCCAUUUAAUAAUAAUUAUUUUUAUUUAAAUGGAGGGUAGUUUGGGAAUUUAAAAAAUAUAGGGGAUAAAUUUGAUACGCUAAGGGUUUUAAUGAAAUAAAAUAGAGUGCAAGGGGCUGAACGAAAUGUUACAAUACAGAAACUUUUAUAUACUUAUUGAUAAAUUGUAAAUACUAUUAAGUAAAAGGGGCUGAACAAUAUUUUACAGUAAGAAUUCAGAAAAAGACAAACGCAGCUGUAACUGUAACUUAGAGGAAGAGGAUCCUUAAAGUUUUUAAUGAAAAUCUUUAGUUGUUUAGUUAUAAAAAAAAAGCUUUUAAAAAAAGUUGUAAAUUAAAAUUACUUUAGUAACAAGUUUAUUAAACCUGGACUCAUCUACUUUGCAACGGCUGCAAUGUACAACUAAUUUUUUUUUAAUUUCAUUCCUUUACCUUUGGAUUUAAUGAAAAAGGUAAUUUCAAUGGUAGAGAUUUGUCCAUUUGAAUACUAACAUUAUAUUUUUGAUAAGUAUUAAAAACACAAAAAAAUGAAAGAGUUAAAAUUUUUAGCAUAUAAGUCUUUAUUGUUUCCAAUUUAUAUUAUUUAAUUAGUAGUAAAUCUUAAAAAAUAUUUUAAUUUUAAUAUUAUAUAUUUUAUUUAAAAGAAUAAAUUUUUAAUGUUAUUUAUUUUAUUUAAAAUAAAUAUUAUUUAAUAUUAUUUAUUUUCAUUUUAUUUAAUUUUAUUUAGCGUAUGCUUAUUAUUAUAUUUAUUCUUCAAAAAACUAAAUAAUAUUAAAUAAAAUAAAAUAAUCAAUAGUGAAUCAUAAAAAAUAGAUAUAAUUUUUAAUUAAUAUUAUUUAUUUUAUUUUAUUUAACGUUUUAUAGUCAUAAACUUAUCAUUAUAUUUAUUCUUUCAUAAAACUAAAUUUAACAUGCAUAACAUAACUCCAUAAGACAAAAAUGGUGGCACCUUGCAACUGUUGCAAAGUAGCUGGAUCCUAUUAAACCUAUAUGUUAUAAAACAAAUGAAAUAGGAUUAUGCAUGCAGUUAAAUAGGUGUAUUUUAGAAAAUCUAAUUCUUUUAAGGAGCUCUACAACCUAUUCUCCUAGAAGUCCAAAAUUUAAACUUCUCCUAAUAAAGACAAAAUAAUAUUUUUAAUAAACUCUAUUCAAUUUAUAGCCAAACGAUGCCAAAAAAUAUUCAAAAGCAAAAUUACUCUCUUGAUCUAUUAGUAGAGAAAUCAUACAAAAUGGACACUUAAUGGUCAAUUAUUUUCCCCCCUUUUUUUUGUAGUUUUACUUUUCCUAUAAACAUUAUUGUUUAGGAAAUAAUAAUAACACUAAAUACUCUCCACUAACACAUUAAUUAAUUAAGAGUAUUUCCUCACUAGCACGCAUUUAAUUAUCAAAUGAUUAUCAAAAGUACGGCUAAACUUUGGUAAUUAACAAAACAAGUACUCUAAGCUCUGUCAUCUCAGUAAAAAUGUUAUCUGGGAUUCUCAACGAAGGAUCACUGCCAAUAGAAAAGUAUUCAAGGUGUGGACAUUCCAACUCUUGAGGAAGCUCACUAAUAUUACUAUUAUUUAAGGAGAUUGCAGUGCAAACCUUUAGUUUAUCCUUAUCUGGCUGUUUGAUCUGUGGGACAACAUCAUUAUCCACUACAAAUACAUGUUGGUCUCUUGAUGCAAUUGAUAUGGCUACAUCACGAACAACAUCAUGCAUAGCAAACCAUUCACUUGUAACACCAUCAAGCAACAAGCAAGAGUUUUUGAGCUUGUCAACCAAUGUAAGCGCUCUAUCUCGUGGUUCUUCCAACGUGUUGAUGUUUUGAAACAGAGCCAAACCCAUGCCAUAACAGAGCAAGUCUUCAACACAACAGAUGAACGAGUACCCUAUUAGCAAAAAUGUUUCUUUAAGUUCCCUACCUUCUAAAUGAUUGUAACUCAACUCUACAGUUGAAUAGGCCACCGCUUGUGUCCCAGAGAAACUUCUUAAACAAGGCCUUUUUAAUUGAAGUAAAGCAUUCCUCCAUUCAUAGAGACUCUUAUUUUUCAAUGCCUUCGCUACGGGCACGAUGGCAAUGGGCAAACUAGCACAUUCCUUGACUACCUUUGUCGCUACAGAUUUCAGUUCACCAUUUUCUAUGCAAUCACCUGUCAUCUUCUUGAAAAGACUCCAAGCUUCUUUUUCAUUCAGAACAUCAACAAAAAAAUUUUGUUGACAAUCCAUUUUACAAGACAACACAUCUUGACUUCUUGCUGUCAGCAGAACUUUACAUCCGCCGUUAUCAUCUGCCAAUGGAAUUCCAAUCGCCUCCAAAUCGAGACUCCCCCAAAUAUCUGUUGGGGAAAAAUCAGGUUUUUAAAUUUUUUAUAAAACCAUUUGAAGAUCGCUCUCAUAUAAUAUAUAAGAAUUUGUAUUCUAGAAAUCGUACCUUGAAAAUCCGAGUUGGCUUUUUCCGCUGAAGUGAUUUAGGCUCCUAGAUCACGAUCCGCCACCACCACUCCUGUUAGAUCACGAUCCGUCUCCACCACGCUUGUUAGAUCACGAACUGUCACCAAUGAUCUUCCAGGUUAUGACUCAGGUUCGAUCUGCACUUGACGUGUGGGCGCCUUUAUCACUACAAAAGCAACUAGCACGAGAAAAUUUUUCUCUCAACAAUAGAGAGAAAAAUCUUAUUCUCCGAUUUGUAUAAAGUGGCCUCUCUCUUUUCCUUUAGAGAAAAUAAACCUUAUAUAUCUUCCUUUAGUGAAAACCCUAGGCUCCAAAUAAUUCAAAAAACAAAACCCACGUUAUUUGCUUUUUCAAUAAGGGACCCACCUUGUAAAAUAACAUAAGGCCCCUUAUACAAAAGCUAAUUAAAUGGAGCCUCCCACUAAAUGAUAUAUUUAGGCUUUUGACCCAAAUUGCUAGUUAUCUUACUUAUUAGUCCAGUAGUGGUGCAGUUAAUUAAAUGAGCUAACCCGGGGAUCAUUUGGGAACAUACAAUAGUGGCUACAAUAAUUAGGCCUGUAAUUAAACUAGCCCAAUUAUUUAAUUCCAAAUCUACUCCACUAAAAGAUUGGAACUGACUUCCAUAAUUGUAUGCUCGAAUAAUAAUUCGUCCCAAGCCACAUUGAUUUCUUUACUGCACAAUCCUUUGUACCACAUCGUUAAUUAAAUUGAUAUCUCAACUGUCCAAUCAAUUUAAUAACAUCUUAUUCCUUGAUCCUUACUGGUUUCCUCUAAUGAUCAUUUUCAACAUACUAAAUAUGUUGACACACUCUGGCCAGAGAAUUCUAUGAUCAAGUACCGAAAACCUAUCAAGAGAUGUGUUGUACAAAUUCUAUAUUGUUAAUCCAUAACUCCAAUACUCAUAAUUGCUCCCACCAAGAUACCGGGUAAUCUUGACCACAAGGAUGUGUCGUGCCCAUUGGUAACUCAAAUGAAAUAACAAUCACAAUCAUGAAAUCAUAAUUAACUCAAGAUUAAGAUUACAGUAAAAUCAACGCCUAUGAGAUUUAAUAAGUCUGACAGUUAUUACAAAGUUAAUUAAAUCUCAUAUGUGAUCCUGUUCAAUGUAGUCGUACUACAUCAAUAAAUUCAUACAUGAUUAAGACAAAUCAUUCAAUGAAUUUAUUACAGUCUAUACCUAAAUAAAGUGCCCAACUUUAUUUAUCAACUGCGAACUAAAUUUAUUUAAUCAUAAGAUAACUUGUAUUUAUGUCUUCUGUGAAUCCACAUGGUGAUCACAUAAAUACAUAUAAUAUGAUUAAAUGGACUUUAAUACAAAUAUUAAUGCAAUUAAGAUAUUUGAAUAAAAUACCUCAUUUAUUUUAUUAAUCAGAAAAAUUGUUUAUUACAAUUAAAUAAACACAUAUGCUUUUAAAGAGCAUAUUUUCCCAACAAUAUCAUAUAAGAUUAUAAGGAUCUUCUUCUCUACUUUCAAUCUUUCAUAUAGCCUCCCUGCUCUAACAGUUUCAAUCUCUUCAACUAAUCGCAAACCUAUCUUCUCUGCAAUUUAUUCUUGUAUCUUCUUUAUUUGUGGUGUUUGGGAUACCUAUUCCCUUAUAAGAUAAUACUUCCUUUCAAUAUGUUUUGUUUCUUGUGGUUCCUUGGUUCCUUAGAUUGAGCUACCGCACCACCCAUCCCGUAUACCCCAAUCAUGUUGAAGUUAUGAUUGCUUAAUGAGCCUAGUAUUUCCUUCAAAGUGGAUUUUCUUGAUUCAAAGUGAAUGAAACCUUCGGUGGACUUAAGCCAUAUCUCCUCUGGAAUUGUACGGAAAGAAACGCUGUCAAAUUUCCUUUUUUCAUGGAGUCCAACAAUAGCAUUCACCUCCAUUUCUGCUUUCUUGCUAAGCUGGUAGUGGGUCUUCAAAUUGGGACACAACCCAUUAAAACACCGGUUGUUUGAUUUUUCUUCAACUUCUAUAAGCUUCCUAACUUCACUGAUGACCUCGUCCACACUAAUCAGCCACUCCUCAAUGUGCUGUUGAAUUCCGUCCCCUUUGAUUUUGGAAUCAUCUAUGUUAAGUAAAUAAGAGCACCAGCUCAACCAUGUCAUCAUCCCCACCUCGGGGUGGAUCACCUCAGCCGAAUGGUACGAGCAGAACACUGAUAAUAAGCCUUAUACAAACAUGGGCCGACCAGAGACGAGUACAGCCAGAGGAAUACACCGACCAGAGACGAGUACCAGCCGGAGGAAUACACCGACUAGAGACAUAUACCGAGUAGAUACGCAUUCCCCAAAGAGUGGGAACACGAUCCCACAAAAUCUCGACAGUUGCGCUUUUUCCAGAACCGUUGAGGGAGACACGGUGUCCCACGUUUGCCCACAAUGUAGCAGUUGGAGUCCCAUGAAGGGCUGCCACUACUUGAGAAAGAGGGGAUGAAGGGUGAACAGAAAUGUGGGACAACGGCUAUAAAAGAGGAAGAAACCAAUGAAGAAAGGGGAUGAAAAAACUGAGAGAGAAGGGAAAACUCUGCCAAGUUAAAACCAGACGGUUUUUCUACCUAAAUUGAGAGUAAAUCGUAAGCCAUUCCAAAAUCUAAAUUAAACCGUUUUCCCGUAAACACCUUGUGCUAACUUAGGCAUCGGAAGGUUUACGCCGGUAAAACCAUCGGCGUCUUUGAUCCAUUUUUUGUGAACGCAGGCUUAGCAAGAUAAAAAGGGGUGAUUCCAACCCAGUGACGUAAGCGAUCGUUAAGGCAAGGAGAAAAUAACAUCGUUCCCAUUAAACAUCUAAGCGUUGGUGGAAGAAUCUGGUGGGGUAAAGGGCGAGCAAAUUUCAGCAUCAACAUUGGGCGAGCAGAUUUCAGCAUCAACAAUCUACUUUAUACUGUACACUGUCUCUAGCAUUCUUUAGUUUAUCAACAUCAUUCUUCAGCUUCUCAAAGUUGGUCUUGUACGUGCAGUAGUAGGUAAAUGGAUGAAUAAUGGGAGCAACCAAGUACUCUGCAACUUUUGUAACAACGAAGGUAACAAUUUCCAUUAUCCUUUUUAUUUUAUUUUAUUUUUAUUUUGCUUUGAGAAAACAGGGGAAAACAAAACCAAUCACAACAAGAAAUAAGAGACAAGGAGGGCAAGGAGUGAAAAAGCUAGAAAUAAAAAAAGGAGUACAGUGAAAGAUCUGUAAAGAAGGUUUAGAAAAAGGAUGAUUAAGAAAAGGGAACCAUAAAAUGUAUAAGGGAUUUUUAGAGAAUCUGAGAAAAGUUGGAUGAUUAAGAAAAUGCUGGAGCAGGACAUUUAUGACUUCUGUUAGUAAUUUGAUUUCGUUAAGCAUUUUCAAAAAGAAGAUAAUACAAACAAUUGGAGAUUUGGUGAUGAUAAUGAAAGAUUAAGUAAGCUACUCCAUAAUUUAUAUGCAUUAACUGGAAUCGACAGCUCUAGCUCGUGUUAAAAUCAACCAAAAAGACAGAUCAUGGAAAGCAGCAAUCCAAUAACUUAAAAAGAGUUAAAAACAUUUGCUAUAGGAAGUGGUUGCGUUGACGUGUAUUUCAAGGAUCAUGAAAUAUAAACAAAGACCACGUUAAAAGAUAAGCAAAAGUUGGCAAGAUUGGUAAUGAUAUAUUAAAAGAAAGACUAAUAAAGCUUUCCUAGCAGCAUUAAUCAUGAUCAUUUGAUAAACUAGAGGUAAUAAAUGAUUAUAUUUUUAGUGGAAAACAGAGUACGUUACAUGAGCUGAUUGCUUUUGUCAAUAUUCAGCCAAAAAUACAAGUUAAUCAAAAUAACCUACCAUCAAGUCAACCUUGGGGCAAAAAAACUAGUAACAUUAAAUGAACAUAGAGGGAUGAGUUGGGCCAAGUCUUUAAAUCAGCUAUGUCAUGGAAAAUUACAAGAAGAUUAAAAAAAAAAGAAUCAAUCAACUAGUAUAUAGUAUAAUGUUUUCACAUUUAAUUAACUAGGAGACUAAUACACUAUCACUCAGCAUUAAUGAAAAUUAUUUGAUAAACUAGUAUAUAUUGGAUAUCUCGGUGCAAAACAGAGUGCUAAGAGAUAAAAAUUAACCUAGUGUCUUUGCCAGGUGUUUAUAAUCGCUAAGCUUGCCUCAUACCAUUGCCAACUUUGGCCAUCUGGUAGUUGCUUAUUGAAGAAAACAAAGGAAUGCUGAUUCGAUCAUGCAAAGUUUAAUGUUAAUUAAAGUUAAAAGCGAUCAGAUUCAUAUUCAUUAAUAUGCUUUUAUACGAAUCGUUGCGUCUGGAUAUAAUAAUGGUUUCAGAAAUGCCUACCUGUUAAUUCCCCAUUUGUUGUCUCUGAAGAAAAUUUGACUUGAAGCAAUAUUAUAAGAGGUUUAAUUGUGGGUCAAUUUCUUGUGAGCAUUUCAACAAACGGGUGGUACGCAAGCACAGCUCCUAUGCUAUCGCUGCUACUAUAUGCGUCAAGUAGCUGCUUCCAGUUGUAAAACGACGCCGACAUGUCAUACUCAGAGAGAUCCUUCCGAGGUUAUUCUUGGAAGCAUUUGACAAUGCCACGUGUACUCCAUUAUUUGACUAGUCACACUCACAAGUGAAUUAGCCCACCACACCACCGAACUCUGACUUGGUCAGAAUAAGUGGUGCACGUGAUGCAAACACGUGAGGACCCAAAUGAUAAUUUCCAAAAGCUGAAUGAUACAUGUAUUAUAUGUGUGCAUUAACUAAAUAUAACUAUUAAUUGUAUGUUAAAUUUUUAAUAUAUAUAUAUAUAUAUAUAUAUAUAUGUGUGUGUGUGUGUGUGUGUGUGUGUGUGUGUGUGUGUCAUACAUAUACUACGUAGAUGUACUACAAUAGAGGUGCUUUAGAAUUUUUCGGCAAACACAGCAUAGCGAUUGAAGUGAAAGAGAAACUUUAAUCUUUGGUGUAGUCAUUGGUAAAAUUUGAGCCGAAAAGAAAAAUUCAUAUUUGUAAACCUAGAAACAAUAAUCAUUUGGAAGUAGUUGCUGAAAUUAAUUAGGUGAUUUUAACCUCAAAUUUGAGACCAUAAAUCAUUGAAUGUUUUGAUUUCAACACUAGUGGCAAUCACGUACACAUUUAACGACUUAGUUAAAUUUAUAGCAACUAAUAAGUAUCCAACUUUGCAACCGUAUUUAUUUCUCGUGAUUUGAUUAAACUGAGCACUCCGAAAACUUCAGUUCCUUCCAUUGUUGUAAGCUGAAUGAUACAUGUACGAUUUGAUUAAACCGUAUUUAUUUAUAUAUUGAAUGCUACUUCAAUGAAUUCUACUGCCGCAAUAAUACUAAAUGAUUUUUCAUGACAAAAAAAUCAAUAAUUAGAAUGAUUAUAAGUUAAUUUAAUGCUGAAUUUCAUCAUUAACUGCUGAAAUACUCCAGAAAUCCAAAUACAUUUAACUAAACAAAAAUUUAAUCAAAUCAUUAAACACACAAUCUGAAAGCGGAUUCAAAAUAACUUUCAUAAAAAAGCCAAAAGCAGAACAAUCAACAAAGAAACAGAAGAACCUCUCACCAAUGCCAUCUGACCCUUCAUAGAAAGAAAGAAGUCAAGCUCCAUGUAAUAUAACGCCUCACAAAUUACACAGAAAAAUGGCCGCAUUCCAUAUGAUGCAUAGAACGUGGCCCGAAUCCUCUUCGUAAGUUUGGAAUUUUUGGAGAAAAAUACACAAUGAAGGUGAAAUCAAGAAAAAAAGGAUAGUGAUAUUUCGUGCAAUUUUCAUGUAAUUUGCAGGAAUUAGCUUCUAUUUGGUAAGCAGUUCUGGAUGCCUAACUAUUAUUACUAUUACUAUUAUUUAUAUGGAUGGGGUUGGGUGAGACAGGUUUAUCAUAAUUAACCCAACCCAGCCCAAUUAUUAAUUGGAUUCUAAAAAAUUACCUAAUUAACCCCAUAAUAAUUCACUUAAUCCAUCAAAAUUUGAUUGGAUUAGAUUGGGUUAGACUGGAUUCGUCAGGUUGGAUUGAAUUCACCGGGAUUGGAUUGAGUUUGCCUACCCCUAGCUCUUGACCCACAUUAUUUAUUUUUAUUAUUUGGUAACUUCAUUCAAUAAAUAAAUUUAAAUUUUAUCAAUUUGUAUAAAAUAAGUUUAUACAAGAGCUUUUAACUGUAUCAUCACUCAUCAAACAAUAUUAGAUGAAACAAUAAAUGAAAUAUACAAAGGUAUCAUUAAAUCCAAAAGCAUCCAAUGUGUCAAAAAAUAUCCUAUCAUUUGAAAUAAAAAUAUUAAAAUAUUAUUUUCGAAAUCAAUAAUGAUAUAACCACAAACAUUAAGAACUUGUGUAAACAAACUAACAUGGCAUAAAGACAUUAGCUAAAAAUCGAUAACUAUUAUUUUUGUAAAUCAUGUGGGUCUAUAACAGUUUUAUACAACCAAUCUUCUCAUGCAAAAUCUGUAUGAAUUUUUUUUUUACAAGGUGGUUGUGGCUCUAUAUAUCCAAGUCGUUGUUCAACUUCAAGGGAUCUGUUAACUCACGUGUAUAUAUAUAUAUGUGUAUAUAUUAUUGGUUGUUAUAUGUUUCCUAGUUUGAUAGGAUUUCCUUUCCUUGUGAACUAGGGUAAUUCUUAUGUACAUAUAAAUAUUGAUCAAUAAGAGGGCAGACCAUGGAAGCCACAACAGUUUUUGCAUCGUAAAAUUCUUCAUGGUAUCAGAGCAUGAUGGAAGACCAAACUCAAACAAAAACAAAAGAUAAAGAGGCUAGCGGAAGUGGAUUGGGCAAGACAAUGAUGUCUCCUUACUUCCUCUCAACCAGUGAUAAUCCUGGAACUAUCAUUACUCAAGUGCAACUUCGAGGAACCAACUAUGACGAGUGGGCAAGGGCUAUGCGAACUGCAUUGCGUGCCAAGAAGAAAUUCGGGUUUGUUGAUGGAACCGUGAAACAGCCUGCUGAUGACUCGGCUGAUUUGGAGGAUUGGUGGAUGAUGAAUUCAAUGUUGGUCUCCUGGAUACAAAAUACAAUCGAAUCGAACCUGCGAUCUACUGUGACUUAUACAGAAGUUGCUAAGUUGCUGUGGGAUGAUAUCAAGGAAAGGUUCUUUGUUGGGAAUAGACCACGUGUGCAGCAACUCAAAUCUGAGUUGGCGAAUUGCAAGCAGCGAGGUAUGACUAUUUUGAAUUAUUAUGGGAAACUCAAGAUGUUGUGGGAAGAAUUGAGUAACUACGAUCAAUCGCCUGCUUAUCUAUGCGGUAAUUGUACGUGUAAUCUAGGUGUGGAAUGGGAUAAGAAACGAGAUGAAGAAAAGUUGCAUCAAUUCUUGAUGGGUCUUGAUGAAGCCGUGUACGGUGACGUGGGGUCUCAUAUUCUAAGCACCGAGCCACUGCUAAAGUUGAACCGUGCCUAUGCCAUAGUCAUUCAGGAGGAGCAGGUUCAGUCAAUGACACGUGCUAAAGAAGAACGGAGUGAACCUAUAGCAUUUGUUAUUCAAGCCGUGCAAGGAUCACAUGACAACCGUGAUAAGUCUUCUAUACUUUGUACCCAUUGCAACAAGACUGGACAUGAAGCAUCUUCCUGUUUCCAGCUUAUUAGGUAUCCCGAAUGGUGGGGUGAACGAUCGAAAGCCACGAGGAAUGCAGGUCGUGGUCGCGACAAUUCAUGACAGAAUGGUGGAAACAAUGGGCGUGGUCGUGGAGGUCCUGCUCGGGCCAACGCUGCUCAAGUCGCGACAGGGUCUAACAAUCCGUCUGGAGAACUCCCGAAAUCAGCCGCAAGCGGUCUCAGCGGUUUGAGCAGUGAUGAAAUAUAUGUGUGCAACCCAAGAGGGGGGGUGAAUUGGAAUUUUAAAAAUUAUCCUAGCAAAUCCACACAACAAGCAAUCUAAUGUCUUAAUAAAAAUUGAAAGCAAUAAGUUCAAUAAAAGCACAAUAAUUAAAAGAGUAAGGGAAGAGAAAAACGAACACAAGGAUUUUUACGUGGUUCGGCUAUCCCCGCCUACGUCCACGCCUCCAAGCUCACCCGGCUUGAGGAUUUCACUAUCCAAGCCUCCCAAGGCUUCAAAUGUUUACAAUUGACUUCCAAGGUGUCAAUGAACCUUUACAACAAGAGAUUAUAUCCCCAAUCUCUUCACCCCAAGUGUUUCCCACACUUGUACACUCACAAUUUGAUGAGAAAUGAUAAAUACAACAAUGAAUCUCUCUUUAAGAGUGGAUAUACAAAUUGAAGAACAAAGAUGAUUUAAUGAAUGAUGAUUCACGAAGUUGAAGCUCAAUAUAUGUUGUGUGCACUUGUUCUUGCUUCUUGGAUUUAUUCCCAAAAAUGAAUUGGUUUUGAGUUUAUAUAGUUUGAACUCAAAAACUAGCCGUUACUCACAUUCUAGGCGUAUCCGAUUUGCCGGUUAUGGAAUCCGGUAAGCCGAAUUUAUGUUACCGUUAAGGCAAAAUUCAAAAUUCUGCCUAUCCGGCUUGCCGGUUUCGGAAUCCGGUAAGCCGUUUGCGUUCUGGAUGCAUUCUGCCCCGAAUUCGGUUUUUCGGUUUUUGAUAUCCGGUAAGCCGCUUGCUACAGUAACCUGCUACAGUGAAAAUUUUCCCAUAUUUUCAGUUUGACCCCAAAACUUUAUAAAACUGUAGUAUGACCCAAAAAGUUAUGAAACUUUACAAAUAUGUCCAAUUUCAGAAUUUCUAAGUAAUGCUUCGUUAAUCCCAAAACUUUCUGAAAUUAUGAUAUAGCCAAAAAUGCUAUGACACUUUACACAUAAGUCCUUUACCAAAAUUUCAAGCAAUACUUGUUUAUUUCAAAGUUUUCAAAAUUCUUUCAAUUAAACCAUAAACUUUGAAAAACAACCAAUUUCAUAAAAUCAUUUUUCCAUUAAAUAUGAAACAUUUAUAAUGUGAAAAUAAUGAUUUAUUUAAAAAGAAUAAAAACAAUCAAUUUCAUAAAAUCAUUUUUCCAUUAAAUAUAAAACCUUUAUAAUGUAAAAAUAAUGAUUUAUUUAAAAAGAAUAUUAAAUAAUUUGGGCUUAAAAGAUUAAUCAUUCUUAAUCUUGUUUGUUAUCAUCAAAAUCAAUAUUACGAAAACAUAUAUGUUAACAAGUGAGCAGUGAGCAGUGAGCAGUGGAACACAUUGCUUAAUCUUUUGAACAGUAAAAAAGACAGCAACUUACGGAUCAGUGGUAAGCGUAAUUCAAUGGAGUUGAUUCUUGAUACUGGGGCCUCACAUCACAUGACUGGAAACAGAAAAAUCUUACACGACAUUGUAUCUGUUAUUCCCUGUUCUAUUCGGCUGCCUGAUGGAAAUGCGACAAUAGCAAAUACAGAAGGAACAGUUGUGCUUGCUAGCCACCUGCGACUAAAUAAUGUUUUAUUUAUGCCAAGUUUAACUUGCAAUUAAAUUUCUAUAUUGCAACUGAUUCAAGACGUCAAUUGUUUUAUUUAAUUUUCUGAUCAAUUAUGUGUGAUACAUGACCGCAUUACGAGGAUGCUGAUUGGAGCGGGUGAGCAGCGAGAGGGACUCUAUUAUUUUCGGGACAUUGGUUCGGCCGCCGCUCUAUCUAGUGUUGCCAACCGAGCUUGUGAUUUAUGGCAUCGAAGGCUGGGGCAUCCUUCCUCUAAAGUUUUUAAGUGCUCCCUUUUAUUGAUUCGGCCUCUUGUCUGUCUAGUUUUCAGAAUUGUGAUGUAUGCUUUCGAGCAAAAUAGUGUCGUGACAAAUUUGUUUUAAGCAAUAAUAAAGCUUCAGAUAUUUUUGAAUUGAUUCAUUAUGACUUGUGGGGACCUUAUCGCACAGCUAGUUCUUGUGGUGCUCAUUAUUUCUUGACUAUUGUUGAUGAUUUUUCUCGCGGUAAUUGGACAUAUCUGCUAGUCGCAAAGAAUGAGGUUGGGCGUGUAUUACGCAAUUUUUCAAGUAUGGUCUCUAGACAAUUCCAUAAACUCGUUAAAAUUGUAGGAGAAAAAUACAGGUUUUUAAAUUUUUUAUAAAACCUUUUAAGAUCGCUCUCAUAUAAUAUAUAAGAAUUUGUAAUCUAGAAAUCGUACCUUGAAAAUCCGAUUAAGCUCUUUUCGCUGAAGUGAUUUAGGUUCCCAUAUCACUAUCCGUCACCACCACGCCUGUUAGAUCACGAUCCGUCACCAUCACGCUUGUCAGAUCACGAACUGUCACCAAUGAUCUUCUAGGUUAUGACUCAGGUUUGAUCUGCACUUGACGUGUGGGCGCCUUUAUCACUACCAAAGCAACUAGCACGAGGAAACUUUUCUCUCAACAAUAGAGAGAAAAAUCUUUUUCUCUGAUCUGUAUAAAGUGGCUGCUCUAUCUUUUCUUUAGAGAAAAUAAGCCUUUUAUAUCUCCCUUUAGUGAAAACGCUAGGCUCCAAAUCAUCAAAAUCAAAACUCACGUUACUUGCUUUUUCUAUAGGGGGCCCACCUUGUAAAAUAACAUAAGGCCCCUUACACACAAGUUAAUUAAAUGGAGCCUCCCACUAAAUGAUAUAUUUAGGCUUUUGACCCAAAUAGCUAGUUAUCUUGCUUAUUAAUCCAGUAGUGGUGCAGUCAAUUAAAUGAGCUAACCCGGGAAUCAUUUGGGAACAUACAAUAGUGGCUAUAACAAUUAGGCAUGUAAUUAAAAUAGCCUAAUUAUUUAAUUCCAAAUCUACUCCACUAAAGAUUGGAAUUGACCUCCAUAAUUGUAUGCUCGAAUAAUAAUUCGUCCCAAGCCACAUUGAUUUCUUUACUGCACAAUCCUUUGUACCACAUCAUUAAUUAAAUCGAUAUCUCAACUGUCCAAUCAAUUUAAUUACAUCUUGUUCCUUGAUACUUACUGGUUUUCUCUAAUGAUCAUUUUCAACAUACUAAAUAUGUUGACACACUCUGGCCAGAGAAUUCUAUGAUCAAGUGUCGAAAACCCAUCAAGAGAUGUGUUGUACAAAUUCUAUAUUGUUAAUCUAUAACUCCAAUACUCAUAAUUGCUCCCACCAAGAUACCAGGUAAUCUUGACCACAAGGAUGUGUUGUGCCCAUUGGUAACUCAAAUGGAAUAACAAUUACAAUCUUGAAAUCAUAAUUAACUUAAGAUUAAGAUUACAGUAAAAUCAAUGCCUAUGAAAUUUAAUAAGUUUGACAGUUAUUACAAAGUUAAUUAAAUCUCAUAUGUGAUCCUGUUCAAUGUAGUCGUACUACAUCAAUAAAUUCAUACAUGAUUAAGACAAAUCAUUCAAUGAAUUUAUUAUAGUCUAUACCUAAAUAAAGUGCCCAACUUUAUUUAUCAACUGCAAUCUAAAUUUAUUUAAUCAUAAGAUAACUUGUAUUUAUGUCUUCUGUGAAUCCACAUGGUGAUCACAUAAAUACAUAUAAUAUGAUUAAAUGGACUUUAAUAAAAAUAUUAUUGCAAUUAAGAUAUUUGAAUAAAAUACCUCAUUUAUUUUAUUAAUCAGAAAAAUUGUUUAUUACAUUUAAAUAAACACAUAUGCUUUUAAAGAGCAUAUUUUCCCAACAAUCUCCCACUAGCUCUCAAAGCAUAUCUGGCAUAUUGCACAUGCUCUAGGGCUCUAAGUGCAGGUUAUAAAGAUUUCCCACUAAUGGCCAUUGUAAUAAGAUAUGUCAUUUAGCAUCUAAUACCAUUUGGGGUACUGUCAUAUAACCUUUCUACACUAUUGCAUUAUAAGAUGAUACUUCCUCUCAAUAUGUUUUGUUUCUUGUGGUUCUUUGGUUCCUUAGAUUGAGCUACUGCACCACCAUAAUCACAAAAUAGUUUAAGGCGUGUAGUUACAACAGGUAUCACCUUAAGAUUUUGUAGGAACUUGCGGAGCAAUAUAGCUUCUUUUGCAGCUUCAGAUGUAGCCACAUAUUCAGCUUCAGUUGUGGAGUCUGUGAUACAAGAUUGUUUCACACUCAUCCAACUAAUAGCUCAACUUCCUAAUGUAAACACAUAGCCGGAAGUUGAUUUUCUAAAAUCCUUAUCUGACAAAAAAUCAGAAUUAGUAUAACCCACUGGAAUAAGUUCAUCACCAGAAUACACAAGCAUAUAACUUUUAGUUCUUUUCAGAUACUUCAUUAUAUGCUUGACCGCAGUCUAGUGUUCAGGUCUAGGAUUAGAUUGAUAUCUACUAACCAUCCCUACUGCAAAACAGAUGUCUGGCCUAGUGCAAAGCAUGGCAUACUUGAGACUUCCCACAUCUUCUACAUAGGGAACUCGUCUUAUUUUCUCUAUCUCUUCAGAUGUUUUAGGUGAUUGGUCCUUAGAGAAUGUAAUUCCAUGUCUGAAUGGUAAUAAACCAGUCUUGAAAUUUUCCAUGCUAAAUCUAGCCAAUAUCUUAUCGAUAUAGACCGCUUGAGACAAGGAUAAAGUUUUAUUCUUCCGGUCUCGUAGUAACUUGAUACCAAGAAUAUAACUUGCCUCUCUCAAGUCUUUCUUAUCAAAUUAUUUUGCUAGCCAACUCUUUAUUGUAGUCAAUACUCCUAUAUCGUUUCCAAUUAGGAGAAUAUCGUCUACAUAAAGAAUUAGGAAGACUAUAAAUUUUCCCUGAAUCUUCUUGUACACACAUGGUUCAUCAAUGUUUUGAAUGAAUCCAAGCGAUUUAAUCUCUUGAUCAAAUCUGAUGUUCCAUGACCGGGAUGCUUGCUUUAAUCCAUAAAUGGAUUUCUGCAACUUACAUACCAUGUGUUCUUGGCCUUUUGUACGAAUCCAUCUAGUUGCUGCAUGUAGAUGUCUUCUUCAAGAAUCCCGUUUAAGAAAGGCUAUCUUGACAUCUAUUUGCCAAAUUUCAUAAUCUAGCACUGCAGUAAUAGAGAGCAGAAUCCUAAUGGAUUUAAGCAUAGUAACCGCAGAAAAUGUUCCUCAUAAUCGAUUCCCUCUUUCUGAGUAAACCCUUUGGCUACUAAUCUUACUUUAAAUGUUUCCAUCCUUUCGUCUACUCCUCUUUCUCUCUUGUAGAUUCACUUGCACCUUAUAGGUUUUACCCCAUUUGGUGCCUCUACAAGUUCCCAGACUUUAUUGGAAUACAUAGAUUCCAUUUCUUGAUUCAUGACCUUUUUACAAAAUUCAACAUCUCCGUCUAUUAGAGCUUCGUUGUAACUAGUGGGAUCUUAUACAUGUUCAACUAAGAUCGUCGUAUAGGUUUCUCUCAAUAACAUGUAUCUUGCAGGUAACCUAGUUACCCUCCCACUACGACGAGGUUCUAAAAGUGAUGGUUGUUCAAGGAUAAUCCUGUGCUGCUCAGCUGGUUGUUGUUGUUCUUCCUGUUCUAUAACAGGUGUUGAAAGCUGGGCAUCAACCUGAUCUCUUUUAUUUCUCUAGUUUUACCUUACUCUUAGGUUAUAAGUCAUUAUAUAGUCUUCCUCAAAGAAAGUAAAGAAUAUGUCUAUAAAUACAUUCCUAUCUUGAGAACUAUAAUUCAGACUUUCCCUUAUUCCUUUAAGAUACCUAAAACAUGCAAGCUUCUGAACACGAAUCCAUCUUCUCUACCUCUGAUUCUAGUAGAAAUACUAGUAAACUCCAAAUAUGAAUGUGUCUCAAACCAUGUUUGUGACUUUUUCAUAAUUUCUUGGAGUAGUAGACACCGAGAUAGAUGAAACUAAGUUCAAUAAACUUUGCAGUUUUAAAUACUAGUAUCUGGAAUCAAAAAGGUAAAUGAUAAACCACUUAGUAUAUAUCUUGUCUUAUCCAAAAGAAUCUUGUUUCUCCAUUUAAUUACACUAUUGUAUCAUAGUGUUCAUUAUAUGAGGUAGUUUAUCCCAUUUGACAACCAAAUUGAGCUUGAAUUCUCCAUAGAGAUAUUCUUUGUUUCGAUCAUAUCGAAGUUCUUUUAUGUUCCUGUCUAAUUGCUUCUGUCUUAUCCACGUACUCUUUUGAAUUUCAAAAGCAAUGGAAUCAUAAUGCAUUUAGACAAACAUAGAUCAAAUGAAUAUUCAUCAACAAGAUUGAUAGAAUACUCAUAACCUCUUAUGAACUGUAAACUGAUUAGUCCGUAUACAUUUGUAUGCGCUAAAUCAUCCAAUACAAUGUUAUGCUUUUAGCUCUAAACGAACAUCCUCGUCAUAUUACUUUUCGAAAUAAGAUUUAUAGAGUUACAAUGAUCAAUCUUAAUAGGCCAACAAGUCUAUCAUUAAUCAUUUUCUUAAAAUCUUAUUACAGUUUAUAUGACUUAAGCAUAAAUAUCAUAGGUGAUUUUGGUUUGAAGAAACAUUUCUUUUCUUAGAUAAAUACAUAUACUCUUUAUCAUUAUAUUUUGCUUUGAAUAGAUCAAUGGACUUAUAUGAUAUAAAUUGUCUUUAUAAAUAACCAAAAUAAGUAAUAAACAGAGGAUAAAAAAAUAACAGUGUAAUCCUGUUUAUUAAAAGAAGUCACUGAAAUUAAAUUCCUCUAAUAUUUGGAAAAAUAAAGACAAAUAUCAAAACUUUAAGUCUUGUAAAAUUGAUCUAGCCUUUUAAUUGAUAUAAACUAGCAUGUCCUCAACUGCUGUUUGAAGCUUUUUUCACUUAAUCUCUUGGUUUCCUGAAAACCAAAUAAAUGAAUUACAAAUAAGAUUAGUUAGCUCAUAAUUCAUUAUUGUAUGAAUCAAUAGAAAUCUGAACUAAUUAGGAAGCUUAAAGAUUUCCUAUACCUGAUUUUAAUAAUCUUAGGACAAUCUUUCUUCCAGUGACCCUUCUGUCCACAUUUGUAACACUUGCCUUUUGGCUUGCCACUUCUUUUAGUGGACAAUUUACCGAUCCCAACUCUUGCUUGCUCAUUCUUGUCUUUCGACUUAAGCCUUGAAGAGAAUCCUUUUUCAGGAAGUUUUCUGCUAUGAUAAAAUUCUUCUAUAGCAUGUAGUUCGUGCAUUAAUUCAAUUAAGGUCAUAUCUUUAAUGUUUAAGAUAUAGUUGACCUUAAACUCUUUGAAUGUAUCAGGUAAAGAUUCAAUCACCAUGUUAUCUUUGAUUUAUCAUUGAUUUGAACACCAUGAAUCUCUACCUCAUUUAAAUAGUCCAUCAUUUUGAGGACAUGAUCACGAACUUUUGUGCCCUCAUCCAUUUUAGUAUCCGUAAUACGUUUUAAUGCUGCUUCUCUAGAAAAAUGAGUAUUUUGCCCAAACAUCUGAUGAAGACUAGCCAUUAUUUCAGUGGCUGUGUUCAUGCUCCGAUGUUUCUUAUGCAGUUCCACAGAAAUCGAAGCCAAUAUAUAGCGCUUAGCCAUUUUGUUAGCUUCGCACCAUUUCUCAUAAGGCUCCCUCUGAUUUCUAUAAUCGUAUAACGAUAGUUUAGGAGGGCAAGGCUGGGUCAACACAUAUUUGCAGCCCUUAGCAGUGAGAAUAUUAAAUAGAUUGCGUUUCCAAUUUAAAUAAUUUUUGCCAGUGAGUUCAUUUUUAACAAGGAUAAUUAAUAAUGGGUUGAUGGAAGACAUUUUCUGAAACAACAAAAUAAACAUGCAUAAAUACUUUGAAACAAUAUUCAGAAUAAAUGACAAAAAUGCAAAAAAUCAUAAAUGCAUUUUAAUUUAUUGUACCGCUUUGACAAGCUAUCCAUUGGGGAAGUCAUGUCUACACUUACUAGACCCAAUUAUCCAUUAGAUUAUUUACUUUCAUGUAGAGACAUGAUAAAUAAUUAUUGUUAUCCCUUUGGGUCUAAAUUUGUUAACAGAGCUUCGUUGGGAAGGUUAAUAACAAAUUUUAGUUGAGUGUAUAACCAUUGUUUCAAUUUACGUAUUUUUCAUAUCGAUAGUCACCGUUGGGGCGAACAAUUGAUUGAAAAAUAUUUCAAUUUUAUCUUUGAAGAAGUUCAUCAAAUAAAAUAUCUAAUAGAUAUACCCUCUGUAGGGAGCAUCACCGUAUCAUGAAGUUGAGGUAUAUAUAUAAUUUUAUUAUUGAACUAACAAUAGAGCCUGUGGGAAAACUUAUCUUGAAUUUUCCCUCUCCCACUCAAUAUUUUAAAAUUGAUUUUUCCUUUUAAAACAUACAUAUUGUUAAUUGCAUGCUUCCUAUAAUAUUAUCUAGAUGAUAUCCAAUAUUAUUAAGCAUAGGCAAAUUACAAACAAUAUAAUGAGAUUCCUUAUUAAUGAAUUACAUGUAUCAUUAUGCAUAGAGUGGCACUAACUAUUCUAUAUGACAUGUUAUCAUGGCAUGUUAUCAUCCAAAACAUAACAUAUAAAAAAAACAAUUAAAUAAUCUUAAUUCAUAGUUUUCCUAAUAAUGAAAAAUACAUUAACCCUAAGCCUAAUCUUCAUUGGGCUUCUUGUCAAUGUUCAUCUUCCAUAAGCUUGUCUAUGCAUUUUAAAUAAUCUUAAUUUUUCUUGUCAAUGUUUUAAAUUUAUAAUUGGUCCAAUUUUAAUUUUGAAAGGAAAUAAAAAAAAAUUAAAAUAAAACUUUUGGACCAAAAAUAAAUUUAAUGUAUUCAAUUUUAUCUAUGCAUUUUAAUCCAUUAAGCCCAAAUUUCAAUUGGGCCUAAAACUAGGAUUCAUUAAGCCCAAAAUUAUUUUUGGACUGAAAUGCAAAACAUUGAACCUUAUCUGCCCAGAGGAAAAAUUAUAGAACCAUAGGGACCUCCAUGAUAAAAACCAUGAAACCUUAAAAUCAUAUUUUUCUCUUCUUCCCCAGCCGUCAUCUCCACAAAGCCCAUCCGCUGGUCACAAUUUCCAGCCAUCUCCGAUGCCGAGUUUGCUGCCGCCGUCACACCGGAAACGUACCAAACACCUCCCUCGUGCUGCACUGGAAAGCUCCUGCUCUCGCUGCCUGCUGCGCGCGCUGGCUGUUGCACGCGAGCGUGCGCUAGCUGCUGCACGCACAGUGUGCGUUGCUGGCUGCGCAAGCAUCGUGCGCACGCUGGCUGCUACCUGCGCUGGUGCAACGCUGCUCGCAGCAUGCUGCUGCAGCGCGCGCUACUGGCCACGCUGGCCGCGCGCGCUGCUGCAGCGGGUGCUGCUGCAUUCGCUUGCAGCGGGUGCGUUCAUCGGUGUUACCGUUGAAAUUUCCAGCGCUUGUUCCUUUGUCGUAGCGUGAUUAAUCUCCAGUGAUUUAUAAAUUUUCUACGCCAAUUUUGGCUUACAAAAAAUUUUAUUACAGUAAAGUAAAUUAAGAGGGAAACAUGGUGAUAAAAAACAGCCCCUCUUGUUAUAGAUGCAAACAAAAAAUACAACAGAAAAUCUAACCAUGAAUUAAGACAAACCAUAACAUGCUUUAUUCAUAUAUUAAACAAAUAAUAUAUAUCUGAAUAAAUUGUGCCACUCUAAUACAUAAAUAUCAAGAAUGAUUUCAUACAAUAUUCUUAUAUAUUAAUAUGAGAUAGCUCUGAUACCAAUUGUUGGAGAAAAAUACAGGUUUUUAAAUUUUUUAUAACACCUUUUAAGAUCGCUCUCAUAUAAUAUAUAAGAAUUUGUAAUCUAGAAAUCGUACCUUGAAAAUCCGAUUAAGCUUUUUUCGCUAAAGUGAUUUAGGUUCCUAUAUCACGAUCCGUCACCACCACGCUUGUCAGAUCACGAACUGUCACCAAUGAUCUUCUAGGUUAUGACUCAGGUUUGAUAUGCACUUGACGUGUGGGCGCCUUUAUCACUACCAAAGCAACUAGCACGAGAAAAUUUUUCUCUCAACAAUAGAGAGAAAAAUCUUUUUCUCUGAUCUGUAUAAAGUGGCUGCUCUAUCUUUUCUUUAGAGAAAAUAAGCCUUUUAUAUCUCCCUUUAGUGAAAACCCUAGGCUCCAAAUCAUCAAAAUCAAAACUCACGUUACUUGCUUUUUCUAUAGGGGACCCACCUUGUAAAAUAACAUAAGGCCCCUUACACACAAGCUAAUUAAAUGAAGCCUCCCACUAAAUUAUAUAUUUAGGCUUUUGACCCAAAUAACUAGUUAUCUUUCUUAUUAAUCCAGUAGUGGUGCAGUCAAUUAAAUGAGCUAACCCGGGGAUCAUUUGGGAGCAUACAAUAGUGGCUAUAACAAUUAGGCAUGUAAUUAAAAUAUCCUAAUUAUUUAAUUCCAAAUCUACUUCACUAAAAGAUUGGAAUUGACCUCCAUAAUUGUAUGCUCGAAUAAUAAUUCGUCCCAAGCCACAUUGAUUUCUUUACUGCACAAUCCUUUGUACCACAUCAUUAAUUAAAUCGAUAUCUCAACUGUCAAAUCAAUUUAAUUACAUCUUGUUCCUUGAUAUUUACUGGUUUUCUCUAAUGAUCAUUUUCAACAUACUAAAUAUGUUGACACACUCUGGCCAGAGAAUUCUAUGAUCAAGUGUCGAAAACUCAUCAAGAGAUGUGUUGUCCAAAUUAUAUAUUGUUAAUCCAUAACUCUAAUACUCAUAAUUGCUCCCACCAAGAUACCAGGUAAUCUUGACCACAAGGAUGUGUCGUGCCCAUUGGUAACUCAAAUGGAAUAACAAUUACAAUCAUGAAAUCAUAAUUAACUCAAGAUUAAGAUUACAGUAAAAUCAAUGCCUAUGAGAUUUAAUAAGUCUGACAGUUAUUACAAAGUUAAUUAAAUCUCAUAUGUGAUCCUGUUCAAUGUAGUCGUACUACAUCAAUAAAUUCAUACAUGAUUAAGACAAAUCAUUCAAUGAAUUUAUUACAGUCUAUACCUAAAUAAAGUGCCCAACUUUAUUUAUCAACUGCGAACUAAAUUUAUUUAAUCAUAAGAUAACUUGUAUUUAUGUCUUCUGUGAAUCCACAUGGUGAUCAUAUAAAUACAUAUAAUAUGAUUAAAUGGACUUUAAUAAAAAUAUUAGUGCAAUUAAGAUAUUUGAAUAAAAUACCUCAUUUAUUUUAUUAAUCAAAAAAUUGUUUAUUACAUUUAAAUAAACACAUAUGCUUUUAAAGAGUAUAUUUUCGCAACAAAAAUCAUACGGACAGACAAUGGGACAUAAUUUAUGCAUUUAUCUGAUUUCUUUGCUGAGCAUGGCAUUCAUCAUCAGACAUCUUGUGUGGGUACUUCUCAACAGAAUGGUCGAGUCGAAUGCAAGCAUCGACACAUUCUCAAUGUUGGUCGCGCUCUGCGCUUUCAGGCUUUCUUACCAAUUGAAUUUUGGGGUGAAUGUGUCUUAACUACUUGCUAUUUGAUCAAUCGAACACCUUCUGUUCUUCUUGACGGACAGACUCCUUAUGAACGACUAUUUGGCAAGGCACCAUCUUAUGCAAAUAUUCGGUCAUUUGGUUGCCUCGCCUAUGCCUACAACCGUGAUCAUCGCGGUGAUAAAUUCGCUAGUCGAAGUCGUCGCUAUAUAUUCAUGGGUUAUCCCUUUGGUAAAAAGGGAUGGUAUUUAUAUGAUUUGGAGAGUGCGUCAUUCUUUACUUCCCGGGAUGUAACGUUCGUUGAGCAUGACUUUCCCUACAAGGCUUUAACCGAACUAGCUGCUACCGCCACGCCUGCUCCUAAGCCUGAUGAACCGGUUUUAGCUGAGGAUUUAUUUAUCACAUGAUUUAAGUGCUCCUGUUGUCUCACCAGAUUCGGUUCCUGUUGCUUCACAUGAUACAUGCGAUAUUCUUGAGACCAUUAAUACUCCAUCACCAGUACCCGCUUUUCCUACUCUUGAUGAGCAUGCUUCUGAUGACAGGGGGGCAUUGAGGCUGUUGAGACAUCAUUGCAACAACAACCGGCAUUGGGGCGCCAUCUUAGACAGCGGCAACAAUUGAUUAAGUUAAAAGAUUAUGUCUUGCAUACUGUUAAGCAUUUGAGUCCCUCUUCGCGGCCCUCUUCAUGCUCACACAUUCAAUCAUUUUCUGCAGGUAGUCCUUAUCCUAUACUUGAUUAUGUGAAUUGUAAUAAUUUUUCUGCUCGACAUUGUGCUUUUCUAGCAGCGAUUACUGUAGGAGUUGAGCCUGCCUCUUUUGCUGAAGAUGUGAGAGAUCCUAGAUGGCGUGAGGCCAUGAAAUAUGAAUUGCAGGCACAGGAAAAUAAUAACACAUGGACUGCUGUGUCUCUACCACUUGGAAAGUGUGCUAUAGGCUGUAAGUGGGUGUACCGGAUUAAGUACAAUGCUGACGGUACAGUUGAAAGAUACAAAGCUCGCUUGGUGAUCCUUGGGAACAAGCAAGUUGAAGGAAUUGAUUACACAGAGACAUUUGCUCCUGUCGCAAAACUUGUUACAAUUUGAACUUUUCUGGCUGUUGCUGCGGCUAGGAAUUGGGAGCUUCAUCAGAUGGAUGUUCACAAUGCUUUCUUACACUGUGAGCUUAAUGAAGAAGUUUACAUGUGCUUGCUGCCUGGUUUCACCUCAAACGAAUCUGGAAUGGUUUGUCGUCUAAGAAAGUCAUUAUAUGGAUUAAAGCAAGCUCUCCGUUGCUGAUUUGCAAAGUUGGCAGUGGCUUUGAAGUCUUACGGCUUUGCUCAAUCAAGCUCGGAUUAUUCUCUUUUACCUUGCAUCGGGAUAACAUACAUCUACUUGUGCUUGUGUAUGUUGACGAUAUAAUUAUUUCGGGAAACAACAGCAAAGCUAUUCAGGUAUUCAAAAUGUAUUUGAGUGAUUAUUUUUAUAUGAAAGAUUUGGGUCCAUUGAAAUAUUUUUUGGGUAUUGAAGUUGCAAGAAAUCCGACAGGAAUCUUCCUGUCUUAGCGGAAGUAUGUGUUAGAUAUUAUCUCUGAGGCUGGAUUACUUGGUGCAAAACCAGCCCCAUUUCCCUUGGAACCGAAUCAUCAGCUAGCUUUGGCCGAAGGCCUUUAUUUUUCUGAUCCUGCGAAAUAUCGACGACUCGUAGGCAGAUUAAUUUAUCUUUCCGCUACAAGGCCAGAGUUGUCUUAUUCGGUUCAUCUGCUUUCUCAAUUUAUGUAGCAGCCGCGAGAGCGACAUUGGGAAGCAGCUUUGCGGGUAGUUCGCUAUCUAAAAGGUAACCCUGGUCAAGGUGUGUUUUUAAGAUCAUAUUGUGAUUUGCAACUUUAUGGGUGGUGUGAUUCUGAUUGGGCAAGCUACCCCCUAUCUCGGCGUUCUUUAUCUGGGUGGUUUGUCAUGCUUGGAUCCUCUCAUAUAUCCUGGAAAUCUAAGAAACAACACACCGUUGCGCGAUCCUCUGCUGAGGCCGAGUAUCGUGCCAUGACAACAGUUACAUGUGAGCUCAAGUGGCUCAAAGGGUUGUUGAUGUCUCUCGGAGUUGAUCACUCACGGCCCAUGCACCUGUAUUGUGACAGCCAGGCUGUUCUUCAUCUAGCUACCAACCCUGUGUUUCAUGAACGGACCAAGCACAUCAAAGUUGACUGUCAUUUUGUCUGAGACGAAAUUCAACGAAGAAACAUACGGCCUGCUUAUGUAUCUACUAAUAUUCAGCUAGCUGAUAUCUUCACAAAGGCACUUGGCAGCAAAGAGUUCGAGUUCCUUCUUCCCAAGUUGGGCAUUCGUGAUCUCCAUGUCCAACUUGAGGGGGGGUGUUAACUCACGUGUAUAUAUAUAUAUAGCAAGUUACAUGUAUAUAUUAUUGGUUGUUAUAUGCUUCCUAGUUUGAUAGGAUUUCCUUUCCUUGUGAACUAGGGUAAUUCUUAUGUGCAUAUAAAUAUUAAUCAAUAAGAGAGUAGACCAUGGAAGCCACGACAGUUUUUGCAUCGUAAAAUUCUUCAAGAUCCAAAAUUUGUGAAAGAAGCCACGAAGAGAUUUUACACCAUUCAACAUGCCUAUUCUGCUGUUAACCUUACUAAAUUCCAAAAUUUUUAAUUCUUAUUUAUUUAUUUAUUUAUUAUGCAUGUAAUUUGUAGUAUACAAUAAGAAAUAAAAUUGUAAUCUUUUUAUAAUGACGGAUAAUUAUCGGAUUCACGAGAUGUUGUUUUCCUUCUUCUCUCUUCAAGUUCUAUCUGAUGCCACCAAAAGGUUCUUGUACUAUGUGGGAGUCUAUGAUAGUGAUGAUGAAUAAAAUAAUAUGAGCUCCAAUUUUGUGUGUGUGUGUCUCUCUCUCUCUCUCUCUCUCUCUCUAUUUCUCUCUCUCUAUAUAUAUAUAUAUAUAUUGUUUUCAUUUCAUCUUUAACUUUUUAAUGCGCUUUUGUUGCUUUGAAGAUACAGGAAAAUUAACUCCUACAGGAAGGGGGGUGGGGAACGAGGGAGGAUUUUAUUACAUGAGACUUUUUAGUUUUGUUUUGAGGGAAUGGGAGAUUUCUUGAAUGAAAUGGCUGUGAUGAUGAGCCAAACACAAACUAAUGUAAGCAUUCUUCAAUGCAUAUUUUUGUUUUCUAUAGAAUAAUUUGAGAAUUGUGUUUGGAAAUUCCUAGGCAUUAUUUAGCUUUUUCCAAGCUUUAGUUAUGGCUUUUACUUUGCUGGUUGGCAAAAGAAUGACGGUACUUUGAUUUCUCCUAAUCAGAUUGCAAAUGGGUCACUUAGUCACAAGGGCAACAUAUUUUAAUCUGUUUUUAUUUUUAUCCCCAGUGUGUUCAUGCUCUGAAAAAUAGUGUUUCAUGGUGCCUAGUUUUGGUCUUGUUCAAUGGCGAAUUACAUAUAAGUUCUAUUGUUGGAAAAUUGAUUGGUGAAGCAGACAUGCAACUAAAGUGAAAUUGAGAAAUAAUGAGACAACAGAAUCACACAGGGACACCAGGAUUUAAGUGGUUCGGCUUUUAACCUAGAUUCACGGGUGAAAAUAGAAAAAAAAAUAUUUUACUAGUGAUAUGAGAAUUACAAGUAUUGUAAUAUUUUGGUUCACUAUCCAGAAUCCCAAUAUACCCAAUCGUUCACUCACUAAUCUCUCAAAUCAAGAGUUUAUUAAACUCUUAAUACUCUCAACUCUCUAAAUGUAGGAAAUGCUUCUCUCAAACUGGAUGUUGAAAUGAGGAGGAGCAUCCUCAUUUUAUAGCCAAAAAUUGGCUACUGUUCAUGCCUAUUAUUUUAUUUAUUUAUUAGUAUUUUUUUCCCCUGAGCGGCCCGCCACUUUCUUUUCUUCUUCUUCUUCUUAUUUCUUCUUGUUUUUUUUUCUUUUUCCUUUGCGGUUGAGCACUAUUAGUGCCCACUGCUUACUUUUUGACAUCUAUGUGGGCCCUACAAAAGUUGUUCUUGGAGGAAUUGAAUAAUUGAAUUAUUCAAUCUGACUUAAUCUUCCAGCAGUGUUAUUGCUUGGUAUUUAUCUUUGUGUGCUUGGAUUGUAAAUUUGACAGGAAAAUGGUGAGGAGACCUUGGAGGAAUUGCAGAAUUUGUUUGAAUAGAUGUUUAAAGGAGACACCAAUGCUUUCAGGCCUAAACUUAUUCUGAUUAUUUCAUCAGUACUUAGAUUUGAACUAAGAAGUUUUUUGUGAUGGUAUGUUAGCUUGUAUAAAUUUCCUUUCUUUAAUAAAAUCUCCCUUUGUUUUUAGCGAAAGUUAAUAAGAUCGGAUGGUGGAUUGUACUUCUGUGUGUUAAAUGACAUUUUAAACAACGUGCUUCUGGCUAUGAAAUAACUAACUAAAAAUGAAGACAACUGGACAAGAAAUGAUGUUUUGAAAGUCACCUAGUAGUGUUUGUUCUAAUGGUUUAAUCUUCAAGGUUUUUUUUUUUAUUGCAAAUAUUGAUGCUAGAGACCUCGAACCAUUUUUUAUGAUUUAGAAUGUUGUAACCACUAGAAGCUUCCUUGUCAUAAACUGGUGGCUCAGAUUAUUAAAAUGUUCAUGAGAAAGCUAAUCUGAUUUCCCAUUGUAUAUUAUUAGAUUCCCUUUUGUUGCAAUUGAGCAGGUCUCAAGAUUCUGACCUUUUUCACCCCGCUUUCUGACAGAAGAAUUUGCCUAUCAUUGUCAAGUGUUUGGCAAUCAGCCACCAUCUGCUGUAUUCAUUAUGAAGGCAUUGUAAAUUUGAUCCCUUAAGAAGGGGAGAAACUGAUCAAGCUGAUUGGUUAUACUCAUUGUAUGCCACAAGUGCUUUAUCAAACCACAACAGGCAACACCCGUGCGAAGGGCGCAAGCCAAAAUUGAUAGUUGGACCAGUAUCAUCAAGAUACUCCUUUUCCGGUCCAUCUAUGUCUUACUGAUGGCAUUUUUACUAUUCAUCCUCUGUAUUGUUUGUUUCUUUAGCAAAUUUCUUUCUGUAUUAUGAGUCUUAAUAAAAGUUUAAUUGUAGACAGCUUUUUUGCCUUGAAAGUAUAUUUUAAACCUUUCAAACCAACUAGCUCUAUUGGGAAACUUAUGACUUUAUAGAAAUAUUUGUUGCAUUUUGUCAUUGAUGGUCAGUCCAUAAAAUUAGUUGACUGAUAGUGUCAAGCAGUUAGCAAUACAACUUUCUACCAAUGAUAUAACUCUUUUCAUUCUGUAUUUUGUUCGAGACUUAAUUCGGUUCCAUUAUGUCAUUAUCUGUGCUUGAUUGAGUUGCAUGUUCAUGCACAAGAAUUUCCCAUCGCGGCGUUCCUAAGCUACUUUAUAAGACCUAGAUUUGUCUUUAACUAGGAUAUGGCUUUUUUUGAGUUGAAAAGCCUACUGUGAAAGUUAUCUGCUCAAAGCAAAAAAAAUUUGUUUCCGUGGGAGGGAAAUUAAAUUUUGACGAAGUUUGCUUUGGGAAUUUUGAAGAUAACUUGUAAAUUUGUUAACAUAUUGAGUGAUUCAAGGUUUUCAAUGCAUUUCUUCCAAGGAAUCAGUUUUGUUUGGCUUCUCAAACUGUGCUUCUAAUCCAAUAUCUUAUCUACGGCUGCCAAAAAGCUAUUCACUGUUAUAAUGGAUUGUUAUUGGAAAUAAUCAAAUAAAGCCUAUGAAGAAUUAGAAUAAAAGCUAUAUUUUGUCUUUGUGAAGGGAAUAUUUGACAGCCAAUCCACCGAUAUUUUUUUCAAUCAUUUCGAGACAUACCGGAGAAAUCUAAUUUAAAAAGUUGGUAAAUUUUAAUUCAUUCUCCCGAUAGAACAACAAUCUUGAUUUUAUCACCUAAAAGAGUGAAAAUAUCAAUUUAGCCUUCAUUUUCAUUUAAUGAGGUGAGAGCAGAUUGAGGAUACGGUAAUGAUUUGUUUUUUUUUUUUUGGGGAAAAAUAUAAAAAAGAGAUGCUAGUUCUUUGUAGGGUCGUUUGUAGAGGCAAAGGCUUAGCUCGAAUGAUAAGAACAUUGCCUUCUUAGGGCCAAAGACGUGAAUUUGAGCCUUAUCCUCCUGGAAGUAAAUAGAAGACUUAUCAUUUUAAGUGAGGGGCAAAUUAAAGUUAAUUCUAAAAUGUUAUAUGAAACAACUUUAGCCUUUUACAACUAUUAAUUGUCUGCUACUAUUUUCUUUUUUUAAUUCUAAAGUCUUUAUUACUCUUUCUCAUAUUUGGGCAAAGCUACUUUGCAAGUACCCCUUUUUUGUCUUUUUCUUAAGGUCAAUUAUAAUAGAGUCCUGUAAUUUAUUCUAAAAAUAAAAAAGCUAAAAACUUUUAAAUUUUCACAUAUUAGUCCCACACCUACAAAUUUUCAGUUGCAUUAAUGCUUCUGGAAGCCAGAUUUUCAGGACAAAAACUCAAUUAAAUUUAUUUAAGUGUACAAUUAAAUUUACUCCUUUUAUUUUAGGACAAAAAUUCAACCAAAAAUACAAAACUCAUUGCUCAAACAAACAAAAAUGAUUUUACAAAUUCAUAAACUAACUCUUUAUUGUUAUUAGUAAAUUAAAAUAUUUUUACUACAUAAUUAAAUAAUUAAGUAUGUUAAUUAAAUAUUAUGUUAUAAAAAAAUAACAAAACAUUACCUACAUAGAAUAUCAAAUUAAAUUUAUUUUCAUAUUUUGUGUAUUCCAUCUACUUGACAUAUAAAAUCUCUUGUUUGAGGAAAAAAAAUAUAUAUGGGGUUUGAACCCUACUCACAUGGGUGAAAGAAAAUUGGUUGCCGUGUUAAAUUAAAAAAAAUCAUAUUUAUAUUUAUCAUCAAUUAUGAUUAGUAAAUAAUUUACAUUGAUUAACUAUGUAAUAAUUUAGUUAAUAUAUUAAUUAAUAAGUAAAUUUAUUAAUUUAAAUAGAUAUUAACAAAUGUAAGAAUAAGUCAUUUAAUUGAAAACCUAGUUCAAUAGAGUAAAAAAAAAUAAAAUAUUGUGGACUUAUAUGUCAGAAUUAUAAAACGUUUGAUUUUUCUUAUUUUGCAUGAACAACAAGGGCUUUUAAUGCUAAUGACCCAAUAAUCACAUCUAACCAUUAUUCAACUCUCACGUUAAAUCCAACGGUGGAUUUGAAAAAGACAAAAGAAUGGGGUACCAAACCUCAUGGGUAUAGUAGCUGGACCCAUUAGUAGUUAGCAGAUAUUCUAAAUUUUCUUUUAACAUUUUAUUCUAACAUUUUUUCCCCGAAAACGACAAUUGCAAGAUAAUUUGACCUAUCUUGACUGACUGAAUUUGGAUAACUUGUGUUACGCUCUCUCUCGUAAUUCAUAAAGACGACCACUUUGAUUUGCACUAUCCUUUCUGUGUCAUUGUGCUCACGUUGCAAGGGAUGCGUCACGCCCGCAGUUGUCGAAUUAAAGUUACAUUACAUUUACAUACGUUAAAGACUUGAUAUGAAUAUUCUCUAUCGUCUUUAUUGACCCUUUUUUAUCUUUUAUUUUUCCUUGUGUCGAAAGAAUCCUUCACUGAUUGGAAUACCCAUGAUGACUGGUUGCAAUUGGAAGAGUCCCUGAAAUUCAUCUUUCAUUCGAUCUUAAAUACUUUCUCCGAGCAAUUAGAAUACAUUAAGAUUUUAUGAACUUGCUUGGUAGAUCAUUCAACUGCUUAAUUGGUGCUGUUAAUUAAUUGAUUAUCUUCCCGGAAACACAUUAAAGACUCUCACGGGGAUUCAUUAAACCUUUUCGCUGGGUCAAUUCUAGAAGCAUCAGACAUAAAAGCUUCAUGAUAAGAGCACAAGCCUAUCGUCUUCUAAAGCUCCUUGAAAAAGCUAGCUAUUUUCUUUAUUGUCAUUUCCAUCCAUUUUAACCCUCUCUUUUUCAUUUUGUACAAUUUUGACUUGACUCUGAAAUAGAGAACAAUGAUAUUUAGACAGAAAAAUUUAAUAGAAUGUUUAAAAAUAAAAUAAAAUUAGUCUCGGUUUAUCUUGUACUAGUUUUACCUUAUUGAUGUCAAUGAUUUUCUAAGAGAAAAAGAAACUUCGUUAAUUUUACCUUUGUUUCAUGAUGAGGUAAAAUAUGAUUUUUUUUUUAAUUUUUAAAAGAUUUCUUCAAAUCAUUUUCAAGUUGAUUUAUUUGGUUGGACUGUAAAAUAGGUUUGGGCUUAAUCCAUCUCUAAUUUCUUUCUUUUUUUUAAUUUUUUUCCAGUUUACCAUAAAAUAUUAUGUGUGUUGCAAGUACUUGCAUGUGUGCGUGUGCGUGUGCGUGUGCGUGUGCGUGUGCGUGUGCGCGUGUGCCAAGAGACGAACAAAUAUACAAUGAAUAGAGAUUUCUAGACCUAAAGACUUCAAAUUAAUGGUGAAACGCCUUUGCAAAUUAAACUAAGAAAAAUUGAAAAAGUAUUUUUAUCAUUUUAUGCAUGGAAUUCCACGUCCAUGCAUGCAUGUACCCAACAAAUGCACUUGUAAUUAAGUAUGCAUAUGGUACAUCACAAAAUAUUGUCUUGGAAAAGUCUCAAUGGAUAACUCAUGACAUGUCAUUGUACGUACACGCACAACGAAUAAUCCUUGCGACGACUUGCAUAAAAAAAAGUCUGUUUGACCCUGUAGUUUAAGUACCCAUGGAGGAGUCAAUAUAUUUUUAGAAAUUUACUCAAAAAAAAAAAAUUCUAUAUUCUUUUGUUAAAAUCUACUUAAUUAUUUUCUAUUUUUCAUCUGUUAUAUAUUAGAUUAGUUUGAAUUUUAAAUUUUAUCAUAUAGAAAUUCUAUUUUAAUUUUAAAAAUUUAUGUCCAACAACUAAGAAAGUAAGUAAAGAGAUGUUUUGAAAAAUUUUUUAAGGCCAAUGCUAUGUUACGUUGAACGUAACAUAGGGUGAUCCAUCUUUUAAAGGUUCAUCUUUUAAAAUAUAAUAUUGACCAAACUGGGUAAUUGACUCGAGCUAUGGGGCUUAAAAUAAUUUUUACCUAUUUAACAAAUUUAAAAUUGUUUUCCAAAAAAAAAAAGUAAAUUAAUUUCUAUCUUUAUUAAUAAAAUUAUGACAUAACUAAGUAAUAUUCAUAUUGUUCUGAGAACAACUUCUUGGUUUAGCGAUGGACCUUACAUGUGGAGGGUUGAAAUCUUUUAUGUAUAUACAUAACAUGGUGUUAAUAAUAGUAAUUAAAAGGGAGUGUGUAUACCACACACCGGAGACCAAAAAGUGAUUGUCAAAUCCGGCAUUUUUUGGUCGAACGAACCAUUUCACUUGGCAUUUUUUGAUUAUUACUUGUUUAAUACUUUUGUUUGCGGUAUUUUAAUUUGAGAGAGAUAUAAGUCUCAAAGGAAUGUCGGUUUUACUUAAGGUUGUUGUAAUUAGUAGUUUAAAAAAAAUACUAGCACAACUCUAAUAAAUAACGGAUAAAAAUUCCUAAUUAAUUUGAAUUCAUCUCUCAUUUGUCAUUUAAAAAAAAAAAGAUAAAAAAAGACUCAAUAAUAUUCUUAUUGAUAAACAUAGUAUUUGACACUUUUGUCUAUUCGGAAACAAAGACUAACGACAAUAUGCUUUAAACGCUUUUUAUGGUUCAGCUCUAUCAACUUCAACGUAAAAUCACAGAUCGAGCACAUAAGUCAUGACCAUCAUUUUCAAAAUUCUCAAAUAUAAUCUAAUUUCUCUAUAAUCAUAACAUUGAGGUAAGUUAAUUUUAUUAAUAUGAGAAUAUUAUAAUUAACUUAUAGUUACAGAAAUUAUCGUUUUCACUUAGUUAUCCUUCGUGCAAUUAAAUUAGAGGUAAAAUAUUUACUAUAUUAAUAAUUAAUUACUGGAUUAUGUCAGAAAUUGAUAUUAAAGGUAGGCUUAAUUAAAAAAAAUAGUCUAUACUUUUUUGCAAUAGACAAAUAAUAUUACAAUGCAAGGACAAAUUCUUUUUAGACAAGACUUAAAAAUAUUAUAACUUAUUAUAAUAUAGAGUAUAUCCUUAGUUAUAACUAACUUAAAUUGAGAUUAAAUCUUUUUUAUAAUUAAAUAAAAAUUAUUUUUAUAUAAAGUAUGACUACAUAGGAGAAAUAUUUUAUUUCUAUAUAAAGUAUAUAUGACUAUAUAGAAGAAAUAUUUUAUUGUAUAUAGCUAUUUCUUUCUCUGUUAUUUCUAUCCACUUCAUGGGCAUUGUCUUAGUCUUUUCCCUUUUCUAUAACAAUAUUGGUUUAACUAUGAACUAAAUGUUUUUUUUUUCAAUCAUUAAUUAAGAUUAGGUAGGUGUAUCUACCAACACGGUUGCAACUAAUUACCCACUAUAAAAUUUUAUUCUCAAUUCCCAUGGAAAAGUGUGUAUGCCUAUAUAUAAUCGGACUUUAUUAUCAGUGUUAUGGAUAGAGGAAUUAUUAAUUUUAAAUUAAUAUUUAUUUUAAUCAAUUUGACAAUAUAUAUCUUAUCCUUGAUUAAUUUAUAUGAAUGAAUAUCAAGUGUAACGUAAAAUAUUAUUUGUGUUGCACAUGACAUGCGGACAAAAGAAUGCAAAGAUUCCUUAAAUUAACAAGAUUCAAAGUAUGAUAUAGAAAAGAAUUUAAAAUUAAAAAAAAAAAAGUAAAAUAGAAAGUUGAAUUUAACAAGAUUCAUGUACAGGAAGAAAAAGAAUUAAUAAAGUGAUGAAAAAUUGGUAAUCGUGGCAAGUAAUCUUAUUCAUGUACGAGGCGGCACGACCCAAGACUUGGAGAUUAAAUAAUGAAACUUCUUUGCAAACGAUAGAAACUCCAAUUUAUGGAGAGACUUGACGAGUAUUUUAUCAUUUUAUGCAUGGAAAUCCACGUGCAUGCAUGCAUGUUCUCCACGCUUGGAAAUUUUGCAAAUGGCUUCUCCCUUUAAUGGGAUGCACAGUUUUCGUACAUCAAUAUUGAAAAUGUCCUCUAACAAGUGUCUCAAUUAUUGGAUAACAUGUGCAGUCCUUGUAAUUCAUUGAUAACACGUCCCUCAACAAUCUAUAAUACAUCAAACUACCAAAUUGGCCAACAAAUCGAUGAUACUUAUGUUUUGAAAAACUAUCAUGUAAUUGAUGAUUAUAUCAAAUUUAACUAUAUAUAUUAUAUAUACAUUAGUUGAUUGUAUUGGUUUUGAUGUAUUGUAAAAUUUUUGAUUUUAUGGGCAUAUAAUAUAGAUUAUCAAAAUUUAAGUUUCUUCACAUAUGCGCGCGCACACACAUACACACACAUAUAUAUAGGAGUGACUAAUGAGUCUUUUUCUUUUCUCAUUUUGAGAAAAUCUCAAGUACAUAAAACUUAUUAUAACCAUUUAGUGAAAUUAGUUAUGACAUACGCAUUCUGAUUUUAUUAUACUAUAAUUAUCUUCUUCUUCUUUUUUUCCAACUUAAAUGUACACGUACGUGAUCAAUGACUAUGGAUUAUGUAAAGGAGUUUAUCAUUUUAUUGAAAUUCUAACGAUUGUCAAAGCAUAUUAAAGGGAGAUUGGCAGUUUUCUUCAUGUAGAAAUUAAUACAUACCAUUUCCAUUUCUCUUCUUAUUGCUUCUAUAAUAAUCAAUAACUUUCAUUCAUCAUAAUUUUAUAGUAUUAUUCUUAUUUUAAGAUAUUUUAAAAUUUAUUUAAUUAUUCAUCUUUAUUAUUAAUUAAAUGAAUUAUAUAAACAGAAAUAUAUAUUUUGUCUUUAAACAUAUUUUCUUAUAGUAAAUAUAUAUUUUAUAUUUUUAAAAUAAAAUAUCAAGUAAAUGACCUAUUUACCUUUACUUUCUUUUAAGUUUUUUUUAUACGAAGAGAUUAUUAACUAUUAUGAAAAUAAUAGACGAAUAAAUAUUUUACAUAAAUUUCGACAGGGAGAAACUAUCAAUACUCUUAAACGAUUGAACCUUCAGUAUCUUAGUAGUUGACUGUGAAUGACAUUUUAUUCCACCCCAUUGCAAUUGUUGCUUGUUUUCCACGGAUAUCUUGAUUACGUUUGCAAGCUUAUGUUAUAAGGGCUUCGUCAUUGCCAUUAUUACGAAAUUAAAUAGACUACGAUUGUUGACCUAAUUUGAAAAUUCCUCCAUUGUUUAUUAUUUUUCCCUUUUUAAUUUAUCAAUAUCAGUCAUAUCAAGUCAUUCUUUUAAUCAAAAACCUUGGGGAAGACGAAAUAUAUAUUAACUUACUGUCUUUUCUCAAUAACUUUUUAGGUGAGAUUAGUUUAAUAAAUUACAUGAUAAAUAAUACUCUUGCUUGAGUCUAUAUAUAUAUAAUUAUAUAUGAUAUAACAUUAAGAUUCUUUUUUUUUUGUCGUAAUACAUAGAAUUGUUCGUACUAUUAUUAUAACAAAAUAAUUAAAAUUUAUGAGUUGAAGUUGUCAGAAAAAUAAACUUAUUUCCAAUGAAUGGCAUUUGGAGGAACAAAAUCAAUCCGGAAGUUUUUUACGCGGAAAAAAUCAAUUAACAUUAAUGACGUCCAAAUGUCCAAAUAUGGUGAGAAAUUGAAUUCUUCAAAACCUUGCUGUUUCUUCAUAUUUCUUUACAAAUUUACCGAUUCUUUACUCUAAAUUCUAGUAUUAGUCUUCAUACAUACAAUGGAAACUUAUUCUCUAAGAUACUGUAAAAAAAAAAAAAAAAAUUAACAAAACCUAAUAAUUUCAUAGUGCGCAAGCUAAUAUCAUAGCUAAAAUGAAGUUGGUAAAUUUUGAUAUAACUAUCUAUUAUGAAUGAUAAUUACGUGGGCCUAAACGUUCCAACUUCCGAAUACAUUAUUCUAUAUUUUGGAGAGAAAAAGGAAAAGGCAAAAUCUUUUAGAUAAGAAAAAAAAACUUUUUUUUUUCCUCAUGAAAAAGCAAUUGAAUUAAAAAGUAAAAAUUUCUUUACAUUUUCGCCGGAGAAACAGAGUCAAAUUCAAAUACGACGACUCAAGCGCAAAAGCCUAUAAAUAAAGCCCGGCUCCAGUUCCCUGUCAGAGGCUACGGAUUUGAGAGAUUAAAGAACAUCAACCGAACAGUGAGACUCCGUACUCUUGACACAAACUUGCAAAAACUUUUAGGUAAUUUUUUUCGAUUAAUUUUUUAAUUUUCGAGAAUAAAGAGAGAGAGAAAAAAAAAAAAACAGAUGGGAUUAUGUUUGUCUGGGAGUGAUGUGAGGGGAGGGAAACAAGCCGUAGGUGGGGCCCACCUCCGGCCCACCAGCGCGGCUGAUCACCACAAUGUCUCUGGUCAAAAUGACGCCGUUGAUUUCUUCUUCAAAUCUCGCGGCCUUCAUGCCCUUUUCACCCAAAUCGAGGUAUAUGUGUGUACCUGAAUUAUAUGAGUCUUUCACUGCCAUUAUUAAUAAACUAUUUUCAGUUAAUUAAUUAAUUAAUUAAAAAUCUAUGAUUAGUUUAUGUUUUUUAAUUUAUUUAUAAUUUUUUAAAUCUGAUUUCGUUCAUGUUGGUAAUUGUGAUGGAUUCUCAAAUGGUCACUCUUUUGAAAAUCUAUUAUCAAAUUAUGUUUGUUAUUAUUACUUAUUUGAUGACUUUUCAGUGUAACAUCGAACAACUUAAAUCAUUUAUAUUUGAUAAAAGUUAUUUGAUAAUUCGAACAUAACUAGAGAGUAGAUUCCUAUUCAAGAAUCAACCGCAAUCCCAAACAUGCCUUUUUUUUUUUAAUUUGUUCUGGUGGCUGAUCUUUUGCUAGUGUUGGUUCGACGGUUUCACACCAAGCAACUGCUUUUGUUUUGCAUAUGGAGAACAGUAAGUUUAACUGCUUAUACCCAAUGAUAACAUUCUGUGAAGUGAAUUUUAGAUUAAGAUUGGUUAAGGUAAAUAAAAAAAGAAUGGUGUUGAAUGCACAGUGGCCUUGUGAACAUUGAAAAAGUCGAUGUUUGAUCCUGUUGAAUGCACAGUGGUUUUCCUGUGUAUCCUCAAAGUUGACUAUUCUGUUAUGCCUCAUUUAUCAAAUUUGACUCAUACCCCUCGUGAUCAAAUUUGACUUAUACCCCUCGUGAAGAUUCCCCAUGAUAAUGCUCCCCUGAUUGGAACAUGAUUUUGUGAAUGCUGGUUUGCAUAAGACAAACCAUUAACUUUAUAAAAGAUUGUGGAUUAAGGAUUUUGUUGUUACGAGGAUAAGAAUGUCUUUCCAUAACGUAGACCACCAAGUGAUUGUAAUAUUCCUGUAUUGAUGUGGACCUUACCUGAGGAUCUCCUUGCAAACUUUCCUGGAGAAAAGGCAACAAGUCAUAUGAUAACAAAUUAAAUGUGGUUCAAUGCUUGUAAUUGACGUGUCACAUCCUGUUGUUAUAUAAAACUUAAUUACAUAUAUUAUUGCUUGCUGCUUAUAAGAUUUAAUAUUAGAAGUGAUUCUGUCAGAAUCCGAAAUGAUGGUUUUCUGCAUGUUCUGUUUAUGACAGAUAUAUAUUGCCUGUCAGUUGACCCACAUCGUACUGACAAUUUUCAUUUCGUGCAGCAUAUGCAUGGAUUACUCCUUUUCCGCUUUUUCAUGUAUCUGUAUUCGUUCUUAUGUUUUUGAAUAUGUAUUGCAGUUAUCUUUAUCUGCUUCAAAGUUACGUGAUCUUGACAUCGCAUCAAAGGUACGCCUUCAUAUCAUUGUUGUCUUAUGUCUGAUAAUGCCAUGUUCAUGCUGUUGAUAGUCUUGGUGAUUGAUUCUCAUGUUAUCUUGUAUCCUCCUUAUAUGAUCUGCUUAUUUGUUCAUAAUGGCCCUGUCAAUUUCCUUUCUCUGUUCAUAAAGGGUCUAGGGAUAUAUGAUCUGAAUAACGCUUAGUGCUGGCACCAAAAUUCUAAACUUAGACAAAGAAGAAUAGUUUGUUAUAUACACUGUCUAUCUCCAAUGUAAUCCAGUAAGGAGCAGUAACUUGAGAGUUCCAGAUAAUGUAUAACAAGUCAUGGUCGGUGGUUUUAUUGUUUUUGCAAUUUUGAGCACUAGUCAAAUAUGUUAUAUGUGCAAGAUAAAAUUCUUUGAUAAUGAACAUUUAUCAGCCGUAUAUCUUUUUACUGGCUGAUACUAGCAUACAUAAAAUGCUGCUGUAUUUUAACAAUGGAUUACUAACUAAAGUUAUUUAACUAAUAAAUGUCUAUAUUUAUAUGACAACUAAAGUUAUUUAACUAAUAUAUGUCUAUAUUUAUAUGACAUAAGUGGAUACAUACCCAUAUGCCUUCUGUUUUUUUUUUUUAAUUUUUAUAUUCACAAGCAAAUGUAUUUACAUGUCUUUUUGUGUCAUAGAGUGAUCCCAUGGCAGUUGUGUAUGCAAAGAAAAGAGAUGGGAGGCUGGACGAGAUUGGACGUACAGAGGUGAUUAUGAACAAUCUGAAUCCUGCUUGGAUUGGAAAGAUUUCAAUUGCUUUUCAGUUUGAGAUUGUCCAGCCCUUGGUGUAAGUUUUUAGUGUGUUCUUUUUAAAGUUUUUUUUUUCUUGAUAGGUCAUGCGCUUAAGCCUUGCUUGAUUUGAUAAUAUUUAAUGUUUUCGAAUUUCUUAAUGCUUUUCUUCUUUUUCCAGCUUUCGUGUGUAUGAUGUGGAUACCAAGUACCACAAUAUUCCAGUGAAGGUAUAAAAUUUCUUAAUUAUUUUUUUUCUCUCAAUUCAGAUGUAAAUGAUACGCACAUACUUCAGUUCCAAAGUUUAGAGUUAGCCAAGGCAUUUGACUGAUCCAUUUGUUGUCUAAGCAUACGUCUAAACUAAAUUGCAUCAGCAAUAGUUUCUAUCAAUUUCGGGAAAUUUGGGAAUACUUGAUUGAUUAUAAACUAACAUUUAGCAUGGAAAGAAACUUAAAAAGUUGGCUGUCAUAUACCAUAAACAAAUCUUAAGGCCAGGGUAGUUAUUAUGGAACUUUCUGCUAUUGCAUCUUGCAAGGUUUGACAUAUUUGUCCUGCUACCAUAACUGGGAAAGAACAAUUUUUCUGAUGGUCCUUACGGAUAAAUUUUCUUUUUUCCAAAAUGGAAUUUUGAUCUAUGUUGUUAAAAACAAUACAGUUAAAUAGUUGCUGCCAUGACCUAAAGAAGUUUCUGUAAAAAAUGACCAUAUUGUCAUUAUUGAAAUGGAUAAGUAAAUCUUUAGAGCCUAUGAUGUAUUCGUCUGUGGAAUUUGAGUCAAAAUGAAAAAAUUUUGAUGGUUAUAAUCCUAGAAACUGUAAUCAUUUGGAAGCAUUUGCUGAAAACAGUUAGAUAAUCUAAAAAUGUGAUGAUUAUUUAUGUCAAUUGUAAAUGGUAUUAACAUUACUGGGAAAAAUGAUAAAUAUGUAAAUUUAUGCCAGUGGAAAGAGAAAAUGAACAAAUCCAGAUGGAUUCUAAGACAUUAAGUAGGAAAUCUAUUGUUCUUUUGAUUCUUUGCUGCAGUGAUCCCUAAUUACUUUCAAGUCAUUAUUAUCUCAUGACAAAAUAUUUGUUGAAGUGUGAAGUUUAAAGCUCAAACUUCUUAUUUACAUUGCCCUGCAGAUGCUAAAGUUGGAGGAUCAAGACUUCCUGGGAGAAGCUAGCUGUGUUCUCUCUGAGGUAAGUUUCUGGGUUAUAUUUUGUUUGAUGAAUUUAUGUAUUUUCUCUUUAUCCAAUGGGCAAAAUAUGCCCAUCUAAUUUUCUGUAAAAAUCUGUUUCCUAUCAAAAAAAGGGAAAAAUAUUCUCAGAUGAUUUUUACUAGCAUUCGUCUUCUUCUUUAGCAUUCUUCUUUUGCACUAACAAGUGUCAUAUUUUCCUUUUAAAUGGCAGAUAGUGACCAAACAAAAUCGAACUUUAACCUUAAAACUCCAUAACAAUUAUGGACUUCGAGUUUCAAGAAACUUUGGGACACUCUCUGUCCAUGCUGAGGAAACAGUUGCUUCCAAGAGUGCUGUUGAAAUAGCAUUCUGUUGCUCGCAUUUGCAAAAUGUAGACCUGUUUUCCAAAAGUGUAAGUUCUGACAAAGUAGCUAAGUUUGGAGGUUCACUAAUUAAUCUAUUAAUUUAGAUGCUAUUUCUUCUUCUUCUUAUAUUCUAUAGGAUCCAUUCUUAAGAAUAUCUAGAAUUGUUGAGAGUGGAAAUUCUGUUCCUAUCUACAAGACGGAGGUGAUAAACAAUAACUUGAAUCCCAUUUGGAGACCAAUAACUUUGAGCAUGCAACAAUUUGUGAGCAAGGUAACCUUGUCAUCUUCUUGUGUUUGUUACUUGAAUGUAUAAUAGGUAGUGAAGUUUGGUCAUGGGGAAAUGUUUUUUAGUUUAUGAUUCUCUUUGGUACAGGAAAACCCAUUAAUCAUUGAAUGUUUUGAUUUCAAUACCAGUGGAAAUCACGUACUGAUGGGGUAACUGUUAAAUUUCUUAAUGUCAUCAGCUUCCCUCUUUUAUCCUUUUGCCUUUCUGAUGUCAAGGUUUUCUAUUUCUGUUAUUAGUAAAAUUCAGAAAUCAGUUGGAGACCUGGAGAAACUUCAUCAAGAAAGAACUGGUGCAACUUUUAUAUUACCAUCAACUCAACGUGGCCAUGACAAGGUGUUUAUUCUUUUUUGUUUUAACUCCACCAAAGGUGUUUGUUCAUGCUUACGGUUUUUGAUAAUUUAAUAUCACUUUAUUUUUUAUCUGACUUUUUCCUAGGUUCUGAAAAGUCAGUUGUUUGUUGAAAAGUUUGUUGAGAAAGAGCAAUAUAGUUUUCUGGAUUACAUAUCUAGUGGCUUUGAGUUGAAUUUUAUGGUUGCAGUCGACUUUACAGGUAAUUAGAAAGAGAUUACUUGUUGAAGAUAAAUUUGCAAUAUAAUCUUUUUGUUUUGUUUAUUUCCUCUUAUUUGGUCCAAUUUCAUCUGGUCUCUCAUUAAAUGCAAAAUCAUCCAGCUUCAAAUGGAAAUCCUCGAAAUCCAAAUUCUUUGCACUAUAUUGAUCCUUCAGGCAGAUUGAAUUCUUACCAGCAGGUAAGGCUUUGUUAUGACUCACACUUUGACAAGUGAUCUCUGAACUCUGAAGGUCAUAAAAUGGUCUUUUUGUCCAGUGUUUUCGACUUAGAAAAUGCCUGUGAUUUUCAAGUCUUUCUAUGGCCAUCAUAGUGAAAUACAUAUUUCAAUAGUUUGUAGAAGUUGAGAGAGACUAUCACUGAUUAGUUCUUGGCCUCUUCAACCAUUUACAGGCAAUAACGGAAAUUGGGGAGGUCAUACAAUUUUAUGAUUCUGAUAGACGCUUUCCUGCAUGGGGAUUUGGAGGGAAGACAUUUGAUGGCACUGUAUCACAUUGUUUUAACUUGAAUGGAAGAGCAGGUGGCUUUGAGGUAGGGGUAGCUGGAAUUCGCAACGUUGCUAUAAUCCUCAUUUGGUUGGCUUGUCUCCCAUAACUUUUCAUUUUUAAUAACAAACAAUAUAAUAUGUUUCUACAUUUUUUUUAAAAUUUCCUUGGAAUUAUAUCCUAAAAGAUGUGUAUUUUGUCCUCUUCCAUUUUUUCAUUAACUGCGUUUCUUUAUUUAAUAGGUAGAUGGAGUUGAAGGCAUUAUGGCUGCUUAUGCAAGCGCUCUAAACAAUGUUGCUUUGGCAGGACCGACUCUGUUUGGUCAAGUGAUCAACACAGCUGCACGAAUUGCUGGACAGUCCCUCUCAUACGACAGAAGCAAGUAUUUUGUCUUACUCAUUAUAACGGUGAUUACAAUGAUUCUAUAUAUUCACAGUUUUCUCUUUGUAUCAUUCUUUUUGGGUGAUUUGUAAAUUUGCAUUAUCUAUUUAGGAUGGAGUUCUGACAGAUCUCCAAGAAACAAAAGAUGCUUUGGUAAGGGCUUCUGAUCUUCCCCUGUCAAUUCUAAUUGUGGGUGUUGGAGGUGCAGAUUUUACACAAAUGGAGGUACGCAAUGUUUUCCAACUGGAAUAUCUUCUUACUAGCAUUGAACUUCUUUUUUCUAUAGUUUGACAGAUUCAAUUUAGAGUACAUAUGCAGUGUGGUAUUAUCCCACUUUUGUUGCAGAUUCUUGAUGCUGAUAACUUUGUUGGCAGAUUCUUGAUGCUGAUAAUGGCCGUAGAUUAGAGAGCUCUACUGAUCGGGUAGCUACCAGAGAUAUAGUACAAUUUGUUCCAAUGCGAGAAGUUCAUAGUGAGUGCAUAUGAUUCUUUGACAAAAUUAGUUCAAAAUAUUGAAUUUGGGAGUUAAUUCACAAAAGUUUCUGAAUUUUUUCAUGCGUUAACAAACGAACACAUUGUUUUCUGAACAGGUGGGCAAAUUUCUGUUGUACAAGCACUUUUGGAGGAGCUGCCUGGUCAGUUUCUGACCUACAUGCGCUGCAGAGAUAUCAAACCACUCAAUGUUCAGAUGGCCCAAACAUGCGCUUGAGUAAAUAUUCAUAUGUUUGGAAAGGAUACAAAACCAAGCUAAACAUAUUAGACAAAACCAAGCCAAACAUAUUAGGCUAUACAGACAUAACAUAGCAAAAAUUGAUAAUGGUACAUUACAUAUGUUAGGAUAUAGUGGUUUUAGAUGAUGGUAAAUUACAUAUGUUAAGAUAUAGUGGUUUAUAACUAACUUUUGAUGGCUUAAUGAAUUGAUUGAAUUUGUAUUUAGGUUCUAUCAAUUAUCUCAUAUUCUUCCCAUCCAUGUCUUUCGAUUUUUAUUAUUCCCUCUACCCACUUGUUUCACAAUUGUUUGUGUCUGAUGGCCUAAAACUCCAAUUUCUAUUGCUGUAUUAUCAUCUUUGUUGAAUAUUUACUACAAUGAACAUGUGCUGAAUGUCUACUUUUACUACUACACCAGCAAUCUAACACAUGGCUCACGUGCACACAAGACAAGUCUGAUUCACACAUCUUUAAUUUAGAUUCUUAUAUAGUCUUUCAAGAUGUCUGAAACAGCAUAGAUGAAGGACCCUUCCACCAUUCAACCUGGAAUGAUGUGAGUGAAAGAAAUUUCCGAAAGUGUUGUAUUAUAACUCUUUGAAACUGGGUUUGAGUAAUCAAGAGAAGCCAAAAUGUAGAACAAUAACAACAAAAAAUGAAGGCCCUCUUACCGUCUUAACUUUGAUAGAAAAUUCACGAGCUGCAUACCAUGUCUCACAAAUUUCAAUGAAAAUUGGCCUCAUUCCUGAUGCUGCACAGAACGUUGGCCUGAAUCAUCUUUAUGAUUUUGGACUUCCUGUAAACAACGAACAAAACAAAUUGAAGGUGAAAGCAGGAGCAACAGUUUUCAAAUAAAAUGGGAGUGCUUAAUCUAAUUGAACACUAACUUUUGGGUCUCUCAGUAAUGGAUACGUACCUUUGUUUCAAGAUAUAUCUGUUGUAUGGUAGAAUUAAGGUCGCCCUUCCAAGUCCAAUACUCACCAGACAGCCAGCGUUUCUCUAAUUCGUGUAAACUGGGAGUGCUUAAUUCUUUUCCAGAGAAAAUCUUCAUAUUGGGGCAUUUAUCCACACUUAAAUAUGUCAAAGCUGGGAACUUGAAGGCGCAGUUGCCAGAGCAGAAGCUUGUAAGUCUUCUUAAAUCACAAAGCUCCAAGUACAUCAACUCGCUGAAAACAAUUUCAUCUUUAGCAGCAUCUCCCUCAUCAGUUGCCACUACUUCUGUUAUCAUGCUGCAGUCAACGAUACUCAUCUCUGUCAGUCGUACCAAACUCUUUGCUGUCGAGGAUGUUAGCACAUUUAUCAAUCCUUUGCAUCUCCACACCUUCAAAGUUGUCAGAUUCUGAAACGAUGUUGAAGGUGGCACUAGAUUAAUCAAAUGGUCACAGUACUCAACUGUUAGAUGAACCAAAUUGUCCAUUUUGGACUCCUGGAUCAAAAUAUGCUUCAGAUCACAACAAUUGUGUAGAUUCCUUAUGAUUGCCUUCGUCCAAUUUUCUACUCCAUAUGAUGGCUUAACGCCCCCAACAUAUCCUCCUCCCCUUAUUGUGAGUUCUCUUAUGCUGUGAAAUCUCCGAAGGAAAUCAAGUGAUGAAAUAGUAGAUGACUCUUCAAAUAUAACAUCAAGAAAGUUGAGUUUGCAAAACAUGUCCGCUGGAAACUCAGCUGCCAUUGGUAUCUUCUUUCCUUCAAUGGUCAAAUAUUUCAAAUUGGGGAAUACCUGGUUGGAUGCAUGAUAAAUCAGGACCAAAAAGAAAACGUAACGCCAAUUAUUAAGAGUAAAUUUUAAAUCUUGUACGUACCUCUUUUGUCAAGUCAUGAGCAGUUAAAAGGAAUUCAGGACACUUUAUUACUUCUAAAUUUUCCAAUGUUGGAAAUUCAAUGUGCACAUCUCCUGUGCAGAAGCUUGUGAGCCUUUCGAGAUCUACCAUCUUUAGAAAUUGUAACUGAGGGAACACAACAUUCUUCCUUUCUUGCUGGUCUAUGACUAUUAUCUCUUCCAAAAUAGGGCACUCAUCUAUCUCAAGGUGUUGGAGUCGAAUAAAGCUGUUAACUAUAGAAGAUGAAAACAGACAUCUUAAUUCCCCACAGCCAUACAAAAUCAACCGGGUUAAAGUUUGAAUGCCACAAGACAUGGCUGGAAGUUGGCUUUUCCAAAUCCUCUCCACAUUUACAUUAUACAGCUCCAAGGUCUGCAAGUUUGGUAACCCACCCUGUUCACAAAACUUUCCAGCCGUUAUAUGAGGGGAGCAAAGUUAGUAUAUAAGUGCAUUCAGAGUACUUUUUCUUUCAUCCGAGAAUGUAUUUGUUACACCUACGUUACUCGGGAUGAAAAUUUUAAUAUAAUUAUGAAAUAUGUUCGUUAAUCCCUGAUUCACUCUAGCCUAUAUUUCCUAGGAAAGGAGAAUAUAUAAUAAAGCAGCUAAAAAAAAAAAGGAAAAAAUCAUAAGAAUAUGACCAUUGGAUCAUUAAUAUCCGACCUUGAGGAAAAAUGUAUUAGGAACGUUGACAUGGUCCUCCAAAAUGAUUUCAUUCGAUCGCAUUUCACUUGUCGAUUCCUUGCAUCUCUGUUUAGAACAUAGUCAUACUCAUUAGAAAUGAAGAAUCUGUUUUUGCACUGGCUGCUUUGAUAUGUUCGAAAUUUAGGAAGAUCAUAUCAUACCUUUGACUCUUUCGGACUGGGGGCUUGACAACCUUCGACCCAGAGAUGCUUCAGUUGGGAAGAAUAAGAGCCCAAUUUGUUAUUAACUAAUUCAAUGAUAUCUUGGUCUGGCAAUCUAGAUAAACAAAGGUCUUCAAUUCGCUGAAGUUGCACGAUAUGUCCACUCUUGAAGCUGAUACAAUUGUCGGUGCCAAGGAGGAGUCUGAAUGUUCUAGAACACGUAGGUGAGGUAUCCUCCCAACACCAACGUCCAAUACAUAUUCUGUACCUUUCCAGCUUCUCGAAGAACAGCCCCUUCCGCAGAGUGUUGACAUCUGGGAUGCAUAAUUCUAAGGUGGUCAAGUUAGGCAAACGCUUCAACUCUUCAAGGCUUGCAUUCUUGACCCCUGCAGCUUCCACCUCCACCUCCCACUUAUUAAAGCUACGAAUGUAUAAUUCCUCCAAAUGGGAUAAAUUUGAUAAAACAUUUGGGGGAAUAACCUGUAGUCUGUCACAGUCUCUCAAAUCAAGCGACCUUAACCGAGUCAAUUGGCCUAUUUCCACAGGCAACUGCUCAAUAUAAGAACCCCUUAAGCAAAGGAUUUCUAGGUUCUUUAAUUCUCCUAUAACAGCUAUAUCUUGCAAUUCGCUGCAAUACAAACACAAUGUUCGAAGGUUUGUUAGGAGACCAAGUGAUGAAGGCAGUAAUGAUAGAUGCAUAUAAGUCAAGUCUAAAACUCUGACUUGCGUCAACUUCCUGAAAAAAUUGUCUGGAAGUGUGAUUAAUGAAGAUUUCUCAGUCCACAAAGAGAGAAGUUGCAGUUGAGGACAUUCCAAAACUUCAGGAAGAAGAGCAUUCAUCUUGCUGUCGUGUAAGACAAUCGAAGUGUAAAACUUAAGCGCACCUUCAUCUAGCCAUUCCCGUGAAUUAACCAGUUCAUAUCUCAUCGUAAGCACAUUUUGUUCUCUGGUUGCAAUUGCUAUGGCAACAUCACGAACAACAUCAUGCAUAGAAAACCAAUGUUCAUUUUUGCUUCCAUGCUCAAGCAACAUACAAGAAGCCUUGAGUUUGUACACCAAUGUAUACACUCGAGCUCGUGCUUCUUCCAUCCUAUUGAUGCCUUGAAACAAACCCAAACCCAUGCCAUACAUUAACACGUCAUUAAUGGAUGAUAUGUAGGUGUAGCCUAUUAGCAAAAAGAUCUUCUUGAGCUCCUCUCCUUCUAAUUUGUUGUAACUCAACUCUAUAGCUGAAUAAGCGGCCGGCUGUAUAUCUUUAAAGUUCGUUGAGGAAGGCCUUCUUAACUGUCCCAAAGCGUCCUUCCAUUCAAAUAAUCUCUUAUUUCUCAACGCCCUCGCUACUGUUACAAUGGAAACAGGCAAACCUGCACAUUCAUUUGCCACCUCCGUUGCCACCCCUUUGAAUUCACUACUUUCGAUGUACUCCCCUGCCAUCUUCUCAAAGAGACUCCAAGCUUCGUCUUCUCUUAGAACGCCAACUGAGAAAUUAUGUCAGCAAUCCAUCUUCCGUGACAGUAUAUCUUCACUUCUUGCUGUCAACAAUAUUUUACACCCCGUGUGGUUAUCUCCGUGAGGAAUUCCUACAUCCUGCAAAUCAACACUUUCCCAAACAUUAUCUAAAAUUACAAGGUGUUGAUGCUGAAAUCUGCUCGCCUUUUGACCGACCAGAUUCUUUCACCAACGUUUAUGUUAUCAACUGUUGCUUGAACCACUGGGGUUGGAAUCGCCCUCCUUUCUCUUUCUAGACCUGUGUUCACCAAAAACGGAUCAGAGACGCCGGUGGUUUUGUCGGCGUAAACCCUCCGAUGCCUAAGUUAGCACAAGGUAUUUACGGGAAAACAGUACAAUUUGGACUCAAGAAUGGUCGCUAAUUUAUCCGAAGUUUUGUAAGAAAAUGGCCUGAUUGCAAUUUGGCAGCGUUUUCCCUCUCUCAAUUUUUUCUCCCCUUUCUUCAUCGAUUUCUUUCUCUUUUAUAGCCGCCGUUUGUCCCACGUUUUCCGUUUACCCUUUAUCCCUCUUUUUUCGGGUGGUGGCAGCCCCUCAUGGGGCUCUAACUGUUAUAUUGUGGGCAAACGUGGGAUCUCGCGUGUCCUUCAACGGUUCUGGGAAAAGCGCAACUACCGCGAUUCUGUGGGAUCGUGUUCCCGCUUUCCUGGGGGAUGAGUAUCGGCUCGAUAUACGCUUCUGGUCGGUAUUCGUCUCUGGUUGGUUCAUGCUUGCCCCCGUGUUCUGCUCGUACUACUUGGCUGAGGUGAUCCAUGCCGGUGUGAAAAUAGUAGCAUGGCCGACCUGAUGCUUUUAUUUACUUAACACCAGUCCCCCAGUUUCUGGUCUUGUGAGUGAAAUGAGUCAAGAGUAGAAACUAAUAGUCAGAUCUUGCCAACCCGGGGAGCUUCACAUCUGAUCUUCUGUUUACUGGGAUGGACCUGAGGCACCAUUCUUCUUCUGGGGAGAUCCCGACCUGAGCAUGGGCUUGAAUGAGCGUGUCCAUUGCCUAUCUAGGCUUGCAUCUAGGUUGGCCUCUUGUAACGAUUAGCGACGUGGCCUUUCCAGACUCUUCACAUUUGAAAUUUGAAACGACGGGCUAUCUGUCCUCGAUAUUCGGUGAGUGAGCUGGCAUCCCCAUCACUUAAAUGCUUUCAUUUCCCUUGUCGUUUCAAAUCCCUAGACUUAAAUCAUCGUCGUUUUGUUCUAUUCGCUUCUCUGUUGUGAGACAAUGCCUACGAACUUCGUUCACACUCUCCGCGUCUGGGACUUCUGUUUGCGGGCUUUUUUCUCCAUCACAGCAACAUUAUCAGUGCCAGUCUAUUCCAUGUACAGCCUUUAACUUCUUCUUUGGUUGUUGUUGAUUGGGUUCUGUGUUGCCCCUUUUUGUAUUCGUAUACUUGGAUUUGUUUUGGUUUCCUUUUGGGGCUCCGAUAUGUCAAAUCGGAAAAGGAAAUUAAUUGCCGAUGAGAGUGACGAAGAAACGGGGGAUUCAGACCUUAACUUGUCGAUACCCACUGAUUUUUUACGUCCCUCUAGUAGUGUAGGGCCUUCCCAUGGUAGGGAUACCUUUGAGUACCCACGCCCCUUGGCUGUUUCUCCUUCCCCCGAACUAGAGCUUGUAGGGAAUAGAGGUGGACCUGCGUCGGGCUCUGGUGAGAACCACAGCUUUGGUGGGGUUGGGGUCCCUGAAGGAGUUGGUGAUGGUGAGGGGAGCAGUUCUAGACCGAGCGGACCUUCUAAGAAAAGGAAUCUUGGCUAUAGGGUGGAGGUGGAUUCGUACCCUAUUGAUUUCAUAGCUUGUGCCACCACCCCCACUAAUCUAUUUAAGCUUAAGAACCUCUACAACAUUCCCAAUGAGGUUCUCCUGGUAGUUCCUGGAAAAGGUGAUGUCCCUAGUCGGCCUCCGAAAGGGUAUGUGACGAUGCACCUGGAAAGUUUCAAAUUAGGAGCUCGGCUGCCCCUUCAAUGUUAUUUUGCCAAGAUACUGGGCGGUAUGCACCUGGCCCCAGGUCAGUUACACCCAAAUGGGUGGAGGGUUCUCUCGGCGAUGUUUGUGUUGUGGGAGAGGUGCGGGUUGGAGGAGCCUUCCCUUGUUGAAGUGAAGCACCUGUACCAGCUGCGGAGUAGCCCAAGGGAAGCGGGCUGGUACUACUUUAUGUCUAGUUCCGCAAAGAGGAAACUGAUCACUGGGUUUCCUUCUUCAUGUAAAAAUUGGAAGAAUAAAUUCUUCUUUGCUGGAGGAGAUUGGUGUCCAGCAGUUCGGUCGCUUGGUGGGGAUAUUUACCUUCCAACACAUUUUAUCACCCUAGGUCGUUCAUUUUUGCCUAUGUUCUUAGUCAAAUUGUCACUUAUUGGGUUCUUUAACCUUUUUUGCUAUUUCAGAGUCGUGGGGUUUGAUUGAGGGGCUUGAAGACCGACCUUUGCUUCAGGUGGAAACUGCUCUGGUGAACGCGUCUACCUGCCAAGACCUCCUGUCACUAACAAACCUAGUCGGUUCGGGUCUGGUGGACAUAGCUGCUGGAAUGGAUAACAAGAUCCUCAGCGUGAUGAGCAGAAAGCGUGGUCGGGCUCCAAGCAGCUCCAGCAACCCUCCCCCUCCUCCAAAGAAAACCAUCGUCGGUCCUUCUAAGGCUCCUGUUCAUGCUCUGCCCCCUCCUCCACCUCGUAAGAGUGGUGGGGAGAAAGCUUCCGAUAAGAGUCCUGAGGUCAGCAUUCAGUCUGGGGACCGAUCUUCUCCUCUUCCAUCCCGGGAUCAAGAUGACUACCUGAGCCUGUAUCAAAAGGAUUACAGAAAAUCGGUGGGGCCCAAGAUGGUGAAGGACAUCGAGAGUAUGAACCUCUCCGAGUUAGCGGCUUCUGUUCAAAGAGUCUCCUUCAGGCUGGCCACCAUGGUUUCAUGCUACAAGAACGGGUCCACACGCCAUGAGAGGAAGCUUCAAGCUUACAAUCAUGAGUUGAAGAAGAGAGCUGAAUCUGCUGAUCGCUCCAAGGAAAAGCUGGCUGAGCUGAACAAGCAGAUUACGAAGUUGGAGGAGAAAGUUGCUGUUGCUGAGUCCACCACCUCCAAACUUGAGGGUGAGUUGAGUGACCUGAAGGACUCCCACUUCUACCCACUUGGUGAAGUAGUCUAUUGCCACAAUUGCAUGUGUCGCCGCUCCUCGGCCCUUAGGUAACGGACCAACCAAGUCGAUUCCCCAUUGGGCGAAAGGCCACGGGGAUGCCAUAGUGGUCAGCUUUUCUGGGGGUUGUGCAGGAAUCUCAGAGAAGCUUUGACAGGUUUUACAGUUCCUUGCCAUCCUUUUCGCAUCCUGGUGCAUGGUCGGCUAGAAGUAUCCUUGCCGGAGUGCCUUGAAGGCUAAAGUUCUUGUUGCCGAGUGAUUACCGCAUAUUCCUUCAUGAAUUUCCCUUAGUACAUAAUCUGCAUCCUCCUCAUCCAAACAUCUCAAAAAGGGCAAGGUGAACCCUCAGCGGUACAGCACUCCAUCUAGUAGUGUGUAUCUCGCUGCUCGGCAUUUUAACUUUCUUUUUUGCAUUUUGUCCUCUGGUAACACUCCAUCGCGGACAUAUGCGCGAAUCGGAUCCAUUCAGGAUUCUUCAGUGCUUACUCUCAUCACUUCUACUUCCUCCUCUAUACUUGGCAAGGUCCUUAUCUCUAGUGGGACCGACUUAGGUAAUUUCGGAUCUGCGGUUGCAGCCAUUCUAGCCAACAUAUCAGCUCGGUAAUUUUCAUUCUGGGAUAUCUGCUUCACCUCUACUUCAUUGAAGAGUUCAACCAUUUGCUUCGCCUUCUUCAAAUAAAGCCCCAAUUUCUCUUCCCUUACUUGGAAUUGAUUGCUGAGCUGGUUACAUACUAGCUGGGAAUCUGCUCGGAUUUCUACUCUUUCUGCCCGUAGUGCAUGUGCAAGACCGAGCCCAGUAAUGAAGGCCUCAUAUUCAGCUUGGUUGUUCGUAAGCUUGAACUCGAACUUUACAGCAUAGGAUACCUUGACACCUUCUGGGCUUCGUAUUAUAACUCUUGCCCCGGAUCCAUGUUCACCACGUGAUCCAUCAACCGUUACCAGUCAUACCCCUUUUUUAUCCUCCUACUCUGCUGGUUGUUCCUCUUGGACCUCUUCCCCUGGUUCAACACAGUUAACCAUAAAAUCAGCCAGGGCUUGGGCCUUGAUUACUCCUCGGGGCCUGUAGGAUAGGUCGAAUUCGCUCAGUUUCACGGACCACUUCACUAACCGCCCUGAUGCAUCUGGUUUUUGGAGCAUGUGCCGAAGAGGCUGGUCAGUCAUCACCAUUAUCGGGUGGGCCUGAAAAUAUGGUCGCAGUUUCCGUGCUACUGUUAUUAAAGCCAGUGCCCAUUUUCUCCAUCAAUGGGUACCUAGUUUCUGCGUUUACUAAGGCUUUACUAGUGUAAUACACGGGGUGUUGCUUCCCUUCUUCUUCUCGGACUAACACUGAGCUGGUUGCCCAUUUUGAGAUUGCCAAGUACAAAAACAACUGGUCGCCUUCCCUCGGAGUUGAUAGUAACGGGGCAUGGGCCAGAUACUCCUUCAGCUGCCCAAACGCCUCCUCACAUUCUGAUGUCCACUCCAUCUUCCUCCCUUUCUUUAUGGUUUGGAAGAAAGGGUGGCAUUUAUCCGUGGCCCGCGAGAUGAAUCGGUUCAAUGCUGCCACUUUUCUUGUAAGGCUCUGCACCUCCUUAACUGUUCGGGGGGAUCUCAUUUCUGUUAUUGCCCGUAUUUUCUCCGGGUUGGCCUCGAUCCCUCGGUGGCUCACUAGGAAUCCCAAAUAUUUGCCCGAGCUGACCCCAAAUGCACAUUUCUCUGGGUUUAGCUUCAUUUCAUACUUCCUCAGUAAUUCAAAGGUUUCUUCCAAGUGUCUCACGUGAUCCCUCGGUUCUUUGGACUUUGUGAUCAUAUCGUCCACAUAUACCUCCAUAGUAUGACCGAUCAAGGGCUUGAAGAUAUUGUUCAUCAACCUUUGAUAGGUGGCUCUUGCAUUUUUCAGGCCAAAAGGCAUCACCUUGUAGCAAAACAAACCCAUGUUAGUUAUAAAGGUGGUGUUUUCCUCAUCCUGCUCGUCCAUGGGUAUUUGGUUGUAUCCUGAAAAUGCAUCCAUGAAGCUGAGCAGACUGUGACCCGCUGUUGAGUCCACCAAUUGAUCUAUCUUUGGUAGAGGAAAACUGUCCUUCGGGCAUGCCUUAUUAAGAUCUGUGAAAUCCACACACAUUCUCUAUUUCCCGUUGGCCUUCUUUACCAGUACUACAUUGGAAAUCCACUCCGGGUAUCUGGCCUCCCUUAUAAACCCUGCUUUCAACAGUUUCUCCACCUCGGCGUUUAUGGCCUCGUAUCUUUCCUGGUUAAAGCAUCUCCUCUUCUGUCUCACCGGCCUCGCCCCCUUCUUGAUUGCCAACUUGUGGCAAGCUACGAUCAAUUCUUGGUAUAUCCUCGUGAGACCAGGCGAAUAUAUCUGCAUGAGAUUGUAGGCAAUUUACCAGCUCGCCUUUUACUGCCCCAUCCCUGAUCCAAUCUUCACCACUCUGCUCGGGUUGCUUUUGCUUACCGCAACUUCUUCCAGUUUCUCAACAGGCUCUUGACGGCCCUUUUUAGGCUCUCAUCGAUUAUCUAGAGAAGUAACCUGCAGUGUCUCCUUGGCCGCUGUAGCAUAACAAUUCCUUGCCAUCCUCUGGUCGCCUUUUAUUACGCCAACCACUCCAUUUACUUUGUAUUUCAGUGCCAGAUAAUGCGUAGAUACAACGCAUUGGCUUAUCCUCAUGAAGGGUCUCUCCAGUAUCAUUUGGUAAGGGCUUCUUUCCUCUACCACGAUAAAAUCCAGCAUCAUCGUUCUUUCAAACGGCUUUGUCCCUACAGUAAUUGGGAGUUCAAUGAUCCCCAUGGGAGUUAGCCGUCCCCCUCCAAAUCCCUUUAAGGAUGUAUUUGUUCGUUCCAAUUUUAAGUCUACAAUUCCCAUAUCAUCUAGAGCCGACUUAAACAAGAUGUCAACCGAGCUGCCCGUGUCUACCAGUAUUCGUCGCAAUUCUGUACCAGCCACCAUUGCCUUAAUUACCAGUGCAUCCUCAUGAGGAUAUAAGAUACCAUCUUCAUCAUCAUCUGUCCACAUAAUGGGAACUUGCCGCAAUUUUGCCUUCUUGGCUGUUGGCAAAUUGAAAAACACUUCUUUGCUAGUCAUGACGUAUCUCCCAUAGUUCUUUCGUGCCCUGUUCGAAUCCCCAGCCAAGGUUGGCCCUCCUGCUAUCACACGGAUAGUCGGCUGUUCACAUUCCAGGCCUCUCUCACCUCCUUCAUUCUGCGUGUACUGUGAUUCAAUGACGGGAGAAAUCCCAUCUACAUAUUCAUCCAAAUAACGGUUUCUCACCAAAUCCUCCACCUGAAUCUUUAAGUCACGACAUUGGCUGAUGGUGUGACCGUGAGUGUCGUGGAAUUUGCAGAAUCUACUCUUAUCCCGUUGGUGAGCAGGUUUUGUUAUAGGGGCUGGAGGGUAUAACAGGCCUCGUCCCUCGAUUCUCUCAUACAACUCCUCCAUAGGGACUUUUAGCGGGGUGUAUUGUCUGUAUGCUGGGUUUUGGUCAAUCAGCUGGACUGCUCGGCUAUCAUGAGUAUCGUCCUGAGCGGAUAUCGAAGGUAGCUGACCUGAUCGUCCCGUUCUAGGGUUGGUUGUAUGUAGUGCUUUGGGAGCGUUGUGAUAAGGAUGGUUAGCCAACUGCCGGAAUUCUCGCUGCCGCUCCAGGAAUGGGGGGCACGGGGGCUGAGCCCGAUUGUGUUGGACCUGCUACGGUCUCUGAGCCAUAGGGUAAGGGCGAGAAUGAGCUGAUACUGCACCCAUCAUUGAGGACUCCCCGGCUCGCUUUCCCGACCCGCUUCCAUUUAGGGUUCUCAUUUCCUUUCGUCUCAGUUCCUCCAACUGUUCACUCUUUAUCCUUGCCGAUUUUUCUUCUUCAAUUUCAAUGUCUCUCUUUGCCUGCUCAUACCCCGCUGAAUAAUUCUGCACCAGGGGGCUUCUCAGGUUAUACCAUAGCCGGCUUAUCCUCACACCCUCCUUCAAUCCCCUCAACACUUGCGGGUGAUUGAAAGCUCCCAAAUCAAGCACGGCUCGGUGGUAUCGCUUUACAAAAUCUCGAAGGGGUUCUUGUUCCUCCUGCUUCAUCCUCAUUAAUUCCAUCAUAUCAUCCUCUGGGGCCACCGCUCCUAGGAACUGUUCGGCCAACUCUUGGCACGUCUGCUCGUACCCUCUGAUACUUCCUCGUAAUAGCUUGCGGUACCAUUCUCGGGCUCGUCCCUCUAGUGUCAAUGGGAACACCCUACACCUCUGAGCUGGUGUUAACCCCUGGACACCCGUCAUGUCGUUGAAGCGUUCAAUAUGCACCAGUGGAUCACUUCGCCCGGAGUAUUUGAGGUCGGGGAAGCCGAAAUUUCUUGGGAUUACAGUACCCAUAAUCUCAGUGGAUAGUGGAGAUUCUUCAUCUAGCAUUAUCCUCCAACUCGGGGGCUUCCUCUUACCCUGUAUCUCCUCUAUCAAUUGCGCUAAUCUGCGCACCUCUCCCUCCAAUUCUACAGCACGGUCAGGAUCACGCACAACUAUCUGAUCUCGCUUCUGCUCGGCAUUCUGCAGCCGCUGUCUGAGCUCUCCUUCAUCAACACUGGCCCCUCGGACAUCAGCUUCCAGUACCCGCCCGGGGGGAGGUUGGUUCCUCCCUUCAUCUACUUGUUCUCCAGGAACCCGACCAAUGCUUCUGUGGGGAUGCACCCCAUUAGGUUGGUCCGCCGGCGGAGGGAUUUCCUCGACUCUACGCCUCCGGAGGCUGGGUUCCGCUCCAACAUCAUCUCUCCCCACGGGGGUUUCACAAUUCCUUCGCCGCUGAUCUCUCAGCUCAUACAGUAUGGUCGCGAGAGUUUCCAUUUGUUUCUCCAUCCGUUCCAAUCGAUCUUGCAUCACCCUCUCCCGGGCUUCAUUUGCAAUUUCUCAAAGAGUGAUUGUCUCCCCAGAUUCGUUAUCCUCCCUCAAAGAGUCCUUCCUUGGCAUAUCCAUAUCUAAUCGUUCGUUGUUUCUUCGGUAACUACUAAUUCGGUGGUAGCUUUUUAUCCAGCUUCCCCACAGACGGCGCCAAAAUGUUGAUGCUGAAAUCUGCUCGCCUUUUGACCGACCAGAUUCUUUCACCAACGUUUAUGUUAUCAACUGUUGCUUGAACCACUGGGGUUGGAAUCGCCCUCCUUUCUCUUUCUAGACCUGCGUUCACCAAAAACGGAUCAGAGAUGCCGGUGGUUUUGUCGGCGUAAACCCUCCGAUGCCUCAGUUAGUACAAGGUAUUUACGGGAAAACAGUGCAAUUUGGACUCAAGAAUGGUCGCUAAUUUAUCCGAAGUUUUGUAAGAAAAUGGUCUGAUUGCAAUUUGGCAGCGUUUUCCCUCUCUCAAUUUUUUCUCCCCUUUCUUCAUCGAUUUCUUUCUCUUUUAUAGCCGCCGUUUGUCCCACGUUUUUCGUUUACCCUUUAUCCCUCUUUUUUCGGGUGGUGGCAGCCCCUCAUGGGGCUCUAACUGUUAUAUUGUGGGCAAACGUGAGAUCUCGCGUGUCCUUCAACGGUUCUGGGAAAAGCGCAACUACCGCGAUUCUGUGGGAUCGUGUUCCCGCUUUCCUGGGGGAUGAGUAUCGGCUCGGUAUACGCUUCUGGUCGGUAUUCGUCUCUGGUUGGUUCAUGCUUGCCCCCGUGUUCUGCUCGUACUACUUGGCUGAGGUGAUCCAUGCCGAUGUGGAAAUAGUAGCAUGGCCGACCUGGUGCUUUUAUUUACUUAACACAAUGAUCUUUUUCUCAUCCUUUCAAUCGAUUAUAAAGACUCCUUGCCCUUCCAGAUUCGGUCUCUUCGAAAAAUAUGAGACCUAAUUUAUCAGCGAUUUCUCCUUGAAUCUUUCUUAUGUCUGGAAUAUGGGGCACCUCCACGAAAAUCACUUGAUCAAAGAACUGGUCUCUCCCGAACUGAAUAGCAACCUCUUUUGCUAAUGUCGUCUUUCCGAUGCCGCCCAUUCCAUAAAUCCCAACCAUGUUCACAUCAGGAUCUUGUAAUGCACGAAGUACGUUAUUCAAAGUGGAGCUUCUUGAUUCAAAUGCCUCGUAGUCUUUGUUAGAUAUAAGCCUUAUGUCCUCCAGAGCUUUACGGUAGGAAAGUCUAUCAAAUCUCCCAGCUUCCCCAAGUUCGACAAUGGCUUUCUGUUGCCUUACCGCUUCCUUGCUAAACCGAUGGCGGGUCUUCAAAUUUGGACACAGCCCCAUGAAACAACGCUUGUUUGCUUUAUCUGCAUCGCCUGUAAAUUUCUCAGCCUCAGUAAUGAUGUUGUUGACACUUGCAAGCCAUUUCUCAACGUUCUUUUCGAUCUCUUCUCCUUUUCUUCUACCCUCAUCAACCCCGUGCUGCAUACUGGCACCGUCAUCCUUGAGCUUCUCAAGUUCAGUCUUGAGAUUCUCAAAGUUGCUCCUGUAGUUGCGCACAAAACUCAAUUGUCUUUCAGUGGGACGACCCAAGCACUUUGCAACUUCUAACACAACAGUUACUAUGCUUUCCACCAUCUUCAAUUCUUUCCCUUUUCUCUCUCUUUUUUUUUUUUUUGGGUCAAAUUUUAGAAUUUUGUAAAGUAUGUAGAUGUGAAGUGAAGCAAACCAAAAGGAAACUGAACAGAGAAAACAACUAAAAAGAUGUAGAGAUGAAGAAGAAGAGAAGGGAUUUAUUGACAGAGUAAAAAUACAUCAGAAGAGUAGAUACAGAACAAAACAGAGACAAGUGGACAGGGAACAGAGUAAAACUAAAUAAAGAAAACAGGUACACGUACGAUUCGUAGUAAUGUUGAGAUCCGAAGAUUGUAAUAACUAAAGGUGUUGCUUGAUCCAGUGAAAGGUCCAAAGAGUUGAUGGCAGAAAGGAGGAAAGCUGAAUAAUAAAAACACUCAAGAUGAUUGAGAUGAAGAACGACUUGCAUAGUUGGGAGAUGUGCGUCGGACAAAUGGUAGCCAAUUAUUUGAUUUCUACAGCGGGAUUCACUGACUGUAUAUUUUUAAAAAAUUAAGUCAGCAGAAUUAAUUCUUUUCAUUGAAAUGAACUCAAAGGCCAAAGAGUGGACAAAGAAUGUGAAAAAGUUAUGCGAAACGUGAGGUGAUGAGAUAGUUAAGUUCACUGAUGCUCAAUAAUCAAUUUUAUUAAAAAAAAAAAAUAGUGAGAAUCCCAAAGUCGAAAGCCAAUAGAUUUCAUAAUGGUUAUCCCACCAGCCACCACCUCAGCUUCCACGCAAGUUUCUCUCACAUUUGAACAGUUGGCCCACUCCUCAGGUCUUUGUCGUUUCAGUCAACAUAAUAUCACAGAAAGGGUGUUGUUAAAUUCUAUUAUAAUGUAAUUUAUAUUAAUUUAAAAGUUGUAAUUAAUAAUUUAAAAAGUAGUUUAGUUAUUCUAAUUUUAGGUCACUAAUGAUAAUUUAAUGAUUGAUAUAAGUUACAUCAUAAUAUAACUUAAAAGGUCCGAACAUGUAAUUAAUUAAGGCCAAAAGUUAGAAUAAAGAGACCCCAUCCGCCCAUGUGCUUCUAAUUAUAAAAUCUUCGCAUAAUUUGCAAGACCGAUGUUUUGAAAUAAAAUUUGAUUAAAAAUUGACAAAAAACAUAAGCAAUGGUGUCAUUUUAGGUGAUUUUUUUUUAAAUAAAACAAAAACGAUGUCAUUUUUUAGCUGAUUUUAGUCCUCCAAUCAUUUUAAAAAUUUUCAAGCAAGUUACAGGUAAUUCUUAUUCAAUGAUUCAAUGAACUUAUAAUAAAUCUCAGCCACAACGACGAUGAUCAAAUAAUUGAUUCAGCUUCGCACCUAAGCACAUAGUCGCAUAAAUCUCAGUAUAAACAUUAUAUACUUAAAAUUAUAUCAUUUUAGGUUUUUUUUUUAAUUUUAAAUAAAACCAAAACCACAUCAUUUUAAAUAUAUAUUUUAUCAAUUCUUAUGUCUCCAAUCAUUUUCUAAUUUUCAAACAAGCGAUUCUUAUUCAAUUUUUACAUUUUCUGUUCACAAAAGUGAAACAGAAAAUGAAAUUAAAAAAAAAAAGAAAAAAGAAAAAGUAAAUAUUUCGAUAUUAGUUUGAAGGAAAAGUCUAGUAUCGUUCUUCAAAUAUGUACAAGCUUAGAGCUUGUAAUUUGUAUGACCUUUUUUCGAAGAUGAGAAUAUUUCUACAUUACACGCUUUAGAAAAACUAGAUGAUAGGAAAAGAGUGUAGGAUAGAAAUUAAAGCUUAAUAAUAUUAUGAUCAAUUACUGAAAUAUUACCGUGGGCACUAGAUGAUAGGAAAAGAGCUCAUUUAUUACGUUAAUACAUUGUAUUAGUGAUAUAAGAACUUUUAAUCAAACUCAUGCCCCAAGGUGGGAACAGCCAAACGGGCAUUUCAUGGAACAGUUGAUAUACUCGGCAGCUACACUUACACGGAUGUUUCUGUCCUGGAGGUUGCAAGUGUUGCCUCCAUAAUCAAACUUGGAAGACCCUUCAAGGUUUCAAUAAUUAGCUUUGAUUAUUAAGUAAUAAUAUAUGAUAAUGUAGUGAUGAUGAUGAUGAUUUAUAUAUGUGAUUAAAAGCUAAGCUAGCAGAUUUGCAAGUAAGAACACACGGCAAAGUAUUUGAGCAAGUACUUUUAUCUUCUUAUUAUCGUCGCUUACUUCUAAUCAAUUAGCUUUCACCAUCAAAUCUAAUCAGUAAUGUAAAUGAAGGAACUUGGGCUCAAAUCUAUAAAUUAAUAUCGGUAAACUACAACCCUAUUUUCAUCAAAGUUUUCAACUCAAGAAAUAUAUAGAUUAGAGAUUAGUUGUUUAUAAAAUAUAAAGGAACCCUAAAAAAAAGAAAAGAAUUUUCCAGUACAAGAAUAAUAAUUUAUACUUAUUUAUUGAAUAUAUCUCAUUUUAAUCGCUUAAGGAUUUACAAAGUUUAUGCAAUAAUUUAUUCUUUUUAAAAAAAAAAAAUUCACUUCUUAAAAAAUCUUUAGAAAGGAACAAAGCUGAAGAAUAAAAGCAAUUAAGGUGAUUGGGAUGGAGAAAGACUUGCAUAGUUGGGAGACGUGCGUCGGACCAGCGGAAUUCACUGACUUUAUAUUUUAAAAAGUAAAGUCAGCAGAAUUAAAUUAACUGGGAACGUAGGUCAAUGAAUGCGAAGAGUGGACAAAGAAUGAGAAAAACUUUAUGCGAAAUGUUUUGAUUAUUUGACUAUCUACAGUUGCUUUUAAUUAAUGACGAUUGGUUUUGAUUAUUUCACUUUCUUCGUACAAUGAGAGUAUUUUGAGGUCAUUGAUCGAAUAAAGGAUUACCAUUCAUUAUCUAGGGUCCGGCUACGAUGUAACGGUGGCAUGGUAUCACUGUUGCAUUAUCUAAUUUUCUCCCAUGAUCUAAUUGCCUAAAUAAUAGAAACACUUGUAUUAAAUAAUUAUUUUACUUGCUAGUAUUGUUCUUAAAAUAUAUACAAACUUAGAGCUUGUAUGACUUUUUUCUAAGGUGAAAAUAUUUCUAACUCACAGGCUUUAGAAAAACUGAAGCCUUUCUUCUUCUUUUUCUUUUUUCUUCCCCCCCAGCCCCCCCUUUCUUCUUAAAUGACAAUUAUUAAAUAAUUGUGAACGAUUGGGUAUUUAAGUCUAAUUUCUUAAUGAUCUAGGUUAUGGGUGUAGUAUAUAAACUAGAAUUGAAUAAUUAUGAUCAAUUAAUGAAACUCAUGUCCCAAGUUAGGAAGAGCUACAUGGGCAUUUCAUCCAACAGUUGAUAUGCUCGGCAUCUGCACUUAAUCGAAGUUUCCUGGAAGUUGCAAGUGCUGCCGGCUUUUUCAAAAUUGGAAGAUCAUUCAAAGGUUUUCAAUAAUUAGCUUUGAUAUUACACAUGUGAUAAUCUUGUGAUGAUGAUGAUUUUAUGUGUCUGAUUAUAAGCUAAGCUAGUGGAUUCGUAAAUAAGCACACGGCAAAGUAUUUAAUCUUCUUAUUGUCGCAUUCUUCUAAUCAAUUAGCUUUCAACAACAAAAAUAAUUAAUAAUAACGUAAAUGGAGGAACUUGGGCUCAAAUCUCUGAACUAAAAUGAUGAUCAUUAAUACCAAUAAACUACAAUUUCACCUAGGCUCCAGGGAGGAUCCACAUGUUGUCCACAGUGAGCAAGUGACCCGUAAACUUUGAUUUUUCCAUAAUUUUCUAUAUAAAAUAUUGAUAUUUUCAUGAAAUUACAUAAUUUCUUAUAUAAUUGUCUCCAAAAAAUACCAAUAGGUGCACAAACACAAAUAUGAUGCACACAUCUCUUUAAUUAAUUUAGGGAUUAAAGAGAUUUUCAGAUGCCUACAAAUUGAAUAUGGCAGCUCUUGGACACCAUCCACAAGAAGUAAAACUAGCUUCAAAUUGGAUUUCUGAGUACUCAAACAAAGCUAAAAGCAUAAUAAUGAAUGAAAACUGAAACAAAAAAUCCUCUCACCAACAUCAUCUGACUUUUAAUAUAUAGUAAGAACUCGAUGCCUUAUUCAAGAUGCUGCACAGAAGGUUGACCUGAAUCGUCUUCAUAAGUUUGGAGACUCUGUAAACAAAGAGUAAAAACACAUUGAAGGUGCGGUUUUCACUUAAUCAAAUUGCACAAAUUAGCCUCUAUUAAGGACACGGAAAUCCUUCAAUUCUCUCUGUAAGCAAUUAAUUUUAUUUUUUAUUCUUUUAUUUUUUGCUAUGUCUGUCUAACAACUAAUCCUCAACAUACAACAAAGCAGAGUAGUUAUAUCUUAAAAAGAUGUACCGAUAUGAUUUAACAAAAAUUUCAACAUAAACAAAACAUUUUUAGUCAGCAAAAUAGAAUCAAAUCAAAACCUCCCAAAUUGUAUAGAUUUUAUCUUACCACUGUCUUUCACAUUUUUCUCCUUUUCAUUCGCCUCGGCGGACUUCUCAUUCUCUUUUUCCUUCUCUUCCUAAUCAGAUUUAAAAUGAAUUUAUAAAAAAUUUAAUAUAUACUUUUUUCUUUUUAGUUUUUUAUAUAUAUCUGUUAUUAAAUCAGUAAGUUUUAGAAAAAAAAAAAAUCAACAUCUCAUAGUGAAUGAAUACUUACCUUUUUCCUUUUAAGAUAUACGUAUUGAAUGGUUGUAUUAAGGUCCCGAUCCCAAGCCCAAAGUUUAUUAUCAAGCCAGCUCAGCUGCACUUUCUGUAACUUGGGUGUGCUUAAUUCCCCUUCUGAGAAAAUCUUCAUAUUGGGGCAACGAUCCACCACUAAUCUUUCUAGAGAUGGGAAUUUGAAGGCGCAAUUAUUCCCAGAGCAGCUGAAACUAGUCAGACUUUGUAAGUCCCAAAGCCGCAAUUCCUUUAAUUCGCUGAAAACAAUUUCAUAUUGUGCUGCAUAAUUAUCUCCCUCAUCAUCCUCAUCUGCCACUAUUUCUGUUAUCAUCUUGCAGCAACCUAUCUCCAUUUGUCUCAGUCGCACCAGAUUCCUUGCGGUUGAGGAUGUUAGAAGGUGUAUCAUUCCAUGGCAAAGACUUACCUUCAAAGUUGUUAGGUUCUGAAAGGAUGUCGAGGAUGGCACUAGAUUAGUCAAAUUGUCACACUCGAAUAUCUCCAGCUGUUCCAAAUUGUUGGUAUUGGUUGACUCUUGUUUGAAAAUCUGCUUCAGUUCACGACGCUGGUUUAUUCCCCUCAUCAUUGCAUUCAACCCAUUUUCAAGGUUUUCAAGUGAUUCUCCCCAAACAAAAUCGUCUCCUUCUAUAGAGAGAAUUUUGAUGGUGUGAAAUCUCUGGAGGAAAUCGUCAAGUGAUAAAAUAGUACUUGACUCAUCAAGCCGGACAUCAAGACAUUUAAGUUUGCAAAGCCAGUCUUCUGGAAACAGGCCUAUGUGCUUUUCAUCAACGAUCAAUUCUUCCAAAUUGGGGAACACCUGGGUGAUCAUCAAUCACAAAAGUGGCAAGAUGGAGUUAGCACUUCUUUCUAACGAUUUCACAAAUUCAAGUAAAUACAAAGCAUUCCAAUGAUGCGUAUUGAUGGCCGGACAAAUUUAUAGAUAUGCGGAGAGAGUUUGAUUUUCAGCUGUAAAUACAAAGUAAAAACAAAGCAUUCCAUUUAAGUAAUGUGUAUUUUCUUCCAUUCUCUCUUCUUAACUCUUGUCCAGUAGAUAGAUUUUCAAAUUUUAUUAGAUUUGUGCAUAAUCUCUAUGAAAAAGACUUCAAUUAUUCUCAAAUUGCAUUUAAACUUUGAGAUUCUUUUAAUUGAUCCGUUUAUUUGGUUUGAAUUGAAAAUCUUACAAAUUUAUUUUUAAAAAAAUUUGGAGUUUUUAACUUUUUCUUAAAGCAAAAAUGAAUAAAUAAUAUGAAUUUUAAAAGUUUAAUAAUAUAGUAAGAAGCUGGUAUUUCAUUAAUAUUCAUCCAACUCAAUGGAAUUGGAUAUAUUUACUAUUGUGCAAGAAUGGAUUUUAUUGUACAUAAAGUUUAAUAGAAUAAGAUUUCUUAAUUUGAGUUUUGUCCAUCUCUCUAUAUAUAUUUUAAAAAUAUUAUUUAUGUUAACACGAGAUGACCAAUUUCUUCUUCAACAUCAAAAUUGAUAAUCAUUUUGUAUGUAACAAAAUUGUACUAAGGAGUACUAAUUUGGAAAUAGCUCUUGAAAGAUUUUCAGGAAAUUAACUGUGGCUUGAAAGCCUCUAGAUCUUAUGAGUAUUUUCUUUGUUUGGCUAAUCAAAUGCACUGUCUCUUUCCGUGUAUUUAACUAAAGAUGUAGACAUAAAAUAAAAAGUAGAGGGAGAAGAAAAACUCUGAUAAUUAAGAGAAAAAAAAUUGAACAAGAAGGAAAAAAAUAAUUGUUUACCAUAUAUCUUUUUUUUUUUUCAUUCGGUCUAACUGACAUCCAAAAAAAAAAUAAUAAUUAUGUUUGUAAGGAUAUUAUAAAGUAUAAUUAAACAAACUGAUUUAUAGAACUAACAUUUUGUUACUAAAAGAUGAAGUGAUGAGGGCGAUGACGACAAUAAAACUCUGAACUCUCAAAGUAGAAAUACAUUUCAGUACGUAAGAAUUGAAAAAUAAUUAAACAAAUCUUGCACGUGUACCUUUUCAAAAUGCAGAUCACCUGUGCAGAAGCUUGUAAGCUGCGGAAGAGAAUGAAGCUCAAGUGUCCUCAAUUGAGUGAGUUCAAUCACUUCAGUACUGUUAUUAUUGCUGGAUUCAUCUCCUCUCUCAGCAGCAAAAAUCACUUCCAUUUUUUGGCAACUACUCACUUUAAUGGACUGAAGUUGUUGAAGGCCUCUGCCUAUGACCAUCGGCAAUACAUUUUUCAAUUUAUCACACCCUUCCACCCUUAUGGUCUUUAAUUUGCAAAAAGACUCUGCUGUGAGUGGACCACGACAUAUUUCCUCAAGGUUCCUUAAAUCUCUUAGAAAUAAUGACUCCAAAAGGGGGAAUGCAGUCGUCCGAGCUGGCAUACAAUCCAUUGUGUCAACAACACAAGAAAGGUUGCCAUUAUGUUCGAUUUGGAGACCCUUCAGUUUUGGAAAGCCUUCUCUGUCUGAUCCAAAAAGAACAUUCUUCAUGUCGAUCAAUCCAUCUAGAGACAGGCCUUCAAUACCCUUCAAUUGCAUGAUAUGCCCCUCGUUCAAGCAAAUGUUGGCACCAUUUGUGAGCCCCAGUUUGAAUAUUCUAGAAAUCCCAUCCGAUGGGGGAACCACAAUAAACUGCGACAACUGUCCUAUAGAUAUCCUGUACCUUUGCAGCAUUUUGAAGAACGACAAGUCUCUUGAUAGAGUCUUUUCAUCGCCGAUGAGUAUUUCUAAAGAGGUCAAUUUAGAUAAAUUAUUCAACUCAUCAAGGCUGGCAUUUCUUCUUUCACCGUCUACUCCUUCAACUUUCCCCCACUCAAUGGGACUCUCACCAAUAUAUAGUUCUUCUAAUCGUGAUAAGCUUGAUAUCACAUUUUGGGGAAUAACUCUCAGUCGGUAACAUAGGCGCAAAUUCAACAACCUCAAUUGAGUCAGCUGGCCUAUCUCUCCAGCCAGUUCCUCCAUAUCAGAACCUCGAAGCGCAAGGAUGACUAAUUUCUUUAGGUCUCCGAUAAUGGCCAUGUCUCCUAGUUCACAAUCAUCUAGAGACAAUGUUUGAAGGUUUUGCAAGCGACCAAGCGAUGAAGGCAAUGCCAACAAAUGCAUCUUAGUGAAAUCUAAAACUCUAAGCUCUGUCAUCCCAGUAAAAAAUUUAUCUGGGAUCCUCAAAGAAGCAUGACAGCCAAUACAAAGGAAUUUAAGUUGCGGGCAUUCGAACCCUUGAGGAGGCUCACUAAUAUUACUAUUCUUUAAGGAGAUUGCGGUGCAAACCUUCAGUGUAUCCUUAUCUGGCCAGCUGGUCAGCGGAACAACCUCAUUUUCCACCGCAAACACAUGUUGGUCUCUUGAUGCAAUUGAUCUGGCUACAUCACGAACAACAUCAUGCAUUGAAAACCAUUCACUUGAACGGCCAUCAAGCAACAAACAAGAGUUCUUGAGUUUAUCAACCAAUGUAUGUGCUCUAUCCCGUGCCUCUUCCAACGUGUUGAUGUUUUGAAACAGACCCAAACCCAUGCCAUAAUAGAGUAGGUCUUCAACACAAGAGAAGAACGUGUACCCUAUUAGCAAAAAUGUUUUCUUCAGUUCCUCUCCGUUUAAAUGAUUGUAACUUAGCUCUAUACUUUUGUACGCCACCUGCGUUGUUCCAGUGAAGUUUCUCAAGGAAGGCCUUCUAAAUUCCAGCAAAGCAUCCUUCCAUUCAGACAAUCUCUUAUUUCUCAAUGCCCUUGCUACGGGUACAAUGGCAAUCGGCAAACCACCACAUUCCUUGACUAUCUCUGUUGCUACAGAUUUCAGUUCACCAUUUUGUAUGCAAUCACCUGUCAUCUUUUUGAAAAGACUCCAAGCUUCUUUUUCGUUCAGAACAUCAACAAAAAAUUUUUGUUGACAAUCCAUCUUACAAGAUAACACAUCCUGACUUCUUGCUGUCAGCAGAACUUUACAUCCGCCGUUGUCAUCUGCCAAUGGAAUUCCAAUCGCCUCCAAAUCAAGACUCCCCCAAAUAUCAUCCAAGAUUAUAAGGAUCUUCGUCUCUUUCUUCAAUCGUUCAAGCAGCCUCCCUGCUCUUACAGUUUCAUGACUCUGUUCAGCCAAUUCUAAGCCUAUCUUCUCAGCGAUUUCUCCUUGUAUGUUCUUUAUUUGCCGUGUUUGGGAAACACGUGAAGAAAUGAACUUCUCAAAGAGAUUAUUUUCCUUGGCCUGUCUGCCAACUUCUUCCACCAGCGUGGUCUUUCCAAUGCCACCCAUCCCGUACACUCCAAUCGUGUUGAAGUUACGGUUGCUGAGUGCGUCUAGUAUCUCCUUCAAGGUGGACUUUCUCGAUUCAAAGUGCAUGAAAUCCCGGGUAGACUUAAGCCAUGUCUCCUCUGGAAUGGUACGGAAGGAAACACUGUCGAAUCUCCCUCUUUCAUGGAGUCCAACUAUAGCAUUCGCUUCUCUUUCUGCUUUCUUGCUAAGCUGGUACCGAGUCUUCAAAUUAGGACACAACCCUUUCAGACACCGGUUGUUUGACUUCUCUUUGUCUUCAAUAAGGGUUUCGACUUCAUUGAUGGCCUUGUCCACAGUAAUCAUCCACUUCUCAACGUGGUGUUGAAUUCCGUCCCCUUUAAUUCUGGAAUCAUCAACCUUAUAUUGCACACUGUCUCUAGCAUUCUUGAGCUUAUCGACUUCAUUAUUCACCUUCUCGAAGUUGGUCUUAUAAGUGCAGCAAUAAGUAAAUGGAUGAAUUAUGGGAGCAACCAAGUACUCUGUAACUUUUGCAGCAACGGAAAUAACAAUAUCCAUUAUCCCUUUCUUUUUUAUUUUUUGCUCUUAGAAAACAGGGGAAAGCAAAACUAAUCAAACUGAGCAGAACUAAUCAAUCAGUUGUGAAGAGGGAAAUAAGAAGUUUGGAUAAAUUGUUAAAAUAAAAGGUUGAAUAGAUUUAAGGGAGGAGGAGGGGAAAGGAGUGAAAAAUCUGGAGAUGAAACAAAGGGGGGUCCAUUUUCUGCUAAGACAAAUUGAAAAGCGAGUGCAAUGAAAGAUUUGCAAAGAAGGUGUAGGAUCGAGGACAAGAACGAUACAGAAACGGGAGACAGAAAAUGAAGAAGAGAUUUCAGAGAACUCUAGAGAUUAGACAAGAGGGAUGAUUAGGAAAAUGCAGAGGCAGGCAGUUGUGAUCUCAAGUCUCAAGGGUAAUCUGAAUACUGCAAAAAUGCCAAACUAAAUUCAUACUGGAGAAGACUCAUGCUUCCAAGUCAACUAGAUUCUUAAUAACUGAGAUAGAUGGUUAUAAUUGCAUGUAAAUAAUGUCAAAGUUGUUGGUUAAUUGGACAGCGCAAGGUGGCAUUUUGGCAUUUCAUUGAAUUCUCCUGUUACCAGUAAGUGCUAUGCUGCCGUUGCCGGACUUUAUGAUUUUUUAUUUUUUUAAGAAAUAGAUAUACAAAUAAGGACUCGCCUACCGUGCAACAGUAGCACCAUGCCACCGCUUUUGUCUUUUCUUGGUAAAAUUUCAUAAAGUCCUUUCACUUAUUCUUAUUUGAACUUUGCUUCACAAAUAUUAAGUUCAUUUCUCCCAAACCCGUGAAUCCUUCAAUGGCCGAUCAACGGCAAAUCGGCUCCUCUGGUGGCUGUGGUUGGUCAGAAAAGACAGAGGAAACUGUGGAGAACAAACCCCAAGUGGUGGCGUCACUGGAAACCGGAGAAACCGCCGCGAAUUGAAGCAGGGAUUCUGUAACUUUCACGGCUUCGAUCGGCAGCUUUCCGAAUGCUUUACGGCGACAAGGAUGGCAUGGAGAUGACUGGCGUAGCACGAGCUUCUGAUCGGUACCAACCUUGGCCGGUGGAGUAGCUGGAAACGAAAACAAAAUCUGGGUCGGGUUUGCGGGUCAGGUUGACCUAGUUAUUUUUUCGACAAGGAUGGCGUGGAGAUGACCGGCAUCACACGAUCUUCUGAUCGGUACCAACCUUGGCCGGUGGCAUGGACGAAAACAGAAACGAAAUUCAGGUCGGGUUCACCGGUAUUUGUGGUAAAGAGAGGGGUAUUGUGAUAAAUGUGCAAUAUAGAAGAAAAAUGUAUAAAUAACAAAUAGUAUAAGGUGCUAUUAUAAUGUUAUAUGGAUGCAAUAGAAAUUAAUUUAAUAUUUAUGAGGUAAAGGUUAAAUAAAAAUGAAUGAAAGGGGUUCAAUGAAAUUUUACAACACUACUGACACAAAAGAUAAAAUCAGUUGUACGGUACCACGGUGGUACCGUAGCUGGAUCCCACUCACUGACAUUCAUGAGAAAUUUAACGGUAGGAAAAAGAAGUUAAAAAAAAUGGACAUUCAUGGGAAACCGGCUUUGAUGGUUAAUGUGCAACCGGAUGUGAGCAAAAGGUCACGUGGUGAGGGCAUUGUCACAUGGUUGGAGAAAUUGACAGUCUUUUUUAUUUUUGUCAAUGAGGUUGGUGAAGGUAGGAAAAAAACAAGUUUGGGUUAUUCCAUUGUUUUGGGAAAAACAUUGAAAGCGGUGAAAAGAAAAUGUCAACUACACUGUAAUGUCAGUGAAAAUUGGUCGGAGUUGUACAAAGAUCAGUUAUGAAGAAUAUUAGGGAAAUGAAAAAUAAUAUACUUAAAAUUAUAUCAUUUAGGUUAAUUUUUUUAAAAUAAAACCAAAACCACAUCAUUUUAAAUAUAUUUCUUUAUCAAUUUUUUUUUGUCUCCAAUCAUUUUCUAACUUUCAAAUAAGUAAUUCUUAGGCUCUGUUUGGUACAUUUUUUCAAGUAGAGUUUAUUUAAGUAGAGCUUUUAUAAAUAGAGAUUUUACAAAAAAAAAUUAGUUAUUUGGUUGUCAAUAAGAGUUUUUAUUAAAAAUUUAUAAAAUUACUUUAAGAGGUAAAUUUUUUAAAGUUAUGUUAUGAAAAGAAUAAAAUAAAAUUGUCAAUAAGGAGAUGAUAUUUUAGAUAUUUUAACAUUUAAAAAAAAUUAACCUCUACUCCCAAAACCUAAAAUUUGAAUUUUUUCUAAUAGAGAUAAAAUAACUUAUUUAAGUUUUAAAAGCUCGAUUAUAAAAACAACCAAACAACAACAAAAAUUAUGAUAAGAGUUUAUAAGAUUAAAUAAGCACUUAUGACUCUUAAAUAAAGCAUAUCAAAAGUAAACAUUGUCUUGUUCAAAAGUGAACGAAAACGAAAUGAAAAAAACUAAGCUUAUUUAAGUUUUAAUAUCAAAAGUUAUUUGGUACUUAUUCAAAUUUUACAUUUUCUGUUCUCAAAAGUAAACGAAAAUGAAAUGAAAAAGAGAAUGAGUCUCGGCUCGGGUGGCUAAUGCUGACAGUGGCUAAUGCUGCCGACAUCUUCCAACUUGCAACAACGUUAAAAAUACGUAGCCUUAAUUAAUUGCCUAAAUAAUAAAAAUAAUUGUUCAAUAAUUCCCAUUCAUCAUCUAAUUGCCGAUAUAAUAAAAAUACUUAGCCUCAGCUGACUUGUUCCAAAUCAUUCAAUAAUUCUUUUAAUUAUUAAAUAAGUUUGUUCUUGCUAAAUGCUAAUGGAUACUGAGCUGAAUGUCAAAGACGAAUAACUACAUUAGGAAUAAAAAUAUUUCGAUAUUAGUUUGAAGGAAAAGUCUAGUAUUGUUCUUCAAAUAUGUACAAGCUUAGAGCUUGUAUGACCUUUUUUCGAACAUGAGAAUAUUUCUACCUUACACGCUUUAGAAAAACUAGGUGAUAGGAAAAGAGUGUAGGAUAUAAAUUAAAGCUUAAUAAUAUUAUGAUCAAUUACUGAAAUAUUACCAUGGGCACUAGAUGAUAGGAAAAGAGCUCAUUUAUACAUUAAUAUAUUAUAUCAGUGAUAUAAGAACUUUAAUCAAACACAUGCCCCAAGUUGGGAACAGCUAAACGGGCAUUUCAUCGAACAGUUGAUAUUUGUAAGUAAGCAAGCACACGGCAAAGCAUUUGAGCAAAUAUUUUUGUCUUCUUAUUGUCGCAUUCUUCUAAUCAAUUAGCUUUGACCAACAAAAAUAAUUAAUAAUGUAAAUGGAGGAACUUGGGUUCAAAUCUAUAAAUUAAUAUCGGUAAACUACAACCCUAUUUUGAUCAAAGUUUUCAACUCAACAAAUAUAGAUUAGAGAUUAUUUGUUAAUAAAAUAUAAAAGAGCCCAAACAAAAAAAGAUUUGACAGUAUACGAAUAAUAAUUUAUACUUAUUUAUUGAAUAUAUCUUAUUUUAAUCGCUUAAGGAAUUACAAAGUUGAUGAAAUUUUUUUUUUAUUUUUUAUUUUUCACUUCUUAAAAAUUGUUGGAUUAAGAGAAUCCUCAAUCUUCAUUUACGUUCAGUGGUGGAUCCACACGGAGCCUAUAGUGGGCAAUUAAUUGACUCCCGUAAAUUAUUUUUUUUCCAUAAUUUUCUAUUUAUUUUUUAUAUUUUCAUGAAAUUACAUAAAUACUUGCAUAAUUGCCCCUAAUAAAUACAAAGUCUAUCAAUUUCAUUAAUUUUUUUUUUUUAAUUAUUGUGUUGUCCCUUGUAAGCCAAAUUUUUAGAUCCGCCCUUUAAAUAGGUUGUUACAUUUAUUGUUCUCAAAAGUGAUGACUUCUCCUAGUAUGAAGCUCCUACCAUAAGAAAAAGGUCUCCAUAAAACAUUUCGAGCUUUAACUAUGAUCUUCGGUACUGAUCUAACUUUUUUUAGUCCCUCCCAAAAAAGAAGCCUACACACACACACACAUAUAUAUAUAUAUAUUGUAACACAUUAGGACAUGAACUUGAAGCUUCUCAAGUGUUUAUGCAAUCCGGUUAACAUAUACAAGUUAUGAUAGGUAAAAUUGCUAAUAAAUUUAGAAGCCUAAAAUAUGGAAUUUGAUUAAGACUUACUAAUUAUUGGAGCAUUUUUUUCAUCUAGUUUUUGGAGAUUGAAAGAACUUAAAAUUACAGGUGAUCAUAUCUUAAUUGGCAGACUCUUGAUGCUGAUAAAUGACAAAAGUCGUAGAUUAGAGAGUUCUACUGAUUGAGUAGCGACUUGAGACAUUGUACAAUUUGUUCCAAUGCGAAUGAUUCAUAGUGACUGCACAUAUGACACCUUUUUGUCGAAAUGACACAAUUUCUCUUCAUUGUGCUAGAGAAAGGUGGGUAGAUUUCUGUUGUACAAGCAUUAUUGGAAGAGAUAUCAAGCCACUCAAUGUUCAGAUGGUCCAAACAUGUGUUCAGGAGGCACUAACAUAGCAGAAAUUGAGAUAGUUUUAGUUUCAUCAUACACUAAAAAAAUAUAAACCAGAAAUCCUGAUGGAGCGAGGCGUAGAGGAAGCGAAAAUUAAUAGGAUAGGAAACACUAGUUAUCAUUUUAGUACAGGAUUAAGCCAACGCAAUUAGGUUAUAUUCUAAUCGAAGCGUGAUUAGAUAUCGUUUUAAUCCAAACGACUCAAUGAGAUUUUUAAUAACACGUAAUGUGAGAUUAGAUGACACUCUAAUCCAAACGACUCUACAAGAGAGAUUUUGAUAGAUAAUCCCAGAGGGAAUUAUAAAAUGGGAGUUUUAUUGAAUAAUUGAAUUUGAAGUGCUCAAAACAAUGACAAGAUCUCUCUAGUUAUAAUAGAGGAAACCCACUUUCCUAAAUUAACCUAAAAGGGAAACUGAAUCACAAUUAGAAUGGAAAUAAAAGACUAAGAUACAUACCAUAAUUGACUCAAACUAAAAUAGGAAAUCCUAAAACAAUAAAUAUUCUAGAAUCCUAAAUCACCUAAAAUAACGUAAAUUAACUUCCUACAUCAUUCUUCCCCUCUUAAAAGAAACUCGUCCUUGAGUUUGAAUGCAGUCUGGAGGAUGAAACUUAUAGUGUAGGAGCAAAUCAUCUUGUAAUUUGAACUUGUAGCCUUGCUCAUCAAUCUUCCUUGAAACUUUGAAGUAUCCUAACUUCAUCAACUUCCUUCGCUUGUACAUUCUUCGAGUCGAUGACGACUUUCAAGAACGAACAAUGAUCAAAUAACUCUUGCACUUCCCCAAUUGUCGCUCAAUGCGCUCGCCAAUAAGUUUCACCUUUUCAACCAAAUCUUCUUCAAGCACAAUCUUUUUUUCUUCAAUGUGAAUAGGCAGAACCAUUUCAAUCAUUUCAACUUCUUCACCUUGAUUUUGUUGUACAACCUCGAUCGUAUUGUUAAGUUCACUGCUUAAAUUAAGAGCAGGUUAUAUAUCUUCUUAAAAAUUAUCAAAUAGGUCAAUAAUAUCAUUAUCUUCAGCACUUAUCUUCUCUUCCAAGGAAACAUCACGCACAUUCUCGAACAACUUGUCAGAUUGAAACCUUAAAUCAAUAAUAAAUUGUACAUUUUCUUCUGGCAACUCAUGCGAGUCUUCUUCCUUAACAAUAAGAGAACUCAUUGGUACAUCUUUGGGCACUUUCAUGGUGACACGCCAUUUCUUGCUUAAAUUCUGGAUUUCGUCAAGUUUUUUAAUCACAUCAUCAAAGUUUCUUUGACGUUGCGACUUAAUUUGCGAUUCGAUUUUCUUGGCUAAAUGAAUUGCAUGUUGUAAAUUGUAGAUAGUGUAUAUAGGCAUCCUUUCUUGAAUAUGCAAAUCAAGCCCUUUAAUAAAUCUUGUAACUGUGUUCUCUUCAGGCUCAUAAUAAUAAUGACAUCCAUAAAAUCAUUCAAACUCAUAAGCACAAGCAGAAACAUAUCUCGUACCUUACUGUACCAAACAAUAAUCAAGAGGAAUAAACUCAGAUCGUAAAAUAUGCUUCAUACAGUUCCAUGAUUGAACUUUGCAUUUGCCUUGGUCAAGUCGAGACAUUUGCAACUCAUCGCACCAUUCUGAAGCACUUAUGCUUAAUCUACUGGCAGUAAACGAGACUUGCUUUUCUUUAGGAGUGUGCCAAAAUAGAAACUAGUGCUUAACCUUGUCCAACCAAUCAAGAAAUUUGUUUGGACGUGUAUUUUGUAAAUAAUAUCGGCACAUGAUAAAUAGGAGGGCAAUGAUGGUAGCUUGCCAUUUAAGUUUCCACACAAUGGCAAAAUUGUAAUUAAGGCUCAACUCUCGGGUUUGGUAUGGUCGGCAGCUGGUGGCGUGAUUGGGACCAGAGGGAUCGGAUCUGGGAGAUUUGGUGAUAAGGAACUCGAUGAUGGUCGUGGAUCGGCUAGAUUCGCUGCGGUUUUGGUCGGAAAAUCUGACUUAAAGUGGCGGCUGAUUUUGGUGAUGUGGCUUUUGGUUUAUGGCGGCCUUACGGUGGCGGACGUGCUGGAUUUAUGGUCGCCGAUUGCUAGGGAUUAUGGUGGUGGUAGUGCAAAUUGACAGAAAAAAGGAGGUGGUUUGGUGGCGGCGCAUGUGUGAAGCACUUGUGGGUUGUCGUUUCGUGUGGUGGCUGUGGGCGGCGAUCAAGGGCUGAAGUUGGUCGGUGUUUUGGUUAGUGGAGGCCUGCAAGCUCGUUGGUAGAGGUGGCUGGCUGUGAAAGUGGCUGAAUGGUGGUGGAUUGCUUGGUGGAGCCGCGGGUUUGGGUUGGUGAUUUGCGGCUGUUUAGGCGGCGGUUGAGGAGGCGAUGGCUGAGGCUUGGUCGGCAGUGGCUAGCGAGGUUUGUGGUGGUGUUGGCUGGCUGAUCGGUGGUGGAAGUUGAUGUGGUGGCUAGGGUUUUCAAAUUUGUAAAGUUUUGAUUUAUUUAUUUUGUUUUAUUUUAUUUAUUUUUUGUGAUAGAUUUGAUGUGGAUGGAUAUGGAUAGUCAGGAAAGUUGUGCAAUUGGCACAAAACUGCUCUGAUACCAACUAAUGGAGCGAGGCGUAGCGGAAGCAGAAAUUGAUAGGAUAUGAAAUACUAAAUACCAUUCUAGUACAGGACUAAGCCAACGCGAUUAAGUUAUGCUCUAAUUGAAGCAUAAUUAGAUAUCCUUCUAAUCCAGACAACUCAAUGAGCUUUUUAAUAACGUGUAAUGCGAGAUUAGAUGACUCUUUAAUCCAAACAAUUUUACAAGAGAGAUUUUGAUAUAUAAUCCCAGAAGGAAUUAUAAAAGGGGAGUUUUAUUGAAUAAUUGAAUUUGAAAUGCUCAAAACAAUGACAAGAUCUCUCUAUUUAUAAUAGAGGAAACCCAAUUCCCUAAGUUAACCUAAAAAAGAAACUAAAUCACAAUUAUAAUAGAAAUAAAAGACUAAGAUAUAUACCAGAAUUGACUCAAACUAAAAUAGAAAAUCCUAAAACAAUAAAUAUUCUAGAAUCCUAAAUUACCUAAAAUAACGUAAAUUAACUUCCUACAUUAUUCAAUACAUCAAUAACAAGUGCACAAACACAAAUAUGAUACACUCAUCUCUUUAAUUAAUUCAAGGCUUAAAUACUCUUUCGGUUGAAUCCAAAUUGAACAUGGUAGCUCUUGGACACCAUCCAUGAGAAAUAAAACUAACUUCAAAUUAGAUUUCUAAGUACUCAAACAAAGCUAGAAGCAUAAUAAAUUAGAUUUCUAAUUACUCAAACAAAGCAAGAAGCAUAAUAACGAAAUGAAGAAAGAAACAAAAGGUCCCCUCACCAACGCCAUCUGACUCUUAGUAUAUAGAAAGAACUCGAGGCCUUAUUCUAGAUGCUGCACAGAAGGUUGGCCCGAAUCGUCUUCAUAAGUUUGGACUCUCUGUAAACAAAGAGCAAAAACACAUUGAAGGUGUAGUUUUCACAUAAUUAAAUUGCACAAAUUAGCCUCCAUCAUAACCAGUUAAUGCUUAAGAACACAAAAAUCCUUCAAUUCUCUCUAUAAGCAAUUACUUUCAUUUUUUUUCAAUUUCUUGUUCGCUAUAUCAUAUCUAACAACUAAUCUUCAACAUAACAAUACAGCAGAGUAGUUAUGUUUUAAAAAGAUGUACCAAUGUGAUUUAACAUAAAUAAAACGUAUUUAAUCAGCACAAAAAUAAAAUCAAAACCUCCCAAUUUGUAUGGAUUUUACCUUGCCACUGUCUUUUGCAUCUUCCUUCUUUUCAUUAGCCUUGUUGGACGUCUCAUUCUUUUUUUUCCUUCUCUUCCUAAUUAGAUUUAAAAUGAAUUUGUCAAAAAUUUGAUGGGUACUUUUUCUUUUUCCUUUUUUAUAUAUAUCCGUUAUUGAAUCAAACUUUUACAAAAAAUCAACAUCUCGUAGUGAAUGAAUACAUACCUUUUUUUUAAGAUAUAGGUAUUGAAUGGUUGUAUUAAGGUCGCGAUCCAAAGUCCAACAUUCUUCAUCAUCCCACCGUUUAAGCUGCACUUGGUGUAACUUGGGUGUGCUUAAUUCUCCUCCUGAGAAAAUGUUCAUAUUGGGGCAAUUAUCCACCACUAAUCUUUCCAGAGAUGGGAAUUUGAAGGCGCAAUUAUUGCCAGAGCAGAAUCCUGUCAGGCUUUCUAAGUUCCAGAGCAGCAAUUCCUUCAAUUCGCUGAAAACAAUUUCAUUUUUUGCUGCAUAAUUAUCCCCCUCAUCACCGUCAUCUGCCACUAUUUCUAUUAUCAUCUUGCAUCUACCUAUGCCCAUUUCCCUCAGUCGCACCAGACUCUUUGCAAUUGAGGAUGUUAGUACAUCUAUCAAUCCUAUGCAAUUAUAUACCAUCAAAGUAGUUAGAUUUUGAAACGAUGUCGAGGAUGGCACUAGAUUAAUCAAAUUGUGACAGUCACAUAUGUCCAGGUUUUCCAAAUUGUUGGCAUUGGAGGACUCUUGUUUCAAAAUUUGCUUCAGACCACGAUGCCGGUUUAUUCCUCUUAUCAUUGCCUUCAUCCCGUUUUCAACCUUUCCAAAUAGUCUAAAAAUAUACUCGUCUCCUCCUAUAAUGAGAAUUUUGGUUGUGUGAAAUCUCUGGAGGAAAUCGUCGAGUGAUAAAAUAGCUGUUGACUCAUCAAUCCAGACAUCAAGAAGUUUAAGUUUGCAAAGCAAGUCUUCUGGAAAUAGACCUAUGUACUUUUCAUCAAUACUCAAAUCUUCCAAAUUGGGGAACAUCUGGGUGAUCAACAAUCACAAAAAAAAAAAAAAAAAAAGCAAGAGGGAGUUAAAUCUUCUUUCUAACGAUUUCAAAAAUUAAAGUAAAUACAAAGCAUUUCAAUGAUGAAUAUUGAUGGCCGGACAAAUUUAUGGAUAUGUAGAGAGAGUAUGAUUUUCAGCGGUAAUUAUUUUCUUUUUUUUUUUUCAAAUAUAGUAAGUGAUGUGUAUUUUUUUUUGUCAUCCUCUCUUCUUAACUUUCAAAUUUUAUUAGAUUUGUGCAUAAUGUCUACAAAAAAGACUUCAAUUAUUCUCAAAUUGCAUUUGAACUUCUGGAUUCUUUUAAUCGAUCCGCUUAUUUGGUUUCAGUUGAAAAUCUUACAAAUUUCUUUUUUUUUUUAAAUUGGUUUUUUUAACUUUUUUCUUUUCAAGAGCAAAAAUGAAUAAAUAACUUGAUUUUAAAAAGUUUAAUAAUAUGGUAAGAAGCUGGUAUUUCAUUAAUAUUCAUCCAACUCAAUGGAAUUGGAUAUAUUUACUAUUGUACAAGAAUGGAUUUUCUUGUACAUAAAGUUUAAUAAGAUAAGAUUUCUUCAUUUGAGUUUUGUCCAUCUCUCUCUUUAUAUUUUUAAAAAUAUUAUUUUUGUUAACACAAAAUGACCAAUUUCUUCUUCAACAUCAAAAUUGACAAUCAUUUUGUAUGUAACAAUACUGUAGUAAGGACUACUAAUUUUAAAUAGCUCUUAAAAGAUUAUCAGGGAAUUAACUGUGGCUUGAAAAACCGUAGAUAUUUUGAGUAUUUUCUUCGUUUGGCUAAUCAAAUGCAGAGUCUCUUUCGUGUAUUUAACUAAACAUAUAGACAUAAAAUAAAAAGUAGACGAAGAAGAAAAAAUCUGAUAAUUAAGAGAAAAAAAUUGAACGAGAAGGAAAAAAAAAUACUAAAUAAUUUUGUAUUCAUUCUUUCUAACUGACAUCCAAAUCCAUCUAUGGUUGUAGCCGAUUCAAUAUUCGAUAAUGAGAAGAAUUAUUGAAGAAUGAUAAUUAUGUUUAUAUCGAAUAUUGAUAAUUAUGUUUAUAAGGAUAUUAUAUUAGUAUAAAUAAGCUGAUUUAUAGAACUAACAUUUUGUUACUAAAAGACAAAUUGACGAGGGCAAUAUAUGACGACAAUAAAGCUCUAAACUCUCAAGUAGAAAUACUUUUAAGUACGUAAGAAUUGAACAAUAAUUACAAAAGUCUUGCACGUACCUUUUUGGUGGACUCAUGAAUAGUGCUUUUAAAUUUCACAUGGGGACAUCCCCUUAUUAUUAAUUGUUUCAAGGAUGGAAAUUCAAAAUGCAGAUCUCCUGUGCAGAAGCUUGUAAGCUGCGGAAGAGAACCAAGUUCAAGUGUCCUUAAUUGAGUGAGUUCAAUCACUUGAGUGUUAUUAUUGCUGGAUUCAUCUCCUCUAUCGGCAGCAAAAAUCACUUCCAUAUUCUGGCAUUUUGUCACUUCAAUGGACUGAAGUUGUUGAAGGCCUCUGCCAAUGAGCAAUGGAAACACAUUUUUCAAUUUAUCACACCUUUGCACCCUUAUGUUCUUUAAUUUGCAAAAGGACUCUGCUGUGAGUGAACCACGACAUAUUUUCUCUAGGUUACCCAAAUCUUCCAGAAAUAAUGACUCCAAGAGGGGGAACGCUGUCAGCGCUGUUGCACAAUCCACUGUGUCAACAACACAAAAAAGGCUGCGAUUAUCUCGGACUUCGAGAUGCUUCAGCUGUGGAAAACCUUCUCUGCCAGGUUCGCAAAGAACAUUCUUCAUGUCCAGCAAUCCAUGUAAAGAUAGGUCUUCAAUACCCUUCAAUUGCAUGAUAUGCCCCUCGUUCAGGCAAAUGUUGGCACCAUUGGUGAUCUUCAGUUUGAAUUUUCUAGAAAACCCAUCCAAUAUUGGGUCAUCCGACCACAGAUAUCCAAUGAAUAUCCUGUACCUUUUCAGGAUUUUGAAGAACAACAAGUCGCUUGGUAUAGUCUUUUCAUCUUGGAUGAGUAUUUCUAAAGAGGUCAAUUUAGAUAAAUGAUUCAACUCAUGAAGGCUGGCAUUUCUUCUUUCACUAUCGAGCCCUUCAACCGUCCCCCACUGAAUGGGACUCUCACCAAUAUACAGUUCUUCUAAUCGAGAUAAGCUUGAUAUAACAUUUGGUGGAAUAACUUUUAGUUCGAAACACUUGCUCAAAUCCAACAACCUCAAUUGAGUCAGCUGGCCCAUUUCUCCAACCAGUUUCUCCACAUCAGAACCUCGAAGUGAAAGGAUUUCUAAUUUCUUUAGGUCUCCGAUAAUAGCGAUGUCUCCUAGGUUGCAGUAAUUCAGACACAGUGUUUGAAGGUUUUGUAAGAGACCAAGCGAUGAAGGCAAUGGCAAUAAAUGCAUCUCAGUGAAAUCUAAAACUUUAAGCCCAGUCAUCCCAGUAAAAAAAUUAUCUGGGAUUCUCAAAGAUGGAUCAUUGCCAAUACGAAAAUAUUUAAGUUGCGGGCAUUCGAAACCUUGAGGAAGCUCACUAAUAUUACUAUAAAUUAAGGAGAUUGCGGUGCAAACCUUUAGUUUUUCCUUAUCUGGCCAGAUGAUCUGCGGAGCAACCUCACUUUCCACCACAAACACAUGUUGGUCUCCAGAUGCAAUUGAUAUGGCUGCAUCACGAACAACAUCAUGCAUAGAAAACCGUUCACUUGUAUUACCGUCAACCAACAAACAAGAUUUUUUGAGUUUAUCAACCAAUGUAUGUGCUCUAUCCCACGCCUCUUCCGACGUGUUGAUGUUUUGAAACAGACCCAAACCCAUGCCAUGAUAAAGCACGUCUUUAACGCAAGAGAUGAACGCGUACCCUAUAAGCAAAAACGUUCUCUUGAGCUCCUCCCUGUUUAAAUGAUUGUAACUCAGCUCUAUACUUUUAUAUGCCACCUCCAGUGUUCCACUGAUGUUUCUGAAGGAAGGCCUUCUUAAUUCCAGCAAGGAAUCCUUCCAUUCAAACAAUCUCUUAUUUAUUAGUGCCCUGGCUACGGGUACAAUGGCAAUGGGCAAACCAGCACAUUCCUUGACUAUCUCUGUUGCUACAGAUUUCAGUUCACCAUUUUCUAUACAAUCACCUGUCAUCUUCCGGAAAAGACUCCAAGCUUCUUUUUCAUUCAGAACAUCAACAAAAAAAUUUUGUUGACAAUCCAUCUUACAGGACAACACAUCUUGACUUCUUGCUGUCAGAAGAACUUUGCAUCCGCUGUUAUCAUCUGCUAAUGGAAUUCCAAUCGCCUCCAAAUCAAGACCCCCCCAAAUAUCAUCCAAGAUUAUAAGGAUCUUUUUCUCUUUCUUCAAUCUUUCAAGCAGCCUCCCUGCUCUUACAGUUUCAUGACUCUGUUCAGCCAAUUCUAAGCCUAUCUUCUCUGAGAUUUCUCCUUGUAUAUUUUUUAUUUGCGGUGUUGGCGAAACACGUGAAGAAAUGACCUUCUCAAAGAGAUUAUUUUCCUUUGCCUGUCUGCCAACUUCUUUCACCAGCGUUGUCUUUCCAAUGCCACCCAUCCCGUACACGCCAAUCAUGUUGAAGUCACGGUUGCUGAGUGCGUCUAGUAUCUCCUUAAAAGUGGAUUUUCUCGAUUCAAAGUGCAUGAAAUCCUGGGUAGACUUAAGCCAUGUCUCCUCUGGAAUGGUACGGAAAGAAACACUGUCGAAUCUCCCUUUUUCAUGGAGUCCAACAAUAGUAUUCGCCUCUCUUUCUGCUUUCUUGCUAAGCUGGUACCGAGCCCUCAAAUUAGGACAUAGCCCCUUCAAACACCGGUUGUUUGAAUUCUCUUUGUCUUCAAUAAUUGUUUCGACUUCAUUGAUCUCCUUGUUCGCAGCAAACAGCCACUCCUCAACGUGCUGUUGAAUUCCGUCCCCUUUAAUUCUGGAAUCAUCAACCUUACACUGCAUACUGUCUCUAGCAUUCUUUAGCUUAUCGACUUCAUUAUUCAGCUUCUCGAAGUUGGUCUUGUAAGUGCAGCAGUAAGUAAAUGGAUGAAUUAUGGGAGCAACCAAGUACUCUGCAAAUUUUGCAGCAACGGAGAUAACAAUUUCCAUUAUCCCUUUCUUUUUUUUUAUUUUUUGCUUUCAGAAAACAGGGGAAAGCAAAACUAAUCAAACUAAGCAGAACUAAUCAAUCAGCUGGGAAGAGGGAAAUAAGAAGUUUCGAUAAAUUGCUAAAAUAAGAAGUUGAAUAGAUUUAAGGGAGGAGGAGAGGAAAAGAGUGAAAAAUCUAGAGAUGAAACAAAGGGGGAUCCUUUUUCUGCUAAGACAAAUUGAAAAGCGAGUACAAUAAAUGAAAGAUUUGCAAAGAAGGUGUAGGAUGAGGACAAGGAUGAUUCAGAAAAGGGAGACUGAAAAUGAAGAAGAGAUUUCAGAGAACUCUAGAGAUUAGAGAAGAAGGAUGAUUAGGAAAAUGCGGAGGCAGACAGUUGUGAUCUCAAGUCUCAAGGGUAAUCUGAACUUUAUGAUUUUUUAUUUUUUCAAGAAAUAGAUAUACAAAUAAAAUGAAAAAAAAAAAAAAAACUGUUGUGUGGUCGUGUGGGUUCCUCGAAAUCACUUCGGCAUUUAAUCGAACGAUUGGAUGUACUCAGCAUCUACACUUCCACGAAGGUUCCUGGAAGUUGCGAGUGCUGCCGGCAUUUUCAAACUCGGAAGGUUUCAAUAAUUCUUUUACUUUGAAAGAAAGGUUUCAAUAAUUAGCUUUGAUAAUUGUGUAAUAUACGAUAAUCUAGUGAUGAUGAUGACUUAUAUAUGUGAUUAAAAGCUAAGCUGGUGGAUUUGUAAGUAAGAACACACGGCAAAGUAUUUGAGCAAGCAUUUUUAUCUUCUUAUUGACACAUUCUUCUAAUCAAUUUGCUUUCACCAACAAAAAUAAUUAAUAAUUUGUAAAUAGUUGGAUCUUAAGCUCAAAUUUUGACAAUACAUGAAUGAUAAUGUAUACUUAUUUUUCAAGGGUAAACUCUAUUUAAGAGAGGAUCUCAAUUUUCUAUUAGUUUCUUCAAAUGGGCAUUUUAUCCAACAGUUGAUGUACUCGGAAACUUACACGAAGGUUCCAGGGAGUUGCAAGUGCCGCCGGCAUUUUUCAAAUAAUCAAGUGAUUAUUGAGUAAUAAUUAACUUUGAUUAUUGAGUAAUAAAUAUAUGAUAAUCAAGUGAUUUUAAUAUGUAAACAGUAGGAUUUUGGGCUCAAAUCUUUAAAUUAAAUCGUGAUCAUUUUAUCAUUAAACUCGAACUCUAUCUUGAUUAAUGAACAAAUGUUAGAAAUUAGUUGUUAAUAAAAUAUACCCUGGAUGUAAUGGCUAUUCCUAAAGCUCAAUUGAACCAAGAACACAAUCUUGAAGGGCCCAAGAACAGAUCCCAAACAAGAAGUGACACAAAGCUUAACAAGAAUCCAUGAUCAAACAAUGAACAAAACAAAGAAUCAGUAAAGAAGAAAACUUAGAGCAAGAGUGUUUAAUGAUUUGAUUAAAUUUGUGUUUAUUUCUGUGGAUGAUUUCAUUCCUAUUCUUGCCAUUCAUUUUUAUGAUUUUUUUUUUUUUGGGGUUGACUCCCGGAACAAUCAACCUGGGGAUGGGUGGGUUUUAUUUAUUUGUCAUGAUUUGAUUAAGCAGAGCAACUAAUACUUCAAAUCGUAUCACUGUUGUAUUAGAGGCUUCACGUAUAUAAACCAAAGUUUAACAGAUCUACAUAUAACUGAAUGAAAAGCUUAUGUAUUAUAUUCACUCCAUCAAGUAUGAAGCAUAUAAUCAAUUGAUCUACAAGCACUAGACAUACAAAAAUCAAAUGGUAGAAUAGAAUAUACAAGCAUCAGCAUUAGAUGACAGGAAAAGAGCUCAUUAAUAAAUUAUAUGAGUGAUAAUACUACUUGAAUCAAACUCACGUCCCCAGUUGAGAAGAGUUAAAUUAAAUAAUACUUUGGUGAUUUCAUGUGCGUAAAAUUAUAAAUUUAUAACCAGACUUUGUAAAGUUAAUGUGAAAAUGCAUCACAGUUGUACUUAUUAUCUUUUUUCUUUUUUCCUUUUCCAAUUAGUCUAAUACCAGUGGCGUGGCCUCGUGGGUCCUCAAAUUAUUCAAAUGGGCAUUUCAUCGAACAGUGGAUAUACUCGGCAUGUGCACUUGGAAGACGCGUUCAAAAGCUCUAAAUCAUGUUAAAGUCGACCAAAAAGACAAAACAUAGAAAGCGACAAUCCAACAACUAGGUAAAAAUAUUCGCUGUCACAAAUGGUUGCGUUAACGUGUAUAUUUGGGACAUCAAAUAUAAACAAAGACCAUGUGAAAAAGAAAAGCAAAAAGCUAGAAAUAAGAAAAAGGGAGCACAGUGAAAGAUCUGCAAAGAAGGUUUAGGACAACGAUUAUUAUGAAAACGGGACCAGAAGACGUAUAAGGGAUUUCAGAGAAUUUUGAGAGAAGUGGGAUGAUUAAGAAAAUGCAGGAGCAGGACAUUCAUGACCUCUAUUAGUAAUUUGAUUUCGUGAAUCAUUUUCAAAAAGAAAAUAACGCACACAAUUGGAGACUAGGCGAUGACAAUGAAAGAUCACAAUCCUGAAUCAUGUUAAAGCCAAUAAAAAGACAAAACAUGGAAAGCGGCAAUUGCUAUAUUGCGUUGCGUGUAUUUUCGGAUCAUCAAAUACAAACAACGACCACGUUAAAAGAAAAGCAAAAGCUGACGAGAUUGGUAAAGAUAUAUCAAAAGAAAGACUAAUAGAGCUUUCCCAGCAGCAUUAAUCAUGAUUAUUUGAUAAAAUAGAGGGAAUAAAUAAUUAUAUUUUUGGUGGAAAACAGAACAGAGUACGUUACAAGAGGUGAUUGCUUUCUUAAUUUUUUGUCAAUAUUAAACCAAAAAUACAAGUCAAUGAAAAAAAUUGAAAAUAACGCACCAUCAAGUCAGCCUUGGUGCAGAAAAAUAUUAACAUUUAAUGAACAUAGAGGGAUGAGUUGGGCCAAGUCUUUAAAUCAGAUCUGUCGUGGAAUAUAACAGGAAGAUUAAAAGAAAAAUCAAUCAACUAGUAUAUAAUAUAAUGUUUUUACAUUUAACUAAUUAGGAGACUGAUACACUAGCAAUCAGCAUUAAUCAAUUAUUUGAUAAACCAGUAAAUAUUGGAUAUCUCGGUGCAAAACAGAGUGUUGAGAGAUAAAAAUUAACCUGGUGUCUUUGGCAGGUGCUUAAUAUAAUUGCUAAGCUUGCCACAUGCCAUUGCCAACUUUGGCCAUCUGCUAGCUGCUAUAUAUGAAGCAACUCAAGUAAACAUAAAGCAGCCGUCGUGAGAUGAAGCACAACAAGGCUUGUGAUGUGAUCACUGAUCAUGCAUCCGGGACACUUUUAUACUUAUUUAAUUCCAAUAAUCAUAAUAAACUAUUGAAUUAUAGACCAGGUUUUCGUUUUUAUGAAUACAAGGCACAAACACGAGCAUAUUUUAAUCCUAUUUCUGCUAAUUGAAGAAAAUCAAGAAAUGCUGAUUCCGUCAUGCUUAGUUUCAUGUUAGUUAACAUACUGGACAGACCUUCCGAGGUUAUUCUUCGAAGCGUUUCAUGAUGCCACGUGUACUUGAUUAUUUGACUAAUCACGGUUCACAAGUUGAGUGAGCUAUUCACCAGUCACCAAACCACCUUCCUGCUGCAAAGAAUGUUAACUGAACUUUGACUUGGUCAGAAACUCAGAAUUAGUGGUGCACGUGAUGCUUACACGUGAGGACCCAAAUGACGAAUUCCAAAAGCUGAAUGAUGUAUGUGUGAAUUAAAUAUAACUAUUACGCUCUAGCACAUAUAUGUCACAUGUAUACUAAGUGGGUGUAGUGCGACGAAGGUGCUCUAUAAUUUUUCAGUGAACACAAUAUAAUCAUCAAAGUGAAAGAAAAACUUUUGAGGUUUUGGUGUAUUCAUUAGUGAAAUUUGAGCCGAAAAGAAAAAUUCAUAUUUGUAAACAUCAAAACCAAAAUCAUUUGGAUGUAGUUGCUGAAAUUGAUUAGGUCAUUUUUAACCUUAAAUUUAAGAUCAUUAAUCAUUGCAUGAAUGUUUUGAUUUUAAUACCAGUGGCAAUCACGUACAUGUUUAAUGAUUUGAUUAAAUUUGUGUUUAGUUCUAUAAAUGAUUUAACUAAAAAAUUCAAAAAAGUUUAAAUCACAAUUUUUAUUAUUAACAAUUUAACUAAAAAAUUAUUAUUAAUUAUUGUUAAUAGAUUAAUUAAUUACAAUACUUUUUAUUAAUCUUAUUAAUAGUAAUUACAAUAAACUAGUAAUUAUAAUUAAAAUUACUUUAGUAACAGGUUUAUUAAACCUAGACUCAUCUACCUUGCAACGGCUGCAAGGUACAACUCUUUUUUUUUUUUCAUUCCUUUACCUUUGGAUUUAAUGAAAAGUUAAUUUCAAUGGUAGAGAUUUGUCCAUUUGAAUACUAACAUUAUACUCUUGAUAAGUAUUAAAAAAAUAAAAAAAUGAAAGAGUUAAAAUUUUUAGCACAUAAGUCUUUAUUGUUUCUAAUUUAUAUUGUUUAAUUAGUAGUAAGUCUUAAAAAAAUAUUUUAAUUUUAAUAUUAUAUAAAAAUAAUAAAUUUUUAAUGUUAUUUAUUUUAUUAAAAAUAAAUAUUAUUUAAUAUUAUUUAUUUUCAUUUUAUUUAGCAUAUGCUUAUUAUUAUAUUUAUUCCUCAAAAAAUUAAAUAAUAUUAAAUAAAAUAAAAUAAUCAAUAGUGAAUCAUAAAAAAUAGAUAUCAUUUUUAAUUAAUAUUAUUUAUUUUAUUUUAUUUAACGUUUUAUAGUCAUAAACUUAUCAUUAUAUUUAUUCUUUCAUAAAACUAAAUAAUGUUAAAUAAAAUAAAAUAAUAGUAAUGAGUCUUAAAAAUUAAUAUUAUUUUUAAUAUUAUUAACUUGAUUUUAUUUAAUAUUAUUUAUCCAUAGGCUUAUAAUUUUAUUUAUUCUUUUAAAAAAUUAAAUAAUAUUAAAUAAAAAAUAAUCAAUAGUGAACCUUAAAAAAUAAAUAUUAUUUUUAAUAUUAUUAAUUUUAUUUAAAAAAUAAAUAUUAUUUUUAAUAUUAUUAAUUUUAUUUAAAAAAUAAAUAUUAUUUAUUUUAUUUUAUUUUAUAUUAUUUAUUCAUAGGCUUAUUAAUAUAUUUAUUUUUUAAAAAGUUAAAUAAUAUUAAAUAAAAUAAAAAAACAAUAUUGAGUCCUAAAAAAUAAAUAUUAUUUAGUCAUAGACUUAUUAUUAUAUUUAUUCUUUUUAAAAAGAUAAAUAAUAUUAAAUAAAAUAAAAUUACAUUUUAAAAAGUCACCAGCAAAAGCAUAUAAACUUAUAAAUAAAUGUAAAAAAAAUAAAAUAAAAUAAAAUUACAUUUUCAAAGGUCACCAGCUAAAGUAUAUAAACUUAUAAAAAAAGGAUAAAUAAGAAGGAUAGUAAGGGGUUAAAUAAAAUUUAACAUACAUAACAUAAGACAAAAAAUGAUGGCACCUUGCAACUGUUGCAAGGUAGCUGGAUCCUAUUAAACCUAUAUGUUAUAAAACAAAUGAAAUAGGAUUAUGCAUGCAGUUAAAUAGGUGUAUUUUAGAAAAUCUAAUUCUUUUAAGGAGCUCUACAACCUAUUCUCCUAGAAGUCCAAAAUUUAAACUUCUCCUAAUAAAGACAAAAUAAUAUUUUUAAUAAACUCUAUUCAAUUUAUAGCCAAACGAUGCCAAAAAAUAUUCAAAAGCAAAAUUACUCUCUUGAUCUAUUAGUAGAGAAAUCAUACAAAAUGGACACUUAAUGGUCAAUUAUUUUCCCCCCCCCCUUUUUUUGUAGUUUUACUUUUCCUAUAAACAUUAUUGUUUAGGAAAUAAUAAUAACACUACAUACUCUCCACUAACACAUUAAUUAAUUAAGAGUAUUUCCUCACUAGCGCGCAUUUAAUUAUCAAAAGUACGGCUAAACUUUGGUAAUUAAGAAAACAAGUGAUAUUGGUGGCAAACUGGCAAUGACAAGAAAAUUUUAAUACCACAAAAAAAAAAAUUAUCAGUUACGUAACAACUGAAUAAUUAAUUAUAAAAGUGUUGUACGUACCUUAUCUGUCAAGUCAUUGGCCGUACUUUUAUAGUUCAACACCAAUUUAGGACAUCUCACUAUUUGUAAUUCUUUUAAAAAUGGAAAUUCAAAGUGCAGAUCUCCUGUACAGCAGAAGCUUGUGAGAUUUCCAAGAUCUGUUAUCUUUAGAUAUAGUAGCUGAGGGAACAUUACAAUAAUAUUAAGGGAGCUGCUACCUUACAUUAAACGUAAGGUACAGCCUUCUCACUAAUGGUGGAUUUUAAUGGAGCCCACAGAUAAAUUAUGUGAGUGGUUGUACCAUACGUUUUACGUAAGGUAGCAAAAUCCUAAUAUUAAUCUUGCUUUCUUCUUGGUCAUCCACGACUAUUAUCUCUUCCAAAACAUUGUUCACUCCCUCAACCUUCCACUGAAUGGGACUCUCACCAAUACACAGUUCUUCUAAGCGGGGUAAGCUUGAUAUGACAUUUGGUGGAAUAAAUUAUAGUUUGAAACAAUUGCUCAGGUCCAAACCCUUCAACUGGGUCAGCUGGCCUAUUUCUUCAACCAGAGUCUCCAUAUGAGAACCUUGAAGCGUAAGAAUUUCUAAUUUCUUCAGGUCUCCGAUAAUAGCUAUGUCACCUAGUUUGCAAUCAUCUAGAGACAGUGUUUGAAGGUUGUGUAAGAGACCAAGUGAAGAAGGCAAUGGCUUCAAAUGCAUCGUAGUGAAAUUUAAAACUCUAAGCUCUGUCAUCUCAGUAAAAAUGUCAUGUGGGAUUCUCAACGAAGGAUCACUGCCAAUAGAAAAGUAUUCACGGUGUGGACAUUCCAACUCUUGAGGAAGCUCACUAAUAUUACUAUUAUUUAAGGAGAUUGCAGUGCAAACCUUUAGUUUAUCCUUAUCUGGCCAUUUGAUCUGUGGGACAACAUCAUUAUCCACUACGAAUACAUGUUGGUCUCUUGAUGCAAUUGAUAUGGCUACAUCACGAACAACAUCAUGCAUAGCAAACCAUUCACUUGUAACUCCAUCAAGCAACAAGCAAGGGUUUUUGAGCUUAUCAACCAAUGUAAGCGCUCUAUCUCGUGCUUCUUCCAACGUGUUGAUGUUUUGAAACAGAGCCAAACCCAUGCCAUAACAGAGCAAGUCUUCAACACAACAGAUGAACGAGUACCCUAUUAGCAAUAAUGUUUCUUUAAGUUCCCUACCUUCUAAAUGAUUGUAACUCAACUCUACAGUUGAAUAGGCCACCGCUUGUGUCCCAGAGAAGCUUCUCAAAAAAGGCCUUUGUAAUUGUCGUAAAGCAUUCCUCCAUUCAUAGAGACUCUUAUUUUUCAACGCCUUUGCUACGGGUACAAUGGCAAUGGGCAAACCAGCACAUUCCUUGACUAUAUCUGUCGCUACAGAUUUUAGUUCACUAUUUUCUAUGCAAUCACCUGCCAUCUUCUUAAAAAGACUCCAAGCUUCUUUCUUAUUCAAAAUAUCGACAAAAGAAUUAUGUUGACAAUCCAUCUUACAAGACAACACAUCUUGACUUCUUGCUGUCAGCAGAACUUUACAUCUGCUGUUAUCAUCUGCUAAUGGAAUUCCAACAGCCUCCAAGUCAAGAAUAUUCUCCAUCGUCUUUAUUGUCCCUUUUUUAUAUUUUAUUUUUUCUUGUGUCGAAAGAAUCCUUCACUUAUUGGAAUAUCCAUGAUGACUGGGUGCAAUUGGAAGAGUCCAUGAAAUUCUUCUUUCAUUCGAGCUUAAAAUACUUUCUCCGAACAAUUAGAAUACAUUAAUAUUUUAUGAACUUGCUUAGUAGAUCAUUCAACUACUUAAUUGGUGUUGUUAAUUAAUUGGUUAUCUUCCCGGAAACACAUUAAAGACUCUCACAGGGAUUCAUUAAACCUUUUUGCUGGGUCAAUUCUACAAGCAUCAGACGUAAAAGCUUCAUGAUAAGAGCACAAGCCUAUCGUCUUCAAAAGCUCCCUCAAAAAGCUAGCUAUUUUCUUUAUUGUCAUUUCCAUCCAUUUUAACCCUCUCUUUUUUAUUUUGUACAACUUUGACUUGACUCUCAAAUAGAGAACAAUGAUAUUUAGACAGAAAAAUUUAAUAGAAUGUUUAAAAAUAAAAUAAAAUUAGUGUCGGUUUAUCUUGUACUAGUUUUACCUUAUUGAUGUCAAUGAUUUUCUAAGAGAAAAAUAAAACUUACAUUAAUUUUACCUUUGUUUCAUGAUGAGGUAAAAUAUGAUUUUUUUUUACUUUUAAAAGAUUUCUUUAAAUGAUUUUCAAGUUGAUUUAUUUGAUUGGACUGUCAAAUGGGUUUGGGCUUAGGCCACCCCUAAUUUUUUUUUUUUUCCAGUUUACCAUAAAAAAGAUUGGGUGUGUUGCAAGUGAGAUAUGGAUAAAAGGACAUAACUAUUUCUUCGUUGGAAAUUCGAAUAAAGAGAUAGAAAAAUUGGUAAACGAGUAGGAAAUAAUUUACGGGAAGGAUGAGUGGAUAAGAUUAGUGCUGGAGCCGUCGUGGAUUCAUUGCUAUGCAGAAUUAAAAAUUCAAGCUUAAACAGUUUUGGUGAAAUUUUUAUAUUGAAAUUCUUGUUAAUUAAUCAUUCACACUUUAAUGAAAGUAUUAAUAGCAGCCGUGUAACUCCCUAUUAAUUAAUUUAUAUUAAUAGCAGCCGUGUAACUCCCUAUUAAUUAAUUUAUAUUAAUAGCUACCGGUAACUCCCUAUUAAUUAAUUUAUCACGUGUUAUAUAUAUAAAGUAAUAUUUUAACAAUUAAUAGCGUAACAGGAUUUUUUUUUUUAUGUUGCUCUUUUACUCAAUUAAUUAAUUAACAUUUAUAAAUGAUCACUAAGUAUUCAUGAGUAUGUGACACAUGAGCUUAAACAUGAAUCAAUAUUUGCUAGUGCAUUGGUGGUUAGCACAAAUAACCACGAUGAUAGAGAGUGACAGGGAAGCAUUAAGGGGACGGAUCCUUUAAUGACCUGAUUUUUAAGCAAAUUUCACUUAUAUGUUUAUUGGUUAACCAAUUAAGAAAUAAAAAAAGUUAAAUUCUAAUAAUACAUUAAUAUUAAAAGGCAAGUGAUAUAAGUUCUUUAAACGUUCAGAAGAGAUCAAAUCAAAAGAGAAUUUUAAUUUGAAAAUAACUCUUGUAAAACUUAAGUUUUAUGUGCUCAUGAAAGUAGUUGUAAUUGAAGGCAUCUAUUGAAUAUUCAAUGGUUUAACUAAUUAUAUUCUUUAUAGACAGUUUGUAAAUUAAUCUCGUCACUACCACCAUGACUUGUAAUUUACUUGUUAGAAAAAGAAUCGAUUAUAAAUACUAAUUUGACUUUAUUGUGCUCUAGAGCAAAAUACAAAGUGGAUAUUUAGUGAUUAUUAGUUUAACUUACAAUGCUAGAUAUAUUUUAAGUAUACAUAUUAAGACAUAUAUACACACACAUACAUACACAGAUUUGCGUGCAUGCGCGCGCCAAGAGACAAACAAAUAUACGAUGAAUAGAGAUAUCCGGACCUAAAGACUUCAAAUUAAUGGUGAAACAUCUUUGCAAAUUAAACUAAGAAAAAUUGAAAAAGUAUUUUUAUCAUUUUAUGUAUGGAAUUCCACGUCCAUGCAUGCAUCUACCCAACAAAUGCCCUUGUAAUUCCAUGCAUGCAUCUACCCAACAAAUGCACUCGUAAUUAAGUAUGCAUAUGGUACAUCACAAAAUAUUGUCUUGGAAAAGUCUCAAUGGAUGACACAUGAUCAUGUCAUUGUACUUACACGCACAAUGAAUAAUCCUUGCGACGACUUGCACAAAAAAAUGGCUGUUUGUCCCUGUAGUUUAAGUACCUAUGGAGGAGUCAAUAUAUUUUUAGAAAUUUACUCAAAAAAAUCUACAUUAUAUUUUUUUUGGUUAAAAUCUAAUUAAUUAUUUUUUAUCUUUCAUCUGCUAUAUAUUAAAUUAGUUUGAAUUUUAAACUUUAUCAUAUAAAAUUUAGCUUUGAAAAUUUAUGUCCAACAACAAAGAAAGUAAGUAAAGAGACGUUCUCCAUAAUCUUUUAAAAUAUAAUAUUGACCAAACUGGAUAAUUGACUCGAAUUAUGGGGAUUAAAUUAGUAUUUACCUAUUUAACAAAUUUUAAAAUUAUUUUCUAAAAAAAUGUAAAUUAAUUUCUUUCUUUAUUAAUAAAAUUACGACAUAUCUAAGUAAUAUUCAUAUUGUGCUGAGAACAACUUCUUAGUAUAGCGAUGGUCUUACAUGUGGAGGGUUGAAAUCUUUUAUGCAUGCACAUGGAGUUAAUAGUAAUUAAAAGGGGGUGUGUAUACCACACACCUUCGAUUUGAAGACAAAAAGUGAUUGUCAUCUAUUUGCCCACGUACACACCAAAAAGUGAAUCAAAUCCUCGAACGACUCAAUGACGGGACAAGGAUUGGUUCUCCACUUUUGUACGGCUUUGAAUCACUUCUCUAUUCUAUUCACCCCGCAUCACAAACGUGGUGACGACGUAAUUACGAAAACAACUAUAAUCCAGCUGAAAACAAAUUCGUAGGCAUUUUCCCUUCAUUUAGACCAAAUCUAAAGUUCUGAAUGAAAUGAAAGAGAAAGCCAACUUGAAUUACAUUUUUUCCGGCAUUUUUUGGUCGAACGAACCAUUUCACUUGGGAUCAUAAUGAGUCGUUGCAAAGAAAAUGUUAUUUUGAUUAUUACUUUGUUUAAUAUUCUUGUUUGCGGUAUUUUGAUUUGAGAGAGAUAUGAGUCUCAAAGGAAUGUCGGAUUCUGUGCUCACAUGAUGAGCUAUAUAAUAUAUGUUGGUUUUACUUAAGGUUGUUGUAAUUAGUGGUUUAAAAAAAAAAUAACUAGCACAACUCUAAUAAAUAAUGGAUAAAAAUUCCUAAUUAAUUUGAAUUCAUCUCUCAUUUGUCAUUUGUCAUCUCUUUUAUAUAAAGUAUGACUAUAUAUGAGAGAUAUUUUAUUGUAUAUAGCUAUUUCUUUUUUUUGUUAUUUCUAUCGACUUCAUGAGCACUGUCUUAGACUUUUCCCUUUCUGUAACAAUCUUGGUUUAACUAUGAACUAAAUAUUUUUCUUUUCAAUCAUUAAUUAAUAUUAGGUGGGUGGAUCUACUAACACGGUUGCACCUAAUUACCCACUAUAAAAUUUUAUUCUCAAUCCCCAUGGAAAAGUGUGCAUGCCUAUAUAUAAUCGGACUUCAUUAUCAGUGUUAUGGAUAGAGGAAUUAUUAAUUUUAAAUUAAUAAUUAUUUUAAUCAAUUUGGCAAUGUAUAUCUUAUCCUUAAUUAAUUUAUAUGAAUGAAUAUCAAGUGUAACGUAAAAUAUUAUUUGUGUUGCACAUGUGGACAAAUUAAAGAAUACAAAGAUUCCUUAAACAAGAUUCAAAGUAUAUUAGAAUUCGUAAUGGGGUGUUUGGAAACAAAGAAAAAAACAGAGAAAAUGAAAAAGGAAACUUCUCGAUUUUAUUAAUCAGAAUAUUCAAUACUUAUUAAGCUUACUUAGCUAAGCUUAUAUACAAUUAUUCUAACUAAUUAAACAACUUCAAACCAACUAACAACUUCAGAUUUAGUUUAGCCAUUGAGCUCUUGCCACAUGUCAUUCAGUUACAUUCAAUCUUGACACAUCAGUCAGCUCUGUCCAGCUCAGCAACUAUAUCUUCAACAUCCCCCCUCAAGCUCAACCGAGGAAGUAAGGUUGAGCUUGUCACGUAAGUAGAGAAAAGGAUGAUAAGAAAGAGCUUUGGUGAGAAUAUCAGCAGUUUGUUCUGAGCUAGAAAUAUACUGAACCUUAAGACAUUGAGCAGCAACUUUCUCUCGAACAAAAUGAACAUCUAAUUCAAUGUGUUUUGUUCUGGAAUGAAACUUAGGAUUAGAGGCUAAAGCAGCUGCACUUUGAUUGUCACACCAUAUGAUUGGAAUGGAGGAAAGAGCAAGGCCAAUCUCAGCAAGAAGAGAGCGAAUCCAUAAGACUUCAGCUGCUGCCAUAGCUAGUGCUCUAUAUUCAGACUCAGCACUAGAUCUAGAGACCACUACCUGUUUCUUAGAGCACCAAGACACUAGAUUUGGACCCAUAUAGACACAAUAACCAGCCACUGACCUCCUAUCAUCUCUGUCUCCAGCCCAAUCAGCAUCACUGAAACAAUCAAUCUGUAUGCUACCAUGAUUGUAGAACUGUAAACCAAGAUCAACAGUGCCCUUCAGAUAACGUAAAACCCUUUUACAAGCCUGCCAAUGAUUGACAGUUGGAGAAGAUAGAAACUGACUAAGCUUGUUGACAGAGAAAGCAAUCUCUGGUCUGGUCAAUGUUGCAUACUGAAGAGCACCUAUGGUGCUUCUGUAUAGAGUAACAUUAGAAAAGGGUUCACUAUCAGUUUUAGUAAAAGCCACUUCAGAAAGCAUAGAAGUAGAACAAGGUGUACUAUCCUGCAUGUGCACCUUGGCAAGCAAAUCAGUGAUAUACUUGGAUUGAGAAAGAUGAAUACCAGAUUUGUUGUAAAGGACCUGAACUCCCAGAAAAUAAUUCAAUGCACCAAGAUCUUUAAGUGCAAAAACAGACUGGAAGUUAGUGAUAGUCUGCUGAACAAGCUGAGGAUUGGAGCCUGUAAUAAUGAUAUCAUCUACAUACACCAAGACAAGUAGCAGAUGACCUUGUGUGCUCUUAAAGAAGAGUGAAGUAUCUGAAAUAGAAUUUGUAAAACCCCAUUGAGUUGUAAGAACUAAUUUGAGUCUAUCAAACCAUGCCCUUGGAGUCUGUUUAAGUCCAUAAAGAGCUUUGUGCAACUUACAGACAUAAUCAGGCCUGGAACUAUCUACAAACCCCUCAGGCUGUUGCAUAUAAACUUCUUCAGUGAGGUAGCCAUUAAGGAAGGCAUUAUUAAUGUCUAUUUGCCUUAGUACCCAAUGAUUCAUGACAGCUAUACUCAAGACAAUUCUGAUAGUUGAAGACUUAAUGACAGGACUGAAUGUUUCAUGAAAAUCCAGCCCUUGAGUUUGAUGAAACCCCUUAGCAACAAGUCUAGCUUUGUAUCUAAAGACACUGCCAUCAGGAUUAUAUUUAAUCCGAAAUACCCACUUAUUCCCAAUUACUUUAAUGGGAUGUGUAGGUUUGACAAGAGUCCAUGUAUGAUUAUUGAUUAAUGCUUGAUAUUCAUCUGUCAUUGCUUUAUGCCAAGCUGAAUCUUGAAGAGCUUUUGAGGUAGUAGCAGGUUCUGUAGGUUUGGUAGGAUUGGCUGUAAUAUAGGCUUUAGGUUUGAAGAUACCAGCCUUUGAUCGAGUGAGCAUUGGAUGACCAGUAGAUGACUGCAAUGGUGGAGUUAAAUGAUGGACAGGUGAGGUAGAUGGUUUUGAGUGUGAUUGUAUAGAAGAUUGAGAAGAAGAGUCUGGAGAGGAUUGAGAGAACCUGAGAUCAGCUGCUGUAGAGGAUGAAGACUUGGUUAUAUCAAGUUGAAUCAAAAGACAAACAGAAGAUGAACAAUGUGAAGAAGAUUGAGAUGAAUGAUCUGAAGAAGAGCAAGAGUGACUGACAGAGGAAAAAUCAACUCCUGACUGAAAAGGAAAACAUAACUCAUCAAAAGUAACAUGGUUACUGACAUAGAUUCUACUAGAGGAAUGAAGACACAAGUAGCCUUUGUGAAGGGAGCUGUACCCAAGAAAAAAUACAUCUAGCAGUUCGAAACUCUAGCUUAUGAUGAUUAUAAGGCCUCAGAUAUGGGAAACAAGCACACCCAAAAACUCUCAUAACAGAAUAAUCUGGUCUUUUGUGGAAUAAUUUUUCAAAUGGUGAUUUGUUAUCUAGAAUGGGCGUAGGGAGCCUAUUUAUGAGAAAUGUGGCAGUAUGGAAAGCAUUCCACCAAAAUUUCAAUGGUAAAUGUGCUUGAGCAAAAAGAGUAAGGCAUGUUUCCACUAUAUGUCUAUGUUUGCGUUCAAUCUUUCGAUUUUGAUGGUGAAUAUAAGGACAAGGAUGUCUAAAUUGGAUUCCCUGCUCAGCAAGAUAAGAAAGAAAUGGCCUAAAUUCACCUCCCCAAUCUGUUUGAAGACAUUUGAUUUUCCUAUUUAGGCAUUUUUCUAUCAUAUGCUGGAAUUCAAUAAAGGUUUGUAAGGCUUGAGAUUUGGUAACAAGAGGGAAUAUCCAGGUGAACCUAGUGAAGUCAUCUAAGAUGGAAAGAUAGUAGUGAUAGCCUUGAGAGGACAGCAAAGUAGCUGGUCCCCAUAGAUCAGCAUGCAACAACUCCAGUGGUUGAAUGGUAGUGGUGUCUACAAAGGGAAAAUGCUGCAUGUGACACUUUCCAAAUUGACAAGCAUUACAAAAAAUUGGUUUGAGGACUCUAUUGGUAUCGAGAGAAUGAUGUAAAUGCUUCACAAUUUGUUUAAGAGCAUGCACAGUUGGAUGACCCAUUCUUUUAUGUAAAACAUUGUAAUCAACUGAGUUUGAGUGAGUAACAGACAAGGCCAUUGAGGCUUCAUUAUUGAAUUGAGAAAUAUUUACAUCUGUCAAAAUUUCUCCAGAAUGUAUAGAGUUUGAAACAUUGGAAUGACUAAUCAUUGACACUGGAGAAGAACAGACAUUUGACACAGAACUGGAAUUUGAGGUGACACAGAAAACAUUAGACUGAACUCUAUUUGAAACUGCAGCAUGAGACACUGCAACAAGACCUUCAACUUGAUAUAAUCCUCCUCUAGCAAUCCCCUUGAGCAAGAUGAUCCCUGAGUUCUUGUCAUUGACAAAACAGAAUGUUUUAUAGAAUUCAACAACAACAUCAUUGUCAGCCAGUAGUUUAGAUACACUUAAAAGGUUUUUGGUUAUAGCUAGGACAUGCAAAAUAUUAUUGAGAUAGAUAGAUGUUGCAGCAAGUGUAUUCAAUCGUGUGCAGCCAACAUGUUUAAUAUGUAAUCCCAUGCCAUUUCCUACAUGUAGCUUAUCAAAACCAUGAUAAACUGAGUAAGAAGAGAAGAUACCUGCUUCCUUAGUCACAUGAUUUGUUGCUCCUGAGUCAAUAUACCAAGCAGGAUCAGCUACAACUCCAUAAUCAACAACUGGACCAGUGGAAGCAAAUUGUGCAGUGGGAAUAGCAGAAGGAGCAACUCCAUAGUUAGCAAAUGGAGUAGCAAUUGCACCAUUGUAUUGACCUUGUAAUCCUUGAAACACAGGAAACCCUUGAGGAUACAUAACAUUUACAUUCUGAUAUGCAACAUUCCCUUGAAACAUGGGUGCAUUAUAUCUAGGAGCACCAGUUGCAGUUCCAUAAAAAUUUCCAUAACCUCUGCCAAACAUGUUCUGAGGCUGACCAGGAAAGCCUCUAAAAUUGAAUCCACCUCUAGGCCUAAAGCCACCUCUUCCUUGUCUAGGAAUAAAGUUCAGAUUAAAUAUGUUCCUGCAUUUGUAUGCUCCAUGACCAGGUAUGAAGCAUAUUUGACAAAUCACUUCCUUAUCAACAUUAUAUCCUCCUUUGCCAUUAUCCAUUCCAGUAAAAUUUCCACCAUUAAAACCUCUCUGAUUAGCAUUAUUUAACUUAUUGUAAUUCUGUCCUUUUUGAACAAAAUUAGCUGACAUAUCAUGCAACAAUUCAUUUUGCACCUUUCCCUUACUCAUCUCAACCCUAGUUUCAUGACUAAGCAUUAAGGAAUACACUUCUUCAACAAUGAGAUUAUCUUUUUCCAGCCUAGCAAGUAUAGUUGUCACUAAUGACUCAUAAUUGUCAUCUAAACCAGUAAGCAAAUGCAUUAUAAAAUCUGUUGAAGCAAGAGGAUUACCACCAAUAGCUAAGUUGUCUGCAAUUUUUUUCAUCUUAUCGAAGUAAUCACUUACUGACAUAGCUCCUUUCUUUGUGGUUUGAAUCUGCAUUUUCAGAGGCAUGUAUCUAGCCUUUGACUGUGACAUGAACAUCUCGGCAAGUUUCUCCCAGAUCUCAAGUGAGGUAUCACAAUCCACAACCAUGAUAAGUACAUUGUCUACCAUAGAUGACAACAUCCAGCUCUGUAGAAGCUUCUCAGCUUUCUUCCAAUCAAUAUAGUCAGAAUUUUCACGUCUGCUUGAGCUAGGAGCUUCUGAUCUACUGGCAGCAUUCUCAUAUGAGGAAAGAAAACGAUAUGGACAAGGAGAUUCACCAUUGAUAAAACCUUCAAGACCAUUGGCAAUAAUCGAAGCUUGAAUUUGAGCUCUCCACACCAGAUAAUUUGUUCGAUCAAGUUUUGUUGGUUGAAUAAAGGAAAAAGAAAGUGAAGACGAUCCUGAAUUGCUUUGAUUCGUCAUGUUUCAUAGCUCUGAUACCAUAUUAGAAUUCGUAAUGGGAUGUUUGGAAACAAAGAAAAAAACAGAGAAAAUGAAAAAGGAAACUUCUCGAUUUUAUUAAUCAAAAUAUUCAAUACUUAUUAAGCUUACUUAGCUAAGCUUAUAUACAAUUAUUCUAACUAAUUAAACAACUUCAAACCAACUAACAACUUCAUAUUUAGUUUAGCCAUUGAGCUCUUGCCACAUGUCAUUCAGUUACAUUCAAUCUUGACACAUCAGUCAACUCUAUCCAGCUCAGCAACUAUAUCUUCAACAAAGUAUGAUAUAGAAAAGAAUUUAAAAUUAAAAAAAAAAAGUAAAAUAGUAAUUUGAAUUUAACGAGAUUCAUGUACAGGAAGAAAAGGAAUUAAUAAAGUGAUGAAAGAUUGGUAAUCGUGGCAAGUAAUCUUAUCCAUGUACGCGGCGGCACGACCCAGGACUUGGAAAUUAAAUAAUGAAACUUCUUUGCAAACUUAGAAACUACAAAUUAAUGAAGAGACUUUGACGAGUAAUUUAUCAUUUUAUGCAUGGAAUUCCACGUGCAUGCAUGCAUGUUCUCCACGCUUGGAAAUUUUGCAAACGGCCUCUCCCUUUGAUGGGAGGGACAGUUUUCGUACAUCAAUUUUGAAAAUGUCCUCUAACAAGUGUCUCGAUUAUUGGAUAACAUGUGCAGUCCUUUUCAUUAAUAACACGUCCUUCAACAAUCCUCAUUGCAAUAAAGAAUUUACGGAAAAUUUCUAUAAUACAUCAUACUACAAAGUUAGUCAUACAACAAAUAGAUAAUACUUAUAUUUUAUAAAAUUAUCAUGUAAUUGAUGAUUAUAUCAAAUUUAACUACAUAUAUUAUAUAUACAGUAGUUGAUUAUAUUGUCUUUGAUGUAUUGUAAAAUUUCUGAUUUUAUGGACAUAUAAUAUAGAUUAUCAAGGUUUAAGUUUUUUCACACGCGCGUGCACACACACACACAUAUAUAGAAGUGACUAAUGAGCCUUUUUCUUUUUUCAUUUUGAGAAAAUCUCAAGUACAUAAAAUGUAUUAUAACCAUUUAGUGAAAUGAGUUAUGACACAUGCAUUUUGAUUUUAGUAUACUAUAAUUAUCUUCUUCUUCUUCUUUUUUUUCCAACUUAAAUGCACACAAGGAUGGCAAUGGGGAGAGGAGGGAGGAGACUGACCUCCCUGUACCCAUCCCCGAAAUUCUACAUAUGUAUCAGUCCCUUCCCUGUCCUCAACAAAAUUGUUGUAGGGAAUUUUCGUCCCCUCCCUGAAUAAUAAUAGGGGAUCCUUGAGGGUCCCCGAUCUCCGAAUAACCGAUACGUUAUUUAGUUUUCAAUUUUAAUUUUAUCAUAUUAAAAAAAAUUAAAUAAAAAUAAAGUUUGACGAUAUAUUUUAUACUAACAUUAAUCCAUUACAAAAGUCACAUUACAAAAUAUAAAUCACCAUAAUAAUUAUUUUCGUCAAUCUUCAUAAUCCUACAAUAAAAAAAAAUUACUUUUAUAUCAACAAUGAGAUAAAUGAAAUGAAUAUAGAUACUUAAUCAAUAUUUUUAAUAAAAGUAUUUACCUUUUACGUCUCCUGUUCCUCUUGUUCUUUCUCAAGAAAUGUGGUAAAUUAAGAGAUAGACUCAGGUUUUAAAUUUAAAACAAUAAAAAUAAUAUAAGUAAUGUAACUUCUAAGAGAAACUAUUAAAAAUUAUGUAAUAUAAUUACAAGGUAAAAUAAACUCAUAUUGCCAUUGUAAGCUUGUAGCUAACUUUGUAACACAUUAAAGCCUCCAAUGUGCUUGAAUGAAGCUGAAUGAAGCCUGUUAUGGUACUCUAUCACUGAUGCUAAAAGCUAGCUUGGAAGCAACAAAUUGUAAUUGGAAUUGCCAAAAUAUCUCUAGCAAUUCAUGCCAAUAUAGGAUACCUAUGGGCAUUUGUUUUCCACCAACUCAAAAUAUUAAAAUCUUUCAUUCGUGGCAUAACUUUCUCAUCCAAAUAUUAAUCUAGUCAAUUAGGCCCAAAAGUUUAAUAAUAUAAUUAUUUUGAUAUUUGUUAUUUAUACUAAUAUUUAAUAUUUUAUUAUUUACAUCUUAUUAUUUAUUUACUAAUAAAAAUUAAAAUAAAAAUUAAAAUUAAAAUAGGAAAAUGGGGGAAGGGAUGGGGAUUCCACCUCAUCCUCGUCCUUUCCCCAAAUAAGAAAUUGGGUAAAAAAUUAUCCUUAUCCUUUCCCCGAAUAAGAAAUUGGGUAAAAAAUUAUCCUUAUCCUUUCCCUGAAUAAGAAACUGGGUAAAAAAUUGUCUUUUUACCCUCCCGGAAUAGGAAAAAUCCCUAAGGGUUCCCUUCCCUGUGGGGAUUUAUGUCAUCCCUAAAUGCACACUUAUGUGAAUGACUAUAGAUUAUAUAGAAAAGUUUAUCAUUUUAUUGAAAUUCUAACCAUUCUCACUGCAUAUUAAAGGGAGGUUGGCAGUUUUCUUCACGUAGAAAUUAAUAAAUACCAUUUCCAUUUCUCUUCUUAUUGUUUUUAUAAUAAUCAAUAACUUUCAUUGAUCAUAAUUCUACAAAAUUAUUCUUAUUUUAAAAUAUUUUAAAAUUUAUUUAAUUAUUAAUCUUUAUUAUUAAUUAAAUAAAUUAUAUAAACAGAAAUUGAAAUAAAAAUUUAAAUAUUGGAAAUAAGAAAUAUAAUUGUCGGUAUCGAAACUAAUAAGAAUAUAUUUUUCUUAUUUUUUAAUCUUUAAAGAUAUUUUACUAUAAUAAAUAUAUAUUUUAUAUUUUCAAAAUAAAAUAUUAAGCAAACGACCCAUUUACCUUUACUUUCCUUUAAAUAUUUCAUACCAAAAGAUUAUUAUCUAUUAUGAAAACAAUAGAGGAGUAUAUAUUUUACAUUAAUUUCGACAGGGAGAAACUAUCAAUACCCUUAAAAAAUAAAUAAGAUUUUUUUAGAGCUUAUUUAAAUAGAGUUUUUGUUAAUAGAACUUUUGUAAAUAGAGUUUUUACUAAAAAAAAGUUUAGUUGUUUGAUUGUUAAUAAGAACUUUUAUUAAAAAUUUAUGAAAUUACUUUAAUAGACAAGUUUUUUAAAGUUAUAUUAUGAAAACAAUAAAUAAGAUUGUUAAAUAAGUAGAUGAUAUUUUAGAUAUUUUAAUAUUUAAAAAAAUCUUUUAAACCUCUAUUCUUAAAAGUUUAAAAUUUUAACUUUUACUAGUAGAGGUAAAAUAACUUAUUUAAAAUUCAAAAUUUCUAUUAAAAAAAUAACUAAACAAUAAUAAAAAUUAUAAUAAGAACUUAUGAAAUUAAAUAAGUACUUAUACUCAUUAAAUAAAUUAUACCAAACACGCACUUACUUAACAGUUGAUUGUGAUUUGUGAAUGACAUUUUAUUCCACCCCGUUGCAAUUGUUGCUUGUUUUCCACGGAUAUCUUGAUUACGUUUGCAAGCUUAUGUUAUAAGGGCUUCGUCAUUGCCAUUAUUACGAAAUUAAAUAGACUAAGAUUGUUGACCUAAUUUGAAAAUUCCUCCAUUGUUUAUUAUUUUUCCCUUUCUAAUUUAUCAACAUCAGCCAUAUCGAGUCAUUCUUUAAAUCAAAACCCUUGUGGAAGACGAAAUAUUAACUUACUGUCUUUUCUCAACAACUUUUUAGGUGAGAUUAGUUUAAUUAAUUACAUGAUAAAUAAUAGUUUUGAGUACACAUGUAUGAUAUAAAUUUAAGAUUCUUUUCUUUUUUGUCGUAAUACAUAGAAUUAAUCAACCUAUUAUUAUAACAAAAUAAUUAAAAUUUAUGAGUUGAAGUUGUCAGAAAAAUAAACUUAUUUCCAAUGAAUGGCAUUUGGAGGAACAAAAUCAAUCCGGAAGUUUUUUUACGCGGAAAAAAAUCAAUUAAAAUUAAUGAUGUCCAAAUGUCCAAAUAUGGUGAGAAAUUGAAUUCUUCAAAACCUUGCUGUUUCUUCAUAUUUCAUUACAAAUUUACCAAUUCUUUUCUCUAAAUUCUAGUAUUUGUCUUCGUACAAUGUAAACUUAUUCCCUAAGAUAUGGUUAAAAAAAAAAUUAAUAAAAUCUAAUCAUUUGGUAGUGCGCAAACUAAUAUCAUAACUAAAAUGAAGUUGGUAAAUUUUGAUAUAAUUAUCUAUUAUUAAUAAUUAGGUGGGCCUAAAUGUUCCAACUUCCAAAUACAGUAAAACAAUCCAUCAUCUACAUUAUUCUAUAUUUUGGAGAGAAAAAGGAAAAGACAAAAUCUUUUAGAUAAGGAAAAAAAAAAAAAAAACCUCAUGAAAAAGCAAUUGAAUUAAAAAGUAGAAAUUUCUUUACAUUUUCGCCGGAGAAACAGAGUCAAAUUCAAAUACGACGACUCAAGCGCAAAAAGCCUAUAAAUAAAGCCCCGCUCCAGUUCCCUGUCAGAGGCUACGGAUUUGAGAGAUUAAAGAACAUCAACCGAACAGUGAGACUCCGUACUCUUCACAAACUUGCAAAAACUUUUAGGUAAGAGUUCUGCUAUUUGCCCCGGGUCAAACCCCGGGUCAAGCCCCGAAGAUUGUAAAACGACGCCGUUUUGACAAUUAAUUUUUUUUUCAUUUUAAAAUAAACACCAGCUUCUUCGUUUCUCUCUCUCUUUUCAUUUCGUUCUUUUUCUUCCUAAGUACAGAGCAUUGUUAUCUUCCUUCACAGCCCCCUCUAAUUCCUCCAAAUCUGCCUUUUUUAGUUUUUUAAAUCCAAAGAUAAUGUUCAACUGAAAGUAACAGAGCACAAUUGUGAUCUCAGCACAUGUGACAAUGAGAAUCAGGAAGACAAGCAGGAGGAAGCCAAAUAGGUAAUAGAACUGAUGCAACCAUAUUGAGGUGAGAAUGAAAAAGAGCUCAAUGAAGAUGGCUCCAAAUGGAAGUAUGCCCCCAAUUAGGAUAGAGAAGAUGGGAUUCAUGUACCAGGGCUGCUCUGGAAUCUGUCUUGGGAUCUUGUUGGUUUUCACAGGAUCCUCAAUUGCUGGCUUUCUAAAACCAAUAUAACUACCCACAAAGACAAGUGGGACAGAAAUGCCAAACCAUAAAAAGACCAAAGCAAACAUGGUUCCAAAUGGCACUGCACCAGAGGAUUUCUCGCCCCAAAUUAAAGCAUUUAGGACAAAGAAAAUGGCAAAGCAAAUUCCAGGGAACAUGAAAGCUGUUUUGAGAGUGAUUUACAUAUUUUUUCAUUUUCCAAAACUAGGAGAGAGAUUGCAGGGACUGUGGCUGGAAAGAAUUAUUGUUUAUAAAUAUAUAUAUAUAUUUUUUUUUGCUAUGAUGGCUGUCGGUGGUGGUGAUGCCGAUGGCUGGGUAUGCAUGAUGGUAGCUGCCGGUGCCUGUUGGUGGUGGUUGUCAGUGGUGGUGGCUGUGAACUGUGAAACGAAGAGGAAGAUGAAUACAACGCCAAAAGGUUGUGAGACAAAGAGGAAGAGAAGGUAAUUUGGGGCUGCCUUAACUAAGCCAAAACGACGUCGUUUUAAUGAGAUUGAAAACAAAAAACAAAAAAGUUGAAACGACGUCGUUUGGAUUAAUUUCGGGGUUUGACCCGGGGUUUGACUCGGGGUAAGUAGCAUUUUCCUUUAGGUAAUUUUUUUCGAUUAAUUUUUUAAUUUUCGAGAAUAAAGAGAGAGAGAAAAAAAAACAGAUGGGAUUAUGUUUGUCUGGGAGUGAUGUGAGGGGAGGGAAACAAGCCGUAGGUGGGGCCCACCUCCGGCCCACCAGCGCGGCUGAUCACCACAAUGUCUCUGGUCAAAAUGACGCCGUUGAUUUCUUCUUCAAAUCUCGCGGCCUUCAUGCCCUUUUCACCCAAAUCGAGGUAUGUGUGUGUACCUGAAUUAUAUGAGUCUUUCACUGCCACUAUUAAUAAACUAUUUUCAGUUAAUUAAUUAAUUAAGUAAAAAUCUAUGAUUAGUUUAUGUUUUUUAAUUUAUUUUUAAUUUUUUAAAUCUGAUUUCGUUCAUGUUGGUAAUUGUGAUGGAUUCUCAAAUGGUCACUCUUUUGAAAAUCUAUUAUCAAAUUAUGUUUGUUAUUAUUACUUAUUUGAUGACUUUUCAGUGUAACAUCGAACAACUUAAAUCAUUUAUAUUUGAUAAAAGUUAUUUGAUAAUUCGAACAUAACUAGAAAGUAGAUUCCUAUUCAAGAAUCAACCGCAAUCCCAAACAUGCCUUUUUUUUUUUAAUUUGUUCUGGUGGCUGAUCUUUUGCUAGUGUUGGUUCGACGGUUUCACACCAAGCAACUGCUUUUGUUUUGCAUAUGGAGAACAGUAAGUUUAACUGCUUAUACCCAAUGACAACAUUCUGUGAAGUGAAUUUUAGAUUAAGAUUGGUUAAGGUAAAUAAAAAAAGAAUGGUGUUGAAUGCACAGUGGCCUUGUGAACAUUGAAAAAGUCGAUGUUUGAUCCUGUUGAAUGCACAGUGGUUUUCCUGUGUAUCCUCCAAGUUGACUAUUCUGUUCUGCCUCAUUUAUCAAAUUUGACUCAUACCCCUCGUGAUCAAAUUUGACUUAUACCCCUCGUGAAGAUUCCCCAUGAUAGUGCUCCCCUGAUUGGAACAUGAUUUUGUGAAUGCUGGUUUGCAUAAGACAAACCAUUAACUUUAUAAAAGAUUGUGGAUUAAGGAUUAUGUUGUUACGAGGAUAAGAAUGUCUUUCCAUAACGUGGACCACCAAGUGAUUGUAAUAUUCCUGUAUUGAUGUGGACCUUACCUGAGGAUCUCCUUGCAAACUUUCCUGGAGAAAAGGCAACAAGUCAUAUGAUAACAAAUUAAAUGUGGUUCAAUGCUUGUAAUUGACGUGUCACAUCCUGUUGUUAUAUAAAACUUAAUUACAUAUAUUAUUGCUUGCUGCUUAUAAGAUUUAAUAUUAGAAGUGAUUCUGUCAGAAUCCGAAAUGAUGGUUUUCUGCAUGUUCUGUUUAUGACAGAUAUAUAUUGCCUGUCAGUUGACCCACAUCGUACUGACAAUUUUCAUUUCGUGCAGCAUAUGCAUGGAUUACUCCUUUUCCGCUUUUUCAUGUAUCUGUAUUCGUUCUUACGUUUUUGAAUAUAUAUUGCAGUUAUCUUUAUCUGCUUCAAAGUUACGUGAUCUUGACAUCGCAUCAAAGGUACGCCUUCAUAUCAUUGUUGUCUUAUGUCUGAUAAUGCCAUGUUCAUGCUGUUGAUAGUCUUGGUGAUUGAUUCUCAUGUUAUCUUGUAUCCUCCUUAUAUGAUCUGCUUAUUUGUUCAUAAUGGCCCUGUCAAUUUCCUUUCUCUGUUCAUAAAGGGUCUAGGGAUAUAUGAUCUGAAUAACGCUUAGCGCUGGCACCAAAAUUCUAAACUUAGACAAAGAAGAAUAGUUUGUUAUAUACACUGUCUAUCUCCAAUGUAAUCCAGUAAGGAGCAGUAACUUGAGAGUUCCAGAUAAUGUAGAACAAGUCAUGGUUGGUGGUUUUAUUGUUUUUGCAAUUUUGAGCACUAGUCAAAUAUGUUAUAUGGUUUUAUUGUUUUUGCAAUUUUGAGCACUAGUCAAAUAUGUUAUAUGUGCAAGAUAAAAUUCUUUGAUAAUGAACAUUUAUCAGCCGUAUAUCUUUUUACUGGCUGAUACUAGCAUACAUAAAAUGCUGCUGUAUUUUAACGAUGGAUUACUAACUAAAGUUAUUUAACUAAUAAAUGUCUAUAUUUAUAUGACAACUAAAGUUAUUUAACUAAUAUAUGUCUAUAUUUAUAUGACAUAAGUGGAUACAUACCCAUAUGCCUUCUGUUUUUUUUUUUUUUAUAUUCACAAGCAAAUGUAUUUACAUUCUUUUUGUGUCAUAGAGUGAUCCCAUGGCAGUUGUGUAUGCAAAGAAAAGAGAUGGGAGGCUGGACGAGAUUGGACGUACAGAGGUGAUUAUGAACAAUCUGAAUCCUGCUUGGAUUGGAAAGAUUUCAAUUGCUUUUCAGUUUGAGAUCGUCCAGCCCUUGCUGUAAGUUUUUAGUGUGUUCUUUUUAAAGUUUUUUUUUUCUUGAUAGGUCAUGCGCUUAAGCCUUGCUUGAUUUGAUAAUAUUUAAUGUUUUCGAAUUUCUUAAUGCUUUUCUUCUUUUUCCAGCUUUCGUGUGUAUGAUGUGGAUACCAAGUACCACAAUAUUCCAGUGAAGGUAUAAAAUUUCUUAAUUAUUUUUUUUUCUCUCAAUUCAGAUGUAAAUGAUACGCACAUACUUCAGUUCCAAAGUUUAGAGUUAGCCAAGGCAUUUGACUGAUCCAUUUGUUGUCUAAGCAUACGUCUAAACUAAAUUGCAUCAGCAAUAGUUUCUAUCAAUUUCGGGAAAUUUGGGAAUACUUGAUUGAUUAUAAACUAACAUUUAGCAUGGCAAGAAACUUAAAAAGUUGGCUGUCAUAUACCAUAAACAAAUCUUAAGGCCAGGGUAGUUAUUAUGGAACUUUCUGCUAUUGCAUCUUGCAAGGUUUGACAUAUUUGUCCUGCUACCAUAACUGGGAAAGAACAAUUUUUCUGAUGGUCCUUACGGCUAAAUUUUCUUUUUUCCAAAAUGGAAUUUUGAUCUAUGUUGUUAAAAACAAUACAGUUAAAUAGUUGUUGCCAUGGCCUAAAGAAGUUUCUGUAAAAAAUGACCAUAUUGUCAGUAUUGAAAUGGAUAAGUAAAUCUUUAGAGCCUAUGAUGUAUUCGUCUGUGGAAUUUGAGUCAAAAUGAAAAAAAUUUGAUGGUUAUAAUCCUAGAAACUGUAAUCAUUUGGAAGCAUUUGCUGAAAACAGUUAGAUAAUCUAAAAAUGUGAUGAUUAUUUAUGUCAAUUGUAAAUGGUAUUAACAUUACUGGGAAAAAUGAUAAAUAUGUAAAUUUAUGCCAGUGGAAAGAGAAAAUGAACAAAUCCAGAUGGAUUCUAAGACAUUAAGUAGGAAAUCUAGUGUUCUUUUGAUUCUUUACAGCAGUGAUCCCUAAUUACUUUCAAGUCAUUAUUAUCUCAUGACAAAAUAUUUGUUGAAGUGUGAAGUUUAAAGCUCAAACUUCUUAUUUACAUUGCCCUGCAGAUGCUAAAGUUGGAGGAUCAAGACUUCCUGGGAGAAGCUAGCUGUGUUCUCUCUGAGGUAAGUUUCUGGGUUAUAUUUUGUUUGAUGAAUUUAUGUAUUUUCUCUUUAUUCAAUGGGCAAAAUAUGCCCAUCUAAUUUUCUGUAAAAAUCUGUUUCCUAUAAAAAAAGGGCAAAAUAUUCUCAGAUGCUUUUUACUAGCAUUCGUCUUCUUCUUUAGCAUUCUUCUUUUGCACUAACAAGUGUCAUAUUUUCCUUUUAAAUGGCAGAUAGUGACCAAACAAAAUCGAACUUUAACCUUAAAACUCCAUAACAAUUAUGGGCUUCGAGUUUCAAGAAACUUUGGGAUACUCUCUGUCCAUGCUGAGGAAACGGUUGCUUCCAAAAGUGCUGUUGAAAUAGCAUUCCGUUGCUCGUAUUUGCAAAAUGUAGACCUGUUUUCCAAAAGUGUAAGUUCUGACAAAGUAGCUAAGUUUGGAGGUUCACUAAUUAAUCUAUUAAUUUAGAUGCUAUUUUUUCUUCUUCUUAUAUUGCAUAGGAUCCAUUCUUAAGAAUAUCUAGAAUUGUUGAGAGUGGGGAUUUGUUCCUAUCUACAAGACGGAGGUGAUAAACAAUAACUUGAAUCCCAUUUGGAGACCAAUAACUUUGAGCAUGCAGCAAUUUGUGAGCAAGGUAACCUUGUCAUCUUCUUGUGCUUGUUACUUAAAUGUAUAUUAGGUAGUGAAGUUUGGUCAUGGGGAAAUGUUUUUUAGUUUAUGAUUCACUUUGGUACAGGAAAACCCAUUAAUCAUUGAAUGUUUUGAUUUCAAUACCAGUGGAAAUCACGUACUGAUGGGGUAACUGUUAAAUUUCUUAAUGUCAUCAGCUUCCCUCUUUUAUCCUUUUGCCUUUCUGAUGUCAAGGUUUUCUAUUUCUGUUAUUAGUAAAAUUCAGAAAUCAGUUGGAGACCUGGAGAAACUUCAUCAAGAAAGAACUGGUGCAACUUUUAUGUUACCAUCAACUCAACGUGGCCAUGACAAGGUGUGUAUUCUUUUUUGUUUUAACUCCACCAAAGGUGUUUGUUCAUGCUUACAGUUUUUGAUAAUUUAAUAUCACUUUAUUUUUUAUCUGACUUUUUCCUAGGUUCUGAAAAGUCAGUUGUUUGUUGAAAAGUUUGUUGAGCAAGAGCAAUAUAGUUUUCUGGAUUACAUAUCUAGUGGGUUUGAGUUGAAUUUUAUGGUUGCAGUCGACUUUACAGGUAAUUAGAAAGAGAUUACUUGUUGAAGAUAAAUUUGCAAUAUAAUCUUUUUGUUUUGUUUAUUUCCUCUUAUUUGGUCCAAUUUCAUCUUGUCUCUCAUUAAAUGCAAAAUCAUCCAGCUUCAAAUGGAAAUCCUCGAAAUCCAAAUUCUUUGCACUAUAUUGAUCCUUCAGGCAGAUUGAAUUCUUACCAGCAGGUAAGGUUUUGUUAUGACUUGCACUUUGACAAGUGAUCUCUGAACUCUGAAGGUCAUAAAAUGGUCAUUUUGUCCAGUGUUUUCGACUUAGAAAAUGCCUGUGACUUUCAAGUCUUUCUGUGCCCGUCAUAGUGAGAUACAUAUUUCAAUAGUUUGUAGAAGUUGAGAGAGAAUAUCACUGAUUAGUUAUUGGCCUCUUAAACCAUUUACAGGCAAUAACGGAAAUUGGGGAGGUCAUACAAUUUUAUGAUUCUGAUAGACGCUUUCCUGCAUGGGGAUUUGGAGGGAAGACAUUUGAUGGCACUGUAUCACAUUGUUUUAACUUGAAUGGAAGAGCAGGUAGCUUUGAGGUAGGGGUAGCUGGAGUUCGCAACUUUGCUAUAAUCCUUAUUUGGUUGGCUUGUCUCCCAUAACUUUUCAUUUUUAAUAACAAACAAUAUAAUAUGUUUCCGCAUUUUUUUUAAAAUUUCCUUGGAAUUUUAUCCUAAAAGAUGUGUAUUUUAUCCUCUUCCAUUUUUUCAUUAACUGCUGGUUUCUUUAUUUAAUAGGUAGAUGGAGUUGAAGGCAUUAUGGCUGCUUAUGCAAGCGCUCUAAACAAUGUUUCUUUGGCAGGACCGACUCUGUUUGGUCAAGUCAUCAACACAGCUGCACGAAUUGCUGGACAGUCCCUCUCUUACGACAGAAGCAAGUAUUUCGUCUUACUCAUUAUAACGGUGAUUACAAUGAUUCUAUAUAUUCACAGUUUUCUCUUUCUAUCAUUCUUUUUGGGUGAUUUGUAAAUUUGCAUUGUCUAUUUAGGAUGGAGUUCUGACGGAUCUCCAAGAAACAAAAGAUGCUUUGGUAAGGGCUUCUGAUCUUCCCCUGUCAAUUCUAAUUGUGGGUGUGGGAGGUGCAGAUUUUACACAAAUGGAGGUACACAAUGUUUUCUAACUGGAAUAUCUUCUUACUAGCAUUGAACUUCUUUUUUCUAUAGUUUGAUAGAUUCAAUUUAGAGUACAUAUGCAGUGUGGUAUUACCCCACUUUUGUUGCAGAUUUUUGAUGCUGAUAACUUUGUUGGCAGAUUCUUGAUGCUGAUAAUGGCCGUAGAUUAGAGAGCUCUACUGAUCGGGUAGCUACCAGAGAUAUAGUACAAUUUGUUCCAAUGCGAGAAGUUCAUAGUGAGUGCAUAUGAUUCUUUGACAAAAUUAGUUCAAAAUAUUGAAUUUGGGAGUUAAUUCACAAAAGUUUCUGAAUUUUUUCAUGCCUUAACAAAUGAACACAUUGUUUUCUGAACAGGUGGACAAAUUUCUGUUGUACAAGCACUUUUGGAGGAGCUGCCUGGUCAGUUUCUGACCUACAUGCGCUGCAGAGAUAUCAAACCACUCAAUGUUCAGAUGGCCCAAACAUGCGCUUGAGUAAAUAUUCAUAUGUUUGGAAAGGAUACAAAACCAAGCUAAACAUAUUAGACAAAACCAAGCCAAACAUAUUAGGCUAUACAGACAUAACAUAGCAAAAAUUGAUAAUGGUACAUUACAUAUGUUAGGAUAUAGUGGUUUUAGAUGAUGGUAAAUUACAUAUGUUAAGAUAUAGUGGUUUAUAACUAACUUUUGAUGGCUUAAUGAAUUGAUUGAAUUUGUAUUUAGGUUCUAUCAAUGAUCUCAUAUUCUUCCCAUCCAUGUCUUUCGAUUUUUAUUAUUCCCUCUACCCACUUGUUUCACAAUUGUUUGUGUCUGAUGGCCUAAAACUCCAAUUUCUAAUGCUGUAUUAUCAUCUUUGUUGAAUAUUUACUACAAUGAACAUGUGCUGAAUAUCUACUUUUACUACUACACCAACAAUCUAACACAUGGCUCACGUGCACACAAGACAAGUCUGAUUCACACAUCUUUAAUUUAGAUUCUUAUAUAGUCUUUCAAGAUGUCUGAAACGGCAUAGAUGAAGGACCCUUCCACCAUUCAACCUGGAAUGAUGUGAGUGAAAGAAAUUUCCGAAAGUGUUGUAUUAUAACUCUUUGAAAUUGGGUUUGAGUAAUCAAGAGAAGCCAAAAUGUAGAACAAUAACAAUAAAAAAUGAAGGCCCUCUUACCGUCUUAACUUUGAUAGAAAAUACACGAGCUGCAUACCAUGUCUCACAAAUUUCAAUGAAAAUUGGCCUCAUUCCUGAUGCUGCACAGAAGGUUGGCCUGAAUCAUCUUUAUGAUUUUGGACUUCCUGUAAACAACGAACAAAACAAAUUGAAGGUGAAAGCAGGAACAACAGUUUUCAAAUAAAAUGGCAGUGCUUAAUCUAAUUCAACAGUAACUUUUGGGUCGCUCAGUAAUGAAUACGUACCUUUGUUUCAAGAUAUAUCUGUUGUAUGGUAGAAUUAAGGUCGCCCUUCCAAGUCCAAUACUCACCAGACAGCCAGCGUUUCUCUACUUCGUGUAAACUGGGAGUGCUUAAUUCUUUUCCAGAGAAAAUCUUCAUAUUGGGGCAUUUAUCCACACUUAAAUAUGUCAAAGCUGGGAACUUAAAGGCGCAGUUGCCAGAGCAGAAGCUUGUAAGUCUUCUUAAAUCACAAAGCUCCAAGUCCAUCAACUCGCUGAAAACAAUUUCAUCUUUUGCAGCAUUUCCCUCAUCAUCUGCCACUACUUCUGUUAUCAUGCUGCAGUCAACGAUACUCAUCUCUGUCAGUCGUACCAAACUCUUUGCUGUCGAGGAUGUUAGCACAUUUAUCAAUCCUUUGCAUCUCCACACCUUCAAAGUUGUCAGAUUCUGAAACGAUGUUGAAGGUGGCACUAGAUUAAUCAAAUGGUCACAAUACUCAACUGUUAGAUGAACCAAAUUGUCCAUUUUGGAUUCCUGGAUCAAAAUAUGCUUCAGAUCACAACAAUUGUGUAGAUUCCUUAUGAUUGCCUUCGUCCAAUUUUCUACUCCAUAUGAUGGCUUAACGCCCCCAACAUAUCCUCCUCCCCUUAUUGUGAGUUCUCUUAUGCUGUGAAAUCUCCGAAGGAAAUCAAGUGAUGAAAUAGUAGAUGACUCUUCAAAUAUAACAUCAAGAAAGUUGAGUUUGCAAAACAUGUCCUCUGGAAACUCAGCUGCCAUUGGUAUCUUCUUUCCUUCAAUGGUCAAAUAUUUCAAAUUGGGGAAUACCUGGUUGGAUGCAUGAUAAAUCAGGACCAAAAAGAAAACAUAAUGCCAAUUAUUAAGAGUAAAUUUUAAAUCUUGUACGUACCUCUUUUGUCAAGUCAUGAGCAGUUAAAAGGAAUUCAGGACACCUUAUUACUUCUAAAGUUUCCAAUGUUGGAAAUUCAAUGUGCACAUCUCCUGUGCAGAAGCUUGUGAGCUUUUAGAGAUCUACCAUCUUUAGAAAUUGUAACUGAGGGAACACAACAUUCUUCCUUUCUUGCUGGUCUAUGACUAUUAUCUCUUCCAAAAUAGGGCACUCAUCUAUCUCAAGGUGUUGGAGUCGAAUAAAGCUGUUAACUAUAGAAGAUGAAAACAGACAUCUUAAUUCCCCACAGCCAUAUACAAUCAACCGGGUUAAAGUUUGAAUGCCACAAGACAUGGCCGGAAGUUGGCUUUUCCAAAUCCUCUCCACAUUUACAUUAUACAGCUCCAAGGUCUCCAAGUUUGGUAACCCACCCUGUUCACAAAACUUUCCAACCGUUAUAUGAGGAGAUCAAAUUUAGUAUAUAAGUGCAUUCAGAGUACUUUUUCUUUCAUCCGAGAAUGUAUUUGUUACAUCUAUGUUACUCGGGAUGAAAAUUUUAAUAUAAUUAUGAAAUAUGUUCGCUAAUCCCUGAUUCACUCUAGCCUAUAUUUCCUAGGAAAGGAGAAUAUAUAAUAAAGCAGCAACAAAAAAAGGAAAAAAUCAUAAGAAUAUGACCAUUGGAUCAUUAAUAUCCGACCUUGAGGAAAAAUGUAUUAGGAACGUUGACAUGGUCCUCCAAAAUGAUUUCAUUGGAUCGCAUUUCACUUGUCGAUUCCUUGCAUCUCUGUUUAGAACAUAGUCAUACUCAUAAGAAAUGAAGAAUCUGUUUUUUGCAUUGGCUGCUUUGAUAUGUUCGAAAUUUAGGAAGAUCAUAUCAUACCUUUGACUCUUUCGGACUGGGGGCUUGACAACCUUCGACCCAGAGAUGCUUCAGUUGGGAAGAAUAAGAGCCCAAUUUGUUAUUAACUAAUUCAAUGAUAUCUUGGUCUGGCAAUCCAGAUAAACAAAGGUCUUCAAUUCGCUGAAGUUGCACGAUAUGCCCACUCUUGAAGCUGAUACAAUUGUCGGUGCCAAGGAGGAGUCUGAAUGUUCUAGAACACGUAGGUGAGGGAUCCUCCCAACACCAACGUCCAAUACAUAUUCUGUACCUUUCCAGUUUCUCGAAGAACAGCCCCUUCGGCAGAGUGUUGGCAUCUGGGAUGCAUAAUUCUAAGGUGGUCAAGUUAGGCAAACGCUUCAACUCUUCAAGGCUUGCAUUCUUGAUCCCUGCAGCUUCCACCUCCACUUCCCACUUAUUAAAGCUACGAAUGUAUAAUUCCUCCAAAUGGGAUAACUUUGAUAAAAGAUUUGGGGGAAUAACCUGUAGUCUGUCACAGUCUCUCAAAUCAAGCGACCUUAACCGAGUCAAUUGGCCUAUUUCCACAGGCAACUGCUCAAUAUAAGAACCCCUUAAGCAAAGGAUUUCUAGGUUCUUUAAUUCUCCUAUAACAGCUAUAUCUUGCAAUUCGCUGCAAUACAAACACAAUGUUCGAAGGUUUGUUAGGAGACCAAGUGAUGAAGGCAGUAAUGAUAGAUGCAUGCAAGUCAAGUCUAAAACUCUGACUUGCGUCAACUUCCUGAAAAAAUUGUCUGGAAGUGUGAUUAAUGAAGAUUUCUCAGUCCACAAAGAGAGAAGUUGCAGUUGAGGACAUUCCAAAACUUCAGGAAGAAGAACAUUCAUCUUGCUGUCGUGUAAGACAAUCGAAGUGUAAAACUUAAGCGCACCUUCAUCUAGCCAUUCCCGUGAAUUAACCAGUUCAUAUCUCAUCGUAAGCACAUUUUGUUCUCUGGUUGCAAUUGCUAUGGCAACAUCACGAACAACAUCAUGCAUAGAAAACCAAUGUUCAUUUUUGCUUCCAUGCUCAAGCAACAUACAAGAAGCCUUGAGUUUGUACACCAAUGUAUACACUCGAGCUCGUGCUUCUUCCAUCCUAUUGAUGCCUUGAAACAAACCCAAACCCAUGCCAUACAUUAACACGUCAUUAAUGGAUGAUAUGUAGGUGUAGCCUAUUAGCAAAAAGAUCUUCUUGAGCUCCUCUCCUUCUAAUUUGUUGUAACUCAACUCUAUAGCUGAAUAAGCAGCCGGCUGUAUAUCUUUAAAGUUCGUUGAGGAAGGCCUUCUUAACUGUCCCAAAGCGUCCUUCCAUUCAAAUAAUCUCUUAUUUCUCAACGCCCUCGCUACUGUUACAAUGGAAACAGGCAAACCUGCGCAUUCAUUUGCCACAUCCGUUGCCACCCAUUUGAAUUCACUACUGUUGAUAGACUCCCCUGCCAUCUUCUUGAAUAGACUCCAAGCUUCGUCUUUUCUUAGAACGCCAACUGAGAAAUUAUGUCGGCAAUCCAUCUUGCCAGACAAUAUAUCUUCACUUCUUGCCGUCAUCAAUAUUUUACACCCCUUGUGAUUAUCUCCGUGAGGAAUUCCUACAUCCUGCAAAUCAACACUUUCCCAAACAUUAUCUAAAAUUACAAGGAUCUUUUUCUCAUCCUUCAAUCGAUUAUAAAGACUCCUUGCCCUUCCAGAUUCGGUCUCUUCAAAAAAUAUGAGACCUAAUUUAUCAGCGAUUUCUCCUUGAAUCUUUCUUAUGUCUGGAAUCUGGGGCACCUCCACAAAAAUCACUUGAUCAAAUAGCUGGUCUCUCUUGAACUGAAUAGCAACCUCUUUUGCUAGUGUCGUCUUUCCGAUGCCGCCCAUUCCAUAAAUCCCAACCAUGUUCACAUCAGGAUCUUGUAAUGCACGAAGUGCAUUAUUCAAAGUGGAGAUUCUUGAUUCAAAUGCCUCGUAGUCUUUGUUAGAUAUAAGCCUUAUGUCCUCCAGAGCUUUACGGUAGGAAAUUCUAUCAAAUCUCCCAGCUUCCCGAAGUUUGACAAUAGCUUCGAAUUGCCUCACCGCUUCCUUGCUAAGCUGAUGGCGGGUCUUCAAAUUUGGACACAGCCCCAUGAAACAACGCUUGUUUGCUUUAUCUGCAUCGCCUGUAAAUUUCUCAGCCUCAGGAAUGAUGUUGUUGACACUUGCAAGCCAUUUCUCAACGUUCUUUUCGAUCUCUUCUCCUUUUCUUUUAGCCUCAUCAACCCCGUGCUGCAUACUGGCAGCGUCAUCCUUGAGCUUCUCAAGUUCAGUCUUGAGAUUCUCAAAGUUGCUCCUGUAGUUGCGCACAUAACUCAAUUGUCUUUCAGUGGGAGGACCCAAGCACUUUGCAACUUCUAACACAACAGUUACUAUGCUUUCCACCAUCUUCAAUUCUUUCCCUUUUCUCUCUUUUUUUUUUUUUUUGGGUCAAAUUUUAGAAUUUUGUAAAGUAUGUAGAUGUGAAGUGAAGCGAACCAAAAGGAAACUGAACAGAGACAACAACUAAAAAGAUGCAGAGAUGAAGAAGAAGAGAAGGGAUUUAUUGACAGCGUAAAAAUACAUCAGAAGAGUAGAUACAGAACAAAACAGAGACAAGUGUACAGGGAACAGAGCAAAGCUAAAUAAAGAAAACAGAUGCACGUACGAUUCGUAGUAAUGUUGAGAUCCGAAGAUUGUAAUAACUAAGGUGUUGCUUGAUCCAGUGAAAGGUCCAAAGAGUUGAUGGCAGAAAGGAGCAAAGCUGAAGAAUAAAAACGAUCAAGAUGAUUGAGAAUGUUGAUUGAGAUGGAGAACGACUUGCAUGGUUGGGAGAUGUGCGUCGGACAAAUGGUAGCCAAUUAUUUGAUUUUUACAGCGGGAUUCACUGACUUUAUAUUUUAAAAAAUUUAAGUCAGCAGAAUUAAUUAUUUUCAUUGAAAUGAACUCAAAGGCCAAAGAGUGGAGAAAGGAUGUGAAAAAGUUAUGCGAAACGUGAGGUGAUGAGAUAGUUAAGUUCACUGAUGCUCAAUAAUCAAUUUUAUAAAAAUAAAAGAUAAAAAAUAGUGAGAAUCCGAAAGUCGAAAGCCAAUAGAUUUCAUAAUGGGAUUCAUUCAUUAUUCCAUCACGGAACCGAACACCAAUAGGUUAUCCCACCAGCCACCACCUCAGCUUCCACGCAAGUUUCCCUCAUAUUUGAAUAGUUGGCCCACUCCUCAAGUCUUUGUCGACAAAAAAAGAAAAAGAAAAAGUAAACUAUGAAACUCGGGUGGAUCACAACUUGUAUAAAGAUUCCUGACAGUUGCUAAUGCUGCCGACAUGAUCUUCCAACUUGGAACUUGUAAGAUCGGUCAAGCUUUCUAGUUUCUACAGUAGCGUUUAAUUAAUGAAUAAUGAUGAUCAGUUUUGAUUAUUUGACGACGUUAGUACAAUGAGAGUAUUUGAGGUAAUUGAUCAAACAAAAAGAUUGCCCAUUCAUGAUCUAAUUGCCUAAAUAAUAAAAAUGCUUAGCCUCAGCUGACUUGUUCCAAAUCACUAAACAUUUGAGCAGGUAUUUUCAUCUUUUCGUUAUCACAUUCCUCUAAUCAAUUAGCGUUAAUCAACAAAAAUGAUUAAUAACGUAAAUGGAGGAACUUGGGCUCAAAUCUCUAAAUUAAACUCGUGAUCAUUAAUAUAAGCAAACUACAACAAGACUAUCUUGAUCAACGUUUUCAACUCAACAAAUAUAGACUACUAGUGUUUAGUUGUUAAUAAAAUUAACCAAAAAAAAACACACAAAUGUUGACAGCACAAGAAUAAUAAUAAUGUUUAAUUAUUUAUUAAAUUUAAACUAUGUUCAAGAGAGGACCCAACUUUUAUAUAUUUUAUUUUAAUGGCUUAAAGAAAUUACAAAGUUGAUGCCACAAUUUAUAGUUUUUUUUUUUUUACCUUUAAAAAAUCUUUGGAUUAACCGACAAUCAUCAUCAAUCCUCACCUAGGGUCGGGGGAGGAUCAAGAUGGUGCCUACAGUGAGCAAACAUGAUGGCAGAUGGUGUCCAAUUGACCCCCUAAACUUUUCUUUUUUCAUUGAUACUGUCAUGAAGUUACAUAAUUUCUUACAUAAUUGUCUCCAAUAAAUACCAAUAGGUAUACGAACGCAAACAUGACUCUGUUCAGUCAAUUCUAAGCCUAUCUUCUCUGCGAUUUCUCCUUGUAUAUUUUUUGUUUGCGGUGUUUGGGAAACACGUGAAGAAAUGACCUUCUCAAAGAGAUUAUUUUCCUUGACCUGCCUGCCAACUUCUUUCACCAGCGUUGUCUUUCCAAUGCCACCCAUCCCGUACACCCCAAUCAUGUUGAAGUUACGGUUGCUGAGUGCGUCUAGUAUCUCCUUCAAGGUGGACUUUCUCGAUUCAAAGUGCAUGAAAUCCAGGGUAGACUUAAGCCAUGUCUCCUCUGGAAUCGUACGGAAGGAAACACUGUCGAAUCUCCCUUUUUCAUGGAGUCCAACUAUAGCAUUCGCUUCUCUUUCUGCUUUCUUGCUAAGCUGGUACCGAGUCUUCAAAUUAGGACACAACCCUUUCAGACACCGGUUGUUUGACUUCUCUUUGUCUUCAAUAAGUGUUUCGACUUCGUUGAUUGCCUCGUCCACAGUAAUCAGCCACUCCUCAACGUGCUGUUGAAUUCCGUCCCAUUUAAUUCUGGAAUCAUCAACCUUAUAUUGCACAUUGUCUCUAGCAUUCCUGAGCUUAUCGACUUCAUUAUUCAGCUUCUCGAAGUUGGUCUUAUAAGUGCAGCAGUAAGUAAAUGGAUGAAUUAUGGGAGCAACCAAGUACUCUGUAACUUUUGCAGCAACGGAAAUAACAAUAUCCAUUAUCCCUUUCUUUUUUAUUUUUUGCUCUUAGAAAACAGGGGAAAGCAAAACUAAUCAAACUGAGCAGAACUAAUCAAUCAGUUGUGAAGAGGGAAAUAAGAAGUUUGGAUAAAUUGUUAAAAUAAAAGGUUGAAUAGAUUUAAGGGAGGAGGAGGGGAAAGGAGUGAAAAACCUGGAGAUGAAACAAAGGGGGAUCCAUUUUCUGCUAAGACAAAUUGAAAAGCGAUUGCAAUGAAAGAUUUGCAAAGAAGGUGUAGGAUCGAGGACAAGAACGAUUCAGAAACGGGAGACAGAAAAUGAAGAAGAGAUUUCAGAGAACUCUGGAGAUAAGGGAAAUGCAGAGGCAGACAGUUGUCAUCUCAAGUUUCAAAGGGUAAUCUGAACUUUAGUUGUGAUACAAAUAAAAUGAAAAAAAAAAAAGGGUUGUGUGGUCGUGUGGGUUCCUCGAAAUCACUUCGGCAUUUAAUCGAACGGUUGGAUGUACUCAGCAUCUACACUUCCGCGAAGGUUCCUGGAAGUUGCAAGUGCUGAGGGCAUUUUCAAACUCGGAAGGUUUCAAUAAUUCUUUUUCUUUGAAAGAAAGGUUUCAAUAAUUAGCUUUGAUAAUUGUGUAAUAUACGAUAAUCUAGUGAUGAUGAUGACUUGUAUAUGUGAUUAAAAGCUAAGCUGGUGGAUUUGUAAGUAAGAACACACGGCAAAGUAUUUGUGCAAGCAUUUUUAUCUUCUUAUUGCCACAUUCUUCUAAUCAAUUUGCUUUCACCAACAAAAAUAAUCAAUAAUUUGUAAAUAUUAUGAUAAUGCAUACUUAAGCUCAAAUUUUGACAAUACCUGAAUGAUAAUGCAUACUUAUUUUUCAAGGGUAAACUCUAUUCAAGAGAGGAUCUCAAUUUUCUAUUAGUUUCUUCAAAUGGGCAUUUUAUCCAACAGUUGAUGUACUCGGAAACUUACACGAAGGUUCCAGGGAGUUGCAAGUGCCGCCGGCAUUUUUCAAAUAAUCAAGUGAUUAUUGAGUAAUAAUUAACUUUGAUUAUUGAGUAAUAAAUAUAUGAUAAUCAAGUGACUUUAAUAUGUAAACAGUAGGAUUUUGGGCUCAAAUCGUUAAAUUAAAUCGUGAUCAUUUUAUCAUUAAACUCGAACUCUAUCUUGAUUAAUGAACAAAUGUUAGAAAUUAGUUGUUAAUAAAAUAUAAAAGAACGUUAAAAAACAAAAAAAAAAUCAGGCUGGAUUUUUCAGGAAUAAAUCUUCAAGAAACUAAAUAUGCCGAAUUGAAGUUAUUAAAAUGAAAAGCUUAUGUAUUAUAUUCACUCCAUCAAGUAUGAAGCAUAUAAUCAAUUGAUCUACAAGCAAUAGACAUAAAAAAAAAUCAAAUGGUAGAAUAGAAUACAAGCAUCAGCAUUAGAUGACAGGAAAAGAGCUCAUUAACAAAUUAUAUGAGUGAUAAUACAACUGUUGAUGCUGAAAUCUGCUCGCCCUUUGCCUGACCAGACCUUUACACUAACGUUUAUGUAGUCAAUAGUGAGGAUGUCAAUUUCUUCUUGCUUCAACGAACGCUCUAGUCACUGAAGUUGGAAUUGUCCUUCCUUCUCCCACUGAGCAUGCGUUCACAAAAGUAGAUCAGAGACGCCGGUGGUUUUACCGGCGUAAACCCUCCGAUGCCUAAGUUAGCACAAGGUGUUUACGGGAAAACGGUGCAAUUUGGAUUCGAUAAGUUGCUUAUAAUUGGCUCACAAUUUGUAUUAAAAAUGGUCUGGUUUCAAUUUGGCAAAGUUUUCCCCUCUCUCAAUUUUUAUGUCCCCAUCUUCAUUGGUUUCUUCCUCUUUUAUAGCCGCUGUUCCACGUUUCCGUUCACCCUUCAUCUCGCUCUUUGGGGAAUGGGUAUCUGCUCGGUAUAUGUCUCUGGUCAGUGUAUUCCUCUGGCUGAUAUUCAUCUCUGGUCGGUGUAUUCCUCUGGCUGAUAUUCGUCUUUGGUCGGCCCAUGUUGGUAGAGGGCUCAUUAUCAGUGUUCUGCUCGUAUCAUUUGGCUGAGGUGAUCCAUGCCGGGGUGGGGAUGAUGGCCUGUCUGUGCUGAUGCUCUUAUUUACUCAACACCAGUCCCCCAGUUUCUGGUCUUGCGAGUGAAACGAGUUGAGAGUAGAAACUGAAGUCUGCUCGUAUCUUAUCGAUCCUGGGAACUACCCAUCUGGUUCUCGUGUUAUUGCGGUGGGUCUGAGGUUCCAUCUCUUGUCUAAGGAGAUAUCGGCCUGAGUAUGGGCCUUGACGAAUGUAUCUAGUAUCUAUUUGGGCUUACAUCUCGUCGAGCCUUUUAUAACGGUUAGUGACGUGGCGCUUUCCGACUCUUCGUAUUUGAAAUUCGAAACGACGGGCUAUCCAUCCUCGAUAUACGGUGAGUGAGCUGGCAUCCCUAUCACUCAAACGCUUUCAUUUCCCCCUUUUUGUUUCAAAUCCCUAAACUAAAGUCAUCCUCGUUUUGCUUAUUCGCUUCUCCGCCGUAAGACAACUCCUUCGAACUUUAUUCACACUUUUCGCGUCUGGGAUCUCCAUUUGCUGGGUCUUUUCUCCGUUACAGCAACGCUUAUCGGUGCCAGUCCAUUCCAGGUACAUCAUUUAACCUCUUCUUUGGUUAUUGUUGAUUGGGUUUUGUAUUGUGGGUUCUGUGUUUGUCCCUUUUUUGCAUCCAUACUUUUAGAUAUUUUGUGCUUUCCCUUCUUAAACUUCGGUAUGUCCAACCGAAAAGGAAAAAGAAUUGUAGUCAAGAGCGAUGAAGAGAUAGAGGAUUCAUAUCCUCAUUUGUUUGGACCCAGUGAUCUUCUUCACUCCUCUCGCAAUGUAGGUCCCUCAUAUCAUAGGAAUACCCCUGAAUACCCUCGUCCCAUGGCUAUUUCACCCUCCCUUGAAUUAGAGCUUGUAGGAAAUAGAGGUGGAUCCGCAUCGGGCUCUGGUGAGAAUCAUGGUUCUGGUAGGAUUGGGGUUCCUGAAGAAGUGGGUGACGGUGAGGGGAGUAGUUCCGAACCGAACAGACCUCCUUAUAAGAGAAACCUAGGGUGGAGGCAGAUUCUUACCCUAUUGAUUACAUAGCUUGUGCCACCACCCCAACUGACCUGUUCAAACUUAGGAAUCUAUACAACAUUCCCGAAGAGGUUCUCCUUGUAAUUCCUGGGAAAAACGACGUUCCUAGUCGGCCUCCGAGGGGGUAUGUGACGAUGCACCUGGAGAGUUUCAAACUAGGAGCUCGGCUGCCCCUUCAGCGCUACUUUGCCCAGAUACUGGGUGGUAUACACCUGGCCCCAGGUCAGUUACACCCAAAAGGGUGGAGGGUUCUCUCAGCUAUGUAUGUGCUAUGGGAGAGGUGCGGAUCAGAGGAACCUUCCCUUGUUGAAGUAAAGCAUCUGUACCAGCUGCGGAGUAGCCCAAAGGAAGGGGGCUGGUACUACUUUAUGUCCAGCUCUGUAAAGAGGAAGCCGAUCACCGGGUUUCCUUCUUCAUGUAAAAAUUGGAAGAACAAAUUCUUCUUUGCUGGAGGAAAUUAAUGUCCAGCAGCUCGGUCGCUUGGUGGUGAUAUUCACCUUCCAACGCACUUUGUCACCCUAAGUCGUUUAUUUAUUGCCUAUUUUCUUUCUCCAAUCGUCACUUAUUGGGCUCUUUAACCUUGUUUGCUAUUUCAGAGUCGUGGGGUUUGAUCGAGGGGCUUGAAGAGAGACAUUUGCUCCAGGUAGAGACUGCUUUGGUGAACACAUCUACCUGCCAAGAUCUUCUGUCAUUAACAAACCUGGUCGGGUCACGCUUAGUGGACGUAGCUGUCGGAAUGGACAACAAGAUCCUAAGUGCAAUGACUAGGAAGCGUGGUCGGGCUCUAAGCAGCUCCAGUAACCCCCUUCCCCCUUCGAAGAAAAUCAAUGUUAGUCCAUCCAAGGCUUCUGCUCCUGCUCUGCUCCUUCCUCCACUUCGGAAGAAUGGAGGAGAGAAGGUGACUGACAAGUGUCCUGAGGUCAGUAUUCAUUCAGGAGAUCGAUCCUCUCCUCUUCCACUUCGGGAUCAAGGUGACUAUUUGACCCUAUAUCAAAGGGACUAUGGGAAGUCCGUGGGGCCUAAAAUGAUUAAGGACAUCGAGAGCAUGAAUCUUGGUGAAUUGGCUGGUUCUGUCCAGCGGGUCUCCUUCAAGCUGGCUACUCUGGUGUCUUGUUAUAAGAACAGGGCCAUACGUCAUGAGAGGAGGCUUCAGGCUGAUAACCAGGAUCUGAAGAAGAAAGCUGAGUCUGCCGACUGCUCGAAGGAGAAGCUGCUUGAUCUGCACAAGCAAAUCAUGGACCUGGAGGAGAAAGUGGCCAUGGCUGAGUCCACCUCCAUCAAGCUUGAGAAUGAGUUGGGUGAUCUGAAGUCUGAUCACCAGGCCACUCAGAGUGAGCGGGAUACCUUGAAUACGGCUCUUGAGGGCGAAAUCAAAUCUCUGAGUGAGCAAUUGGCCGAGGUGAAAAGCAAAUCUGCUGAUGUGGAUGAUCGGCUAGAUGCAAAGUAUGACUCUGGGGUUGCUUUCUGCUAUAAGUGCAUCAUGUCUGUGCUUAAGGAAGAGUAUUCAGAGCUUAACAUGAACAAGUUUGAGGCUGGAGUGCAAAGGUAUAUGGCCGAGGUCGACCAGGGGGACAAGGAGCAGGGUGACCAAGACCGGGUGGAGGCUCCCUUAGGUGGGGUGCAGGAGGAGGAAGCAGGGGAUCGUGCUCCUGAAGUAGGUCAAUGGUCAGUGCUUCCUCCCCCCGAUGCUGCUAAUCCUCUUCUUUAUGAGAUUGCUGAUCCUUCAGUUGUUGAGGUUGCUGAACCUCCUAAUCUUUAGGCUUAUUUUUGUAUGAAUUUUCAUUUUGUUUGCAAACGCUCGGAUAUUUAUAAAUUUUUGGAUGCUUUCUAUCGGCCUUCCUAUCUGGUUUUUUGCUCAUGGAUUGUUUCUGCAAAUUAACUUGACAAUUUAUUUGAUUUUACCUGCUGGCUCUUUGGUGGACCGAGCAGGAAUAGACGCUUACUUGCCUUAGUAGAAUUUCAUAAAACCGCCUGCUGGUCCUUUCAGCGACCGAGCAGGAAUAAGCGCUUGCUUGCCUUAGUAGAACUUCGCAAAAUUGCCUGCUGGCCUUUUGUUGACCGAGCAGGAAUAGGCACUUGUUUGCCUUAGUAGAAUUUUAUAAAAUUACCUGCUGGUCUUUCGUUGACCUAGUAGGAAUAGGCACUUGUUUGCCUUAGUAGAAUUUUGUAAAAUUGCAUGCUGGUCUUUCGUUGACUGAGCAGGAAUAGGCACUUGUUUGCCUUAGUAGAAUUUUGUAAAAUUGCCUGCUGGUCUUUCUGACCGAGCAGGAAUAGGCACUUGUUUGCCUUAGUAGAAUUUUGUAAAAUUGCCUGCUGGUCUUUCGUUGACCGAGCAGGAAUAGACACUUGUUUGCCUUAGUAGAAUUUUAUAAAAUUGCCUGCUGGUCUUUCGUUGACCGAGCAGGAAAAGACACUUGCUUUCCUUAAGAGAAUUCAAUGGGCUUGCUAGUAGGGGGAUUUCAUGCUGAAUUCAUCUUUAUUGAAACUUAAAUGCAUUACAGAAUAUGCGAAAUAUAUGCAUGUGCAACAAGUCAUCAUGCAUUUAAUAGAAAUAAUUUAUCAAAAUGAAGACUUAGUAGAGCACUUUGCUUACUGGAAAUACUUCUUCAAGUGCUCGGCGUUCCACGACCUCUCGUCCAUCUAAGUACGCUAGCUUGUAAGCUCCUGGUCCAGUCGCUCGUAUCACCAUGUACCGGCCUUCCCAUUUCGGGCCAAGAGCGCCAUGGUUAGGAUCCCUAGUGUUUUGGUUCACCUUCCUAAGUACCCAAUCCCCUGCUCGGAACUGCCUCACGCGUACGUUCUUGUUGUAAUAACGCAUGACUCUUUGCUGACACUGGGCCACUUUCUGUGAGGCCCCUUCCCUUUUCUCCUCCAGCAGGUCCAGGCUCAAGCAGAUCUGCUCGUCGUUUUGCUCCUCGUUGAAGUAUUCUGUCCGAUGUGUCCCCACUCCAAUUUCUGCUGGGACUACCGCCUCAUGACCAAAAGCCAAAGCAAACGGAGUUUCCCCUGUGGCGGUUUUGUGAGUUGUCCGGUAAGCCCACAAUACCCUUGGUAGCUCGUCGACCCAAGCUCCCUUCUCCUCUCCCAGUCUGGUUUUCAGGAGUUUCUUUAUUACUUUGAUGGCUGCUUCCACCUGUUCGUUUGCCUGGGGGUGUGCGGGGGUACAGAACUUCAGGUCCACCCCAAAGUUUCGGCAAAAUUCUCUGAAGUUGUUAUUGUCAAAUUGCCUCCCAUUGUCUGUAAUGAUGGCAUAUGGGAUCCCAUAUCUGCAGAUGAUAUUCUUCCAAAUAAAAUCCGUUGUCUUUCUCUCCGUGAUUUAGCUGAGGACUCCCACUUCUACCCACUUGGUAAAGUAGUCUAUUGCCACAAUUGCAUGUGUCGCCGCUCCUCGGCCUUUAGGUAAUGGACCAAUCAGGUCAAUUCCCCAUUGGGCAAAAGGCCAUAGGGAUGUCAUGGUGGUCAGCUUUUCUGGGGUUGUGCAGGAACCUCUGAGAAGCUUUGGCAGAUUUUACAGUUCUUUGCCAUCCUUUUCGCAUCCUGGUGCAUGGUUGGCUAGAAGUAUCCUUACUGGAGUGCCUUGAAGGUUAAAGUUCUCACUCCCGAGUGAUUGCCACAUAUUCCUUCAUGAAUCUCCCUCAGUACAUAAUCUGCUUCCUCGUCAUCUAAACACCUCAAAAGGGGCAAGGUGAAUCCUCGGCAGUAGAGCACCCUAUCGAGUAGCAUAUACCUUGCUGCUCGGCAUUUUAAUUUCCUUGCUUGCCUCUUGUCCUCCGGUAAAAUGCCAUCACGGAUGUAUAAGAGAAUCGGGUCCAUCCAGGAUUCCUCGGUGCUUAUUCUCAUUACCUCAACUUCCUUCCUUAUACUUGGCGAGGUCCUCACCUAUAGUGGAACUGACUUAGAUAAUUUCGGAUCUACAAUUGCAGCCAUUCUCGCCAACAUAUCUGCUCGGUAAUUCUCAUUCCGGGAUAUCUGCUUUACCUCUACCUCUUGGAAAAGCCCAACCAUCUGCUUUGCCUUCUUCAAAUAAAGCCCCAUCUUCUCUUCCCUUGCUUGGAACUGAUUACUGAGCUGAUUACAGACUAAUUGGGAAUCUGCUCGGAUUUCUACCUUUUCUGCUCUUAGUGCGUGCGCAAGUCCGAGUCCAGUGAUAAAGGCUUCAUAUUCAGCUUGGUUGUUCGUGAGCGGAAACUCGAACUUCACUGCAUAAGUUACUUCGGUCCCUUUUGGGCUUCGUAUUACAAUUCCUGCUCCGGACCCUUGUUCACUACAUGACCCAUCAACCAUUACUAGCCAUACCCCAUCCAGUUUAUCCUACUCUAUUGGUUGCUCUUCCCGAAUUUCUUCCCCUGCUUCAGCACGGUCAACCAUAAAAUCGGACAGGGCUUGGGCUUUUAUUGCUCCUCGAGGCCUAUAGGAUAGGUCAAAUUCGCUCAGCUCCACGGACCAUUUUACUAAUCGACCUGAUGCAUCUGGUUUUUGGACCAUUUGCCGAAAAGGCUAGUCAUUCAUCACAACUAUUGGGUGGGCCUGAAAAUAUGGUCGGCGUUUGCGCGCUGCCGUUAUUAGAGCUAGUGCCCAUUUCUCCAUCGGCGGAUACCUGGUUUCUGCGUCUACUAGGGCCUUGCUUGUGUAGUAUACGGGGUGUUGCUUUCCUUCUUCUUCUCUGACUAGCACCGAGCUGGUUGCCCAUUUUGAGAUUGCUAAGUACAAAAACAGCUGGUCACCCUCUCUCGUAGUUGAUAGUAACGGGGCGCGGGCUAAGUAAUCCUUCAGCUGUCCAAACGCCUCAUCACAUUCCGAUGUCCACUCCAUCUUUCUCCCUUUCAUUAUGGUUUGGAAGAAAGGGUGGAAUUUAUCUAUGGCCCGCGAGAUAAAUUGGUUCAAUGCUGCCAAUUUCCCUGUAAGACUGUGCACCUCCUUAACUGUUCGUAGGGACCUCAUUUCUGUCACCGCCCGUAUUUUUUUCGGGUUGGCCUCGAUCCCUCAGUUGCUCACCAGGAAUCCCAAGAAUUUGCCCGAGCUGACCCCGAAUGCACAUUUGUCUGGGUUCAGCUUCAUUUCGUACUUCCUCAGCAACUCAAAGGUCUCUUCCAAGUGCUUCACAUGAUCCCUUGGUUCUUUGAACUUUGUGAUCAUAUCAUCCACAUACACCUCUAUAGUAUGGCCGAUCAAUGGUUUGAAGAUCUUGUUCACCAACCUUUGAUAGGUAGCUCUUGUAUUUUUUAGACCGAAAGGCAUUACCCUGUAACAAGACAAACCCAUAUUAGUUAUGAAGGUGGUGCUUUCCUCAUCCUACUCGUCCAUGGGUAUCUGGUUGUAUCUGAAAAAGGCAUCCAUGAAGCUGAGCAGACUGUGGCCCGCUGUUGAGUCCACCAAUUGAUCUAUUUUUGGUAGGGGAAAACUGUCCUUCGGGCACACCUUAUUGAGGUCCUUAAAAUCCACACACAUUCUCCAUUUCCCGUUGGCCUUCUUUACCAGUACUACAUUAGAAAUCCACUCCGGGUAUUUGGCCUCCCUUAUAAAUCCUGCUUUCAGCAGCUUUUCCACCUCGGCAUUUAUGGCCUCGUACCUUUCCUGGUUAAAACACCUCAUUUUCUGCCUUACCGGCCUUGCUCCUUUCUUGAUCGCCAAUUUGUGGUAUGCUGCCCUGCGAUCAAUUCCUGGCAUGUUCUCAUGAGACCAGGCAAAUAUGUCUGCAUGAGACUGUAGACACCUCACCAGCUCGCCCUUUAUUGUCUCACCCAAUCUCGACCCGAUCCUAACCACUCUGCUCGGGUUACUCCUACUCACAAAGACCUCCUCCAGAUUCUCAACAGGUUCCUGGCGACCCUUUCUAGAAUCCUCUCGGUUAUCUAGAGAGGUAACUUGUAGCGUCUCCUUGGCCGCUGUAGCAUAACAACUCCUUGCCAUUCUCUGGUCACCUUUUACUACGCCAACAACUCCAUUUACUCUAUACUUCAAUGCCAGAUAAUGCGUGGAUAUAACGCAUUGGCUUAUCCUCAUGAACGGUCUCCCCAGUAUCAUCUGGUAAGGGCUUCUUUCUUCUACCACGACAAAGUCCAGCAUCAUCGUUCUUUCAAAUGGCUUUGACCUCAUAGUAAUCGAGAGUUCGAUGAUCCCCAUGGGAGUUAACCGUCCCCCUCCAAAUCCCUUCAAGGAUGUAUUCGUCCGUUCCAGUUUCAAGUCUGAAAUUCCCAUAUCAUCUAAGGUCGAUUUAAACAGGAUGUCAACCGAGCUGCCCGUGUCUACCAGUAUUCGCCGCAACUCUAUACCAGCCACCCUUGCUUUAAUCACCAGUGCAUCCUCUCAUACAAUUCUUCCAUGGAGAUUUUUAAUGGGGUGUAUUGUCUAUGCGCCAAGCUCUGAUCAACCAGUUGGACUGCUCGGCUAUCAUGGAUAUCGCCCCGGGCUGAUAUCGUAGGCAACUGAUUUGGUCGUCCAGCCCUGGAGUUAGUUGUGUGUAGUGCUAUGGGAGCAUUGUGGUAAGGGUGGGCAACCAACUGCCUAAAUUCUCGUUGUCGUUCCGGGAACGGGGGGGGGGGGACGGUGGUUGAGCCCGGCUGUGUUGGAGCUGUUGUGGUCUCUGAGCUAUGGGAUAAGGGUGGGACCGAGUUGAUAUUCCGUCCAUUACUGAGGAUUCCCCAGCUCGCUUUUCCGAUCCGCUCCCGUUCGGGGCUCUCCGUUCCUUUCGUCUCAGCUCUUCUAGCUAUUCACUUUUUAUCCUCGCCGAUUUCUCCUCUUCGAUUUCUAUAUCUCUCCUUGCCUGAUCAUACCCCGCCGAAUAAUUCUGCACCAAGGGACUUCUCAAGUUAUACCACAGUCAGCUUAUUCUCACCCCCUCUUUUAAUCCCCUCAGUGCCUGCGGGUGAUUAAAAGCUUCCAGAUCUAGCACGGCUCGGUGAUAUCGUUUUAUAAAAUCCCGAAGGGAUUCAUGUUCCUCUUGUUUCAUCCCCAUCAGCUCCAUCAUGUCGUCCUCUGGGGCCACUGCUCCUCGAAACUGCUCGGCCAACUCUUGGCACAUUUGCUCGUACCUUUUUAUACUUCCUCGGGGCAACUUGUGGUAUCAUUCUCGGGCUCGUCCCUCUAGUGUCAACGGGAACACCCUACACCUCUGAGCUGGUGUCAGCCCCUGCACACCCGUCAUGUCGUUGAAACGUUCAAUAUGCACCAGCGGGUCACUUCGCCCGGAGUAUUUGAGGUCGGGGAAGCAAAAAUUUCUUGGGAUUACAGUACCCAUGAUUUCGGUUGAUAACGGAGACUCUUCAUCUAGCAUUAUCCCCCAGCUCAGGGGCUUUCUCUUGCCCUAAAUCUCCUCCAUCACCUGCGCCAAUCUGCGCACCUCUCCCUCCAAUUCUAUAGCACGGUCAGGAUCGCGCACAGCUAUCUGAUCUCGUUCCUGCUCGGCAUUCUGCAACCGCUGUCUGAGCUCUCCUUCAUUAACACUGGCCCCUCGGCCAUCAAUUUCCAGUACCUGUCCGGGGCGAGGUUGGUCCCUCCCUUUAUCCACGCACUCUCCAUGAACUCGACCAGUACUUCUACAGGGAUGCACCCCAUUAAGUUGGUCUGCCGGCAGAGGGAUUUCCUCUACUUUACGCCUCCGAAGGCUGGGUUCUGCUUCAACUUCAUCUCUCCCCAUGGGGGUUUCACAAUCCCUUCUCCGCUCAUCCCUCAGCUCAUAUAAUAUGGCCGUGAGAGUAUCCAUUUGUUUCUCUAUCCGCUCCAGUCGAUCUUGCAUUGUCCUCUCUCGAGCUUCAUUCACAAUUUUCCGGAAAGUGAUUGUUUCAACAGUUUCAUUGUCAUCCCUCAAAGCAUCCUUCCUUGACGCAUCCAUAUCCAACCGUUCGCUGCUUCUCCGGUAACUACUAAUUUGAUGGUAGCUUUUUAUUCAACUCCCCACAGACGGCGCCAAAAUGUUGAUGCUGAAAUCUGCUCGCUCUUUGCCCGACCAGACCUUUACACCAACGUUUAUGUAGUCAAUAGUGAGGAUGUCAAUUUCUUCUUGCUUCAACGAACGCUCUAGUCACUAAAGUUGGAAUUGUCCUUCCUUCUCCCACUGAGCCUGCGUUCACAAAAGUAGAUCAGAGAUGCCGGUGGUUUUACCGGAGUAAAAUCUUCGAUGCCUAUGUUAGCACAAAGUGUUUACGGGAAAAUGAUGCAAUUUGGAUUCGAUAAGUUGCUUAUAAUUGGCUCACAGUUUGUAUUAAAAAUGGUCUGAUUUCAAUUUGGCAGAGUUUUUCCCUCUCUCAAUUUUUCUGUCCCCUUCUUCAUUGGUUUCUUCCUCUUUUAUAGCCGCUGUCCCACGUUUCCGUUCACCCUUCAUCCCCCCCUUAUCUCGGGUAGUGGCAGCCCCUCAUGGGACUCCAACCGCUAUAUCGUGGGUAAACGUGGGACACUGUGUCUCCCUCGACGGUUCUGGGCAUAGCGCAACUGUCGUGCUUUCGUGAGAUCGUGUUCCCGCUCUUUGGGGAAUGAGUAUCUGCUCAGUAUAUGUCUCUACUCGGUGUAUUCCUCUGGCUGAUAUUCGUCUUUGGUCGGUGUAUUCCUCUGGCUGAUAUUCGUCUUUGGUCGGUGUAUUCCUCUGGCUGAUAUUCGUCUCUGGUCGACCCAUGUUGGUAGAAGGCUCAUUAUCAAUGUUCUGCUCAUAUUAUUUGGCUGAGGUGAUCCAUGCCGGGAUGGGGAUGAUGGCCUGUCUGUGCUGGUGCUCUUAUUUACUCAACACCAACUUGAAUCAAACUGACGUCCCCAGUUGAGAAGAGUUAAAUUAAAUAAUAUUUUGGUGAUUUCAUGUGCGUAAAAUUAUAAAUUUAUAACCAUCAAUAUAUCACCAGACUUUGUAAAGUUAAUGUGAAAAUGCAUCACAAUUGUACUUAUUAUCUUUUUUCUGUUUUUCUUUUCCAAAUAGUCUAAUACCAAUGGCGUGCCCUCGUGGGUCCUCAAAUUAUUCAAAUGGGCAUUUCAUCGAACAGUGGAUAUACUCGGCAUGUGCACUUAGAAGACGCGUUCAAAAGCUCUAAAUCAUGUUAAAGUCGACCAAAAAGACAAAACAUAGAAAGCGACAAUCCAACAACUAGGUAAAAAUAUUCGCUGUCACAAAUGGUUGGGAAAUUUACAGUAAUAACCAUUAAAAUUUUGAUUUUUUUCAUCUUAACCUCCCAAAAAUAUUUCUAUCAACAUUAGCCAUAAAACAACCUUUGAGACCAAAAUACCCCUCUCCCUCAUCUCUCCCCCAACAUUCCCUUUCACUCAUCUCUCCCAAACCGAUCCAACUCCCAUCAUCGGCGGCAACAUCAACCCUCGUCGGCGGCGGCUCCAUCUCUCACCGACAUCCGAUCUACGAUCUACAACCUUCAAGGUUAGUCAUUUUUCUUAUUUUCAUUAAUUUAAAAUGAAAUUUUAGAAUAAUAAUAGUUAUAGCUUGAGAAUAAUGGUGGUGGUGGUGGUGUUUGUGGUGGUUGGUGGUGUUUGGGAGCAUUGUUUUUUGAUUUUGGAGUGUUGUGGCUUAAUUUUAGAGUGGCCUUUUUUUUAAAGAGUCAAUUUUUUUUAUGUAAAUAUAAUGUAAUAAUUUUAUAAAUAUUAUAGAUACAUGGCGAAAUCAGAAUCACCAGAUAUCGAAGUAGGCAAUAUGUAUUUUUGUUAUGCCGAUCACUUUCCUGGUCGAAUUUUGAGCAUGUGUAAGUUAUCUUCGGUCGUAAAAGCCAUCGAGGAAAAAUUAACAAAGCGGCAGUUGAGUAUGUUAAAAAAUGAUAUAUUUGGGCAUUUCUUGGAGUGUCAAAGUUUUUCAUUUAGUAGGGUAAUUUUGCACAAUCUUUUACUGAGGCAAGUGGCCCAUGAAGAAGAUAGCCGUGAGGAUCAGUUAUGGUUUCAAAUUGGUGAGCAUUUGAUUCGCUUGUCAAUUGUCGAAUGGUGCUUGGUUACUGGACUUUCAUUUGGUGUUGAUACCAAACGAAAAAUUGAUGAAAUGGAGGAGAGGCUACGAAAUACGUAUUUUGGUGGUGUGCAUCGUAAGAUUAAUGUGAACGAAUUCGAUGCAGUAUUUAAGGAGUUGAAAUUCGAGGAAAUGGACGAUAUGGACGCAUUAAAGAUUGCGUUGUUUUAUUUUGCGGACAUAGUACUAAAUGCAAGAAACAAUCACUGUCAAAUCAAUUUCGAUUGGCUUGACGAAGUUGAUGAUAUAGAGUACUUCCGAAAGUGUCCAUGGGGUCUAUUGUCGUGGAAAAUGAUUUACGAGAGUCUUGACAAUGCACUGUUCGAGAAAGACGAGAAAUUUAAGAGGACUCGGUUGAAAAAUCCAGAUCAUAACAUUGAAAAAUACAAUCUUUACGGCUUUACGUCCGGGGUUCAGGUGCGUUUUUUUUGUUUAUUAAUAAGUUUUAUAAUAUUAAAUAUUUGAUAGUUGUUUUAUUACAUUUUUCACUUUGGUUGUUGUAGGCUUGGAUUUACGAAGCAAUCGGAGGGUUGCCAUCAACAUGGGUCGUCAAAACGAAGAAGAAGAUUCCCCGCAUUCUGCAAUGGAAGCCCAUAGCGUCUUCGAGAAUCAACUUUGCGGAGGUUUAUUCGUUCUUCAACGACGAAUCUCGUCUUGUAAGUAAUAUGUAUUACUUAUUUUUUUAACUUUACUAAAUUUAAGUUAUGUAUACUUACUUAAAAUUUUCAAUUGAAUUUAUGGCAGGGGGACGUUUUACAAACUCUUGAGCCAAAUUCAAAGAAGAGUAGCAGAAAAUAUUGGCUCUCUGUGAAGGAUUACUUGCCAAGCAUUCCAGACUGGGUUCAUAAGGUCGGUAUACUCUAAGUACUAAAAAUUUUUUAAUCGAAAUUUUUGACUUUUCAUUUACUAAUUUUAAAUGAUACUUUAUACAUCACCAACCCUCAAUCAACGCGAUGCCGUCGGUUACAAGGCAAUCAAACGAGCAAUCCGAUCAUGACGACAUACCAAACCCAAUAUCAGAGCAGCGUCAUGACACUUUUGAGGAUGAGGUGGCUAUUGAUGACCACCAGGAGCAAACAGACAACUCUGAUGAUGCACGUGAUUCUGAGGUUAUAAAUAAUAUACGAUAUUUUUCCUUUAUAAAUCAUUAUUUUUUUACUGUUAGUCUAAAGUUUUAUUUUUUUGUUUUGUAAUAGUCGAGGACAAAGCUGUUUAAUGAUUACAUACGACGACGGCUGGAUAAGAUUGAUCGUAACGUGUAUGAAAUGAAGUCAGAAUUAAAAGAUUUUAAAGAAACCGUUGUUGGCUUCAUCGACACAUUUUCUAAACGUUCAAAUAAGGAUUCUCCCAGUGCACACUCGUAUGCGGUGAGCAAAUUUAAAUUUAAUAAUUAUGUUCGUUUAACUUUUGAUUUGAUAGUUUUUUAAUAUGUUCUUCUUGGCGACUGGACAGGCCCCGGAUGACUAUGGAGUGUAUACUGACGUGGGCAAUCAAAAUUUGUCUACGCCCACGUCAUUGUAUAGUUUCUAAGGCGAUGUUAGUGGGGAGUGUUAGCCUAAAGGGCUAUACAUAAUAUAAUUUUGAUGAUAACAAACAUAUGUAUUGAGUGAUUUAAUAAAUAUUGUAUUUCACAUUUUCACUAGUUUUUGAAGGAUAAUAUUUAUGCAAGUGAAUCAAGUGAAAUCAAGACUCAAGACACUCAACGGACAACGGCGAAAUCAAGAAUAAAGUUUAGAGCUCAACGGACAAUUUAUUGCGACAAAUUCUUGUAAAGCCGGUAUGAUUUAAUUGAUGCAUGAUUUAGCAUUUGAGAAGCUCAAUAGAUUAAUUUAAUACUUUUCAUAAACUAAAAUUUUUUAUUUUUAUAAAGUAAAGUAUUUUGUGGAUUUAAGUAAUUUGGACUUAAAUGCUAAGAUUUGUAAUCUUUGAGUUUAUUAAAUAUUUUUUUGAAAUUCAAAUUUGGACUUAUUUGCAAAGGUUUGAAACAUUUUGGGUCAUACCAUAAUUUAUGAAACUUUGAGGACCCCAAUGUAAUUUAGACACUUGAAAUCAACAGUUGGACAGUGAGGAAGCGGCUAACCGCCUGAGGGCUAGCGGCUAGCCGCCUGAGGAAAUUCUCAUAUUUUCAAUUUUUGGAUUAAAGUGAAAGAUUUUGAGAACUUUAAAAAAUAUGAGUAUUAUGUUAUAUUUGUAAAGGACCUCUUUGAAAAAUAAUAAAAUCUUUGGGGCCAUAUCAUGAUUUUAGAAAGUUUAGAAAAGACAACUAUUUUUACGAAGUUCUGAAAUUGGACUUAUUUGUAAAGUUUUCUAAUGUUUUGGGUCAUAGUAUAAUUAUAUAAAGUUUUGGGUCAAAGUGUAAUUUCAGUGAACAAUAUUACUGUAGCAAAAUUCAAAAAUAACGGUAAUAUCACUGUUUCUGAGCGGCUAGCCGCUUGGGCGCUGGAAUUUGCCUAUAACGACUAGUUUUCGGGCUUUCACUAUAAAAACUCAACUCCAACUUCAUUUUAAAGAUAAACACAAGCAACUAUAAGAUCAUAUAACAUAUAUUGAGCUUCCAUUUCGUAAAUCAUCAUUUGUUGAAUCAUCAUUGAGAUAUAAUUUGUUAUUCACUCUUAAAGAGAGUUUUAUUGUUGUGAAUUUCAUUUCUCAUAAAUUUGUGAGUGUAUAAGUGUGGGAAACACUUGGGGUGAAGAGAUUGAGGAUAUAAUCUCUUGUUGUAAAGGUUCAUUGACACCUUGGAAGUCAAUUGUAAACAUUUGAAGCCUUGGGAGGCUUGGAUAGUGAAAUCCUCAAGCCGGGUGUUCUUGGAGGUGUGGACGUAGGCGGGGAUAGCCGAACCACGUAAAAAUCCUUGUGUUCGUUUUCUCUUCCCUUACUCUUUUAAAUUGUGCUUGAUUGAAUUUAUUGUUUUGAUUUGAUGAAGGCAAUAGAUUAAAUUGUUGUGCGAAUUGUAUUGAAUAGAUUUUAAAAUCCCAAUUCACCCCCCCUCUUGGGUUGCAUAACUUGCAUUUCAGGGAGAGCGUGCAGGUGUUCACUGAGGUGCCUCCAAGCGUUAGUAAGUUCGGCCGCGCGUACAUACCGUCGUAUGUUUAUAACAGUCCUUACAUGAUUCCUCCAGUCAGGCGAGGACAGAACGUCCGGCCUUUACCUCGACCCCAAAUCAUGGAGCAUGCGAUUGACAUGAGUACGAGUGUGGAUGUAAAUCCACUGAGAGGAUUAGAGGACUCUAGUCUGUUUGCUGAGUUUGAUCGAUGGUUCACUGGUGAUAUCAGAGUCCGCCGGAGAGUCCAGCACCCGCGGUCAUUCUUUCAAAUAAUUUUGGGUACAGCUUCGAUGGGAUGGCUAGGCGAUGAGGUAUUUAUAUUUUUGAAGUUUUUUGAGUGUUGUGGAUUUGUGUAUAAAAUUUUUCUUUUAAAUCGUAAUAUAUCUGUUUCUCUACAGCAUAUUCACGAGUAUCUCCGCUUGAUUAGCGAGAAACAACGGCAGUAUCCGAAUGCCUUACUCCAACGUGUCACACAUACUGACACAUUUGUUUGGGUAACGUGCCGACAAAACUUAUAAAUACUAUUUAUUUAUUUUUUAAUUAUUGCCUUAAAGUUUUGUUAAUUUAUGCAUUUCUUGGUUAUCUAUGUACUAGGUGUUCUUGAAUCAGUUAUGGAAUAACGGGGAUUGUGCGGUCGAUUCAUUGGUAUUCGACGACCGCUUGAAUAGUUAUCUUUGUGGGCGACAACACACAAUGUCCAAAUCAAUGACGGAUGUCGAUAUGGUAUGUAUUUUAUUGCAUUUCACAUACUCCAUAUUGAAAAUAUUCGAGUUGUCGCUUUUUCUUUGUUGUAUUUCAAUUUCAUAUAUAACGAACAUGUUUUUCAAUUUUUAUAUACAGUUACUCAUCCCUGUUAAGUUGGACGGCGCGCAUUAGGUACUAGCACGAGUUGACUUUCGGAAAAUAAAGUCUGGAUUUAUGACUCAUUACUCACAUUUCGCGACGACAAAAGGUACAAGUUGAAAUUCAAGCCACUUGAAGUUAUAUUCCCUCGAUGGUUGGAAUAUGUUGGCUUCUACAACAUCCGACCUGAGUUGAGGAGUGCAGACCCCUGGAAAGUUAUCGCAGUUAAGAGCGCGCCACAACAAGAGCCUGGAACUGGCGAUUGCGGUGUUUUUGUAUUGAUGGUUACGAUGUAUUUAAUGUUCGGGCUUAGAUUGGAGUUUAACGCUAGUCAUGUCGAGUACUUUAGAAAGAAGAUUGCGGUUGACAUAUUUAAUGACGAUAUUGUAUUGUAAACCUAUGUAGUAAUUUCAAUGUUGAAAUUUGAAUUUUUAUUUUAAUUUGCGCACUUAAGUUUAUAUAAUGCUCAAAUUUUAAUAUUUAAAAUAAAAUAAAGUUUUAUAACAUAUAAGUGUACAAUACACAAAAAACAAUAACAAUUUUAACCAACGAAAUACAAAAAAUAAUAACAGUUUUAACCAACAAAACACAAAAAACAAUAACAGUUUUAACUAACGAAUAACACACAAAAUACAAUUAACUUCGAGUCGACGCAAUGGGAUUCUUACAUCGCUUACGAUUAUGGCCCAGUUCAUGACACCGCCCGUAUCUUACAGUCUGCCGGUUAACGUCCUCACCAGCCGAGGGUAUUCUGAACUCUUUACGACGGCCAGGUGGUAGUGUCUCAACUGGUGGGUAUACUUGCAUCUCCUGAAUUUCAUCUAGAAUUUCCCAAUCAGCCACAUCACCAACUGGUUCCACUGGUUGUACAUAAGCCAUCGCCACAAAUUCUGUAGUGUAAAAGUCCGAGCAAAGGUUAAUAAAAUCCACCCGGUGUGUUAGACAUGUCGCAAUUGCAUGAGCACACACAAGCUGAUCAAGCUGAAACACUCUGCAAGAGCAAGUUCUCUUUUGCAAGUCAACCAAACCUUCCUUAAGCCCACCGCCUAUAACUUGAAAUCGAUGCGGAGACACCGGCCGAACUAUCAUUCUUUCAGCUAUAGUUCUCAUCUCAGUGACAAUUUCAUCCGCCCAUGUUGUUAGCUGAGUAGUCAUUGAUUCAACCACAAUUUUUCUAUCAUAAAACCAUUACUAUAAUGUUUUCCUAAAGUGAUCAACAAGAUGAGUAACAGGAAAUUUUCGAGGUUCCCUCAUGAAAGCAUUAACACUCUCCGCGAUGUUGGUGGUAAGUAUGCUGUACCUCCUACCUUCAAACUGAGACCUUGCCCAAUUACACGUACCGACAUUAUUUUUUACGUAAUCAGCCGCACCCGAGUGGAUCAUCCACAACCCUUCAAGUUGUCUCUUAAAUUCCUCGUGGCCAUAUGCUUUUGCUGCAUUAAUAAAGGCAGGCUCAAAUUCAUCCCAAAGAGCUUUGGACAUUCUAAAUUGUGACUUAAUGUUACCUUUGACAUGGUAAAAACAAACGCCAUGAGUUGCAUUGUGAAAUACUUUAAGAACGGCUCUCCUUAUGGCAGUGCAUCGAUCAGAGAUAAUUACCAACUCAGGUCUAUCGCCAAUCACUCCGUGUAACUUCAUCAUAAACCAUUCACAAGCAUCAUUAUUUUCUGAAUCCAUGAUCCCAAUAGCUAACGGAUACAAUUGAUUGUUACCAUCAAGACAUGUUGCCACGAACAUGCUUCCACGAUAUAGUCCCUUCAGAUGAGUACCAUCUACAGCAAUGACAGGCUGAAUGUACUGCAUAAACCCAUUGAUGGAAGAUCAGAGUGCAACAAAAUAGUACAAGAAAUUACCAUCUCCAUUCUGCUCGAGGUGAGUGACUAUACCCUCAUUCGCUGUAGUUAGUACGUGAGAGUAUUUAGGGAGUGUCGAGUGUUAGAAAAUGCAUAUUUAUAAAGGAGAAAACCGUCAUUUGACAUUUCAAGUCUUACUAACAACCCUUACUUUUAUGUAUUUAACCUUCUUGUGAUUUAAUUACAUGUGUUUUAUUUUAAUUAAGUAUUUUAUGUAUUUUAGGUGCAUUAUAGUCAUUUCACAAUAAAGGAGAGAUCAGACGGCAAAACGGACAUCACUUUUGAACUCAGGACGGUCGAAAACCUUAGGAGGAGCAUAAAAGGAAAAAUCACACUAUUCACAUGUACGGUACUAUUCACGUGUACGGUACUGUCUACGUACUGUUCACGACACUGUUCACAUAGACGGAUCGAUGAUGUGGCAUUGACCGAUGAUGUGGCAUUGACUGAUGAGGUGUCACGAUCCUGUUGGGCUAAAAUUCUUAUGUACUGUUGAUGAUGACGUGGCAGCAUAUCAGUGGACGAAAAAUCUCUCGUACGGUACAUGCAUCACACAGGAUUAUUUUCAACCAAACCGUGUUACUGUUCAUCCGGGUCAAACCGUGUUACUGUUCAUCCCCGUGGUCAAACCACAUACUGUUGACUGAUGACGUGGCGCAAUCCUGAGCGUCCAAACUGUUUUUAAUCCGAUUGCCAUGAUUUACUCCAUGUAUCUAUAAAAAGGGGGCCUCUCCCCCCUAAUUGGAUAGCUCUAAAUCCAUUUUUGGGAUCCAUUUUCUGUAAUUCCUUCUCCAUCUUGUAUUUUCUUCAUAUUUUAAUAAAUUCCCAUUUUGCCCCUAGUUCAAUUAUGAGUGGCUAAUUUCCUUUCAAGCUUGGGUUGAAGGUGAAGUCUCAACAUGUAUCAUGGGCUUAAUUUGGUAAAUUUAUUUUCUCUUCCCCUCUAGAUUUUGUGUAUGUUUUGACUUCUCGUCGACAAAUAAUACUAAUCUUGUCUAGUACCGCCUUGGUUUCACCGGCCCUCUAGUACAAGGUUAUUAUUAUUUGGCACGAUAAGCCCUUAGCACCAUAUUGAUUAGAGCGUGGUUCAUGAGGUGUGGAUUCCCCCCUCAUGAUUUAAUUAGCAUUAAUAAGGAUUAUUUAGCCCAUGAUGCAUGUUGAUACGGAUCCAGAUACCCAAGUACGUCAUUUCAAUAUAAUUCUCUUCAAUUUAUUCUCGUCAUUUCAAUACCAAUUUUAGAAUUUAUUCUCGCCAUUUUAAUUUAAGUUUUAGCAUAUUCCAAAUUAUUUCCACAACAAAUCCAAUCACCCAUUUACAAAAUUAAUUCUACACAAUUAAAAUCCACCUCCUCGUGGGAUCGACACUCGUCACCAUUGAUCUAUACUACAAUAGAUUCGUGCGCUUGCGAGUACAUUAAAAUUUGCACAACAAGUUUUUGGCGCCGUUGCCGGGGAGGUAAGUUAUUUUAAUUUGUAGAAUUAAUUUUUGUCAAUAAUUUCUUUUAUUUGUUUUCUUGUAUUUUUUUUCUUAUUAAAAGAAAAAAAAAGGUGAAUCUACAUUUAAAGGUUAGUAUUUCUUUUCUUUUUCUCUUCUUUAAAAUUUUGUAAUUUAAUUUUCAAUUUAUUUUUUUUUCUUUGUAAUUUUUGUUUAUUUUAUUAAUUUAAUUUUUAGUUAAUUUAUUUCACGUAUUUGUUUUUGUGUAUUUUUAUAGAAAGGUUGUAAUAGCGCAAUAAGGUUAGUAUCAUAAUUUCUCCCUCUUCUUUAUUUUUAUUUGAUUUGUUCCCAUUUAUUUUUGUGUUUCUUGCAUGCAUGGUCGUAGGUCAUUAUUUCCUAAUCUUGAACCUAUAGACCUUGAAUUAGAAAAAACACUUCGCACACACAAACACGUUAAAAAUAAAAUGGAUUUACAAGCACCACAGGAGAGGCCAUUUAAGGAUUAUUUCAGUCCUUUAGCAAAUUUGAGCACAUCAUGCAUAAGAUACCCAAAUGUAGCUGCUAGGAGUUUUGAACUAAAACCUAGUGUGCUAAAUUGUCUCCCCACAUUUUAUGGCCUAGAAAAUGAGGACCCAUAUAAUCAUUUGAAUGAUUUUCAUGCUAUUUGUCAAACAUUUAAAUAUGAGAAUUUUUCAGAUGAUGAUGUUAAACUUAGAUUAUUCCCAUUUUCUUUAAAGGAUAGAGCUCGUUCAUGGCUUAAUACAUUGCCUGCCAAUAGCAUUGCAUCAUGGGAACAAAUGGUAACGAAAUUUUUGAAUAAAUAUUUCUCAGUGCAUAAAACCAAUGCUAUUCGCAGGGAAAUCUCAGAGUUUACCCAGAGAGAUGAUGAGCAGUUUUUCGAAACAUGGGAGCGAUUCAAUGGGCUACUCUUGAAGUGUCCACAUCAUGGGUACGAGAAAUGGCACUAAUGCCAAUAUUUUUUGGAGGGAUUAUUACCGAAUGUGCAAGAAUGGCUAAUGGCAACAAGUGGAGGAGAGCUAAUGUCAAAAAGUGCAUCAGAGAUUUGGGAAUUCUUCCAGAGACAAGCGGAUAAUUCCCAACAACGGAGUCGAUCACUCAGGAAUACUAGAAGGAUUAAAGGAGUGAAUGAGGUCCACAUUGGCGAGUCAAGUUCAGAAAUUAAAGAAGUCAAAGCGAUAAUUGAAGGUCUCUCUCGACAAAUAGCAUCGUUAUCGACUGCUAAAUCAACAGAGCCACAUGACCAUGACUCAUACUCAGAUCAAGCCAAUGCCAUUGGUAUAAUGAGAAAACCAUCGAAUUACAACCCAUACUCCAACACAUAUAACCCUGGAUGGAGAGACCACCCCAAUUUUUCAUGGUCUCAAGGAUUCCAACAGAAUGGACCAGCGGCUCCAGCUCUACCAAUUCCUCAAAAUCCUCAAGCCUCUCAGCCCCCAUUUAGACCAUACAAUCAGAACCAGAACUACACUCAGCCCAGACCAUGGGAGGAUUCAUUCCAGAAUCUUAAGAAUCUUAAGAAUCUUACUCACUCCACGAUUGAGCAACAUAACCGCACCAUUGAUGGACUACGAAAUGAGUUGAGAGCAGGCUUCAACUCACAAGCUCAAUCAGUUUCAAGCCUCAAGAAGAUGGUGGGACAACUUGCUUCUUUAGUUCAGACCUUGGCAAUGACCGUUGAGAAAGGUAAAUUUCCAAGUCAACCAGUGCCUAACCCUAAAGGAGUACAUGAAGCAAGUACCAGUUCACCACAACAGCAUGGAGAGGUCAAAGCAGUCAUGACCUUGCGAAAAGGAAAAGAAGUCGACAACAAAGUGGAGAUGCCGGUGACAAAAGAAAAUCAAAUUGUACCUUUGAAUGUUGAGGACUCACCACCGGAGGAAAAAAAAGAAACCAACCCACGAGAAUAUGUUCCUAAAGCUCCAUUUCCUCAGAGGUUAGCGAAAGGAAAGAAGGGAAAAUCCACAGGUGAGAUUCUUGAAAUCUUCAAACAGGUAAGUGUUAACAUCCCUUUACUUGAUGCGAUUAAACAAGUUCCAUCUUAUGCCAAGUUUCUUAAAGACCUCUGUACUAAAAAGAGAAAUAUGCAUGUUCAAAAGAAGGCAUUUUUAACAGAAAACGUUAGUUCUAUACUCCAACAUAAAAUUCCUCUAAAAUGCAAAAACCCAGGAUCCCCCACUAUCUCAUGUAGCAUAGGGAACCACACAAUUGAGAAUGCUUUGUUGGAUUUAGGAGCUAGUGUAAAUUUGUUGCCUUACUCUGUUUUCGUGAAACUUGGACUUGGAGAAUUACACCCAACUCCAGUGGUGUUACAACUCGCAGAUCGGUCCACGAAAAUACCUCGUGGUAUUGUGGAGGACGUGCUUAUCCAGGUAGACAAGUUUUAUUUUCCUGUUGAUUUCAUUGUAAUUGACAUUCAACCUAUACAGGAUUCAAGGAAGCACAUCCCUAUUAUCCUAGGCCGACAUUUCUUGGCAACUACGGAUGCUCACAUUCAAUGCAGGACUGGAAAUAUGCAGUUGUCCUUCGGCAAUAUGACUAUGGAGCUGAACAUCUUCAACAUUGCCAAACAACCUCAUAAUGCAGAUGAUGGAAUUGUUGAUGUGGAUUUAAUAGAAGCAUUAGUUGAUGACUCUUUUAUUUCACACCUUAGUGAUGAUCCUUUACAAACAUGUUUAACUCACUUUGGUUUGGAUUUUGAUAUUGACAGAUCAGUUGAUGAGGUCAACGCCCUGCUUGACUCAGCACCAUCCAUGGACACUAAUAAAUGGAAGUCACGAGUUGAACAACUAGCACCAUCAGAGAAGAAACUCAUCCCAUCAUCAGAAUCACCACCGAAACUCGAGCUCAAACCAUUGCCCAACACAUUGGAAUAUGCAUUUUUAGGGGAAGAAAGUUCUCUGCCGGUAAUCAUCUCAUCAUCCCUCAAUGACAAACAAAAAGGUAAGUUGUUGGAUGUUUUAAAAGAGCACAAAGGAGCAUUAGGAUGGACCAUAGUGGACAUAAGAGGUAUAAACCCAGUAGACUGCAUGCAUUACAUUCACCUCGAUGAAAAUGCUAAAUCUACUAGGGAAAUGCAACGUCGGUUAAAUCCUAAUAUGAAAGAAGUUGUUAGAACUGAAGUCCUUAAGCUAUUAGACACAGGUAUCAUUUACCCAAUUUAUGAUAGUUCAUGGGUCAGUCCUGUACAAGUUGUCCCCAAAAAGUCAGGAGUCACAGUAGUUACCAAUGCUGAUAAUGAAUUGAUACCAACUAGAGUAACUACAAGAUGGCGUGUAUGCAUUGAUUAUAGAAAGUUGAAUUCUGUCACACAUAAAUACCAUUUUCCUUUACCAUUUAUCGAUCAAAUGCUUGAUAGAUUAGCAGGUCAUGAAUUUUAUUACUUUUUAGAUGGCUACUCAGGAUAUAAUCAGAUUCUCAUAGCACCAAAAGAUCAGGAGAAAACUACUUUCACUUGCCCUUUUGGCCCAUUUGCAUAUACGAGGAUGCCAUUUGGAUUAUGUAAUGCACCUGCUACAUUUCAACGAUGCAUGUUAAGCAUUUUUUCUGAUAUGGUUGAACGAUUCCUUGAAGUCUUUAUGGAUGACUUUUCUAUCUUUGGUGAUUCGUUUGAUCAAUGUUUACAUCAUCUAACACUAGUUCUGCAGAGAUGUAUUGAGAAGAACUUGAUCUUAAAUUGGGAGAAGUGCCAUUUUAUGGUAAAACAAGGUAUUGUUCUCGGUCACAUCAUUUCGAGCAAAGGUAUUGAGGUUGACAAAGCCAAGGUGGAUCUCAUUUCUAAUCUUCCUCCACCUAAAACAGUCAUAGAAGUAAGAUCUUUCCUUGGGCAUGCUGGUUUUUAUAGACGUUUCAUUAAAGAUUUUAGCAAAGUUUCUCGACCCUUAUGCAAUCUACUUGCUAAGGAUGUACCUUUUGUCUUUGAUGAUUCAUGUCUUGUGGCAUUUGGAAAAUUAAAGCAGUUGUUGACAUCAUCACCCAUCAUUCAGCCCCCAAACUGGAGCUUACCAUUUGAGCUCAUGUGUGAUGCAUCUGAUUAUGCAGCAGGAGCAGUGUUAGGACAAAGAGUUGAUCGAAUUCCCCAUGUUAUUUACUAUGCUAGUAUGACAUUGAAUGAUGCACAGUUGAACUAUUCAACUACUGAAAAAGAAAUGCUAGCAGUAGUGUUUGCAUUAGAGAAAUUUCGAUCUUAUCUCAUUGGUUGUAAAAUAAUUAUAUUCACAGAUCAUGCUGCUCUUAAAUAUCUUCUCACAAAGAAAUAUGCAAAAGCUAGACUAAUUCGUUGGGUGUUACUUUUACAGGAGUUUGACUUGGAAUUCAAAGAUAAGAAAGGCACAGAGAAUGUUGUGGCGGACCACCUCUCUCGUCUCCAUUUUGACACAAUUACAGAAUCAUUACCAUUGAAUGAGUCAUUUCCAGAUGAACAAUUAAUGAAUGUGGAAGUAUUACCUUGGUAUGCUGAUAUAGUUAAUUAUCUUGUUACAGGUCAACUUCCAGAGCAUUGGACCAAGCAAGAUAAGGCUAAAUUCUUUGCAGAAAUAAAGAAUUUCUUUUGGGAUGACCCGUAUUUGUUCAAGUGUUGUGCAGACCAAAUUGUUAGACGAUGUGUCCCAGAAAGUGAAAUUCAGAAUAUCCUUUCAUUUUGCCAUGAACAAGCUUGUGGAGGCCAUUUUAGUGCUAAGAAAACAGCAACUAAAGUUUUACAAUGUGGUUUUUAUUGGCCAACUAUAUUUCGAGACGCUUACACUUUCUGUUCUUCAUGUGAUAGGUGUCAACGAAUGGGGAGCAUUACGCGAAGGAACAUGAUGCCACUAAAUCCAAUUCUAGUGGUUGAGAUUUUUGACGUAUGGGGUAUCGACUUCAUGGGACCCUUUCCCCCUUCUUUUGGCCACCAAUACAUAUUGGUUGCUGUUGACUACGUAUUGAAAUGGGUAUAAGCAAUUUCAUGCAGAACCAAUGAUCACAAAGUGGUGAUAGGAUUUUUGAAAAGCAACAUUGUUUCACGCUUUGGAUUCCCUCGAGCAAUAAUCAGUGAUGGUGGUGCCCACUUUUGUAACAAAGCAUUCAAAGCUUUUUUGACUCAAUCACUCACAAAGUGGCGACUCCGUAUCAUCCGCAAACCAGUGGCCAAGUUGAGAUCUCCAAUCGAGAAAUAAAGCACAUAUUAGAAAAAACAGUGAGGCCAGACAGAAAAGAUUGGUCAUUAAGACUUGAUGAUGCAUUAUGGGCAUAUAGAACGGCUUUCAAGACCCCGAUUGGGAUGUCACCCUACAGGCUAGCGUAUGGAAAAGCUUGCCACCUACCUGUGGAACUCGAGCAUCGUGCGUAUUGGGCCAUCAAGAAAUUCAACUUUGACAUGCAGCAAGCCAGCUCAGAAAGAAGAUUACAACUGACAGAACUUGAAGAAAUUCGCAAUGACGCAUACGAAAAUGCCAAGAUUUACAAGCAACGGAUGAAAGUCUUUCAUGACAAGCAAAUUAUGAGAAAAUCGUUCACUCCAGGUCAGAAAGUGCUUUUAUUCAAUUCUCGUUUGCACCUAUUCCCAGGUAAGUUACGCUCUCGAUGGUCUGGUCCCUUUAUUGUUCAUACUGUUUUUCCACAUGAGGCAAUUGAAAUUAAGGACCCAAAGAACGGUGUCACGUUUAAAGUUAAUGGUCAAAGAUUAAAGCCAUAUCUAGAGUACCAACCACAUGGAGAAGACACCGAAAUAAAUUUGAGUGACCCACCAGAUUUGAAUUGAUUUUUUUUUUUUCGUUGAUUUGAUUUUUUUUUCUUUAUAUUAUUCUUCUGCUAAUUGAAAUUAUUUUUGCAUAAGUGUGUUUGUUUAACUAUUAAGUUUUCUUUUAUCGUUUUUAAUCAUGAGUACCUUACUUAGACCGUUCCUCCUGAACAUUCUUAAACCACUUCAACGUGUCAAAACUCAUCUCAAAAGGCAGAUUCAAUUUUGUAAAACACAUCGCAUUUGGGCUCUACAACCACCAGAGUUAGUAGCCUAUGUUGAGGGUUUAGAACGCCAACUCAGAGACAUUGAAAGAAGUGUUUACGACACCCAGUUGGAGCUUGAGGUAAAUUCAAUAAGAGGACGAUUUUAAUUUUCUUUGUGUGUUUUAAUUUGUUUUUCUGUUUGUGUGCUUUAGUUUGUUACCCCGGUGAAGUGGCGGAUAACGGUACUCCAUGACAAUCAAGUCGGUUACUUCAGUUUCCCAUAAUAACUGAUAUUUUGAGGCGAAAGUAUGGACAAAAACGACAUUCUAGCGAAGCUUCACAAGCGAUUCCCUUCACUUCCUCAGAAUGCCCUCCUUACGAUCUAUAAAGCUCGGUCCGAACGCAUGCGAUUACUUAUGAGGAAUAAUAUACCUGCUGACAUCCGUUGGUUAAUCGAGGCUAAAGUACGAUCGGCAGGUGAGUUACCUCCAAAAUUUAUUGCAUACAUGCUUGGUUGUGGUAAAGGAAAUUAUGCAAGAAAACGACGAGCUCAAAGAAUUUCUGUUGCUUGUCAUAAGUGCGCCAGAAUGAGUUGCAAUAAAAACCCAUGUUCUUUAGGAAUGGUGUCUGAUAACAGGGAAGAUAAAAUUCAAUUCAUUAGGGAUGGCUUGAAUAAGGAGUCAUUGGAUGAUAUCAUUUUGUCUCUUGAAACGCAUCCCAGUGGAUAUGUGCAAGGAGCGAUUCUCCAGUUAUGGCCAUUAUUCCAGAAAGAGCAUGCACGAUAUAGUCUUGGGAAUCUGACUAUAAACGACCCUGUUUGCCAGUUUAUAAGAAAACUGGAUAGGAAGCCUAUCCUCGACCCAUAGAGGGCGUUCAAGCCGUUUCUGGAUGUAAAACCAGAGGAAGAUGUGAGCCACAGUCGCAACUACCUGUAAAUAUCCUUUCACUUUACUGUUAUUUUAUUUCACUAUUGUUUUAUUGUGUGCAUUAUUGUCUUUAAUAAUUUUAUUAUUGUUUGCUUUUUCCUUAUUACUGUUUGCUUUUUCCUUUUUACUGUUUCCUUUUUGACUCGCGAGCCACGUGCUUUACGCGUUAUUUGACACUGACAUGUUACCUCAUACACAACUGUGACCUACUGUCACCAAGACUCUUAAAUGUGAUUUUUUUUUACAAGCACUCACAAAUUAUUUUUUGAGAAGUAUCACAAUGGCAGCUACUCCAAAUAGACAAUUCAAGAACAUUUGUGUGCUUUCUGGAUUUACCUAUGGCAAACAUAAAGAGUUCGUUGAGGCAGCCAUCGAUCUUGGUCGAAGCAUGGCAGCGAGAAAAUUACACUUGGUGUAUGGAGGAGGUAACCGAGGAUUAUCAAAAAUGGUCUCAGAAGCAGCUUUUAUCAGAGGACGUCAAGUGUUAGGCAUCAUCCCAAGAGUCCUAAAACCAUUGGGUAGUUCGUCUGACUCAUCAACUGGAGAAGAGUUAGUCGUCUCAGGUAUACAAGAAAGAAUAACUGAAAUGCUUAAUCAUGCUGAUGCUUUUAUUUUCCUUCCAGGAGAUCUUGCAACACUAGAGGCACUUAUCACACUAGCAUCUUGGGCCCAUCUGCACAUUCACCAGAAACCCAUCGGUUUGUUAAAUGUCAAUAAGUUUUAUGAUGGCUUUAUCGCAUUUCUUAACCAUGCAAUAAAAAACUAUUUCAUUCCCUCUAAUGCGAAAAAACUCUUUAUUUGUGCUCACACUGCUAAUGAGCUACUUGAUCAGUUACAAGCUUAUAGACCGGAGCCAGACCCCUGGACCUUUGUGUUAGAGCAUCCAAAUAAUGAUGGUAACAGUAGCCGCAGUAAGAAGUACAAAUUAGAUUUAACUCUCCGCCUGUAAAUAUUUUCUUCUGUGUUGCACCACCCAGGUGAUGUCUUCUAAACUCUACUUCGUUCCUUUCAAACAUUGAGGACAAUGUUUCGUUCUGGUUGGGGGGAGGGAAUAGUCGACAAUUGUGGAAUUUUGGUUAAGUUUUUACUAAUUUUUUGUUGUAGAAACUAACUGUUGCUAACUUUUUGUGUUGAAGAUGGCUGAAUAUGGAAUGUAGUGACUCUAGAAACGCAUCUUCAUCGUUAAAAAAAAAAUUUUAAAAAAAAAAUUUAAAAAAAAAAAUUCAGACAUUUUCUUUUUCUUUAUUAUGUUUUUAUGUUUAUUUUUCUUCUUUUUAAUUUCUCCUCUAUAAAUAUACAUUUUCCAACUUGUGAGUCGAAGAUGGCUGAAUAUGGAGUGUAGUGCCUCUAGAAACGCAUCUUCUUAAAAAAAAAAAAUCAUUUUCGUUUUCUAUCAUUUUACGUGUAACUUUUCUAAUUAGUUUUUAUGCAUCAUCUUCACAUUUCUGCAUGCAUAUUUUCCUUUCAUGUUUAGAAUAGGUUGGCGGGUAGAUUGGUAUUUAAAAAAAAAUUGUGUGAUUUGUUUUAACAUUGGAUGACAUGAUUAAUUUCAAAUUUUAGUAUUUGUAUUAUCUUUGGUCUUAAGUGAUGUUACGCUAUGUUUGCUACUUUACAUGUUGAUGUCGGAGACAAAUAUGAGUUGCUUGAAGGAAUGACCAUGUCAUAAAUAAGUGCCAAGUGAGUUGUUGAGCCUAUCAUUUUCUUGGAGAGUAACCUUUUUUGCCCAUUCUCUAUACAGCUUAGCAGUUUAUUAUUUUAUACACGAUCUCUAGAUUUCUUUUGAGUUAACCCUUAAAAAAAAUGGUAAAAUAAAAAAAAAAAGUGUGUUGCUACAUUGGGAGGCCUGUCUAACUAGUAGAUAUGGAUGAUUAUUUAGAGCCCUAAAAGACGAUGGAAAGGCCAUCUUUGAUCCGUUUGAGCCUUUCUAGCCAUCCCUUUUAUUAAAUAUCCAUAGUUAACCCUUUUGAGCCUUUAAAAAAAAAAAAACAUUUUCUUUGUCAACUUAUCAUCUUGACCCACUCCAAUUUGAAGUAUUACCCGAUGUCUUAUAAGUUCCAUCACCUAUUUAUGUUUGAGAAAAUGUAAAUAAUUAUGUUGUUCAGUGAAGUUAUGCCAAAUAAAAGCAAAAAAAAAAAAAAAUUGUUGUUUCAAAAGAAUAAAAAUAACAACAAUAGGUGAAAUCCACCCUUGCAACUUCCAAAAAAAAAAUUAAAAAAAAAAAAAUUCUCUGCAUUUUUCUCAAGCAUACACUUUGUUUUCCUUAUUUCCUUUCUUUGUUAGCCAUAUCCCUAGCCUACGUUACGUCCUAAUAAAAGUCCUUGAUUUUAGGGAACUCCUGUUUGAAGUAGAAGCUAGUUAUAUGGGCUAAAAAGAUGUAGUGGUGCAUAAUAAUAAUGAAAAAAAAAAGAGAUAAAUAAAUUGGGUUGACUAGCAUUUUUGUUUGAUUUGAGAUCGUAUUAUUUCUAAGCUGAGGGCAUAUUUAUUUCAUCUUGGUGAGAGCAUGUGAUAUCACUUCUUUAUUAUUUUCUCUCUCAAGUACCAUUCAUUGGAGUGACUAUUUUUAUUAGGUUCAAUUUCUUUGUGAGAGUGUCACUACUUCUAGUGAGAUUUUGGGGUUUGACAUGUCAUUCUUGAAAGUAGCUAUAACAAAGUCUACUGGGCUGAUUCAUGUGGAUGGUUGAUGUGGGUGUGAUGUUGCUUUAGACUGGAGAUAAUGCUUAUACUUUUAUUUGAUUGCUAUCAUUAAUCUGAUUGAAUAAACACGAGUGUUUCUAAAAAAGAAAAAAAAUCAUUUUGAAUUUGAAUUUUGUUUUCGCCUUAUUUGCUAGGGACUAGCAAUAAGCUGGUUGGGGGGUGUGUUGAGUGUUAGAAAAUGCAUAUUUAUAAAGGAGAAAAUCGUCAUUUGACAUUUCAAGUCUUACUAACAACCCUUACUUUUAUGUAUUUAACCUUCUUGUGAUUUAAUUACAUGUGUUUUAUUUUAAUUAAGUAUUUUAUGUAUUUUAGGGGCAUUAUAGUCAUUUCACAAUAAAGGAGAGAUCAGACGGCAAAACGGACAUCACUUUUGAACUCAGGACGGUCGAAAACCUUAGGAGGAGCAUAAAAGGAAAAAUCGCACUAUUCACAUGUACGGUACUAUUCACGUGUACGGUACUGUCUACGUACUGUUCACGACACUGUUCACAUAGACGGAUCGAUGACGUGGCAUUGACCGAUGAUGUGGCAUUGACUGAUGAGGUGUCACGAUCCUGUUGGGCUAAAAUUCUUAUGUACUGUUGAUGAUGACGUGGCAGCAUAUCAAUGGACGAAAAAUCUCGCGUACGGUACAUGCAUCACACAUGAUUAUUUUCAACCAAACCGCGUUACUGUUCAUCCAGGUCAAACUGUGUUACUGUUCAUCCACGUGGUCAAACCGCGUACUGUUGACUGAUGACGUGGCGCAAUCCUGAGCGUCCAAACUGUUUUUAAUCCGAUGGCCAUGAUUUACUCCAUGUAUCUAUAAAAAGGGGGCCUCUCCCCCCUAAUUGGAUAGCUCUGAAUCAAUUUUUGGGAUCCAUUUUCUGUAAUUCCUUCUCCAUCUUGUAUUUUCUUCAUAUUUUAAUAAAUUCUCAUUUUGCCCCUAGUUCAAUUACGAGUGGCUAAUUUUCUUUCAAGCUUGGGUUGAAGGUGAAGUCUCAACAUGUGUCAUGGGCUUAAUUUGGUAAAUUUAUUUUCUCUUCCCCUCUAGUUUUUGUGGAUGUUUUGACUUCUCGUCGACAAAUAAUACUAAUCUUGUCUAGUACCGCCUUGGUUUCACCGGCCCUCUAGUACAAGGUUAUUAUUAUUUGGCACGAUAAGCCCUUAGCACCAUAUUGAUUAGAGCGUGGUUCAUGAGGUGUGGAUUCCCCCCUCAUGAUUUAAUUGGCAUUAAUAAGGAUUAUUUAGCCCAUGAUGCAUGUUGAUACGGAUCCAGAUACCCAAGUACAUCAUUUCAAUAUAAUUCUCUUCAAUUUAUUCUCGUCAUUUCAAUACCAAUUUUAGAAUUUAUUCUCGCCAUUUUAAUUUAAGUUUUAGCAUAUUCCAAAUCAUUUCCACCACAAAUCCAAUCACCCAUUUACAAAAUUAAUUCUACACAAUUAAAAUCCACCUCCUCGUGGGAUCGACACUCGUCACCAUUGAUCUAUACUACAAUAGAUUCGUGCGCUUGCGAGUACAUUAAAAUUUGCACAACAGGGAGCAAGUUGUAUGACUCUACAGGGUUACCUCGAACUAUUUCAAGACCAACUUCUCUCGCUCGAUAUGCCUGCUGGUAUGUUAACUGAACACCGUAUUCCUGUUGCAUAUUUGGCACGAUAAGCCCUUAGCACCAUAUUGAUUAGAGCGUGGUUCAUGAGGUGUGGAUUCCCCCCUCAUGAUUUAAUUGGCAUUAAUAAGGAUUAUUUAGCCCAUGAUGCAUGUUGAUACGGAUCCAGAUACCCAAGUACGUCAUUUCAAUAUAAUUCUCUUCAAUUUAUUCUCGUCAUUUCAAUACCAAUUUUAGAAUUUAUUCUCGCCAUUUUAAUUUAAGUUUUAGCAUAUUCCAAAUCAUUUCCACCACAAAUCCAAUCACCCAUUUACAAAAUUAAUUCUACACAAUUAAAAUCCACCUCCUCGUGGGAUCGACACUCGUCACCAUUGAUCUAUACUACAAUAGAUUCGUGCGCUUGCGAGUACAUUAAAAUUUGCACAACAGGGAGCAAGUUGUAUGACUCUACAGGGUUACCUCGAACUAUUUCAAGACCAACUUCUCUCGCUCGAUAUGCCUGCUGGUAUGUUAACUGAACACCGUAUUCCUGUUGCAUAUCUGCUCUUAUGUCAUUGGGAGUAUAAAUCCUCUUAUCUUGAAUAUAUUUUUCUACGAUAAUAUGACCGACAACCCGGCUCCUUACUUGAUGACGUCCAUCAACCAAUACCUCAUUAUGACAAGUGUGUACAUUGUCAAUUCUCUUCACCACCCAAGGAACAUUUUGCUCGUUCGAACAUCUAGUUGCUCGAAUACGCAAUUUACAUGAUUCUGAACAACAGUGAGCCUCGAAACGUGUCGUAGUAGACCGUGCAAUUUUGAAAUCAAACUUAUCUCUAAAGGCCACCUUGCGUAGUUGUAAUAUAAACUCAUUAUUCUCAGCAAAUAGCUUACCCAUACUGAUAUCAUCUGAGUCACAACUGCUAACAAAGCUUGGAGCAACCAUGUUCGAAGGCAAAGUUGGAGCAAGACUUGUAAGGGGGUCAAUUCUCCUUCUCGAUCGAACCAUAGAAGGAAUAAGUCUAUUGCCUCUGUUAUUCACAGGAGUAUUGUCUUCACACUCAUCCUCAUACUAAAACGACGGAACAUUCGAAUGAUCGGCUUCUCCAUAAUCACCAUCAUUAUUGAAAUGAGUGCCCCCCCUCGUAUUAUUAGAAGGUUCUGCACAAACAUUAUCCCCCUCUGUCUCAUUAUGAAAAUCAUCAUUGUCCAGAAAAUCAUUGUUGUGAUACGGAGAAUACCGUUGCUCCAACGACGUCGUUAUUGGAAAUACCGUUGCUCCAACAUCCUGUAACGUAACGCCAUUAUCAUCAAUAUUGUCAUAAUUGUCAUGGAUUGGAGAGUAAUAUUGCUGCAGCGAUAUUGUCCUUGGCAACAUCUCUUCAUCAUUAUCAGGGCCAGACAUAUUUGCUCUAAACGACAUUUCUGUAUCGACAUGUGACUCAAUACCUUCGCUCGGAACUCGAGGUGAUGUGGUCAUGAAUAUAGGAAUGCAUCCAAAAUUGGCUACGUCGGAUGCCAUAUGCAACACAACCCUCACCAUUUUAUCAUCACAUAUAUCCAUGGGCAUUGCACAUAUACGAUAUAAUGUGUUACUAGACCUCAAAGUUGUCUUCAUUGUGAUACUAUAUUCAUUAAAGUUUAUUUGUAACACCUCGUAUACUCUUGCCAAUAACUGAUCAAACAGACAAUUUUUCCUAACCAAAAAAGCUCGAUUUUUACCAUUCACAUACUCCAUACGACCAUCCUCUAAUGUCUCCCACCAACCAUCGUAACACAAUUCAAGUACAACUGAAUCCAUUAAGCCUAAAAUUAUUAAAAAAAAAAUUAUUUGAGCCCUAUCAAAAUAAUACAGUUUUAAUGAAUUUCCAAGGGUGGGUGCGGCAGGCAACCUGUCGCCCGAAGCUUGGUGCGACAGGCACCCCUGUCGCACCAAGCAAGGUGCGACAGGUGCUUGUCGCACCAAACCUUGGUGCGACAGGUGCCUGUCGCACCAACCCAACCUGUCGCACCAAGUUUUGCUGCGACAGGCAGCCUGUCGCCAGAUUCACCCCCCGACUCAGUUCUGCAAGUUCUGAAAAUAACUCGUACCACUAAGUGAUGCCGAUUAGUGUUGGAUCCGGAUAGAUUAUGAUCGGAUUUCACUUUUACCGUUGUGUUUUGCCGUCGCCGUUGGCUGAUGAUUCAAGAGUGGAAAGCUGCGUUUGGUUUGACGAUAUGGGAGAAACAAUGUUGGUUUUGUUCUGUAAAGAAUGGUAAUUUAGGAAGAAAAGCUUGUGUUUGGCUAAUGUUGAUAGAAAAAAGUUGAGAGGGUUAAUUAUGAAAAUAACAAAAUAUUUAUGGUUAUUUUAAUAAAUUUUCCCAAAUGGUUGCGUUAACGUGUAUAUUUGGGAACAUCAAAUACAAACAAAGACCAUGUGAAAAAGAAAUAUUCGCUGUUUAGUUCUCAAAUAUUCGCUGUCACAAAUGGUUGCGUUAACAUGUCCAACAACGAUUAUUAUGAAAAUUUCGGAGAAUUUGCGAGAAGUGGGAUGAUUAAGAAAAUGCAGGAGCAGGACAUUUAUGACCUCUAUUAGUAAUUUGAUUUCGUGAAGCAUUUUCAAAAGGAAAAUAAUGCACACAAUUGGAGACUAGGUGAUGACAAUGAAAGAUCACAUAACCGACUUAAUAAUUUAUAUGCAUUAAUGUGGAAUCGACAAUUCUAAACCAUGUUAAAGUCAACCAAAAAGACAAAUCAUGGAAAGCGGCAAUUGCUAAAUUACGUUGCGUGUAUUUUGGGAUCAUCAAAUACAAACAACGACCACGUUAAAAGAAAAGCAACAGCUGACGAGAUUGGUAAAGAUAUAUCAAAAGAAAGAGUAACAGAACAGAGCACGUUACAAGAGCUGAUUGCUUUCUUAAUUUUUGGUCAAUAUUUAACACAAAAUAAAAGUCAAUGAAAAAACGUGGAAUUUAUGUCAAUUAACUUAUUUAAUAAUUUUGACCGAAGCAUAACAAAACGCUCGCUCACGGUCGCAGUCACUUUGAAGAUCAUUCAUGUAAAAGCUUUGUAAUUUAAUAAAUGGCGUGGAAAAUGGUAACGAGAGCUCACGGGCAACCCCAAAACAACAAGUGAAAGAGUGCCUCGUGAUAUGAUUCACGGCCCUCAAGAAACACGCCUUCUGCCCCUCGUGAUUUAAUCAAAAUUUGGACUCACGCUACAGUGAAAUGCAAUUAACAAUUUUUUAUCAAUAAAAUCGCCAGAAAAUUCUCAAUUAUUUUAUUUUUAGUUAUUAGGUGUCGGGUUGACAUCAGGCCCAAUGGAAGCCUUUGACCUGAAGGGCUUUCUAUAAUGUAAACUGGUGGCAUGAGGCCCAUUCCAGAAUAGGCCCUUGAGCCGAGCCCAAAUGGCAUGACCUUGAAUCUCUUCAGUCAGAAUGACAAAUGGAUGCGGUGCGUACUGUGCUCGUGUCCAUUUGUUCAUUGCUCGCCGACGCUAACUGCCUAACUAGGCCAACUUUAUUCAGACUGCAAUAGAAUGGACCAACAAACAUGCCAUAAAUCCUUGUGCUAAUUAAUUAUUAUUAGUUAUAUUUAUAAAUAAGCAAAACGAGAGAUGCAGGGAGUGAGAGUAAUACCAUAUAUGUAUUGAAAAUUGCAUAAAAUUUGAUAUAAAAAAAUACAAAAGACAAAAAAAAAAAAAAGUAAGUUUGUAUUUAUUUAACUCCAAUAAUCAUAAUAAACUAUUGAAUUAUAGACCAGAAGUUCUAUCUACAUAAUUAGAAGGCACAAACACUAUUUCUGCUAAUUGAAGAAAAUCAAGAAAUGCUGAUUCCGUCAUGCUUAGUUUCAUGUUAGUUAAAGUUUAAAGCGAUCAGAUUCAUAAUCAUUAAUAUGCUUUUAUACGAAUCCUUGGUUUUGAAUAUAAUAAUGGUUUCAGAAAUGCAUACCUGUUAGUUCUCCAUUUCUUGACUCCGAGGAAAAUUUGACUUGUCAGAUGAAGCAAUGUUAUAAGAGGUUUCAUACACAGCUUAUACGCGAUCACUACCAUGCUUACAUGUAAAACGUUGCUGCAAUCAUACUGGACAGACCUUCAGAGGUUACUCUUCGAAGCGUUUCAUGAUGCCACGUGUACUUGAUUAUUUGACUAAUCACGGUUCACAAGUUGAGUGAGCUACUCACCACACCACCUUCCUGCUGCAAAGAAUUUUAACUGAACUUUGACUUGGUCAGAAACUCAGAAUAACUGAGGACCCAAAUGACGAAUUCUAAAAGCUGAAUGAUGUAUGUGUAAAUUAAAUAUAACUAUUAAUCAUAUGGUAAUUUUUUAAAAGAAGUACAUAUAUGUCAUAUGUAUACUAAGUGGGUGUAGUGCAACGAAGGUGCUCUAAUAUUUUUUCAGUGAACACAAUAUAAUCAUCAAAGUGAAAGAAAAACUUUUGAGGUUUUGGUGUAUUCAUUAGUGAAAUUUGAGCCGAAAAGAAAAAUUCAUAUUUGUAAACAUCAAAACCAAAAUCAUUUGGAAUUACUUGCUGAAAUUGAUUAGGUCAUUUUUAACCUCAAAUUUAAGAUCAUUAAUCAUUGCAUGAAUGUUUUGAUUUUAAUAUCAGUGGCAAUCACGGACACGUCUAAUGAUUUGAUUAAAUUUGUGUUUAGUUCUAUAAAUUAUUUCAAUCAUUGUUAUGAUUUUUUUGGGUUGACUCGACGGAGCAACUAAUAAUUACCCAGUUCUGCUGCUGAAUUUAUUUCCCAAGAUUUGAUUAAACAGAACUCCCCUAAAACUUCAGUUCAUUUCACUAUUGUAAUAGAGGUUUCAUUCACGUUGAAUGUCUAGUAUAAUUACUGAUAGUUAUAUGUUGAAUGCUACCUCAAUGUAGCUUACUGCCGCAAUAAUACCUGAUGAUUUUUUAUGACAAAAAAUUGUAUGAUUAAAAUGAUUAUAAGAUCAUCUAAAGCCGAGUUUCACCAUUAACUACCAAAAUACUCCAGAAAUCCAAUACAUUUAACUAAACACAAAUUUAAUCAAAUCGUUAGACACUCAACCUGAAAGUGGAUUCGAAGUAAUAUUAAUGAAAACAAAGAAACAGGGGGACCCUCGUGAUCGCCAACGCCAUCUUACCCUUGAUAAAGAGAAAGAAGUCAAGCUCCAUAUAAUAUAAUACCUCACAAAUUAUACAGAAAAAAAUGGCCUCAUUUCAGAUGCUACAUAGAUGGUUUUCAUGAAUCCUCGUUUUGUGUGAUGAAUUUUUUUUUUUUGACAUUUAAUAGAGUAUACAAAAUAAAAAUAAAAAUUUAAAAUUUACUAGAUGAGCCAAUAAAGUAUAGUAGUGUUCAGAAAUUUUUUUUUUUUUUUUUCUAGAAUGUGAAUAACCCAUCCAAAGUAAUGUUACCUUAUUAGACUGAGGUUCUCCCCCCUCCCCCACAAAAAAAAAAAAGUUGCUUCUUGGUUUUUAAUGCAAACACGAUUACACGAAGAGCUUUCGUUAAUAGUGCUUUUAGAUUGGAUUUCUAUGUUAAAAUAUAAAUCAGUUUUAGAACACUAAAUUGAGGGAGAAUAUUCGAUUUGAUCUUAUUGUAGGCUACUUCAAGAGUGUAAGAAACUGCUCCUGGAGCAUGCUAUUACAUGUUUUGUUUGUGGAAAAUGAUAUUUGUGCUGUCAAUUUUAUGCUGCAAUGGCACUAUAGUAUAAGCAAUACCCAUAUUUCUGCAUGACUUCCGAAUAUCUUGCAGCUGUUCAAAUAACAAUGCUCUUUGUUUGCCUACAAACCUCUAUUUUCUGUCAACAUAAUCGAGGUAGCAACCCGCUAAUAAUUUUGUAAAUUGAGCCUGGAUGAAAAAUUGAUGAAUGUGUGGGUGAGAAUAAUCAUUACUCAAAUCUUUCACUGAUGUCCUAAAUGAUUUCUCCUUCUAUAGAUUACAGUGGUUGGUUAUAAUCACAAAUUGAGGAUCUUGCUGGAAGCUGUUGUUCAAAAAAUUGCAGAAUUCAAAGUGAAACCAAACAGAGCACUUAUUUCGGUCUAAGUAGCCACAGUAAAGAUUGAAUUGUGCAAUUGUUUGUGUGGAAUCAAGUUAGUUAUAUUCGGUUAUAACAGCUGAGCUGGAAAGCUGAGUCAGCAAGGGUGGGUCCCCAGGUGGUUUUAGUUAGUCGUUAUAACCAGCUGUAAACUGCUAGCUUUAUAAGCUUCAGUGAGAGAGAGAGCUGAUCAGUUAGUUAAGCGAGAUAGUUUGUGAGCUGAGAAAGAUUCUCUGUGUGAGUUUAGUUUCUUGCUCUGAGUGGAUUCCAUUGUAAUCUUGAUAUCUCCUAAUAAAGCUUUAGCUCUACUGUUCCUGAUCGUGGAUGUAGGUACCUUGGUACCGAACCACGUUAUCUUUGUCUUGAGUCUUUAAAGUUCUUUAUCUUGCUCUGUUGUUUCUGGUGUUGGUAUCAGUUGUUCCUGGGUUCUUGCUUUGGUUGUGUUUAGUUAUUGCAUCAGUAGAAUUGCAAGGUUGAUCAGAAUAUUCCAACAAACUGGUAUCAGAGCUUGGUCAUCUAUCAAGCUCCUUGAAAUCCUCCAAUGGCAUCUACAAGAUUCGAUCUGGAGAAGUUUAAUGGGGACAAUGACUUCUAUUUGUGGAGUCUCAAAAUGAGGGCAAUCUUGAUUCAGCAAGGAUUAGAUGCUGCUCUUGAAGAUGAUGAAGAUUCAAAGGCCAAGAAAGGGAAGGAAGAAGAAUCAUCCAGCUCUGGCAGAGACAUGAAGACUAUCAACAACAAAGCUCAUAGCACUAUCAUCCUACAUCUCUCGAAUGAAGUGCUAAGAGAGGUGUCUAAAGAAAAGACUGCUUCUGGUCUAUGGGAGAAACUAGAAGAAUUAUUUUUAAAGAAAUCUCUAGCCAAGAGACUGUACAUGAAGAGAAAGCUAUACACAUUUUCAAUGAAGGAUGGAACAGCUUUGAAAGAUCAUGUGGAUGAAUUUAAUAAGCUGAUCCUAGACCUUGAAAAUGUGAAUAUAGUUCUUGAGGAUGAAGAUAGAGCCCUGAUCCUAUUAAGCUCACUCCCAGACUCUUACGAGCAUUUUGUUGACACAUUGCUUUAUGGAAGACAAACACUUACAUUAAAGGAUGUAAAGAAUGCCCUGGAAUCAAAGGACUUGAAGAGGAAAAUAGAUGGGAAGGAUCAAAACCCUGCAGAAAGCUUAGUUGCAAAAGCAAAACCAGAUAAGAAAUUCUACAAGGACAAGAAGAAUAGCAACCAGAAAGAUAAACCAGACAAGAAGAAAAAGAAGAGAAAAUGUUACUUUUGCCAAAAAGAAGGUCAUUACAUCAAGGAUUGUUUUGAAAAGAAGAAGCUUGAGAAAUUACAGAAGGAAUCUGAUGGAAAGGCUGCUGUAGCCUCUGAAGAUGAAGGGAUGUCAGAUGAUGCAGAUGUCCUCAUUGCUGCAGAAAAGCAAUCUUCAGGUGAGUGGAUUCUUGACUCAGGUUGCUCCUUCCAUAUGUGUCCAAAUAUAGAUUUCUUUAAGACCUUUGAACAAGUUGAUAGUGGAAAGGUCUUGCUUGGUAACAAUCUUGCCUGUAAAGUAGCUGGAAUUGGAACCAUUAAUAUUAGGAUGUUUGAUGGGAUUGAAAGAGAUCUAAAACAGGUCAGAUAUGUUCCAGAAUUAAAAAGAAAUCUAAUAUCUUUAGGAGUAAUGGAUCAGUUGGGCUGUAGUAUAAAAGCAGAGAAUGGAAAUCUUCAAAUUGAAGAUAAAGGCCAGGUUAUAAUGAAAGGCAUAAGGAGGAAUGGUUUAUAUGUACUUGCUGGCUCAACAACUAUGCCAGCAAUCACAGCUAGUGUAAGCAGUGAUAAAACCAAACUUUGGCACAUGAGGCUAGCACACAUGAGUGAAAAGAGGUUGAGAGAAUUAAGUAAGCAAGGGCUGCUAGGAAAUGAUCAAAUCACUUCACUACAAUUUUGUGAAAAAUGUGUGUUUGGUAAAGCCACAAGGCAAAAGUUCAACUUUGGUAGACAAGAAACAAAACAGACCUUAGACUAUGUUCACUCAGACCUUUGGGGUCCAUCCCAAGUUCCCUCUCAUGGUGGAGCUAGGUACUUCAUCUCAUUCAUAGAUGAUUACUCUAGAAGAGUGUGGGUCUAUGUGCUGAAGCAUAAGAGUGAAGCAUGUGAAAGGUUUAAAGAGUGGACUGCACUUAUGGAAACCCAAACAGAAAAGAAGCUUAAAAGGCUGAGGACUGAUAAUGGCCUGGAAUUCUGUAGCAGUGACUUUGAAAAUUUUUGUAAAUCAAAAGGCAUUGCAAGACAUAGGACAGUGAGGCACACUCCCCAGCAAAAUGGCUUGGCUGAAAGGAUGAAUAGGACCUUAAUUGAAAAGGUCAGAUGCAUGCUGUUUAAUGCAAAUAUGUCAAAGCAUUCUUGGGCUGAGACAGUUAAUACAGCUACAUAUCUAAUAAAUAGGAGCCCCUCAUCAGCUUUAGAUUUUAAAACACCUCAAGAAGUAUGGUCAGGGAAGCCACCAAACCUUAGUAACCUCAGGGUGUUUGGCUGUCCAGCUUAUGCCCAUAUAAGUCAGGGCAAGCUAGAACCAAGGGCUGUGAAAGGAUACUUUAUAGGGUAUCCAGAAGGCAUAAAAGGGUACAAAAUCUGGUGCACUGAUGGCAAGCCAUCUAGAACCUUGAUCAGUAGGGAUGUUGUGUUUAAUGAGGAAGCUAUGUUGCAGCAGAAGGUUGGAACAGAAGUUGAAAUCUCUGAACCCCUAAAUAGAUCUAAGUUGAAGGUGGAGUCCAGAGAUAGUUUGAAAGAAAGUAAAGAGACAAUUGAUCACCAUCAAGAAAGUGCCACAACAUCAGAACUUGACAACUAUCAGCUUGCGAGAGAUAGAGAAAGAAGGGUAGUUAAACUGCCCAAAAGAUAUGGAAUUGCUGACUUAAUAUCUUAUGCACUGAUGGUUGCUGAUGAGGUGACUGGAGAUGAACCUGAAAGCUACAAGCAGGCUAUGAAUAGCAGAGAUAAGUUGAAAUGGCUGAAUGCUAUGGAAGAAGAAAUGGCAUCACUCAAGAAGAAUAACACUUGGGUUCUAGUUCAGAGGCCUACUGAAAGAAGAUUGGUGGGCUGCAAAUGGAUUUUUAAACUCAAGGAGGGAGUUGCUGGAAGUGGAUCAGUGAGGCAUAAAGCCAGGCUUGUGGCAAAGGGGUUCACACAAAAGGAAGGAAUAGACUUCAAUGAAGUCUUCUCACCUGUUGUUAAACACUCCUCUAUAAGGGUUAUAUUAGCCAUCACAGCUUAUUUUGAUUUAGAAUUGGACUAGAUGGAUGUGAAGACUGCCUUCUUACAUGGAAACUUAGAAGAAGAAAUUCUGAUGACUCAGCCAGAGGGUUUUGUUGAGGAAGGAACUGAGGACAUGGUUUGCUUGCUCAAGAAAAGCUUGUAUGGGUUGAAGCAGUCUCCUCGGCAAUGGUACUUAAAGUUUGAUGAGUUUAUGCUGAAUCACAACUUCAGCAGAAGUGAAUAUGACAAUUGUGUUUACUUCAGGAAGCUAAACUCAGGUGAUCAAAUCAGUCUACUUCUUUAUGUUGAUGACAUGCUUAUAGCAUGUAAACAUAGAGCAGAAGUGGAGAAGCUCAAGACUGAGCUAAUGGCAGUGUUUGAAAUGAAGGAUUUGGGUCCUGCUGCUAAGAUACUGGGAAUGCAAAUUAAAAGGGACAGACAAGCUAAGACUCUAUUUCUCACACAAUCUGGAUAUUUGAAAAGGGUUGUCAGUCGAUUUGGGAUGGUGAACUCAAAGCUUGUCACUACCCCAGUAGCAGCACACUUCAAGCUUUCAAAACAGCAGGAACCAGAAGAAGAAGCAGACAUUGAUCACAUGAGGAGAAUCCCCUACUCCAGUGCAGUUGGCAGCAUUAUGUAUGGUAUGGUCUGCACCAGACCAGAUGUUGCCUAUGGGAUUGGUCUUGUCAGCAGGUUCAUGGGAAAUCCAGGCAAGGAACAUUGGGAAGCUGUUAAAUGGCUGCUGAGGUAUCUUAAAGGCACUGAAGAGUAUGGAGUAAGGUUUGGACAAGUCCGAAGUGCAUCUAGCCAAGUUGUGGGAUAUGUUGAUUCUGACUUUGCAGGAGAUUUAGACAGGAGAAGGUCAGUCACUGGUCUUGUGUUUACUCUCUGUGGUGGAGCUGUGAGCUGGAAGUCAACAUUACAAUCAGUAGUUGCUCUCUCAACAACAGAGGCAGAGUAUAUUACUUUAACAGAGGCUGUGAAAGAAGCAUUGUGGUUGAAGGGGUUAGUUACAGAACUGGGUUUGAAACAAGAAUCAGUCACUGUCAAUUGUGAUAGCUCAAGUGCUAUACAGUUGAGCAAAAACCCCAAGUAUCAUGAAAGAACAAAACAUGUGGAUGUGAGGAUGCACUUUAUCAGGGAAGAAAUUCGAAAUGGUGUGAUUAAUGUCAUUAAAAUUCCUACUGAAGUAAAUCCAGCAGACAUGCUAACAAAACCUUUGCCAAUAGUUAAGUUCAGGAAAUCCUUGGACUUGAUUGGAGUUAUUAACUUGUGAGACAAGUUAACUGAUGAUGGAGCAGUGAUAAGUAAAGCUAUAACCGAGUAAACUAAGGUGGAGAUUUGUGGAAUCAAGUUAGUUAUAUUCGGUUAUAACAGCUGAGCUGGAAAGCUGAGUCAGCAAGGGUGGGUCCCCAGGUGGUUUUAGUUAGUCGUUAUAACCAGCUGUAAACUGCUAGCUUUAUAAGCUUCAGUGAGAGAGAGAACUGAUCAGUUAGUUAAGCGAGAUAGUUUGUGAGCUGAGAAAGAUUCUCUGUGUGAGUUUAGUUUCUUGCUCUGAGUGGAUUCCAUUGUAAUCUUGAUAUCUCCUAAUAAAGCUUUAGCUCUACUGUUCCUGAUCGUGGAUGUAGGUACCUUGGUACCGAACCACGUUAUCUUUGUCUUGAGUCUUUAAAGUUCUUUAUCUUGCUCUGUUGUUUCUGGUGUUGGUAUCAGUUGUUCCUGGGUUCUUGCUUUGGUUGUGUUUAGUUAUUGCAUCAAUGUUGGGUCGAACGACCGUGGCAAUGGGUGUAGAUGGUGGCAGCUAGGUUUUUGUAAUUUUUUUUUGUUUUUCUAAUUCUUACCAGUGUAGCCUAUGGAAGCAAAAACAACCAUUUAGGAGAUUAGUCAGAGACUUAAGUAGUGAUCUAGUUGAACAGCCGCAGUAAAGUUUGAAUUGGGCAAUUUUUUGGACAAUAUGUUUCCAGCAAGAUCCUCAAAUUUGUGAUUAGAACCAACCAGUGUAGCCUAUGGAAGCAAAAACAACCAUUUAGGAGAUUAGUGAGAGACUUGAGUAGUGAUCUAGUUCCGCACUGGUCUCAACCUUCUCUUCAAUCUCUUGCCCUUUUGCUUUCGUCUCAGAGACUCCGCGCUGAAUGCCCGUACUUUCACUCUUCCGCUUCUCUGUUUCUGCCUUGAUAUCAUCAAAGAUGGCAUUAAUCGUAGAAUAAGCAGAUAACAAUCUAAAGUGAAGGAGGCCAUAGGAAAGUGAGAUUAAAAAACAAACAGAAGCCAAGGUUUUUUUUCAGAUGAAAACGGAAACAAGAAAAGGACCAAUGCGAAGAGCUGACAGAACGGAUGACUGAAUAAGAAGUGAGUUGAUUAUUUUAUACAGCCAAUUCAUGUAAUGACAGAUCUGGUUUCGAUCUUUGUAAUUUAAAUGUAUUAUCAGUACGAGGUGAAGGACUUUUUUGUCGACUCAGUCCAACACAAAUUCAAAUUACUAAAGCAACGUGAUACUGGUUUUGAUCUUUGUAAAUUAAGCACAUCAAUACGAGGUGACUCUCACAAGACUUUUGAUGUGCUAUUGCCAGUCAAAUAUGAGACGAAAUGUGAAUAGACUCAGUUAGUUGUGUUGUUAUUUAGGAGGUCGAGUCCAGAUAACAUCCAGCUCACUUGCCUUCUCAAUGACCAACAUUUUGUGAGCCAAGCGUUCGACUUCAAACCACUUAAUCUGAUGAGAUGAAUUUUCAAGCCGAAAAACAUGCUUCAAUUAAAAACAGAGACAGCAGGUGCCCUGUACUCAGGAUCCGAUCAUACAUAUACAAAGAAUAUCUGCUAUUAAGAAUUUCACAUCUCAAGUAGUUGAAAUUUAGUUUCGAAAGAAAAGAAUGGAAUAAUUGAUAAUAACAAUAAAUUACUAUAUCGCAUGCAUGUUCAGGUGACUUAAUUUGCAUUUACGCUUGCAAUGCCUGACGUGCGCACGUGAUCGCAAAAAUAAACUUGAAUAGAAUCUCUCACAUUCACCAGAAAAUUGUUGCACAUAAUAAUAAUACAAGGGAUGCACAGAAAUGGUAAGUUCACACAUCUUUAGUUUAGAUGAUCAAAUGAAGGAAUUGCACACAGAUUUUUACGCUUCCAAAGCUGUAGCGGCAGCGUGUAAGUUACAAUACAAUUGAAACUAGUUUAGUCGAAGCUCUCAGCAUGUGAUGUUUCGCAGAAGGAAUACCAGUUUCAGAGAAAUAUUAUCUAAUUUUGCACACCUUUCACGGAAUACCAAAAAAUAAAUGAUCAAAUAAAAGAUUACUACAAAAAUACAUUCCUAUCAAUCAUCAUAUAAUUUCAAACUAUAUGUGUUUUUUUUUUUGGGUUAAUCGAAGGUUCCUGGAAGUUGCAAGUCCCUGCCGGUGUCAAAGGGAAGGUACCAAUCUCGUGUUCGUCCUUCCAAUGUCAAAGGGAAUACUCUGCACCUCUGCGCUAGUGUUAGCCCCUGCACUCCAGUCAUGUCGUUGAAGCGCUCGACGUGCACCAGCGGGCCACUUUUUCCUGAGUAUUUGAGGUCGAGAAAAUGAAAAUCUCUUGGUAUCAUAGUGCCCAUGAUUUCAGCUGAAAGCCGAGAUUAAUCAUCCAGCAUUAUUCUCUAACUGAGGGGCUUUCUCCUACCCUGCAUUUGUCAUGAUUUGGUAUAAUCGUUUUGUUUUGUUUAUUUCCUCUUAUUUGGUCCAACUUCAUCUUGCCUCUCGUUAAAUGCAAAAUCAUCCAGCUUCAAAUGGAAAUCCUCGAAAUCCAAAUUCUUUGCACUAUAUUGAUCCUUCAGGCAGAUUGAAUUCUUACCAGCAGGUAAGGUUUUGUUAUGACUCACAUUUUGACAAGUGAUCUCUGAACUCUGAAGGUCAUAAAAUGGUCAUUUUGUCCAGUGUUUUCGACUUAGAAAAUGCAUGUGACUUUCAAGUCUUUCUAUGGCCGUCAUAGGGAAAUAGAUAUUUCAAUAGUUCGUAGAAGUUGAGAGAGAAUAUCACUGAUUAGUUAUUGGCCUCUUAAACCAUUUACAGGCAAUAACGGAAAUUGGGGAGGUCAUACAAUUUUAUGAUUCUGAUAGACGCUUUCCUGCAUGGGGAUUUGGAGGGAAGACAUUUGAUGGCACUGUAUCACAUUGUUUUAACUUGAAUGGAAGAGCAGGUGGCUUUGAGGUAGGGGUAGCUGGAGUUCGCAACUUUGCUAUAAUCCUUAUUUGGUUGGCUUGUCUCCCAUAACUUUUCAUUUUUAAUAACAAACAAUAUAAUAUGUUUCUACAUUUUUAAAAAAAUUUCCUUGGAAUUUUAUCCUAAAAGAUGUGUAUUUUAUCCUCUUCCAUUUUUUCAUUAACUGCUGGUUUCUUUAUUUAAUAGGCAGAUGGAGUUGAAGACAUUAUGGCUGCCUAUGCAAGCGCUCUAAACAAUGUUUCUUUGGCAGGACCGACUCUGUUUGGUCAAGUGAUCAACACAGCUGCACGAAUUGCUGGACAGUCCCUCUCAUACGACAGAAGCAAGUAUUUCAUCUUACUCAUGAUAACGGUGAUUACAAUGAUUCUAUAUAUUCACAGUUUUCUCUUUCUAUCAUUCUUUUUGGGUGAUUUGUAAAUUUGCAUGGUCUAUCUAGGAUGGAGUUCUGACAGAUCUCCAAGAAACGAAAGAUGCUUUGGUAAGGGCUUCUGAUCUUCCCCUGUCAAUUCUAAUUGUGGGUGUGGGAGGUGCAGAUUUUACACAAAUGGAGGUACACAAUGUUUUCUAACUGGAAUAUCUUCUUACUAGCAUCGAACUUCUUUUUUCUAUAGUUUGAUAGAUUCAAUUUAGAGUAUAUAUGCAGUGUGGUAUUAUCCCACUUUUGUUGCAGAUUCCUGAUGCUGAUAACUUUGUUGGCAGAUUCUUGAUGCUGAUAAUGGCCGUAGAUUAGAGAGCUCUACCGAUCGGGUAGCUACCAGAGAUAUAGUACAAUUUGUUCCAAUGCGAGAAGUUCAUAGUGAGUGCAUAAGAUUCUUUGAAAAAAUUAGUUCAAACUAUUGAAUUUGGGAGUUAAUUCACAGAAGUUUCUAAAUUUUUUCAUGCCUGAACAAAGGAACCCAUUGUUUUCUGAACAGGUGGGCAAAUUUCUGUUGUACAAGCACUUUUGGAGGAGCUGCCUGGUCAGUUUUUGACCUACAUGCGCUGCAGAGAUAUCAAACCACUCAAUGUUCAGAUGGCCCAAACAUGCGCUUGAGUAAAUAUUCAUAUAUUUGGAAAGGAUACAAAACCAAGCCAAAUAUAUUAGACAAGACCAAGCCAAACAUAUUAGGCUAUACAAACAUAACAUAGCAGAAAUUGAUAAUGGUACAUUACAUAUGUUAGGAUAUAGCGGUUUUAGAUGAUGGUAAAUUACAUAUGUUAAGAUAGAGUGGUUUGUAACUAACUUUUGAUGGCUUAAUGAAUUGAUUGAAUUUGUAUUUAGAUUCUAUCAAUGAUCUCCUAUCCAUGUCUUUCGAUUUUUAUUAUUCCCUCUACCCACUUGUUUCACAAUUGUUUGUGUCUGAUGGCCUAAAACUCCAGUUUCUGUUGCUGUAUUAUCAUCUUUGUUGAAUAUCUACUACAAUGAACAUGUGCUGAAUGUCAACUUUUACUACUACACCAGCAAUCUAACACAUGGCUCACGUGCACACAAGACAAGUCUGAUUCACACAUCUUUAAUUUAGAUUCUUAUAUAGUCUUUCAAGAUGUCUGAAACAGCAUAGAUGAAGGACCCUUCCACCAUUCAACCUGGAAUGAUGUGAGUGAAAGAAAUUUCCAAUAGGUGCACGAACACAAAUAUGAUGCACACAUCUCUUUAAUUAAUUUAGGGCUUAAAGAGAUUUUCAGAUGCCUACAAAUUGAAUAUGGCAGAUCUUGGACACCAUCCAUAAGAAAUAAAACUAGCCUCAAAUUGGAUUUAUGAGUACUCAAACAAAGCUAAAAGCAUAAUAAUGAAUGAAAACUGAAACAAAAAAUCCUCUCACCAACACCAUAUGACUCUUAAUAUAUAGAAAGAACUCAAGCUCGAGCCUUAUCCAAAAUGCUGCACAAGUAGCAUGAAUCGUCUUCAUAAGUUUGGAGACUCUGUAGACAAAGAGUAAAAAGACAUUGAAGGUGUAGUUUUUACAUAAUUAAAUUGCACAAAUUAGCCUCUAUUAAGGACACAUAAAUCCUUCAAUUCUCUCUCUAAGCAAUUAAUUUCAUUUUUUAUUCUUUUAUUUUUCGCUAUGUCUGUCUAACAACUAAUCCUCAACAUAACAACAGAGCAGAGUAGUUAUAUUUUAAAAAGAUGUACCAAUAUGAUUUAACAAAAAUUCAACAUAAAUAAAACAUUUUUAGUUAGCAAAAUAGAAUAAAAUCAAAACCUCUCAAAUUAUAUAGAUUUUAUCUUACCACUGUUUUUCGCAUCUUUCUCCUUUUCAUUCGCCUUGGCGGACUUCUCUUUCUCUUUUUCCUCCUCUUCCUAAUCAGAUUUAAAAUGAAUUCAUAAAAAAAUUAAUAUGUACUUUUUUCUUUUUACUUUUAUAUAUAUAUCUGUUAUUAAAUCAGUAAUUUUUAGAAAAAAAAAUAAAUCAACAUCUCAUAGUGAAUGAAUACUUACCUUUUUUCUUUUAAGAUAUACAUAUUGAAUGGUUGUAUUAAGGUCCCGAUCCCAAGCCCAAAGUUUUUCAUCGACUAGGCUCAGCUGCACUUUCUGUAACUUGGGUGUGCUUAAUUCCCCUUUUGAGAAAAUCUUCAUAUUGGGGCAAUUAUGCACCAUUAAUCUUUCCAGAGAUGGGAAUUUGAAGUCGCAAUUAUUCCCAGAGCAGCUGAAACUAGUCAGACUUUUUAAGUCCCAAAGCUGCAAUUCCUUUAAUUCGCUGAAAACAAUUUCAUCUUUUGCUGCAUAAUUAUCUCCCUCAUCAUCCUCAUCUGCCACUAUUUCUGUUAUCAUCUCGCAGAAACUUAUCUGCAUUUGUCUCAGUCGCACCAGACUCCUUGCUGUUGAGGAUGUUAGUACGUGUAUCAUUCCAUGGCAACUACUUACCUUCAAAGUUGUUAGGUUCUGAAACGAUGUCGAGGAUGGCACUAGAUUAGUCAAAUUGCGACAAUGAAAUAUCUCUAGCUGUUCCAAAUUGUUGGUAUUGGUUGACUCUUGUUUGAAAAUCUGCUUUAGUUCACGACGAUGGUUUAUCCCUCUCAUCCUUGCAUUCAUCCCAUUUUCAAGGUUUUCAAAUGAUCUGUACAAAACCUGAUUGUUUCCUCCUACAUAGAGAAUUUUGAUGGUGUGAAAUCUAUGGAGGAAAUCGUCAAGUGAUAAAAUAGUACUUGACUCAUCAAGCCUGACAUCAAGACAUUUAAGUUUGCAAAGCCAGUCUUCUGGAAAUAGGCCUAUGUGCUUUUCAUCAACACUCAAUUCUUCCAAAUUGGGGAACACCUGGGUGAUCAUCAAUCACGAAAAAAGCAAGAUGGAGUUAACACUUCUUUCUUACGAUUUCACAAAUUAAAGUAAAUACAAAGCAUUCCAUUUAAGAAGCUAGUAUUUCAUAUGCGGAGAUGGAGUUAUACAUAUGCGGAGAGAGUAUGAUUUUCAGCUGUAAAUACAAAGUAAAUACAAAGCAUUCCAUUUAAGUAAUGUGUAUUUUCUUCCAUUCUCUCUUCUUAACUCUUGUCCAGUAGAUAGAUUUUCAAAGUUUAUUAGAUUUGUGCAUAAUCUCUAUGAAAAAGACUUCAAUUAUUCUCAAAUUGCAUUUAAACUUUGAGAUUCUUUUAAUUGAUCCGUUUAUUUGGUUUGAAUUGAAAAUCUUACAAAUUUCUUUUUUAAAAGUUUAAUAAUAUAGUAAGAAGCUAGUAUUUCAUUAAUAUUCAUCCAACUCAAUGGAAUUGGAUAUAUUUACUAUUGUGCAAGAAUGGAUUUUAUUGUACAUAAAGUUUAAUAGAAUAUGAUUUCUUAAUUUGAGUUUUGUCCAUCUUUCUAUAUAUAUUUCAAAAAUAUUAUUUAUGUUAGCACAAGAUGACCAAUUUCUACUUCAACAUCAAAAUUGAUAAUCAUUUUGUAUGUAACAAUACUGUACUAAGGAGUACUAAUUUGGAAAUAGCUCUUGAACGAUUUUCAGGGAAUUAACUAUGGCUUGAAAAACUCUAAAUCUUAUGAGUAUUUUCUUUGUUUGGCUAAUCAAAUGCACUGUCUCUUCCGUGUAUUUAACUAAACAUAUAGACAUAAAAUAAAAAGUAGAAGAAGAAGAAAAACUCUGAUAAUUAAGAGAAAAAAAAUUGAACUAACAUUAUUGAAGAGUGAUAAUUAUGUUUAUUGAAGAUUUAUUGAAUUCAAUAUUCGAUAAUGAGAAGAUUUAUUGAAGAGUGAUAAUUAUGUUUAUACGGUAUUAUAAAGUAUAAAUAAAGUGAUUUAUAGAACUAACAUUUUCUUACUAAAAGACAAAGUGAUGAGGGCAAUGACGAAAAGAAAACUCUAAACUCUCAAAGUAGAAAUGCUUUUAAGUACGUAAGAAUUGAACAAUAAUUACAAAAAUCUUGCACGUGUACCUUUUCAAAAUGCAGAUCACGACGCUGAUUUAUUCCUGUUAUCACUACCUUCAUUCCAUUUUCAAACUCGUCAGGUGGAUCUUUCCAAAAAUCAUCGUUUUCUUUUAUAACAAGAACUUUGAUGGCGUGAAAUCUGUGGAGGAAAUCGUCAAGUGAUACAAUAGCAGUUGACUCAUCAAGUCGGACAUGAAGACAUUUAAGUUUGCAAAGCAAGUCUUCUGGAAAUAGACCUAUGUGCUUUUCAUCAACAAUCAAAUCUUCCAAAUUGGGGAUGGCCUGGGUGAUCACCAAUCACAAAAAAAGCAAGAUGGAGUUAGAUCUUCUUUCUAACAAUUUCACAUAUUAAAGUAAAUAAAGCAUUCUAAUGAUGAAUAAUAUUGAUGGCCAGACAAUAUAUAUAUACAUACAUACAUACAUACAUACAUACAUACAUACAUACAUAUAUAUAUAUUGUUCUCAAUUAUUCUCAAUUUACAUUUAAACUUCCAGAUUCUUUUAAUCCAUCGGUUUAUUUGGUUUGAAUUGAAAAUCAUACAAAUUUAUUUUUUUAAAAAUUGGAUAUUUUAACCUUUUUUUUUUUAACAAAAGCAAAAAGAAUAAACAGCUUGAAUUGCUAGCACAUAUGAAAAGAAGGAAAAUUUGCACAAAUUUAAAAAAAUUAAUAAUAUAGUACGAAGCUGGUAUUACAUUAAUAUUCAUCCAACCCAAGGGAAUUGGAUAUAGUUUACUAUUGUACAAGAAUGGGUUUUAUUGUAAAUAAAGUUUAAUAGGAUAAAAUCUCUUCAUUUGAGUUUUGUCCAUCUCUCUACAUAUAUUUUUAAGCAUAAUAUAUAUGUUAACAUGAGAUGAACAUUGAUCAUCAUUUUGCAUGUAUGUGGCUUGAAAAUGGCACUCAGAAAUACUUUUGAUGUACUGUGGCUUGAAAAACUCUAGAUCAUAUGAUCAUUUUCUUUGUUUGGCUAAUCAAAUGCACUGUCUCUUUCGUGUAUUAACUGAACAUAUAGGCAUAAAAUAAAAAGAAAAAAAGUAGACGAAGAAGAAAAUCUCUUGAAGAGUGAUAAUUAUGUUUAUUGAAGAUUUAUUGAAUUCAAUAUUCGAUAAUGAGAAGAAUUAUUGAAGAAUGAUAAUUAUGUUUAUAAGGAUAUUAUAAAAUAUAAAUAGACUGAUUUAUUUAACUAACAUUUUGUCACUAAAAGAUAAAGUGAUGAGGGCAAUGACGACAAUAAAACUCUGAAUUCUCAAAGUAGAAAUACUUUUCAGUACGUAAGAAUUGAAAAAUAAUUAAAAAAAUCUUGCACGCGUACCUUUUCAAAAUGCAGAUCACCUGUGCAGAAGCUUGUAAGCUGCGGAAGAGAACGAAGCUCAAGUGUCCUCAAUUGAGUGAGUUCAAUCACUUCAGUACCGUUAUUAUUGCUGGAUUCAUCUCCUCUCUCGGCAGCAAAAAUCACUUCCAUAUUUUGGCAACUACUCACUUUAAUGGACUGAAGUUGUUGAAGGCCUCUGCCAAUGACCAAUGGAAAUACAUUUUUCAAUUUAUCACACCCUUCCACCUCUAUGGUCUUUAAUUUGCAAAAGGACUCUGCUGUGAGUGGACCACGACAUAUUUCCUCAAGGUUCCUUAAAUCUCUCAGAAAUAAUGACCCCAAAAGGGGGAAUGCAGUCGUCCGAGCUGGCGUACAAUCCAUUGAGUCAACAAGACAAGAAAGGUUGCCAUUACGUCGGAUUUGGAGACCCUUCAGUUUUGGAAAGACUUCUCUGCCUAGUUCGCAAAGAACAUUCUUCAUGUCAAGCGAUCCACCUGAAGUUAGGUCUUCAAUACGCUUCAAUUGCAUGAUAUGCCCCUCGUUCAAGCAAAUGUUGGCACCAUUUGUGAGCUUCAGUUUGGAUAUUCUAGAAAUCCCAUCCCACGCGUCAUACUCCCUGCUAUCUCCUAUCAAUAUCCUGUACCUUUGCAGCAUUUUGAAGAACGACAAGUCUCUUGGUAGAGUCUUUUCAUCUUGGAUGAGUAUUUCUAAAGAGGUCAAUUUAGAUAAAUUAUUCAACUCGUCAAGGCUGGCAUUUCUUCUUUCACCGUCGACUCCUUCAACCUUCCCCCACUGAAUGGGACUCUGGCCAAUAUACAAUUCUUCUAAUCGUGAUAAGCUUGAUAUAACAUUUGGUGGAAUAACCUUUAGUUCGAAACACUUGCUCAAAUUCAACAACCUCAAUUGAGUCAGCUGGCCUAUCUCUCCAGCCAGUUCCUCCAUAUCAGAACCUCGAAGCGCAAGGAUGACUAAUUUCUUUAGGUCUCCGAUAAUGGCCAUGUCUCCUAGUUCACAAUCAUCGAGAGACAAUGUUUGAAGGUUUUGCAAGAGACCAAGCGAUGAAGGCAAUGCCAACAAAUGCAUCUUAGUGAAAUCUAAAACUCUAAGCUCUGUCAUCCCAGUAAAAAAUUUAUCUGGGAUCCUCAAAGAAGCAUGACAGCUAAUACAAAGGAAUUUAAGUUGCGGGCAUUCGAACCCUUGAGGAGGCUCAUUAAUAUUACUAUUCUUUAAGGAGAUUGCGGUGCAAACCUUCAGUGUAUCCUUAUCUGGCCAGCUGGUCAGCGGAACAACCUCAUUUUCCGCCGCAAACACAUGUUGGUCUCUUGACGCAAUUGAUCUGGCUACAUCACGAACAACAUCAUGCAUUGAAAACCAUUCACUUGAACCGCCAUCAAGCAACAAACAAGAGUUCUUGAGUUUAUCAACCAAUGUAUGUGCUCUAUCCCGUGCCUCUUCCAACGUGUUGAUGUUUUGAAACAGACCCAAACCCAUGCCAUAAUAGAGUAGGUCUUCAACACAAGAGAAGAACGUGUACCCUAUUAGCAAAAAUGUUUUCUUCAGUUCCUCUCCGUUUAAAUGAUUGUAACUUAGCUCUAUACUUUUGUACGCCACCUGCGUUGUUCCAGUGAAGUUUCUCAAGGAAGGCCUUCUAAAUUCCAGCAAAGCAUCCUUCCAUUCAGACAAUCUCUUAUUUCUCAAUGCCCUUGCUACGGGUACAAUGGCAAUGGGCAAACCAGCACAUUCCUUGACUAGCUCUGUUGCUACAGAUUUCAGUUCACCAUUUUCUAUGCAAUCACCUGUCAUCUUUUUGAAAAGACUCCAAGCUUCUUUUUCGUUCAGAACAUCAACAAAAAAAUUAUGUUGACAAUCCAUCUUACAGGAUAACACAUCGUGACUUCUUGCUGUCAGCAGAACUUUACAUCCGCCGUUGUCAUCUGCCAAUGGAAUUCCAAUCGCCUCCAAAUCCAGACUCCCCCAAAUAUCAUCCAAGAUUAUAAGGAUCUUCGUCUCUUUCUUCAAUCGUUCAAGCAGCCUCCCUGCUCUUACAGUUUCAUGACUCUGUUCGGCCAAUUCUAAGCCUAUCUUCUCUGCGAUUUCUCCUUGUAUAUUUUUUAUUUGCGGUGUUUGUGAAACACGUGAAGAAAUGACCUUCUCAAACAGAUUAUUUUCCUUGACCUGCCUGCCAACUUCUUUCACCAGCGUUGUCUUUCCAAUGCCACCCAUCCCGUACACCCCAAUCAUGUUGAAGUUACGGUUGCUGAGUGCGCCUAGUACCUCCUUCAAGGUGGACUUUCUCGAUUCAAAGUGCAUGAAAUCCUGGGUAGACUUAAGCCAUGUCUCCUCUGGAAUGGUACGGAAAGAAACACUGUCGAAUCUCCCUUUUUCAUGGAGUCCAACAAUAGCAUUCGCCUCUCUUUCUGCUUUCUUGCUAAGCUGGUACCGAGUCCUCAAAUUAGGACAUAACCCCUUCAAACACCGGUUGUUUGAAUUCUCUUUGUCUUCAAUAAGUGUUUCGACUUCAUUGAUCUCCUUGUUCGCAGCAAUCAGCCACUCCUCAACGUGCUGUUGAAUUCCGUCCCCUUUAAUUCUAGAAUCAUCAACCUUAUACUGCACACUGUCUCUAGCAUUCUUUAGCUUAUCGACUUCAUUAUUCAGCUUCUCGAAGUAGGUCUUGUAAGUGCAGCAGUAAGUAAAUGGAUAAAUUAUGGGAGCAACCAAGUACUCUGCAACUUUUGCAGCAACGGAGAUAACAAUUUCCAUUAUCCCUUUCUUUUUUAUUUUUCGCUUUCAGAAAACAGGGGAAAGCAAAACUAAUCAAACUAAGCAGAAGUAAUCAAUCAGCUGGGAUGAGGGAAAUAAGAAGUUUGGAUAAAUUGCUAAAAUAAGAGGUUGAAUAGAUUUAAGGGAGGAGGAGAGGAAAAUAAUGAAACAAAGGGGGAUCCUUUUUCUGCUAAGAAAAAUUGAAAAGCGAGUACAAUAAAUGAAAGAUUUGCAAAGAAGGUGUAGGAUCGAGGACAAGAACGAUUCAGAAAAGGGAGACAGAAAAUGAAGAAGAGAUUUCAGAGAACUCUGGAGAUAAGGGAAAUGCAGAGGCAGACAGUUGUCAUCUCAUGUCUCAAGGGUAAUCUGAAUACUGCAAAAAAGCUAAACUAAAUUCAUACAUGGAGAAGACUCAUGCUUCCAAGUCAACUAUAGAUUCUUAAUAACUGAGAUAGAUAGUUAUAAGGGUUAUUAUGGUUUCAUUUUAAAAAAUAAAAAAUUAUAAGAUAUAAAAUAACUAUAAGAAGUAUUGGUGUUAUAGGUUAAUUGGACAGCGCAAGGUGGCCUUUUGGCAUUUCAUUGAAUUUUCUUGUUACCAGUAAGUGCUAUGCUGCCGUUGCCGGACUUUAUGAUUUUCUUUUUUGGAAUUUUUAUUGAAUUUUCUUGCGCUUUUCUAAUAACUCCGCUAUAAAGCCCAUGUUUCGGGACUUUAUGAUUUUUUAUUUUUUUAAGAAAUAGAUAUACAAAUAAAAUGAAAAAAAAAAAAAAAACCUGUUGCGUGGUCGUGUGGGUCCUCGAAAUCAUUUCGGCAUUUAAAUUUAAUGGAACAGUUGGAUGUACUCAGCUCUACACUUCCACGAAGGUUCCUGGAAGUUGCAAGUGCUGCCGGCAUUUUCAAACUCGGAAGGUUUCAAUAAUUUUUCCUUUUCACUUUGAAAGGUUUCAAUAAUUAGCUUUGAUUAUUGUAUAAUAUGUGAUAAUCUAGUGAUGAUGAAGAUUUAUGUGUGUGAUUAAAAGCUAAGCUAGUGGAUUUGUAAGCGAGCCCACGGCGAAGAAUUUGAGCAAGUAUUUUUAUCUUCUUUUUGUCACAUUCUUCUAAUUAAUUUGCUUUCACCAACAAAUAUAAUUAAUAAUUAAUUUGUAAAUAGUUGGAUCUUACGCUCAAAUUUUGACAAUACAUGAAUUGUAAUGUAUACAUAUUUUUCAAGUGUAAACUCUAUUUAAGAGAGGAUCUCAAUUUUUAAUUAGAGAAGAUCAUAGUUAAAGCACACAAUGCGAGAAUAAUACUGGUUGCGCUGACUAACAUCAAAUACAAACAAGGAAGAAAGACUAUUAAAGCUUUCCUUACAGCAUUAAUCUUGAUUAUUUGAUAAACUAGAGGUGAUCACUGAUUUAUAUUUUUAGUGCAAAACAGAAUACAAUGCAAGAGCUGAUGGCUUUCUUUGCUGUCCUCAUAUUGUCACAUAUUUUGUAGCUUUCUCAUUUUUGAUAAGUCGCUCGCUCAAUAACCUAUAUGGGUUAGGGUCUUGAGGCUGAAAUCUUUAAAUUGAAAUUGUCAUCAUUUCAUUCAUGAUCCAAGAUUCUAUCGUGUAUAAUGGGUAAGACAAUCUUUUUACUUCAAAAUUUUUACAUAAAUUUUUGUAGUUUGAUGGCGUCAAAUCCGAUGGAAACGAAAUAAGUGACUUGAAAAGAUCAAUUGAUCAGUGAUUUGUCAAAAGUUUACUGAUAUUAUUACCCUAUGACAAGAUUUUAAGCUUUAUAUCCAGGCUAAGGUGACAAAUAACGUAGCACUACAAUCGUCAAUCUUACUAGGUGAUGACAAUGAAAGAUCACAUAACCUACUUAUUAUUUUAUAUGCUUUACUGUGGAAUCGACAAUUGCUAUAUUGCGUAGCGUUUAUUUUGGGAUCAUCAAAUACAAACAACGACCACGAUAAAAGAAAAGAAAGACUAAUAAAGCUUUCCCAGCAGCGUUAAUCAUGAUUAUUUGAUAAAAUAGAGGUAACAAAUAAUUAUAUUUUUGGUGGAAAACAGAACAGAGCACGUUACAAGAGCUGAUUGCUUUCUUUAUUUUUUGUGAAUAUUAAACCAAAAAUACAAGUCAAUGAAAAAAAUUGAAAAUAACGCACCAUCAAGUCAACCUUGGUGCAGAAAAUUAUUAACAUUUAAUGAACUUAGAGGAAUGAGUUGGGCUAAGUCUUUAAAUCAGCUCUGUCGUGGAAUAUAACAGGAAGAUUGAAAGAAAAAUCAAUCAACUACAACUAGUAUAUAAUAUAAUGUUUUCACGCAUCUUUUAUAAAUUUAUUGGGAAACACUAUUUCCGCUUAUUGAAGAAAAUCAAGAAAUGCUGAUUCCGUCAUGCUUACUUUCAUAAUCAUUUAUAAGCUUUUAUACGAAUCCUUGUGUUUGAAUAUAAUAAUGGUUUCAGAAAUGCAUACCUGUUAGUUCUCCAUUUCUUGACUCCGAGGAAAAUUUGACUUGACAGAUGAAGCAGUGUUAUAAGAGGUUUGAUUACUGCGAGCAUUUCAACAGACGGGUGAUAUGCAUACACAGCUUCUACGCUACCACUACCAUGCUUACACCACAGCUGCUUCCUGUUGUAAAACGUUGCUGACAUGUCAUCAUACUGGACAGUGGACAGACCUUCCGAGGUUAUUCUUCGAAGCGUUUCAUGAUGCCACGUGUACUUGAUUAUUUGACUAAUCACGGUUCACAAGUUGAGUGAGCUAUUCACCAGUCACCAAACCACCUUCCUGCUGCAAAGAAUGUUAACUGAACUUUGACUUGGUCAGAAACUCAGAAUUAGUGGUGCACGUGAUGCUUACACGUGAGGACCCCAAUGACGAAUUCCAAAAGCUGAAUGAUGUAUGUGUGAAUUAAAUAUAACUAUUGCGCUCUAGUACAUAUAUGUCAUAUGUACACUAAGUGGGUGUAGUGCAACGAAGGUGCUCUAAUAUUUUUUCAGUGAACACAAUAUAAUCAUCAAAGUGAAAGAAAAACUUUUGAGGUUUUGGUGUAUUCAUUAGUGAAAUUUGAGCCGAAAAGAAAAAUUCAUAUUUGUAAACAUCAAAACCAAAAUCAUUUGGACGUAGUUGCUGAAAUUGAUUAGGUCAUUUUUAACCUUAAAUUUAAGAUCAUUAAUCGUUGCAUGAAUGUUUUGAUUUUAAUACCAGUGGCAAUCACGUACAUGUUUAAUGAUUUGAUUAAAUUUGUGUUUAGUUCUAUAAAUGAUUUAACUAAAAAAUUCAAAAAUGUUUAAAUAACAAUUGUUAUUAUUAACAAUUUAACUAAAAAAUUAUUAUUAAUUAUUGUUAAUAGAUUAAUUAAUUACAAUACUUUUUAUUAUUCUUAUUAAUAGUAAUUACAAUAAACUAGUAAUUAUAAUUAUAAUCCAUUUAAUAAUAAUUAUUUUUAUUUAAAUGGAGGGUAGUUUGGGAAUUUAAAAAAUAUAGGGGAUAAAUUUGAUACGCUAAGGGUUUUAAUGAAAUAAAAUAGAGUGCAAGGGGCUGAACGAAAUGUUACAAUAUAGAAAUUUUUAUAUACUUAUUGAUAAAUUGUAAAUAAUAUUAAGUAAAAGGGGCUGAACAAUAUUUUACAGCAAGAAUUCAGAAAAAGACAAACGCAGCUGUAACUGUAACUUAGAGGAAGAGGAUCCUUAAAGUUUUUAAUGAAAAUCUUUAGUUGUUUAGUUAUCAAAAAAAAACUUUUAAAAAAAGUUGUAAAUUAAAAUUACUUUAGUAACAAGUUUAUUAAACCUGGACUCAUCUACUUUGCAACGGCUGCAAGGUACAACUAAUUUUUUUUUUAAUUUUAUUCCUUUACCUUUGGAUUUAAUGAAAAAGGUAAUUUCAAUGGUAGAGAUUUGUCCAUUUGAAUACUAACAUUAUAUUCUUGAUAAGUAUUAAAAACACAAAAAAAUGAAAGAGUUAAAAUUUUUAGCAUAUAAGUCUUUAUUGUUUCCAAUUUAUAUUAUUUAAUUAGUAGUAAGUCUUAAAAAAUAUUUUAAUUUUAAUAUUAUAUAUUUUUAUUUAAAAGAAUAAAAUUUUAAUGUUAUUUAUUUUAUUCAAAAUAAAUAUUAUUUAAUAUUAUUUAUUUUCAUUUUAUUUAAUUUUAUUUAGCGUAUGCUUAUUAUUAUAUUUAUUCUUCAAAAAACUAAAUAAUAUUAAAUAAAAUAAAAUAAUCAAUAGUGAAUCAUAAAAAAUAGAUAUAAUUUUUAAUUAAUAUUAUUUAUUUUAUUUUAUUUAACGUUUUAUAGUCAUAAACUUAUCAUUAUAUUUAUUCUUUCAUAAAACUAAAUAAUGUUAAAUAAAAUAAAAUAAUAGUAAUGAGUCUUAAAAAUUAAUAUUAUUUUUAAUAUUAUUAACUUUAUUUUAUUUAAUAUUAUUUAUCCAUAGGCUUAUAAUUGUAUUUAUUCUUUUAAAAAACUAAAUAAUAUUAAAUAAAAAAAUCAAUAGUGAACCUUAAACAAUAAAUAUUAUUUAUAAUAUUAUUAACUUUAUUUUAAAAAAUUAAUUUUAUUAAUUUUAUAUUAUUUAUUCAUAGGCUUAUUAUUAUAUUUAUUUUUUAAAAAGUUAAAUAAUAUUAAAUAAAAUAAAAAAAAAUAUUGAGCCGUAAAAAAUAAAUAUUAUUUAGUCAUAAACUUAUUAUUAUAUUUAUUCUUUUAAAAAAAUAAAUAAUAUUAAAAAAAUAAAAUUACAUUUUAAAAUGUCACCAGCCAAAGCAUAUAAACUUAUAAAUAAAUGUAAAAAAAUAAAAUAAAAUUACAUUUUCAAAGGUCACCAGCUAAAGUAUAUAAACUUAUAAAAAAAAAAAAGGUAAAUAAGAAGGCUAGUAAGGGGUUAAAGAAAAUUUAACAUGCAUAACAUAACUCCAUAAGACAAAAAUGGUGGCACCUUGCAACUGUUGCAAAGUAGCUGGAUCCUAUUAAACCUAUAUGUUAUAAAACAAAUGAAAUAGGAUUAUGCAUGCAGUUAAAUAGGUGUAUUUUAGAAAAUCUAAUUCUUUUAAGGAGCUCUACAACCUAUUCUCCUAGAAGUCCAAAAUUUAAACUUCUCUUAAUAAAGACAAAAUAAUAUUUUUAAUAAACUCUAUUCAAUUUAUAGCCAAACGAUGCCAAAAAAUAUUCAAAAGCAAAAUUACUCUCUUGAUCUAUUAGUAGAGAAAUCAUACAAAAUGGACACUUAAUGGUCAAUUAUUUUCCCCCCUUUUUUUUUUUGUAGUUUUACUUUUCCUAUAAACAUUAUUGUUUAGGAAAUAAUAAUAACACUACAUACUCUCCACUAACACAUUAAUUAAUUAAGAGUAUUUCCUCACUAGCACGCAUUUAAUUAUCAAAUGAUUAUCAAAAGUACGGCUAAACUUUGGUAAUUAACAAAACAAGUACUCUAAGCUCUGUCAUCUCAGUAAAAAUGUUAUCUGGGAUUCUCAACGAAGGAUCACUGCCAAUAGAAAAGUAUUCACGGUGUGGACAUUCCAACUCUUGAGGAAGCUCACUAAUAUUACUAUUAUUUAAGGAGAUUGCAGUGCAAACCUUUAGUUUAUCCUUAUCUGGCCAUUUGAUCUGUGGGACAACAUCAUUAUCCACUACGAAUACAUGUUGGUCUCUUGAUGCAAUUUGUUUGGGAGAGAUACUGUUUGGGAUAAAUACGUCGACGAGACCAGGAAUGACGAGCAGAUAUCUGAUGGCGGAGUUCUGCGAACCGGUGUGUUCCGUAAAAGCCUGGUGCGCGGAAGAACAGGAGCAGAAAUAUCCUGCUCGUCCACGAUGUUGUCAUCCGCGAGGCCAAUUCCCUAUAAAAGGCAUAAGGCCAUUCCGGCUAGAGGUCAAGAGGCGAGGAGACCCGGUCGACGGCAGUUGGCAAGACGCGCUCUCCAGCACGAGAAUCUAGGCACAACAGCCACGCUUUCCCCAGAACCGUGGCGUAACACGCAAGAUCUCACGGAACCAUGACAGCCACGCUUUCCCCAGAACCGUGGCGUAACACGCAAAGUCUCACAGAGCCAUGACAGCCACGCUUUCCCCUGAACCGUGGCGUAACACGCUAGAUCCCACGUUUGCCCAUAACGCAGCAGUUGGAGUCCCAUACCGUCUGGGAAAGAGCGGAAGACUGAGAUUCAGAGGAAGCCUAUAAAAAGGUAGCCAACGAAGGUAAAAGGGUUGGCAUUUUUGAGAGAGAAGGAAAAACCACGAAAAAGCCAUAAGACCUGUGGCAAGCGUUCCCUGAACCUUCAUAUCUGACUUGAGCGUCGGAGGGUUUGCGCCGGGGGAACAACCGGCGUACUCUGACUUGUCUGUUUGUGCAGGGACAUCUGGAGAAGAAGCAUUACUAGGAGACCUCCUGGUCGUGGUGAAGUUGAUCGAGCAGAGAUCCUGGUCGUGGAACGAGGAGAACCGGAAUCUCGCAUCAACAUUUUGGCGCCGUCUGUGGGGAACCAGAGCAAAAAGCUUCUGUCGAUAGCAAGAAGAGGGGUGGAGUAAGCGAAAGGCAAUGGAGAUAGGAGGAAGUAGCGCACAAAGGGGUGACAUGAGGCUUAACGAUUCCGUGACGCUGAGGGAGGUAAUCAGCGAAGCACGGGAAAAAGUCAUGUUCGACCGGAUGGAACGAAUGGAAAAGCAGAUGGAAACCUUGACAACCAUCCUGCAUGAGCUGCGGAACGAGCGAAGGGUAACCCAAGAGGGAAGGGUGAGAGGCGGUGGAGCGGCACCAGGUCCCGAUAGUGCGGGGAGAAGUCAAACCGCAGGGAGAUUUGGUGGUGAGAGAGGUAACGUACCCCUGCGGGGAGAAUUUCAUAGAGAAAGAGAGCAGUCCCCGGCAAGACAGACUUGUGACGAGGGCGACGGGGUGGUGAAUGCAGAGGAAACAGAGCUGAGGCAACACUUGCAUGAUGUAGAGCGAGAGCGGGAUCAAGUUGCAGCACGUGACCCUGGUCGUGCAGGGCAGCUGGAGGAGGAAGUGCGAAGGCUAGCGCAAAUAAUUGACGACAUGCAAGGGAGGAACAGAGCCCCUGGUUGGAGGAUAAUGCUGGACGGAGAAUCACCGCUCGCAGCAGAGAUCAUGAGGGCAGUUAUUCCGAGAGAUUUCCGCCUCCCCGACCUCAGAUACUCGGGAAGAACUGAUCCGCUGAUGCACAUAGAGCGCUUCAACGACAUGACGGGGGUACAGGGAUUAUCUCCAUCCCAAAGGUGCAGGGUGUUCCCACUAUCCCUUGAGGGACGUGCACGAGAAUGGUACAGGAAACUUCCUCGGGGCAGCAUUAAAACCUUCGAGCAGAUGUGCCAGGAAUUCGCGGAGCAGUUUAGUGGGGCAAUGUCACCGGAAGAUGACAUGAUGGAGCUGAAAAGCAUGAAACAGGGGGAGCAAGAAACCCUUCGGGAAUUCAUCAAGAGGUUUCAUCGGGCUGUCCUCGACUUGGGAGCCUUCAACCACCCUCAGGCGUUAAGGGGAUUGAAAGAAGGGGUGAAGAUAGGAAGGCUGUGGUACAAUUUGAGAAGCCCAGCUAUUCAAACGUAUGCAGCCGCAUACGAACAGGCUAAAAGAGACAUCGAGAUUGAGGAGGAGAAGGCUGCACGGAUCAAGACAGACCAGUUGGAAGGGUUAGGGAGGAAAGAGAAGAAAGCAUUACCGGGGAAUGGGCCGAUCAGGAGGAGGGACCACCAGGUCUCCGGUAGUGGAUCAGGAGGUAGGGUGAUUGCUUAUCAGCCUCAUCAGAGGCCGCCACAGUAUCAGCGCAGCAGGGCGCCACCUCCUCGUUCCCCAGCUAGGGAGCCUUGGAGAAGGCAUGAUUCGGCAUCCGGUGGUCUUCAUCAACAUUCCCACGGUAACAGGACGAGCAGACCAGAAGCACUUCCACCGCCCCCAACCCACAGUGGGGCAAACAGAGAAAGAGCAGUGCAUCUGGUCGACCAGAACCAGGACUAUGGGCGGUACACUCCCUUGAGGAUGCCCCUGGAUGAGGUGUACGAGGCCAUAAAGGAUCGAGGGCUGCUGCACCUCCCUACACCGAUAACAAAGCUGCCCAACAGAAGGGAUAGAGGACGUUAUUGUAAGUUCCAUGGCACUAUUGGCCAUACCACAGCAGAGUGUAGAGAUCUCAAGACCCAGGUCGAAGAUCUGGUGAGAAAUCGGUACCUGGACGAGUUUAUGGAUGGGACUUUUCCGAUGGUGGCCACAACAGAUGAAGGGGAGCAGAGUGAUAGAAUCUUGAGACGCGAGCAGCCCGCAGUAAGGGUGAUAGCUGGGGGCCCAACGUUGGCCGGAGAUUCGAACAGAUCGAGAAAAAAUUAUGCCAGAUACGCCAUGACCAGUAAAGAGAUACUCUUCAACACCCCAGCAGCCAAACGAGCAAGGGUCAGUCAAGUGCCAAUCAUGUGGACGGAUGAGGAUGAGGAAGGGAUUCUAUACCCCCACGAGGAUGCUUUAGUCAUCGAGGCUACGGUCGCUAGCAAGAAGUUUGACCGGAUACUGGUUGAUACGGGGAGCUCAGUUGAUGUGUUAUUUAAGUCAACUUUGGAAGAGAUGGGAAUAGCCGACCGGAAGUUGGAAUACACCAACACCUCCUUGAAGGGGUUCGGAGGAGGGAAGUUGGUCCCUCUGGGCGUGGUCGAACUGCCUAUCACAAUCGGGAGCCCCCCGACAGAAAGAACAAUGAUACUGGACUUCGUCGUAGUGGAUGAGGAAGGUCCUUACCAGAUGAUCCUAGGUCGGCCAUUUUUAAGGAUGAGCAAAGCGGUGUUGUCCAACCAUUAUCUGGCUCUGAAGUACCGGGUGAAUGGGGUAGUCGGAGUGGUACGAGGAGACCAGAGGAUCGCAAGAAGCUGCUACUCCUCGGCAGCAAGGGAGGCGAUGCAGAUAACAUCCCUCGAUACCCGAGUGGAAAACAAGCCUGGCAAACAAGAACCCGUAGAGGAUCUGGAAACAGUAAGCAUGGGACCAGAGAACCCGGGAAAGACGAUCAGAAUCGGGUCGAGACUUAAGGGAGAGCAAAAGCAGGAGUUGGUGAAAUGCUUACAGGCUCAUGCUGACGUGUUUGCCUGGACACAUGAAGACAUGCCAGGGAUCGACCCAGAGGUAGCAUGUCAUAAGCUGGCAAUAAAGAAAGGUGCUCGAGCAGUAAGGCAGAAGAGGAGGUGCUUCAACCAGGAGAGGUAUGAGGCUGUAAAUGAUGAGGUGGAGAAGCUUCUGAGAGCAGGGUUCAUUCGGGAAGUCAAUUACCCAGAGUGGAUAUCAAAUGUUGUGUUGGUAAAGAAGGCAAACGGCAAGUGGAGGAUGUGUGUGGAUUUCACAGACCUCAAUAAGGCGUGCCCAAAAGACAGCUUCCCUUUACCAAUGAUCGAUCAGCUAGUAGAUUCGACGGCUGGACAUGGUCUGCUCAGCUUCAUGGACGCAUUCUCGGGAUACAACCAGAUCCCCAUGUACGAGCCGGAUGAGGAGAGCACGGCUUUCAUCACUAACCAAGGUUUGUUCUGUUACAGGGUGAUGCCAUUCGGUCUCAAGAAUGCUGGGGCCACCUAUCAAAGGCUGGUGAAUAAAGUCUUUAAGCCCUUGAUCGGGAAAACCAUGGAAGUGUACGUGGACGACAUGAUCACCAAGUCCAAAAUCCCGAAGGAACAUGUCAGACAUCUCGAGGAGACGUUCGAGCUUUUGAGGAAGUAUAAGAUGAAGCUCAACCCGGAGAAGUGUGCUUUUGGGGUCGAGUCAGGGAAAUUUCUGGGAUUCAUGGUGAGCCAUAAGGGGAUUGAAGCAAAUCCCGAGAAGAUCCAGGCGAUUGUGCAAAUGACGUCUCCUCGAAACCUGAAGGAGAUGCAGAGCCUCACGGGGAGGUUGGCGGCGUUGAGCAGAUUCAUAUCCAAGGCUACAGAUAAGUGUCAGCCAUUCUUUCAAGUGAUAAGGAGGGGAAAGAAAACGGAAUGGACCCCGAAAUGCGAGGAAGCCUUCCGGAACUUGAAGCAAUACUUGCAGCAAGCUCCGCUACUGUCCACACCGAGGGAUGGGGACAAGUUGAAUCUGUAUUUGGCGGUAUCGGAUCGGGCCGCCAGUUCCGUUCUGGUGAGAGAGGAAGAAGGAGUUCAGUAUCCGAUAUACUACACCAGCAAGGCCCUGCUCGACGCUGAGACCAGAUACCCACCGUUGGAGAAAUGGGCACUUGCCCUUGUGGUUGCUGCUCGGAAGUUGAGGCCAUACUUUCAAGCAUUCCCGGUCUCGGUAAUAACCAACCAGCCAUUGCGUCAAAUUCUGCACAAGCCAGAUGCCUCUGGUCGGCUCGUCAAGUGGGCUGUAGAGCUGAGCGAAUUCGACAUAGACUAUAAACCCCGUGCGGCGAUAAAGGCCCAGGCAAUGGCCGAUUUUGUAGCUGAGUUCGCAGAGCCCGAAGUAUGCUUAGAUCAACAAGGUGCAGAUAUAGGCGACGACGAAACUCAAGUAUGGCAGAUAUCUGUGGAUGGGUCAUUGGGAGAGCGGGGUUCAGGAGCAGGGAUUGUCCUGGAAGGCCCAGAGGGGGAGGAGAUCUCUUAUGCUGUAAAGUUGGAAUUUGCAGCCACAAAUAACCAGGCAGAAUACGAAGCCUUGAUAGCGGGUCUGGAAUUGGCUAGGGCCGUGAAAGCAGACAGAGUUAAGAUCAGAACUGAUUCCCAGCUGGUUGCGAAUCAUGUCAGUGAAAGAUUCCAACCAAGAGAGGAGAAGAUGGAACAGUACCUAAAGAUAGUCAGGCAGAUGAUGGGGAAGUUCAAAGCAGUGGAGGUGAUACAAAUCCCCAGGGAGCAGAACAGUCGAGCAGACAUUUUGGCUAGGAUGGCAGCCGUAGCCGACCCAAAAAUGCCAAAGUCGGUCCCCCUAGAAGUGAAGUCUCACCCAAGUGUCGAGCAAAAUUUGGGGGUGUUGCGGAUAGAACAAAAAGGCUCAUGGAGGGACCCGAUAGUUUCAUACCUUAGAGACGGGGUCGUACCACCAGAUAAGCUGCGAGCUCGGAAGAUUAGAGCUCAGGCCUCGAGAUACACGAUGAUCGAUGGGGUACUGUAUCGGCGAGGAUAUACAUUACCGUUCCUUCGGUGUUUGGACGAUGACGACGCAGAUUACGUGCUGAGGGAAGUACAUGAAGGAAUUUGCGGAAAUCAUUCUGGCGGGAGGUCCCUGGCCCACAAGGUUCUAAGACAGGGAUAUUUCUGGCCGACGAUGCACCAGGAUGCGCAAAGGAAGACCAGGAGCUGUGCAAGCUGCCAGAGUUUUGCAAACUUCUCUAACCAACCACCAGAGAAGCUCACCUCCAUGGCCUCCCCUUGGCCAUUCGCUCAAUGGGGAAUUGAUCUGAUCGGCCCAUUGCCAAAGGGACGAGGAGCAGCAACACAUGCAAUAGUUGCUAUAGAUUACUUCACGAAGUGGAUAGAGGUAGAAGCCCUUAGCAGGAUCACAGAGAAGAAAACAACAGACUUCGUGUGGAGAAACCUGGUCUGUCGAUACGGGAUCCCAUAUGCCUUGGUAACGGAUAAUGGCAGGCAGUUCGAUAAUCACAGCUUCAGGGAUUUCUGCCAGAACCUCGGGAUAGAACUGAAGUAUUGCUCGCCUGCUCACCCUCAAUCGAAUGGACAAGUAGAAGCAGCCAACAAGACCGUCAAUAGGCUUCUGAAAACCAGGCUCGGAGCAAAAAAGGGUGCGUGGGUUGACGAGCUGUCAGGUGUGCUAUGGGCAUACAGAACAACCCACAAGACCGCAACUGGGGAGACACCGUUCGCUUUGGCUUUCGGACAUGAAGCGGUCGUGCCGGCUGAGAUAGGAACGACCACACACCGGACAGAGCACUUCAAUGAGCAGGAGAACGACGAACAGAUAUGUUUGAAUCUUGAUCUGCUAAUGGAGAGGAGGGAACAAGCAGCCGAGCGAUCAGUCACUUACCAACAGAGGGUUGCUCGGUAUUAUAACCAGAAGGUGAACAUACGGCAAUUCAGGGUCGGAGACUGGGUACUGAGAAGAGUGAAUCAGAGCACCAAAGAUUCGACUCAAGGAGUGCUGGGACCGAAUUGGGAAGGGCCGUAUAGAGUCAAGCAGAUAGCGGGACCCGGAGCUUACAAGCUGGUUCGCGCGGACGGCCACGAAGUGAAACGCCCAUGGAACGCAGCACACCUCCGGAAAUACUUCCAGUAAGACUUGUUCACAUUUGAAAGCUGUUUUUGCUCAUGUUCAUUAUCGUUUAUUUUUCGCGUUUUAUGUCCGAACAAUUUCAUGUAAGUCAAAUCCUGCCAUUAAUGGAACGUCGACGAAUUUCAUUCGCUUGAAACCAAAAAAAUCCUAAGGCAUGCAAAGGCUCGCCAAGUCUCAGAGCCUGUCUUAUGGCGAGACAGAAGCCAAGCAUGCCAGGAUCUGCUCGGCCACGAGAAGGCAGCAGAAUCCAAAUCGUUUGAAGAAAAUCCUAAGGCAUGCAAAGGCUCGCCAAGUCUCAGAGCCUGUCUUAUGGCGAGACAGAAGCCAAGCAUGCCAGGAUCUGCUCGGCCACGAGAAGGCAGCAGAAUCCAAAUCGUUUGAAGAAAAUCCUAAGGCAUGCAAAGGCUCGCCAAGUCUCAGAGCCUGUCUUAUGGCGGGACAGAAGCCAAGCAUGCCAGGAUCUGCUCGGCCACGAGAAGGCAGCAUAAUCCAAAUCGUUUGAAGAAAAUCCUAAGGCAUGCAAAGGCUCGUUAAGUCUCAGAGCCUGUCUUGUGGCGAGACGGAAGCCAAGCAUGCCAGGAUCUGCUCGGCCACGAGAAGGCAGCAGAAUCCAAAUCGUUUGAAGAAAAUCCUAAGGCAUGCAAAGGCUCGCCAAGUCUUAGAGCCUGUCUUCUGGCGAGACAGAAGCCAAGCAUGCCAGGAUCUGCUCGGCCACGAGAAGGCAGCAGAAUCCAAAUCGUUUGAAGAAAAUCCUAAGGCAUGCAAAGGCUCGCCAAGUCUCAGAGCCUGUCUUAUGGCGAGACAGAAGCCAAGCAUGCCAGGAUCUGCUCGGCCACGAGAAGGCAGCAGAAUCCAAAUCGUUUGAAGAAAAUCCUAAGGCAUGCAAAGGCUCGCCAACUCUAAGAGCCUGUCUUAUGGCGAGACAGAAGCCAAGCAUGCCAGGAUCUGCUCGGCCACGAGAAGGCAGCAGAAUCCAAAUCGUUUGAAGAAAAUCCUAAGGCAUGCAAAGGCUCGCCAAGUCUCAGAGCCUGUCUUAUGGCGAGACAGAAGCCAAGCAUGCCAGGAUCUGCUCGGCCACGAGAAGGCAGCAGAAUCCAAAUCGUUUGAAGAAAAUCCUAAGGCAUGCAAAGGCUCGCCAAGUCUCAGAGCCUGUCUUAUGGCGAGACAGAAGCCAAGCAUGCCAGGAUCUGCUCGGCCACGAGAAGGUAGCAGAAUCCGAAUCGUUUGAAGAAAAUCCUAAGGCAUGCAAAGGCUCGCCAAGUCUCAGAGCCUGUCUUAUGGCGGGACAGAAGCCAAGCAUGCCAGGAUCUGCUCGGCCACGAGAAGACAGCAUAAUCCAAAUCGUUUGAAGAAAAUCCUAAGGCAUGCAAAGGCUCGUCAAGUCUCAGAGCCUGUCUUGUGGCGAGACGGAAGCCAAGCAUGCCAGGAUCUGUUCGACCGCGCGAUGGCAAACCGAAUCCAAGGCAUUGAAAAAUCUUCAAAGGCAUGUGGCAAAACCAUGAGCCAAGCCGGAACCUGCUCGUCUAGACAAAGACAAGCAGAUUCUCAAACGAAAAACAAUUCAUAAUUACAACACGAGAAAGUAAUCAACAACAUUUUUAUUAAUGUGUUAAUGGCUAACAGAGGGAAUAAAUUUCAUAAACGUUGUUCAUUACAAUACAAAAAGAAAUAUAUCAAAAAGAUGGUGGAUCAGUGAGCCGAGCAGCAUCGGUCGGCUGGACCUCCUCGGGUGCAGGGGGGGUAUCACCAGUUGCGUCCGGGGGGGUGCUCGCCUCGCCAACAUCAGCAGGGACUGCACGAGGAGGAGAGUUUUCCUCCUCGAUCACGAUCGGCUCUACCCCCUCGGUAUCUUCCUUGGCCGCCUCCUCAUCCAUAUGCUGAGCAACACCAGCUGCAAGGUCAUCCAUCUUCAGGUUAGGGUGUUGCUUCCCGAGGACGGCCAUGAUGCAACGAUAGGAAUGCCGAAGUCCCUGGUCGUACUGGUUGUCGGCCUCCCUCUCCAAGUUCUCGACCUGAGCUCGGUGGGAGUCGCGGAGAGAUUCGAGCUGAGCCUCAUACAUAGCCUUCUGCCUUUGCAGAUCCUCCUUGACCUUGGUAAGCUCCUCCUCAAGGGUAAUGGCUUUUGCUUGAGCAAGUGAUUCUUGCUCUAUCAGCUUCAGGUUCUCGAGAUUCAGCUCCCCUGCUUUCUUCUCGGCAGCGUCAGCUCUGGUCGUCGCCGACUGAAUGUCCCCCUUCAUCUUCCGGUCGUAGCGGCCCACCUUAGCCUUGUAAUAGGUGGUCAUGCAGCUGAGGUGGAAGGCGCUAUGCUGAAUGGCCCCCACCAGCUCACCCAAGGUGCGCCCAUCAAAGUCCUCCAGCUCCUCCUUGCUCACGAGUUUAGCUAACUCAUUGAGGUAAGGGACCAGAGGUUCUGCUCGGCUGUCAGGUAAGCGAGAUCGAGGCCCGACAGGAGGAGAAGAGGUAGCGGGAUCUGUGGCUGCUCCACUAGCUUCCCCAACUUUUACAGGAGCAGGAGGUAAAACCUUCAAGGGUGGGGCCUGCUGCACGAUGUUGGCCCGCUUUGCAGUAGGGGCAUCCUUACUCUCGUCCCUCUUCGUGGUUGGAGGUCGAGAACGUUUUCGGGUCAAAGCCCCCAUCACAGCGUCCUCCAUCCUAUGGCCAGGAAGUAUCAAGCGAGACUCGAGCAAGUUGUAUGUACUUAACAGUUCUCGGCUCGAGCAGGAAUUGGCCAGCACCGCCUCGACCCGUUUGAGCUGGUCUGGUCCGAGCGGGAAGUGGACACCCCAAGAAACUACAACACAAACAAGACACUUGGUUAGAAACAAGCCAAUAAAACAAGAACAAGUAUGGAUACAAGGCAUCUGAAGCAAGCAGGCAACCUGGGACCGUGAAACGGGGUGGGACCCGAUAAUCCCUCCCGUCCAUUUGUGCGACCUGACCCCACGGACCCCCAGCAAAAAAGAACUUUCUCUUCCAAUUCCCGCCACCACCAGUAGGGAGGUCGAUUAUAGGUUUCCUGCUCUUGGUGCUAGAUUGGAAGUAGUACCAGCCGGCAUCUUUGGGGCUGCUCUUUAGCUGGUACAGGUGCUUCACCUCAUCAACCGUGGGCUCGCUUUGGCAACAUCUGUCCCACAAAAUGAACAGACCAGAGAGCACUCUCCACCCAUUGGGAUUCAGCUGACCAGGAGCCAGAUUUAGCCCGUUAAGUAUCCGGGCAAAGUAAGGUUGCAAGGGACACCUCAGCCCGUACUUAAAGCUGUCCAGAUACAGGGUAACAUAUCCCCUAGGAGGGCGGCUGGGAGCAUCCUUCUUUCCUGGGACCUUGAGAAGUAUUUCACCAGGGAUGCUAUACCUCAGUCGGAGGUCCUCGAGCUCAUCAAACGUGGUCGUGCACGUCAUGUAAUCAAUAGCGUAGUCCCGCGAUAGGGCUCUACCUCCUAUUCUACUCCUCCCUUCUGGUCGCGGCGCUCCUGAUGGGGACGCCUCACCAGAAUCAUCCCCUUGACCCUCACUCAAGGUGUUCUCCGAUCCAGAAGAUCCUUCUUCAUCGCUACUGUCGCUCGAGGAGGUUGUUUGGGGAGACAUCCUCCUAGCGCUAGUACCAACACUAGACCUAAUGGGCUCUAAGGGGAUCCCGGGGUCAAAAGCGGGAUCAGCGAGCAGACUAGGUAGGAAGUCCAACUCGUCGUCAUCAACCUCAAUGACCUUCUCUUUGCCUUUCGACAUUCCCUAAACUCUAACCACAACGCCACCGACUACUACCCAAACGAAAGAAAAAAGGAAGUUAUCUAUAAACUAUCCGAGACCGAGGAGAGAGAAGUAAUACCUGAAGCACUGCUCCAAUCGGAGAAAGGCAAGGAUGGGGCCUUUGCGCCGGAACUUCUUUGCCGGAGAAACAGAGACGGAGACGGAGUGAAUGGUGAAUAUGCCGUUCGAGAGGAUUCGGCUUUCCAAAUGAGGACGGACUCUUGAGUUGCCAGCAUAUAACUGCGCCGAAUCCCGAGGAUCUCGUAACCGUCGGUUUGAAAUUCAAAUGGAGGGCGGGAUUUCUGCCACGUCACCUCGUCCGCAAUUAAAUGCGACAUGACUCUUGGCAGCCUUUUCCAAUCCCACGCGAGCGAGCACUAUCGAGUUUCUACUGCUGGUCCACUACAUUACCCAACACCAGAAACUGGGGGACCGGUGUUUGGGAGAGAUACUGUUUGGGAUAAAUACGUCGACGAGACCAGGAAUGACGAGCAGAUAUCUGAUGGCGGAGUUCUGCGAACCGGUGUGUUCCGUAAAAGCCUGGUGCGCGGAAGAACAGGAGCAGAAAUAUCCUGCUCGUCCACGAUGUUGUCAUCCGCGAGGCCAAUUCCCUAUAAAAGGCAUAAGGCCAUUCCGGCUAGAGGUCAAGAGGCGAGGAGACCCGGUCGACGGCAGUUGGCAAGACGCGCUCUCCAGCACGAGAAUCUAGGAACAACAGCCACGCUUUCCCCAGAACCGUGGCGUAACACGCAAGAUCUCACGGAACCAUGACAGCCACGCUUUCCCCAGAACCGUGGCGUAACACGCAAAGUCUCACAGAGCCAUGACAGCCACGCUUUCCCCUGAACCGUGGCGUAACACGCUAGAUCCCACGUUUGCCCAUAACGCAGCAGUUGGAGUCCCAUACCGUCUGGGAAAGAGCGGAAGACUGAGAUUCAGAGGAAGCCUAUAAAAAGGUAGCCAACGAAGGUAAAAGGGUUGGCAUUUUUGAGAGAGAAGGAAAAACCACGAAAAAGCCAUAAGACUUGUGGCAAGCGUUCCCUGAACCUUCAUAUCUGACUUGAGCGUCGGAGGGUUUGCGCCGGGGGAACAACCGGCAUACUCUGACUUGUCUGUUUGUGCAGGGACAUCUGGAGAAGAAGCAUUACUAGGAGACCUCCUGGUCGUGGUGAAGUUGAUCGAGCAGAGAUCCUGGUCGUGGAACGAGGAGAACCGGAAUCUCGCAUCAACACAAUUGAUAUGGCUACAUCACGAACAACAUCAUGCAUAGCAAACCAUUCACUUGUAACUCCAUCAAGCAACAAGCAAGGGUUUUUGAGCUUAUCAACCAAUGUAAGCGCUCUAUCUCGUGCUUCUUCCAACGUGUUGAUGUUUUGAAACAGAGCCAAACCCAUGCCAUAACAGAGCAAGUCUUCAACACAACAGAUGAACGAGUACCCUAUUAGCAAUAAUGUUUCUUUAAGUUCCCUACCUUCUAAAUGAUUGUAACUCAACUCUACAGUUGAAUAGGCCACCGCUUGUGUCCCAGAGAAGCUUAUCAAAAAAGGCCUUUGUAAUUGUCGUAAAGCAUUCCUCCAUUCAUAGAGACUCUUAUUUUUCAACGCCUUUGCUACGGGUACAAUGGCAAUGGGCAAACCAGCACAUUCCUUGACUAUAUCUGUCGCUACAGAUUUUAGUUCACUAUUUUCUAUGCAAUCACCUGCCAUCUUCUUAAAAAGACUCCAAGCUUCUUUCUUAUUCAAAAUAUCGAUAAAAGAAUUAUGUUGACAAUCCAUCUUACAAGACAACACAUCUAGACUUCUUGCUGUCAGCAGAACUUUACAUCUGCUGUUAUCAUCUGCUAAUGGAAUUCCAACAGCCUCCAAGUCAAGACUCCCCCAAAUAUCAUCCAAGAUUAUAAGGAUCUUCUUCUCUACUUUCAAUCUUUCAUAUAGCCUCCCUGCUCUAACAAUUUCAAUCUCUUCAACUAAUCCCAAACCUAUCUUCUCUGCAAUUUAUUCUUGUAUCUUCUUUAUUUGUGGUGUUUGGGAUACUUGCGCAGAAAUGACCUUCUCAAAGAGAUUAUUUCCCUUGGCUUGCCCAGCGACUUCCUUCACCAACAUUGUCUUUCCAAUGCCACCCAUCCCGUAUACCCCAAUCAUGUUGAAGUUAUGAUUGCUUAAUGAGCCUAGUAUUUCCUUCAAAGUGGAUUUUCUUGAUUCAAAGUGAAUGAAACCUUCGGUGGACUUAAGCCAUAUCUCCUCUGGAAUUGUACGGAAAGAAACACUGUCAAAUUUCCUUUUUUCAUGGAGUCCAACAAUAGCAUUCACCUCCCUUUCUGCUUUCUUGAUAAGCUGGUAGUGGGUCUUCAAAUUGGGACACAACCCAUUAAAACACUGGUUGUUUGAUUUUUCUUCAACUUCUGUAAGCUUCCUAACUUCACUGAUGACCUCGUCCACACUAAUCAGCCACUCCUCAACGUGCUGUUGAAUUCCGUCCCCUUUGAUUUUGGAAUCAUCUACUUUAUACUGUACACUGUCUCUAGCAUUCUUUAGUUUAUCAACAUCAUUCUUCAGCUUCUCGAAGGUAAUAAGAGACAAGGAGGUAACAAUUUCCAUUAUCCUGUUUUAUUUUAUUUUAUUUUAUUUUUAUUUUGCUUUGAGAAAACAGGGGAAAACAAAACCAAUCGCAACAAGAAAUAAGAGACAAGGAGGGCAAGGAAUGAAAAAGCUAGAAAUAAAAAAGGGAGUACAGUGAAAAAUCUGCAAAAAAGGUUUAGAAAAAGGAUGAUUAAGAAAAGGGAACCAGAAAAUGUAUAAGGGAUUUUCAGAGAAUCUGAGAAAAGUUGGAUGAUUAAGAAAAUGCUGGAGCAGGACAUUUAUGACUUCUGUUAGUAAUUUGAUUUCGUGAAGCAUUUUCAAAAAGAAGAUAAUGCAAACAAUUCGAGAUUUGGUGAUGAUAAUGAAAGAUUAAGUAAGCUAUUCCAUAAUUUAUAUGCAUGGAAAGCAGCAAUCCAAUAACUUAAAAAGAGUUAAAAACAUUUGCUAUAGGAAAUGGUUGCGUUGACGUGUAUUUCGGGGAUCAUGAAAUAUAAACAAAGACCACGUUAAAAGAUAAGCAAAAGUUGGCAAGAUUGGUAAUGAUAUAUUAAAAGAAAGACUAAUAAAGCUUUCCUAGCAGCAUUAAUCAUGAUCAUUUGAUAAACUAGAGGUAAUAAAUGAUUAUAUUUUUAGUGGAAAACAGAGUACGUUACAUGAGCUGAUUGCUUUUGUCAAUAUUCAGCCAAAAAUACAAGUUAAUCAAAAUAACCUACCAUCAAGUCAACCUUGGGGCAGAAAAACUAGUAACAUUAAAUGAACAUAGAGGGAUGAGUUGGGCCAAGUCUUUAAAUCAGCUAUGUCGUGGAAAAUAACAAGAAGAUUAAAAAAAACUAGAAUCAAUCAACUAGUAUAUAGUAUAAUGUUUUCACAUUUAAUUAACUAGGAGACUAAUACACUAUCACUCAACAUUAAUCAAAAUUAUCUGAUAAACUAGUAUAUAUUGGAUAUCUCGGUGCAAAACAGAGUGCUAAGAGAUAAAAAUUAACCUGGUGUCUUUGCCAGGUGUUUAUAAUUGAAAGAAACUUAGUUCUAUAUUGUUUGGCAAGCUAGAAAAUGAAAGAAAAUAAAAGAAAGCUCUGUAAAGAAAUUUGUGGAACCUUUAUUACUUGAGACCAUAAAUCAAUUGAAUGUUUUGAUUUCAAUACUAGUGGCAAUCACGUACACGUUUAACGACUUAGUUAAAUUUAUAGCAACUAAUAAGUAUCCAACUUUGCAACCGUAUUUAUUUCUCAUGAUUUGAUUAAACUGAGCACUCCGAAAACUUCAGUUCCUUCGAUUGUUGUAAGCUGAAUGAUACAUGUACGAUUUGAUUAAACCGUAUUUAUUUAUAUAUUGAAUGCUACUUCAUUGAAUUUUACUGCCGCAAUAAUACUAAAUGAUUUUUCAUGACAAAAAAUUCAAUAAUUAGAAUGAUUAUGAGUUAAUUUAAUGCUGAAUUUCAUCAUUAACUGCUGAAAUACUCCAGAAAUCCAAAUACAUUUAACUAAACACUAAUUUAAUCAAAUCAUUAAACACACAAUCUGAAAGCGGAUUCAAAAUAACUUUAAUAAAAAAGCCAAAAGCAAAACAAUCAACAAAGAAACAGAAGAAACUCUCACCAAUGCCAUCUGACCCUUGAUAGAAAGAAAGAAGUCAAGCUCCAUGUAAUAUAACGCCUCACAAAUUACACAGAAAAAUGGCCGCAUUCCAUAUGAUGCAUAGAACGUGGCCCGAAUCCUCUUCGUAAGUUUGGAAUUGCUGGAGAAAAAUACACAAUGAAGGUGAAAUCAAGAAAAUAAGGAUAAUGAUAUUUCGUGCAAUUUUCAUGUAAUUUGCAGGAAUUAGCUUCUAUUUGGUAAGCAGUACUGGAUGCCUAACUAUUAUUACUAUUACUAUUAUUUACAUGGAUGGGGUUGGGUGAGACAGGUUUAUCAUAAUUAACCCAAUCCAACCCAAUCCAACCCAACCCAACCCAAUUAUUAAUUAGAUUCUAAAAAAUUACCUAAUUAACCCUAUAAUAAUUCACUUAAUCCAUCAAAAUUUGAUUGGAUUAGAUUGGGUUGGACUGGAUUUGUCAGGUUGGAUUGAAUUCACCGGGAUUGGAUUGAGUUUGCUUACCCCUAGCUCUUGACCCACAUUAUUUAUUUUUAUUAUUUGGUAAUUUCAUUCAAUCAAUAAAUUUAAAUUUCAAAUUUGUAUAAAAUAAGUUUAUACAAGAGCUUUUAACUCUAUCAUCACUCAUCAAACAAUGUUAGAUGAAACAAUAAAUGAAAUAAACAAAGGUAUCAUUAAAUCCAAAAGCAUCCAAUGUGUCAAAAAAUAUCCUAUCAUUUGCAAUAAAAAUAUUAAAAUAUUAUUUUCGAAAUCAAUAAUGAUAUAACCACAAACAUUAAGAACUUGUGUAAACAAACUAACGUGGCAUAAAGACAUUAACUAAAAAUGGAUAACUAUUAUUUUUCUAAAUCAUGUGGGUCUAUAACAGUUUUAUACAACCAAUCUUCUCAUGCAACAUAUGUAUGAUUUUUUUUUUACAAGGUGGUUGUGGCUCUAUAUAUCCAAGUCGUUGUUCAACUUCAAGAGAUCCAAAAUUUGUGAAAGUAGCCACGAAGAGAUUUUACGCCAUUCAACAUGCCUAUUCUGCUGUUAACCUUACUAAAUUCCAAAAAUUUUAAUUCUUAUUUAUUUAUUUAUUUAUUUAUUUAUUAUGCAUGUAAUUUGUAGUAUACAAUAAGAAAUAAAAUUGUAAUCUUUUUUAUAAUGAUGGAUAAUUAUCGGAUUCACGAGAUGUUGUUUUCCUUCUUCUCUCUUCAAGUUCUAUCUGAUGCCAACAAGAGGUUCUUGUACUAUGUAGGAGUCUAUGAUAGUGAUGAUGAAAAAAAUAAUAUGAGCUCCAAUUUUGCGCGCGCGCGCGCGCGUGUGUGUGUGUGUGUGUCUCUCUCUCUCUCUCUCUCUCUAUAUAUAUAUAUAUAUAUAUUGUUUUCAUUUCAUCUUUAACUUUUUAAUGCGCUUUUGUUUCCUUUGGAAGAUACAUGAAAAUUAACUCCUACAAGAAGGGGGGGGGUGGGGAACGGGGGAGGAUUUUAUUACAUGAGACUUUUUAGUUUUGUUUUGAGGGAAUGGGAGAUUUCUUGAAUGAAAUGGCUGUGAUGAUGAGCCAAACACAAACUAAUGUAAGCAUUCUUCAAUGCAUAUUUAUGUUUUCUAUAGAAUAAUUUGAGAAUUGUGUUUGGAAAUUCCUAGGCAUUAUUUAGCUUUUUCCAAGCUUUAGUUAUGGCUUUUACUUUGCUGGUUGGCAAAAGAAUGACGGUAUUUUGAUUUCUCCUAAUCAGAUUGCAAAUGGGUCAUUUAGUCACAAGGGCAACAUAUUUUAAUCUGUUUUUAUUUUUAUCCUCAGUGUGUUCAUGCUCUGAAAAGUAGUGAUUCAUGGUGCCUAGUUUUGGUCUUGUUCAAUGGCGAAUUACAUAUAAGUUCUAUUGUUGGGAAAUUGAUUGGUGAAGCAGACACGCAAUUAAAGUGAAAUUGAGAAAUAAUGAGACAACAGAAUCACAUAGGGACACCAGGAUUUAAGUGGUUCGGCUUUUAACCUAGAUUCACGGGUGAAAACAGAAGAAAAAUAUUUUACUAGUGAUAUGAGAAUUACAAGUAUUGUAAUAUUUUGGCUCACUAUCCAGAACCCCAAUGUACCCAAUCGCUUACUCACUAAUCUCUCAAGCCAAGAGUUUAUUAAAUUCUUAAUACUCUCAACUCCCUAAAUGUAGGAAAUGCUUCUCUCAAACUGGAUGUUGAAAUGAGGAGAAGCGUCCUUUAUAGCCAAAAAUUGGCUUCUGUUCAUGCCUAUUAUUUUUUUUAUUUAUUAGUAUUUUAUUAUUAUUAUUUCCGCUGAGCGGCCCGCCACUUUCUUUUCUUCUUCUUUUUCUUAUUUCUUCUUUUUUUUUCUUUUUCCUUUGCGGUUGAGCACUAGCAAUGCCCACUGCUUACUUUUUGACAUCUAUGUGGGCCCCACAAAAGUUGUUCUUGGAGGAAUUGAAUAAUUGAAUUAUUCAAACCUGACUUAAUCUUCCAGCAGUGUUAUUGCUUUGUAUUUAUCUUUGUAUGCUUGGAUUGUAAAUUUGACAGGAAAAUGGUGAGGAGACCUUGGAGGAAUUGCAGAAUUUGUUUGAAUAGAUGUUUAAAGGAGACACCAAUGCUUUCGAGCCUAAACUUAUUCUGAUUAUUUCAUCUGUACUUAGAUUUGAACUAAGAAGUUUUUUGUGAUGGUAUGUUAGCUUUUAUAAAUUUCCUUUCUUUAAUAAAAUCUCACUUUAUUUUUAGCGGAAGUUAAUAAGAUCGGAUGGUGGAUUGUAUUGCUGUGUGUCAAAUGACAUUUUAAACAACGUGCUUCUGGCUAGAGACCUCGAACCAUUUUUUAUGAUUUAGAAUGUUGUAACCAUUAGAAGCUUCCUUGUCAUAAACUGGUGGCUCAGAUUAUUGAAAUGUUCAUGAGAAAGCUAAUAAUCUGAUUUCCCAUUGUAUAUUAUCAGAUUCCCUUUUGUUGCAAUCUUGUGGUUGAGCAGGUCUCAAGAUUCUGACCUUUUUCACCCCGCUUUCUGACAGAAGAAUUUGCCUAUCAUUGUCAAGUGUUUGGCAAUUAGCCACCAUCUGCUGUAUUCAUUAUGAAAACAUUGUAAAUUUGAUCCCUUAAGAAGGGGAGAGAAAUUGAUCAAGCUGAUUGGUUAUACUCAUUGUAUGCCACAAGUGCUUUAUCAAACCACAACAGGUAACACCCGUGCGAAGGGCGCAAGCCAAAAUUUGAUAGCUGCACCAGUAUCAUCAAGAUACUCCUUUUCCGGUCCAUCUAUGUCUUACCGAUGGCAUUUUUACUAUUCAUCCUCUUUACUAUUUGUUUCUUUAGCAAAUUUCUUUCUGUAUUAUGAGUCUUAAUAAAAGUUUAAUUGUAGACAACUUUUUUGCCUUGAAAGUAUAUUUUAAACCUUUCAAACCAAUUAGCUCUAUUGGGAAACUUAUGACUUUAUCGAAAUAUUUGUUGCAUUUUGUCACUGAUGGUCAGUCCAUAAAAUUAAUUGACUGAUAGUGUCAAGCAGUUAGCAAUACAACUUUUUACCAAUGAUAUAACUCUUUUCAUUCUGUAUUUUGUUCGACACUUAAUUCGGUUCCAUUAUGUCAUUAUCUGUGCUUGAUUGAGUUGCAUGUUCAUGCACAAGAAUUUCCCAUCGCGGUGUUCCUAAGCUACUUUAUAAGACCUGGAUUUGUCUUUAACUAGGAUAUGGCUUUUUUUGAGUUGUAAAGCCUACUGUGAAAGUUAGCUGCUCAAAGCAAAAAAAAAAAAAAAAAAUUUCGUGGGAGGGAAAUUAAAUUUUGGCGAAGUUUGCUUUGGGAAUUUUGAAGAUAACUUGUAAAUUUGUUACACAUAUUGAGUGAUUCAAGGUUUUCAAUACAUUUCUUCCAAGGAAUCAGUUUUGUUUGGCUUCUCAAACUAUGCUUCUAAUCCAAUAUCUUAACUACGGCUGGUAAAAAGCUAUUCACUGUUAUAAUGGAUUGUUAUUGGAAAUAAUCAAAUAAAGCCUAUGAAGAAUUAGAAUAAAAGCUAUAUUUUGUCUUUGUGAAGGGAAUAUUUGACAGCCAAUCCACCGAUAUUUUUUUCUAUUAAAACCUAUACUUAUUAUAGCCUCAAUCAUUUCGAGACAUACCGGAGAAAUCUAACUAAAAAAGUUGAUAAAUUUUAAUUCAUUCUCCCGAUAGAACAACAAUCUUGAUUUUAUCACCUAAAAGAGUGAAAAUAUCAAUUUAGCCUUCAUUUUCAUUCAAUAAGGUGAGAGCAAAUUGUGGAUGCAGUGAUGGAUUUCUUUUUCUUUUUUUUUUGUGGGGUGGGGGGGGGGGGAAUAAAAAAGAGAUGCAUGUUCUUUGUAUGGUUGUUUAUAGAGGCAAAGACUUAGCACUGAAUGAUAAGAGCAUUACCUUCUUAGGGCGGAAGUCGUGAGUUUGAGCCUUAUCCUCCUGGAAGUAAAUCAAAGACUUAUCAUUUUAAAUGAGGGGCAAAUUAAAGUUUAUUCUAAAAUCAGUGGCGGCUUUAAUGCUAGGCGAACUAGGCAGUUGCCUAAGGCCCCGUAUUUAGGAAGGCCCUGAUUUUUUGUAUCUAUUUAUUAAUUAAUAUAAUUAAUUUUUUUAAGAUUCAAAAAAAUUAAGUUACGUAUAUAUUUUUUAUACAGUAAAAAAAGCCUAAUUUUUAGGCUUUACCCUAUCAUUACUCUCAUUCAUAAUUAUCUCUCUUAUUUAAUAAUCUUUACCUUAAAUAUAAGAUAUAUUUUUAUGCUAUAAUAAUGAUUUUGAACGUUACUUCUUUACUUUCUUUAACUAUUUCCCAAAAAACAAUCAAUGCUUACCCUUUCCAAAAAAAACUCUUAUUAAAAUUAGUAACGUUAGAUUUUUAGAACUAACUUUUGGUAUUCUAUUAAAAUAUAUUUAAAACCUCAUUAUCUAUAAACCGAUACACAUUGAAUCAAAGCUAUUUUCAGCAAAAAAAUUUUGUGCUCUCUUCUCUUUCUCUACAAAAUUCAUUGCCAUCAUCAUCUUCAUCUCAACUAGUCAAUUGACUCAAAUCCAGGUGCUAUCAUUCUAUUUUUUUCUAUUUUUUAUUAUUACUGUUCUUAUCCUUUUUAAAUUUAAUUUAUUUUUGAUUUUUUGUAUUGAUUUUGGCUUGAAUAAUCUAGAAAAAAAUUGUGUUUGUUUAUUUGUUUUUUUUUAUUUGAAAAGCAUGUCAACUAGAAAAUAUGUAUCGGGAUAUGAAAAAUUGAAAAAAAAAAGAGGAGAAUAGAAAAGUUAGUCCAAUCUAAAAAAGGAGCUCUUGAUAAAUUUGUCACAACUAAUAAAAAAGAUAUAGAUUUAAAUGAAGAAUUAGCUAUUGAACAACCAAGUUUAAAUGAAUUAAAUAAUGAUGAAACAGUGAAUGAAAUAAACAACAUUGAAGAUGAUAAAAAUAAAAAUGCGGACAAAGUUGAUGUAGAAAAUUUAUUUGUUCCAAAUAAUAUUUAUGAUCCAGGAAGAUGGGAAAAUGUUGAUACAAAGUUAAGAGAUCUUUUAGUAGAAAAAAGGCCCAAUUAGAGAGAAUAACAUAACUUUCCCAAAAGAUGAAAAUUCUAGGCAUUUCUCUACUGCAUUUUAUGUUAAAAUGUUAACAAAUGGAGAAAAACAUGAUAGAAAAUGGUUAAUAUAUUCAAAAGAUUUUAACAAAGUAUAUUGUUUUUGUUGCAAAUUAUUCAAUACAAGUUGUAGCAAAAAUCAACUUAGUGAUGAAGGAAUAAGAGAUUGGAAAAUCUUAGUUCUAAACUUAAAAGUCAUGAAACAACCAAUGAACAUAUAACUAAUAUGAAUGCAUGGGUUGAUUUAGAAGCAAGACUAUCAAAAAGAAAAACAAUUGAUAAAGAUGUUCAAGAAAGAAUUGACAAGGAAAAAGAACAUUGGCAAAAAGUAUUAAUACGAAUUAUUGCUGUUGUAAAAAAUCUUGCUAAAAAUAAUUUAGCAUUUCGUGGAAAAAAUGAGAAGAUCUAUGAAGAGAGAAAUGGGAAUUUGUUAAGUUUAAUUGAAAUGAUUGCAGAGUUUGAUCCAACAAUGCAAGAACAUAUUUGACGUAUUAAAACCGGUGAAAUUCAUGAUCAUUAUCUUGGACAUAACAUACAAAAUGAACUCAUAUUAAUGCUAGCACUUGAAAUAAAAAAAAUCAAUUGUUAACAAAGUUAAGGAAGCAAAGUACUUUUCAGUUAUACUUGAUUGUACUCCAGAUGCAAGCCACCAAGAACAAAUGUCUCUUAUAUUAAGAUGUGUGGAUAUUUCAACAAAUCUAGUAAAGGUAGAAGAAUAUUUUUUAGGAUUUUUACAAGUUGACAAUACCACUGGAAAAGGUCUUUUUAAUGAACUUGUGGAUGUAAUUAAAACUCUUGAACUUGAUAUUAAUGAUGUAAGAGGACAAGGAUAUGCUAAUGGAUCUAAUAUGAAAGGAAAAAAUCAAGGUGUACAAAAAAGAUUAUUAGAAAUAAAUCCUAGAGUAUUUUACACACCAUGUGGCUAUCAUAGUUUUAACUUAGUGCUUUGUGAUAUGGCUAAUUCUUGUCCUAAGGCUAUUUCAUUUUUUGGAGUUGUUCAACGUAUUUACUCGCUAUUUUCUUCUUCACCUAAGAGAUGGAAAAUUUUACAAGAUAAUAUACCUAAUUAACUGUUAAAUCAUUGUCACAAACACGUUGGGAGAGUCGCAUAGAAAGUGUCAAAGCAAUAAGAUUUCAAGCUCCCCAAAUUAGAGAUGCUUUACUCAAAUUAGCAGAAGUUAGUGAAGAUCCUAAAAUAAAAAAGUGAAGCGAAAUGUUUAGCAACAUAUGAAUUGGAAAACUUUGAAUUUUUGUUAGGCAUGAUUAUUUGGUAUGAUAUAUUAUUUGCUUUUAUUUGUUAGUAAAAGCUUACAAAGGGAAUAUAUGCAAAUUGAUGUUGCCAUAAAUCAACUAAAAGGUCUUACAUCCUUUUUUGAGAAUUACAGAUAAAAUGGUUUUGUGUCUGCUAUGAUUUCAGCUAAAGAGAUUGCAAAUGAAAUGGAAAUAGAACCAAAAUUUCAUGAAAAACGUAUAAUUCGUAGAAAAAAUAAAUUUGGCGAGAAUAAUAAUGAAGAGAAAAUUCUAUCUCCCGAAGAUUCUUUUAGAAUUGAUUACUUUGUAUAUAUAGUAGAUCAAGUUAUUUCUUCAAUCACCAAUAGAUUUGAGCAGUUUCAAUUCUAUGAAAAUAUUUGCGGAUUUUUAUUUAAUUUUGAAAAAUUAAAAUCAUUAGAUGAUGAAAGUUUAAAAAGUUAUUGUAUUAAUCUUGAAAAUAUCUUGAAAUAUGAUAUGUUUUCUGAUAUUGAUGGAUUAGAUUUGUUUUCAGAGUUAAAAGUCUUAAAAGAAGUUUUACACAUGGAAAGAAAUAGUCCACUUGAUAUACUUAAUUAUAUUAAAAAAGUAGAUUCUUUUCCAAAUGCAUUUGUUGCUUAUAGAAUAUUAUUGACUGUACCUGUAACUGUUGCUUCUGCUGAGAUAAGUUUUUCUAAAUUGAAGUUAAUAAAAUCUUAUUUAAGAACUACAAUGUCACAAGAAAGAUUAAAUGGAUUAGCAAUAUUAGCUAUUGAAAAAAAAUUUGUUAGCUAAAUUAGAAUAUAAGAUUUUAAUUAAUAAUUUUGCAUCUCAAAAAGCAAGAAGAAUAAAAUUUAAUUGAUUAGUAAUUUGCAUUAGUGAUGGCUUGCAGCAAGGAUCAUAGUAGGUAGGAGCAAUGAUUUAAAGUUCACAGGAAGAUUAUGGUUGUGGCUUAUGAAGUUUUAGAGCAUCUUAAGAAGAUGGAAUUUGUGGAAGACAAAGUUAGUUACUAUUUGUGUGGAAAUAAAUAGAUAUCUUUCGGACAAUUUUUUUUUUUUUGGACCUUGUUAAUAAUUGUUGUAAUUCAAGAUAUUAUUGAAUAUAGUUAAAGUUUGAGCUAUUUGAUAUUGUUGUGAGAAUUUUUUGAGCUGUUUAAUGUUUUUGUGAGAUUUGAUAUUUUAACAUCAAAAGGCCUAAAAUAAAAUUUCGCCUAAGGCCCCCAAUUGGUUAAAGUCGGGCCUGUCUAAAAUGUUAUAUGAAAAAACUUUAGCCAUUUACAACUAUUAAUUGUCUGCUACUAUUUUCUUUUUUUAAUUCUAAAGUCUUUAUUACUCUUUCUCAUAUUAGUAGUUAGUAGACAUUCUAAAUUUUCUUUUAACAUUUUAUUCUAACAUUUUUUCCCCGAAAACGACAAUGGCAAGCUAAUUUGACCUAUCUUGACUGACUGAAUUUGGAUAACUUGUGUUACGCUCUCUCUCGUAAUUCAUAAAGACGGCCACUUUGAUUUGCACUAUCCUUUCUGUGUCAUUGUGCUCACGUUGCAAGGGAUUCGUCAGGCCCGCAGUUGUCAAAUUAAAGUUACAUUACAUUUACAUACGUUAAAGACUUUAUUUGAAUAUUCUCCAUCGUCUUUAUUGACCCUUUUUUAUCUUUUAUUUUUCCUUGUGUCGAAAGAAUCCUUCACUGAUUGGAAUAUCCAUGAUGACUAGUUGCAAUUGGAAGAGUCCCUGAAAUUCAUCUUUCAUUCGAUCUUAAAUACUUUCUCCGAACAAUUAGAUUACAUUAAGAUUUUAUGAACUUGCUUAGUAGAUCAUUCAACUGCUUAAUUGGUGCAGUUAAUUAAUUGAUUAUCUUCCCGGAAACACAUUAAAGACUCUCACGGGGAUUCAUUAAACCUUUUCGCUGGGUCAAUUCUACAAGCAUAAGACGUAAAAGCUUCAUGAUAAGAGCACAAGCCUAUCGUCUUCAAAAGCUCUUGCAAAAAGCUAGCUAUUUUCUUUAUUGUCAUUUCCAUCCAUUUUAACCCUCUCUUUUUCAUUUUGUACAAUUUUGACUUGACUCUGAAAUAGAGAACAAUGAUAUUUAGACAGAAAAAUUUAAUAGAAUGUUUAAAAAUAAAAUAAAAUUAGUCUCAGUUUAUCUUGUACUAGUUUUACCUUAUUGAUGUCAAUGAUUUUCUAAGAAAAAAAGAAACUUCGUUAAUUUUACCUUUGUUUCAUGAUGAGAUUAGUGCUGGAGCCGUCAUGGACUCAUUGCUAUGCAGAAUUAAAAAAUCAAGCUUAAACAGUUUUGGUGAAAUUUCUAUAUUGAAAUUCUUGUUAAUAAAUCAUUCACACUUUAAUGAAAGUAUUAAUAGCAGCCGUGUAACUCACUAACUCCUAUUAAUUAAUUUUUAUAAAUUGCUACCGGUAACUCCGUAUUAAUUAAUUUAUCACGCGUUGUAUAUACAGAGUAGCGUAACGGGAUUUUUUUUUUAAUGUUGAUCUUUUACUCAAUUAAUUAAUUAAACAUUUAUAAAUGAUCACUAAGUAUUCAUGAGUAUGUGACACAUGAGCUUAAACAUGAAUCAAUAUUUGCUAGUGCAUUGGUGGUUAGCACAAAUAACUUCGAUGAUAGAGAGUGACUGGGAAGCAUUAAUGGGAUGGAUCCUUUAAUGACCUGAUUUUUAAGCAAAUUUCACUUAUAUGUUUAUUGGUUAAUCAAGUAAGUAAUAAAAAUAGUUAAAUUUUAAUCAUACAUUAAUAUUAAAAGGCAAGUUAUAUAAGAUCUUUAAACGUUCAGAAGAGAUCAAAUCAAAAAAGGACUUAAAUUUGAGAAUAACUCUUGUAAAAUUUAAGUUUUAUGUGCUCAUGAAAGUACUUGUUAUUAAAGGUAUCUCUUGAAUAUUUAAUGGUUUAACAAAUUAUGUUCUUUAUAGACAGUUUGUAAAUUACUCUCGUCACUGCCACCAUGACUUGUAUUGUUGUUGUGAGCAGUUUAAUGGAAUGCAAUAUCAAUUUACUUGUUAGAAAAAAAAAAUCGAUUAUAAAUACUAAUUUGACUUUAUUGUGCUCUAGAGCAAAAUACAAAGUGGAUAUUUAGUGAUUAUUAGUUUAACUUACAAUGAUAGAUAUAUCUUAAGUAUACAUAUUAAGAUAUAUAUAUAUACACACACAUACAUGUGCGUGCGUGCGCUUGUGCCAAGAGACAAACAAAUAUAUGAUGAAUAAAGAUUUCCAAACCUAAAGACUUCAAAUUAAUGGUGAAACAUCUUUGCAAAUUAAACUAAGAAAAAUUGAAAAAGUAUUUUAUCAUUUUAUGCAUGGAAUUCCACGUCCAUGCAUGCAUGUACCCAACAAAUGUACUUGUAAUUAAGUAUGCAUAUGGUACAUGAAAAAAAUAUUGUCUUGGAAAAGUCUCAAUGGAUAACUCAUGACAUGUCAUUGUACGUACACGCACAACGAAUAAUCCUUGCGACGACUUGCAUAAAACAAAAAGGGAAAUGUCUGUUUGUCCCUGUAGUUUAAGUACCCAUGGAGGAGUCAAUAUAUAUUUAGAAAUUUACUCAAAAAAUAUAUAUAUAUAUAUAUAUAUAUAUAUAUAUAUAUUCUAUAUUUUUUUGGUUAAAAUUUACUUAAUUAUUUUUUAUCUUUCAUCUGCUAUAUAUUAAAUUAGUUUGAAUUUUAAAAUUUAUCAUAUAGAAUUUAGCUUUGAAAAUUUAUGUCCAACAAACUAAUUAAGAAGUAAGUAAAGAGAUGUUCUGGAUAAUUUUUUAAAAUAUAAUAUUGACCAAACUGGGUAAUUGACUCGAAUUAUGGGGCUUAAAAUAAUUUUUACUUAUUUAACAAAUUUAAAAUUGUUUUCCAAAAAAAAAAGUAAAUUAAUUUCUAUCUUUAUUAAUAAAAUUAUGACAUAACUAAGUAAUAUUCAUAUUGUGGUGAAAACAACUUCUUGGUUUAGCGAUGGACCUUACAUGUGGAGGGUUGAAAUCUUUUAUGUAUAUACAUGGUGUUAAUAAUAGUAAUUAAAAGGGAGUGUGUAUACCACACGCCGGAGACCAAAAAGUGAUUUGUCAAAUCCUCGAACUCAAUGACGAGCCAAAAGUGGAUUGGAUUGGUUAUCCACUUUUGUACGGCUUUGAAUGACUUUUUCUAUUUUCUAUACUCCGCAUCAGUCGUUGUGACAUAUUCGUAGGCAUUUUCCCUUCAUUUACACCAAGUCUAAAGUUCUGAACUGAAUGAAAGAGGAAGCCAACUUGAAUUACAUUUUUUCCAGCAUUUUUUGGUCCAGCGAACCAUUUCACUUGGGAUCAUAAUGAGUCGUUGCAAGGAAAAUGUUAUUUUGAUUAUUACUUUGUUUAAUAUUCUUGUCUGCGGUAUUUUAAUUUGAAAGAGAUAUAAGUCUCAAAGGAAUGUCGGAUUCUGUGCUCACAUGAUGAGCUAUAUAAUAUAUGUUGGUUUUACUUAAGGUUGUUGUAAUUAGUAGUUUUUUUUUUAAAAAAAAAUAAUACUAGCACAACUCUAAUAAAUAACGGAUAAAAAUUCCUAAUUAAUUUGAAUUCAUCUCUCAUUUGUCAUUUAAAAAAGAAAAAAAAGAAAAAAAAAGAUUCAAUCUUGGUUUAAUUAUGAACUAAAUGUUCUUCUUUUCAAUCAUUAAUUAAUAUUAGGUAGGUAGAUCUACCAACACGGUUGCACCUAAUUACCCACUAUAAAAUUUAUUAUCAAUCCCCCAUGGAAAAAGUGUGCAUGCCUAUAUAUAAUCGGACUUUAUUAUCAGUGUUAUGGAUAAAAGAAUUAUUAAUUUUAAAUUAAUAAUUAUUUUAAUCAAUUUGGCAAUAUAUAUCUUAUCCUUGAUUAAUUUAUAUGAAUGAAUAUCAAGUGUAACGUAAAAUAUUAUUUGUGUUGCACAUGACAUGCGGACAAAAGAAUACAAAGAUUCCUUAAACAAGAUUAAAAAAAAAGUAAAAUAGAAAGUUGAAUUUAACAAGAUUCAUGUACUGGAAGAAAAGGAAUUAAUAAAGUGAUAAAAAAAUUGGUAAUCGUGGCAAGUAAUCUUAUUCAUGUACGAGGCGGCACGACCCAAGACUUGGAGAUUAAAUAAUGAAACUUCUUUGCAAACGAUAGAAACUCCAAUUUAUGGAGAGACUUGACGAGUAUUUUAUCAUUUUAUGCAUGGAAUUCCACGUGCAUGCAUGCAUGUUCUCCACGCUUGGAAAUUUUGCAAAUGGCUUCUCCCUUUAAUGGGAUGCACAGUUUUCGUACAUCAAUAUUGAAAAUGUCCUCUAACAAGUGUCUCAAUUAUUGGAUAACAUGUGCAGUCCUUGUAAUUCAUUGAUAACACGUCCCUCAACAAUCUAUAAUACAUCAAACUACCAAAUUGGCCAACAAAUCGAUGAUACUUAUGUUUUGAAAAACUAUCAUGUAAUUGAUGAUUAUAUCAAAUUUAACUAUAUAUAUUAUAUAUACAUUAGUUGAUUGUAUUGGUUUUGAUGUAUUGUAAAAUUUUUGAUUUUAUGGGCAUAUAAUAUAGAUUAUCAAAAUUUAAGUUUCCUCACAUAUGCGCGCGCACACACAUACACACACAUAUAUAUAGGAGUGACUAAUGAGCCUUUUUCUUUUCUCAUUUUGAGAAAAUCUCAAGUACAUAAAACUUAUUAUAACCAUUUAGUGAAAUUAGUUAUGACAUACGCAUUCUGAUUUUAUUAUACUAUAAUUAUCUUCUUCUUCUUCUUUUUCCAACUUAAAUGUACACGUACGUGAUCAAUGACUAUGGAUUAUGUAGAGGAGUUUAUCAUUUUAUUGAAAUUCUAACGAUUGUCAAAGCAUAUUAAAGGGAGAUUGGCAGUUUUCUUCAUGUAGAAAUUAAUACAUACCAUUUCCAUUUCUCUUCUUAUUGCUUCUAUAAUAAUCAAUAACUUUCAUUCAUCAUAAUUUUAUAGUAUUAUUCUUAUUUUAAGAUAUUUUAAAAUUUAUUUAAUUAUUCAUCUUUAUUAUUAAUUAAAUGAAUUAUAUAAACAGAAAUAUAUAUUUUGUCUUUAAACAUAUUUUCUUAUAGUAAAUAUAUAUUUUAUAUUUUUAAAAUAAAAUAUCAAGUAAAUGACCCAUUUACCUUUACUUUCUUUUAAGUUUUUUUUUAUACGAAGAGAUUAUUAACUAUUAUGAAAAUAAUAGACGAAUAAAUAUUUUACAUAAAUUUCGACAGGGAGAAACUAUCAAUACUCUUAAACGAUUGAACCUUCAGUAUCUUAGUAGUUGACUGUGAAUGACAUUUUAUUCCACCCCAUUGCAAUUGUUGCUUGUUUUCCACGGAUAUCUUGAUUACGUUUGCAAGCUUAUGUUAUAAGGGCUUCGUCAUUGCCAUUAUUACGAAAUUAAAUAGACUAAGAUUACUUGUUGACCUAAUUUGAAAAUUCCUCCAUUGUUUAUUAUUUUUCCCUUUUUAAUUUAUCAAUAUCAGCCAUAUCAAGUCAUUCUUUUAAUCAAAAACCUUGGGGAAGACGAAAUAUAUAUUAACUUACUGUCUUUUCUCAAUAACUUUUUAGGUGAGAUUAGUUUAAUAAAUUACAUGAUAAAUAAUACUCUUGCUUGAGUCUAUAUAUA